rnacentral:lncRNA from 1 species
UUAUUGAAUAUUAAAAUAACAUAGUUGAUUUCUAAAACAUACAAAAAUUAUUAUCUCAUCAACGCAUAAUUAUUUUGAGAACCAUAAGGUUGAGAUUUAUCCACCCAAAAACUAUUGUGUUGUUGUUGCUGGUGUGCAAUUAAUCUUGCAGGGACAGUUGAUGAAGCAUUCUCCAAGAUCUGGCCAGCACAAGUUAUCUAUUUGACAGCAGAAUUCCCGUCCUGGGAGCUGGUGCCCAUCUUUAUAACAAGGGGGUCUAGUUACAUGGCUUACUUUGCUCAUCAUGUUUCUCCCCUUGUUGUUUAUGAUUUCACCUAAUUAACAUAAAAUAAAGAAUAUACUUAUCAUCUCAUCAUAUAAACAAUAAAAGUCCACAAUAUCAAUACCACCAAAAAAUCGAGUUGUUAAUUACCAUAUGUGCCUCCAAGACAAGUCAAACACACCACAAGAAGAAAAGAAAGUAGCACAAGUCCUUGCACAUUGUUCCUCGUGAACUUGGUCAUCGUCACUAAGGAAUAGAGGCUAUUAAUGGGUGGUACUCUUGUAAGUGGAGUUGAUGAGUGUAUGACCGUGAAAUGCUUGCUCCAUGAAUGGUUCAUAUAUAUAUAGGAAAAGCUUCUCCGUGUUGAUGUGUGAAGUUAUAGAAAAUAUUAAUGCUUGGAGUUAUGGCUUGUGUGAAUUUCCAAUUUUAGUUUCACUUCUAAAGAUUCAUGGUUCCUUCUAGAGUUUUUUUCUCAAAUUUAUGCUUUGUCAUAGCAUGUAAGUUACUUUAAUGCCCCCUCUAGAAUUGAUCGCUCAUUGUUUUCAAGGGGUAGAAUUGACCUCUUAGAAUGGGUAGUAAAAAAUGGGUGCAUGGCAAUAUUAUGUUUAAGGCAUUGAUAAUAAUUGGUAUAAUAUCAAUAAUUCCUAUAUAUAUGAUGCCUUAUCAAUAAAAUUAUUAAUUUCUGUCUUGGUAUAAGAGAACAGAGUUUAAAAUUCAACAAGACUCAUCCACUUAACAUUGGACUUGAUUUUUAAUGUAUGUAAGCAAUUGUUCUUAAGUAUAUCAACAAGUUACAGAUACAUUUUUUUUUACUUUUAUUCCAUGAACAUAGAUUAAUUAUGGGAUGGCCAUUUUAUAAAUAUAAGAUGAUGAUUUAUUUUCAUAUACAUGAACAUUUUAUAUCAAGGUACUUGAGCAUUUUUUACAUAUUUCUAUACACAAAAUUUUCUCCAAUAUUAAGUCGAUUUUUUUAAAUAGAUUAGUUUCCCCAAAACUUUCUUUAUUAAAAUGUCGCACUUGCCCAGCUAGGGAAAAUUUUGUUAGGCAGAGCUGCCCAAUUCUCGGAACUCCCUAUAAGUUCCUCCUUGCCGCUACCAACCUCCCCUUCAGACAGCGCAUGCCUGGCUGGUCCGACCUAUUGACGACACGAAUGGACACCACCGAGUGGGAGAGUAGGCGUUGAGCCAAUCCACUUUAGCAACAAUUUUUUCAUUUUUGGAAAAUAUCUUUGCAAAAUGAACAAGCAUUGAUAAAUGUGAAGUUUUUUUUGAACAUAUUCUAAAAUUUAAAAUUUCUUAAAACCCCAAUUAUGUUUGGAAUUUCAUACAUUCUUCUGAACAAAUAAACACUUUUGGAAAUACUUAACAUUAUUUGAAAACUAAGACCUUUUCUUGGAGAACCAACAAUUUUAUGAAAAACGUGUUAGUUUUAUAAUUUGUAGAAUGUUUUUCAAAGUUAUGAUCUUUAAGAACACAAACAAUUUUUGAAAUUUCAAACAAAAUAUGAGAAUCGGAACAUUUCCCGAAAACUUGAAUAUUUUCUAAAUUUCAAAUUUUUACACAUUUUUAAAAAAGGAGACUUUUUGAUAAAGAUAAUAAGAAAAAUAAAACAAUGGAAAAACAAAUAAGAAAAACUGUAACAUCCUAAUUUUCAAUUUGGAUGUUAUACAUAGAUCAGCAGAUGCAUAUCCUAUUUAUUCUUUCUUUUGGUUGAGAUCCUAGAGAUCUUAAGCAACUCAAGGACCCAAGGAGAGAGUUGGAGGUUUCACAAAAUUCAUAUUUGAAUUUAUUUCAAAUUUGAGGGAAGGAUCAAUUUGAUUUUAUUAUUUUUCUCUCUAAUUUUUUCCAAUAAUAAAAAUACAUGCGAGAAGAUAAUAUGACUUCUUCAACCUAAGAUAAAUAUUGGAGAAAGAAGUUUAAAAUCAAAUUAUGAUUUUAUUAGAAUUUUAUUAGAAUUAGAAAAAUAUUGCAUUUUUUAAAAUUGGAUCUUUGUCCAGAAAAAUGUUUAUCUUGUCCUAAAUAUAUGGUUUGGACGGUGAAAAUUAUUUCUGGAAUUUUUAGAUUUUUCUUUAUAAUUUAUUAGGAUUUUUCUUUCGGGCGAAAUUUAUUUUUUUAAAAAAGUUAUUUCCGCCCGAAUGGGCCGAAGGCCCAGCCGAGCCGGCCCAGAAGCUGCGCCGCCACCAUCCCCGCGCGGUAGUCUGCCCCGCUGCCGCCAGCGUGCCGCCGGCCAAGUCCGAGGUGGGCACACCUCCCGAGGCCAGCCCCUUCCCCAAGACGAGGUCGAGCCCCAUCCUUAAAUAGCGCGUCGUCCCACCACCUCUCCUUCACACCGCCACCGCCUCCCACCACCAGCAGCAGCAAUAGCCCCGCGCCGCCGCCGCCGCACCGCUUUCUGCCGCCUGUGACGCUCCCGAUUCAAUCGUACACUAAUCAUACAUGCAAAUAUGUACGAUCAAGAUUAGGGACUCACGGGAAGAUAUCACAACACAACUCUAAAAAUAAAAUAAGUCAUACAAGCAUCAUAAUACAAGCCAGGGGCCUCGAGUGCUCGAAUACAACUGCUCGAUCAUAGACGAGUCAGCGGAAGCAACAAUAUCUGAGUACAGACAUAAGUUAAACAAGCUUGCCUUAAGAAGGCUAGCACAAACUGGGAUACAGAUCGAAAGAGGCGCAGGCCUCCUACCUGGGAUCCUCCUAAACUACUCCUAGUCGUCGUCAGCGGCCUGCACGCAGUAGUAGGCAUCUCCAGUGUCGUAGGAGUUGUCGUCGGUGGCGUAUGGCUCCUGGGAUCCAACGUCUUCUUGCAGCAUCCGAGAAGAAGAGGAAAACGGGGGAAAAGAGGGAGCAAAGCAACCGUGAGUACUCAUCCAAAGUACUCGCAAGCAAGGAGCUACACUACAUAUGCAUGGGUAUAUGUGUAAGGAGGCAAUAUCAGUGGAAUGAACUGCAGAAUGCCAGAAUAAGAGGGGUAUAGCUAGUCCUAUCGAAGACUACGCUUCUGGCAGCCUCCGCCUUGCAGCAUGUAGAAGAGAGUAGAUUGAAGUCCUCCAAGUAGCAUCGCAUAGCAUACUCCUACCCGGCGAUCCUCCCCUCGUCGCCCUAUGGGAAAGCGAUCACCGGGAUGUCUCUGGAACUUGUAUGGAUGUGUUUUAUUAAGUAUCCAGUUCUAGUUGUCAUAAGGUCAAGGUACAACUCCAAGUCGUCUUGUUACCGAAGAUCACGGCUAUUCGAAUAGAUUAACUUCCCUGCAGGGGUGCACCACAUUUCCCAACACGCUCGAUACCCUUUGGCCGGACACACUUUCCUAGGUCACGCCCGGCCUAGGAAGAUCAACACAUCGUAGACCCACCUAGGCACAACAGAGAGGUCAGCAGACCGGUCUAACUCCUAUGGCACAGGGGUUUGGGCCCAUCGCCCAUUGCACACUUGCACGUUGCGAGGGCGGCCGGAAGUAGACUAGCCCCCUUAAUACAAGUGCAUGCUUACGGUCCAAUCCGGCGCGCGCCGAUCAGUCGCUGAUGUCAAGAAGGCUUCGGCUGAUACCACGACGUUCGAGUGCCCAUAACUGUUCCCGCGUAGUUGGUUAGUGCGUAUAGGCUAGUGGCCAGACUCAGAUAAAAUACCAAGAUCUCGUUAAGCAUGUUAUUAUGAAGUAACCCUGAACGCCGACCAGGGCCAGGCCCACCUCUCUCCUAGGUGGCGUCAAACUGCCCUGUCGCUCCACCACAAAGAUCCACACACAGGGCCGUCGGGAAAGUAUGUCCUUUCAGCCCCCAAUUCAAACAACUGCGGGUACUCAACGAGCCGACACGACUUUAGUCACCAUUUGUAUAGCAUGUAUAUAUGUAUAGUAUGAACCCGUGAUCACCUCCCGAGUGACCACGACCUGAUAGUAUAGCAAGGCAGACUGACAAGAAUGUAGGGCCACAGAUGAUAAACUCGCAUCCUAUACUAAGUAUUUAGGAUUGCAAGUAAGGUAUCAACAGAUGUAGCAACAAUGACAGGCUAUGCAUCAGAAUAGGAUUAACGGAAAGUAGAAACAUGCUACACUACUCUAAUGCAAGCAGUAUAGAGGAGAGUAUGCGAUAUCUGGUGAUCAAGGGGGGGGCUUGCCUGGUUGCUCUGGCAAGAAGGAGGGGUCGUCAACUCCGUAGUCGUACUGGGUGCUAGUGUAAGAAACAAUUAAUAUAGUGAAAACAUAAGCAUGACAAUGUAAGAUAUGAAAAUGAGCAGUGCUAGGUGUGCCCUAACGAGGUAGUAGGCGAUACCGGCGAAAGGGGGAAACAUCCGGGAAAGUAUCGUCGGUGUUUCGCAUUACUGCAUCAGCAUGACGUCAGCAUGACAUCAUCAGUCAACAAAGGUAUUGACUAGGUCAAGCUGACGUGUGGGUCCCAUCUGCCAUUGACACAUUGCCCUAACUAACAAACUAGUUAGUUUAAUUAAAUAUUUAGGUUAAUUAAGUUUAGUUAUUUUAACUAAACAUGAUAAAUUAAGUUAAUUAAUUAGUUAAUUAAUUAAUUACCAAUUUUAUUAUUAUUAUUAUUUUAUCUUAUUAUUAUUAUUAUUUAAACGUUCUGGGGUGGGGCCCCCUUGUCAUAGGCCCCUGGGGACCUAGUGGAGUGUGUUAACGGGCGCCGGGGCGCGGCGGGCGUGCGCCCGAGUCCACCAUGGAAGGGGACUCCGACCAGGGGAGGGGGCGCCGCCGUGGCGGCUAGCGCCGGCUGUGGCGGAGCGGCGUGGGACCGAUGGGGCGUAGGCGAUGCACGUGACAGCGCGCGCGAGCUGCAGUGGUGGAGGUGGUGGCGGGGUCGCACGGGUGGAGCAAAGGCGCGACAGCCGGAGCGGAGUAGUGCAGCGAGCAGCACUGCUCGUGGCGUCGCGCGGGCACAGUAAGCACGGGAGGCGGGCCGACGCGGGACCAGGCAUAGCAGCAGCGGCGCAGGGCGCGGCGAGCGCCCGUUGCGCGCGUGCUUCAGUGCGGGUAGGCGUAGCCACGGCGGCGUGAGCCACGGCGGGAAGAAGGAACACGGGAGGGGGCGCAGUAGCAGCAGGCGAGCCGGGCGUGCACGGGGCGACGAUGGGCAGCGACAGCGAGCGCGGUGGGGCGGUGCGCUUGCGUGCGUGCACGAUGGACGAGCGGCCGGAGCGAACAACGAGUGCUGGGAGAGGAGGAGAGGCCGGGGGCCUCACCGCGGUUGUAGGGUCUUAGGCAGCGAGGCGUGGGGAGGACGACGGGGACGACGUGCGGUGGGGCGACGAGGUCCGGCGGUAGGGUGGACGUAGGCGAUGGCGUCCGACGAGGUGGCGGCGCGGUGGCUCCGGCGACUGCGUCGGGGUGCCGUGGGCGCCCAGAUCUAGAACGGGGAGGAGGAGGUCGAGGACGGGGCGUCAGGGCGUCGAGCGACACCGGCAAGGGGCGACGGAGUCCGGGACGAUGGGGUUGGGGCGGUUGCCCCGAUCCAGAAACCGGGAGGGGAGUGGGGGAGCGAGCGAGUGUGGGGUGAGUGGAAUCCUGGUACCUAGGGUUUCAGGCGAUAGGAGGAUAUGGAGAGUGGGGUGGGCCGGUCGGGCCAGGGUGGGAGUUGGGUCGGGUGACCCAGUUGGCCUGGGGCUUUCCCCCUCUUUUUACUUUAUUAAUUUUUUGUUAUUCUCCUUUUUUUAUUCUUUUCCAUUUUCUAUUUUAUUUAUUUUAGAGCAUCAUAGCAUUUUCUAAAUAUGGGUUUUCUUCACUAUAAUUACCUAUGUAAUAUUUGGCACAAUCUGGACAUUUUAGUUUCAUUGUUUGAAAACCUUUUUGUUUGCCUGAUUUUUAAUUUGAAUUUGAAUCGGUUUCGAACUAACGCGAGAUUAGUAACAGUAAUCAAGGUGACGUGGCAUCAUUAGCAGAGGUUCAAUGUAGCUUAAGUAUCCAGGUGUCACAAUUCUCCAACACUACAAGAAAUCUCGUCCUGAGAUUUAAGCGGUGUAUUAAGGGGGGAGGUGCUGGUAGCGAAAAAGCUAAAGAGUCUUCUCGGUCUUGGCUGCCCUUUCGAAGAGGUUGAUCCCUUUCGUUGAUGUCUUCAUGUCUCUGCUUCAAGUCACCAUGACCAAGUCAUCAUCCUUUCAUCGGUAUCUCCAUCGUCCUACAAACGCAACCAAGGGGAAAACUCCGGAAGAACGCAUCUCCGCAAAGUUGGGCAUCUGGCGGUGAACUCAAUGGGAAAUACACAAGGUACCCCACGAGUUGUAUUUCAAUGAAUUCGUUGAGUGCAAUACACGAUGGUACCAAAGUUUCAAACGGGUAGGCAAUCAUUCAAUGACUAGACAUAAGUUGGAAUGGGGGUUUGAACAAUGAGAAUAACAUGGCAUUUGAUUCCAGGAGGAAUAAUGGUAUAGCAUUUAGCUCGUGAAUCACAUACGAAGCCAGGUGCAAAGGAUACAUUAGAAUCGGGUUGUAAAGAAGAGUCAGGUUUCGAUCCAGUGGACCUGUGGGUUAUGGGCCCACCAUGUGGGUUGACAGUAGGAAGGGUGGUGACAUCUUGCACAGCCGCAACAGGGAGGCAUGUCAGGGCAACAAUUGUCAGUAACAAGGACGGGGAACGAAGAGAGCAAUUUUCCUGCUUGUAGAACAGGUGAACCAAUUGGCAAAGUUAUCACCCAUCGGUGGUUACCGGAAUGUCAUCAACAAUAGUAACAUGGUCUUACAAACAGAGUGGUACAACAAGUUGCCUACCUAAGCAGGGAAUUAUCUCUGCUCAGUUAAGUCAGAUUUAGGAAAGGUUAAACAAAAGAAUGGAAAGGAAAACGCGAUUAUCAGAUUAAACGGAACAAUGGAAAGGAAAAUUGUGAUUACACACAAUUAUUAGGAGUAUAUCCUUCCCAUGUACAAGCAGAACAUGGAUUACAGGAUAGGAGAGCAAGUACCCAACCAUUCAGAUAACGGGCAAGGAUUAAUCAAGAUGUUACCCAUACAACAUCGUUUGGAUAACUGACCAACAAACAUUUAGCAUCGCGCCUACAAUGUUCUUGUUGAUGAGCGGGGUAUCAUAGUCAUGCUUCGAGGUAGCAAUGAUAUGGGGUUCCAAUCAAGGCCAGACUUUGGAUACACAAAUGAUCCAUCAGGAGCAACUUAUAAAAUAAGUCCUACAAUUUCCUCCAGGAAGAAUGGUUAUCCUUGCAAAAGAAAUUAUAAUGAUAGGUCCUCCAGCCAGGGGUGCUAGGCAUGACAUCAUACUACCUGGUCAUCUAAGGACCAACAUCAUAACUCCUGGAAAGUUGUCCUAACCAUAAUAUCUGACCGAGAUUCCGAUCCGAUUGGUGUCAUGAUACCUUAGACUCAGGAUGUCCGAGAAGAAAAGGUGCGACACAAAUUGAUGAAAUGACAUUGCAAGAUUCUCAGGAAAUGAACUAUGGGAGUGGGUUCCUGAAACAAUAGUUCAUCAUUAAACCAAGGAGGGGAUGAGGAGGUUGCUGAUGGGCUCAGCGACAAUUCAACGAGAAUUCCAAACGGAUGGAUUUCCACACUUAUGUGAACAAGAAGAUGACACUUGCUAAUUCAAAUGAUAUAAUGUUGUAUGCUCGAGGAAAACAUACACCAUCAAGCAUUAGUUGUAAGGUGUGCCCGAAAUAUGACCUUAGGCAGCAGGAUCAAUGUUAGAGUGAUGAUUCAAUGACCAACAGUCUAAGAAUGAACUGUUGAUCAUUAACUUCAAAGCAAUAGGGUUGCUAGAAAUACGGAACUCAAGCAGCAUCGUUGGCAUAUCGGUAUCCCGGUUAAAAACAACACGGGGACCAAGGAAGAAUGGUGAUGGUGGGAAGUAUUAUCAUACCGAGAAUUUCUAAGAGGUGGAGCAAUCCACACAACAUCCUCGACAGAAAAGACAGUAAUACUUCAAGGCAGAACACAACACUAGUUGGACAUCAAGUUGUAUUCAUAAUAUGGACAAGUUCGCGAUGAAAGGAAGUCAAGGGUUUUGUCGAUGAUAAUAAAAAUCAUCGAGGGCAAGGAGGGAAUUUCUCAUCAUGAACACAGUUGGCAUCUCAGAAGACGUCAAAGUGUUGAAGGUGAUCCGACACAUUUGCCGGGAGAUUUCUAGAGGAUGAAAUCAAACAACAAUGGCAACAAGCGAGGGAAUGACGAAGUGGCAAGUUAUAGGAUCAAUAUAUAAGAUGCAAGCUCGGGACCAAAUUGCCUUUCAAGACAAGCAACAUGAUGUUGAAAGCUCGACAUAAGUCGUGCUCACACACUGCAGAUUCGUGCACCAGAGUAGGACGAGUUAGCAUCGUCAAAGGUAGCAAGACCUGGAUGCAACCGAUAGUCUAGGAAUGACCAGAUUUAGUUCAGAAUUUCCUAGUAAAAAUACUAGGGGUAUUUGAUUUGUAGUGCGGAAUAAUUUCAGUAGUCGGUGUCCUCGGUUGACAACAACCCAGAACCCGUAGAGUGAUUACGACAAGGAAAGACAUUACUUCAACAAAGUUAGUAAGAUGUGGUGCAAUGGCAAGACAUCUCCGAGAUACCAGGGGGUAAUACUCGAAGGUAGAACAAGAUAGAAGUAGAACCGGGUCAUUGACCUAUGACAUUAGAUACUUCAACCUUGACAAAAAUAGACGAGGCACUGGAAUGAAUUCCCAUCAGAUAUAUCAGAUCAGCACAACAUGGUCAGAACCAUAACUGUAAGGAAUCAAUUUCAAGAAUACCGAAAGAAUCAUACAGCUAGAUAAUAAUUUUGCAAGAAGCUUCUCAGACGGUCUACAUCAUUUUCAUGGGCAUGAACACAAAGUUCAGGGUCGACUCCCACUUCUUUAAUGCAUAUCAUCUCAUUCACCUUUUGCUUUGAUAUAACUGUAGUGUUGAAAGUUUAUCUGGUAGAAAACCGGAAGUGUAUGACUUGUGAAAACUUUCGAGUUCUCACGAAUUAGGGGAAGGCAUAGGUUCAACCCAUCGGGCAACUUAGUAACCUAUACCACAAGUUUCAAAACUAAAUACACAAGCUCGAAAGCAGAGCAUGGUUGGCCAAGUAGAGGAUACAAUUUACCAAAGGCACUAUGUAUCAGGGAAAGAACUCACAUGGUGAUUGAAUAUGAAGGACACUGUCGGAUAAAAAUCCAACAAUGGAUAGGGCGAUCCACAACGGAUCUGAUGUGAGUAUCGGUACUCACUCGGAGGAAGAAAGAAUGCAGAGGCAUCAGAUUCAAGAAUCACCUGAUUAGUCUGAUGCUUAAAUAGAAAGAAAUUAUGGUUUCCAAAAUGAAGGAUCAGAAGCAGAUGCUCUGAUCAAGAAUGGAUAAGUUGAAAACACCUAGUUGGACAAUCAAUGAAGGUUUGAAUUGCCGAGAACCAACUCAUGUCCGGAAUGACGUCUGAGCCGGAAAGAGAAUCUUAAAAAGGAUAACAUGAUGAUUGCGUGUGUACGCACACAUUGAAUCAAUAGGCUCAAAAUGACUAAGACAAGGGAUGUUAACGAGGACUACUAUUUAUAUGGAAUUACCCAUAAUGCAAGCAGGCAAGCGUUUCAAGAGUAACAGGCUGCAGAGGAUUUUUGAAAGAUCGAAAAGUAUUCCGAAGAAUCAUGUGAGACACAUGAAAAAUUGAGAAGAAUGGAUCCUUGAUAAAUGUGAGGAAAAACCCGUAAUAGUUUUCACGCGAAAUAAAACUGCAAGACAGUAAACUCAAAGGAUUUUCGGGACAACGACGAAUAUUUCGAGGCAUCAUGUAACAACAAGAGCGGCGAGGAAUGAUCAAGAGAAAGACAAGUGCAUACAGAUAUCCAUAGGGAUAUAUCGGUGACAGUGGAUUGCAAAGGUGAUGAGCACAAGGGUCUCGAGAAAAUAUCAAGGGAUAUCUUCAGAAUCUUCUGAUGCAAUAAGCAAUCAUCUGGAGUGAGGGAUCUCCGGGAGGAAGUAGUUACGAGAACCUAGAGUCGGCGUUAGUAAAAUCACUUAACCCGAAUAGAGGAGAGAUCAGUGUCCCAGAGUAAAGGUCGAGGAGUAAAAGAUCCUAAUACCACCCAAUGGCGAUGUGGGCCCGUAAGCCACACACCCAAGUUAGUAAAAUACUUUUCGGCUUCUAGACUCAACUUCGGCCAAGGAGUUGGAAAGGGGAUUCCUACAGGCAGUCGGCUCUGAUACCAACUUGUGACGCUGCCGAUUCAAUCGUACACUAAUCAUACAUGCAAAUGUGUACGAUCAAGAUCAGGGACUCACGGGAAGAUAUCACAACACAACUCUAAAAAUAAAAUAAGUCAUACAAGCAUCAUAAUACAAGCCAGGGGCCUCGAGGGCUCGAAUACAAGUGCUCGAUCAUACAAGAGUCAGCGGAAGCAAAAAUAUCUGAGUACAGACAUAAGUUAAACAAGCUUGCCUUAAGAAGGCUAGCACAAACUGGGAUACGAAUCGGAAGUGGCGCAUGCCUCCUGCCUGGGAUCCUCCUAAACUACUCCUGGUCGUCGUCAGCGGCCUGCACGCAAUAGUAGGCACCUCCAGUGUUGUAGGAUUCAUCGUCGCCGAUGUUGCCUGGCUCCUGGGAUCGAACAUCUGGUUGCGGCAUCCGAGAAGAAGAGGAAAAUGGGGGAAAAGAGGAGCAAAGCAACCGUGAGUACUCAUCCAAAGUACUCGCAAGAAAGGAGCUACACUACAUAUGCAUGGGUAUAUGUGUAAGGAGGCAAUAUCAGUGAACUGAACUGCAGAAUGCCAGAAUAAGAUGGGGAUAGCUAGUCCUAUCAAAGACUACGCUUCUGGCAGCCUCCGUCUUGCAUCAUUUAGAAGAGAGUAGAUUGAAGUAUCAUCGCAUAGCCUAAUCCUACCCGGCGAUCCUCCCCUCGUCGCCCGGUGGGAAAGCAAUCUCCAGGAUGUCUGUGGAACUUGUCUGGCUGUGUUUUAUUGAGUAUCCGGUUCUAGUUGUCAUAAGGUCAAGGUACAACUCCCAGUCGUCCUGUUGAAAAUCACGUCUAUUCAAAUAGAUUAACUUCCCUGCAGGGGUGCACCACAUUUCCCAACACGCUCGAUCCCCUUUGGCCGGACACACUUUCCUGGGUCAUUCCCGGCCUCGGAAGAUCAACACGUCGCAGCCCCACCUAGGCACAACAAAGAGGUCAGCACGCCGGUCUAACUCCUAUGGUGCAGGGGUAUGUGCCCAUCACCCGUUGCACACCUGCAUGUUGCGAGGGUGGCCGGAAGCAGACCUAGCCCCCUUAAUACAAGUGUAGGCUUACGGUCCAAUCCGGCGCGUGCCGCUUAGUCGCGGAUGUCAAGAAGGCUUCGGCUGAUACCACGACGUCGAGUGCCCAUAACUGUUCCUGCGUAGUUGGUUAGUGUGUAUAGGCCAGUGGCCAGACUCAGAUCAAAUACCAAGAUCUCGUUAAGCAUGUUACUAUGAAGUAACCGCGAACGCCGACCAGGGCCAGGCCCACCUCUCUCCUAGGUAGCCUCAAACUGCACUCUCACUCUGCCACAAAGAUCCACACAGAGGGUCGUCAGGAAAGUAUGUCCUUUCAGCCCCAAUUCGUGAAUCAGCCGCGGGUACUCAACAAGCCGACCCGACUUUAGUCACCAUCUGUAUAGCAUGUAUAUAUGUAUAGUAUAAACCCGUGAUCACCUCCCGAGUGACCACGACCCGAUAGUAUAGCAAGGCAGACUGACAAGAAUGUAGGGCCACAGAUGAUAAACUAGCAUCCUAUAUACUAAGUAUUUAGGAUUGCAGGUAAGGUAUCAACAAAUGUAGCAACAAUGACAGGCUAUGCAUCAGAAUAGUAUUAAUGGAAAGUGGCAACAUGCUACACUACUCUAAUGCAAGCAGUAUAGAGGAGAAUAGGCGAUAUCUGGUGAUCAAGGGGGGGGGCUAGCCUGGUUGCUCUGGCAAGGAGGAGGGGUCGUCAACUCCGUAGUCGUAAUGGGUAGCAGCGGCGUCGGUCUCGUAGUCUACCGGAGAGAAGAGAGGGGAGAAACAAUGAAUACAGUGCAAACAUAAGCAUGACGAUGUAAGACAUGACAAUGAGCAGUGCUAGGUGUGCCCUAAUGAGGUAGUAGGUGAUACCGGCGAAAGGGGGAACAUCCGGGAAAGUAUCCCCGGUGUUUCGCGUUUUCGGACAAAUGAACCGGAGGUGAAAUGUUGCAAAUUUGCUAUGCUAGGGAUGCAUGGCGGACUAACGGGCUAUGUAUUCGGAUUCAUCUCGUUGUUCUGAGCAACUUUCAUGUACAGAGUUUUUCCAUCUGAGUUACGAACUAUUUAAUAUUAAUUUUUAAAGAUUUAAAUCAAUUUAAAAUUAUUAGUAUUAAUUAAAUUCAAAAAUGACAUUAUUGCAUCAGCAUGAUGUCAACAUGACGUCAUCAGUUAACAGAGGUGUUGACUAGGUCAAGCUGACGUGUGGGUCUUAUCUGCCAUUGACUCAUUGCCCUAACUAACAAACUAGUUAGUUUAAUUAAAUAUUUAGGUUAAUUAAGUUUAGUUAGUUUAACUAAACAGGAUAAAUUAAGUUAAUUAAUUAAUUAGUUAGUUAGUUAUUUAAUUAAAUAAUUUUAUUAUAAUUUUUUAUAUUAUUAUUAUUAUUUUAAACAUUCUGGGGUGGGGCCCCCUUGUCAUAAGCCCCUCGGGACCUAGUCGAGUGCGUUAACGAGCGCUGGGGCGCUGCGGGCGUGCACCCGAGUCCACCAUGGAAGGGGACUCCGGCCAGGGGAGGGGGUGCGGCCGCGGCGGCUGGCGCCGGCUGUGGCGAAGCGGCGUGGGAGCGAUGGGGAGUAAACGAUGCACGCGACGGCGCGCACGAGCUCUAGCGGUGGAGGUGGUGGCGGGGUCUCGCGGGCGGAGCAAGGGCGCGGCAGUCGGAGCGUAGUAGUGCUGCGAGCAGCACUGCUCGUGGCGUCCCGCUGGCACAGUAAGCACGGAGGCGGGCCGACGCGGGGCCAGGCAGAGCAUCGGCGGCGCGGGGCGUGACUAGCGCCCGUUAUGCGCGUGCUUCGGUGUGGGUAGGCGUAGCCACGGCGGCGUGAGCCAUGUCUGGGAGAAGGGACAGGGGAGGGGGUGCAGUAGCAGCUAUCGAGUGGGGCGAUGAUUGGCAGUAACAGUGAGCGCGGUAGGGCGGUGUGCGUGCGUGCGUGCACGAUGGACGUGUGGCCGGAGCGAACGAUGAGUGUGGGGAGAAGAGGAGAGGCCGAGGGCCUCACCGGGGUUGUAGGGUCUUAGGCAGCGGGCAUGGGGAGGACGACGGGGACGACGUCCGGCGGGGCGACGAGGUCCGGCGGCGGGGUGGACGUAGGCGAUGGCGUCCGGCGAGGUGGCGGCGCGGUGGCUCCGGCGACAACGUCGUGGCACCGUGGGCGCCCAGAUCCAGAACGGGGAGGAGGAUGUCGAGGACGGGGUGUCAGGGCAUCGAGCGACACCGGCAAGGGGCGAUGGAGUCAGGGACGAUGGGGUCGGGGCGGUUUGCCCCGAUCUAGAAACCGGGGGGAGUGGGGGAGUGAGCGAGUGGGGGGGGAGUGGAAUCGUGGUAGCUACGGUUUCGGCCUAUAGGGGGAUAUGGAGAGUGGGGUGGGUCGGUCGGGCCAGGGUGGGAGUUGGGUCGGGUGGCCUAGUUGGCAUGGGGCUUUCCCCCUCUUUUACUUUAUUAUUAUUUUUGUUUAGUCUCCUUUUUUUAUUCUUUUCCAUUUUCUUUUUUAUUUAUUUUAGAGCAUCAUAACAUUUUCUAAAUAUGGGUUUUCUUCACUAUAAUUACCUAUGUAAUAUUUGGCACAAUCCGGACAUUUUAGUUUCAUUGUUUGAAAACCUUUUGUUUGCCUGAUUUUUAAUUUGAAUUUGAAUCGGUUUCGAACUAUCGCGAGAUUAGAAACAGUAAUCAAGGUGACGUGGCAUCAUUAGCAGAGGUUCAUUGUAGCUUAAGUAUCCGGGUGUCACACCACCGCCACCGCACGCCCGGGCCGCUGCCCCCUAGUCCCGCGCCGCUGCCGCCUCGUCGCCGACGCCGUUGACCGAUCUCGCCGUCGCCGCCGAUUUUCUCGUGAACCGGUAAGACCGGCCGGAACCAGUUUUAUUUUUCGGGUUUUUUUCGCUUUGGCGAGAUAGAUCGGUUUUCUUAGGGUUUUUCUUAAGUAACGAACAUCCGUUCGUUCGUUCGUUUUAAUGAACGGUUUUCACCGUAUAAGUUUUGUUAGCAAAGGGUCGCGCCGUAGGAUUUUUCCUUUUAGUUUAUUUUCGGCCAGGGACCUAUCCGUGAACAGUUUUAUCACGAUUUAGCCCCUGAUCUUUAAAGUAGCAUAACUUUUUACUCGUUUAUCCAAAUUAGAUGAAACCAACGUCUAAAUCUUCGUUCUGUUCUAUUAUUUUCAGUUUAACCAACUUAAACAUGAUUUUGAUACUGUAAAAUUUUGAGCUUAGUCCAGACUAGUAAAUGAUCUUGUCUUGUUCGUAUUUUGAGUUUUGUUUCUCGGUUUGAGAUGAAUCUUUUUCCAAACCGUAGCUAAUCACAUGUACCUAUUGUUAAGAUCUAAUCCUCAUGAUAAUAAUGUCGUGAGGUGUGACUUUUGUUACUUUAAGCCGUUUGUUUGUUUCGUGUUUGAUUUGGAAUUUUUUUCUCGGUUUUCUCGUUGCUUCGUUUGAGUGAUUGCUUAUGUAUGUUAUUGUUUGUCUAUGCAAGAUUACCCGGAGUGCGAAGCUUGUUACUACGAAUCUUUAGAGUUUGCAGAUCGUCAGCAAGGCAAGUUACACUUUGAUUAUACUCUUUCAUACCUAGUUUUUACUACGCAUUAGUUCUGCCCCUCAAAUAUUUGCAUGAGUAGGAUUGGGAACAUGUGGUUUGGUUGUAGUACUUGAGGUAGGAACCUAAUACCUUUUGAUCACCCCAGGAAUAUACGUUAUGCUUAUUUUUGCUUAGCCAUGCUUGUAGACAGGAAUUGGAUCGUGAAUCACACAUGGAAGUUUGAGAGUUAUUUAAUCCUGGUUAACAUUAAGGUGGCUACUUUAAUAUACAUUUGGGUGGAUUGGUUGCAGGCACCUGGGGAACCCAGUGUUGCCUAUUUUGGAAAAUCCUGGAGUACCCGUGUGAUUCUUCCUACGGUUAGCCACCUAGACUCAAAGGGAUCAUAAGAUCAUUCAUGCUAAAAACUUCCAUGUAUAGCCGCAUGCCAUUAUGGGCUCUGGCAUAGUUUGAGUAAGUUGCAUGAGCUCUUGAAGAGGUGGACUAGCAGAUGUAGGGGAUAGUAGGUGUACCGAUCCGCCCGGAGUAGAGAUUUACUGCUUCAGAAAGACUAUGUCUCGGUCAUCUGUUCCUCAAACAUCAUGUAGUGCGAGAAAUUCAACGGAAGAGAUCAAGUCUUGUGGGGAAAAGUGCGCAACCUCUGCAGAGUGUAUAAACUAAUCAUGGUUAGCCAUGUCCCCGGUUAUGGACAUCUUGAGUAUCUAGUACUUGAAUCUAUUGAUGUGAUCUCAUCAUGUUACUUUAAUUAAUUUGAAUUGGGUUAAUGAUGAUACUUUUAAUUGGGAUUUGAGUUGGGGUUACCUUCUCAAAUAAUGGCCAACUUGGGAGUAGUUAAAUAAAUUUAUUCCUUUGUUGUAGGGAAAUACUAGCUUUAUGCAAACUCAUAAACUUACAGCCUCCACCAUCCAAAUAUUGCAUGUAGAUAUAGUUCUUGCAUCACUUUAAAGUGUAACUCUGCCAGCAUAUUCAAUGUGUUGACCUGCACGGCUGCAGCGUCUCAUGUUGCAGACUACUCAGACGAUGAAUAAAGUGCGAUAGGUUGUUGUUUUGAACUCAGCUAUGUCGUUGGAGUUGAUGGACUCAUUUACCUUUGAAGCUUCCACUGUUAUCUAGUUUAAAUGGCUUUCAGCCAUUAUAUUUUUGUGUAAUCAUACUCUUUAUGAGGACUCUAUGUAAUAAGUGUGUGAGGACUCUGUUAUAAUUCCUCGAGUACUGUGCGUGUCAGCAUUACCAAUCCAGGGAUGGCACUGAUGCACAGAGACUUGACAGUUUGAGGUUUGGUCGAUACAAGAUGGUAUCAGAGCACACGUUGACUGUAGGACACGACCACUAGAUUAUACCACAGGAUUUCUCUUCUCUACUAAUUUCUAAUUCUCCUCUUUUCUACUCUAUAGAUGGUGGAUCCUAGUAACAAGUUCACUCAGCCGGAUGACGAUACCCCUUUCGGAAAACAUUUGAAGGAAGUCACUAAGUAUUUGAACAUUGGACUACCAAGCUGCACGGGGACUUUCUCUACAUCCGUACCAGAAGAGGAGCGCUGGAAGAUUAAAGUCUGGGUACCUGGAAGGACAUUUGCGCCAACAACGGAGCCUAUUGAUUUCUACCUGGAUGCACCAAACUGGAGUAAAGGAAAGAGCAUGGCAGCCCAUAUAACCGUUCGACGCAUAUGCGAGGUGUAUCACAAGGAGCUGGAGAAUGUCGUUUAUCAGAUAUGUGGCCACUGAGAUGACAAAUGGGAGAUGAUUCGUACCAGGAGGGAUGGAUCAAUUGCAGCCUACAUUCAAGAGAUGGGAGAUCAUAUUCGUCGAAAAGAGAAUCAACAAAUUAUCCACAUGAAGAAGAUCAAGAAACUGGUGAAGAGAAACAACGAGCUAGAAGAGGAACUCAAGUCUACAUGCGAUGGAUACGAGGAAGAGAUCACCAUACUACUGGAGAAGCAUGAAGACCUGAAGAGGAAGAUGGGAAUAUUAGUUGUGAAUAUCAAGCGAUCAACAGAGAUCCGUUCGGAGGACUAGAUCAUCCUGGACGACACCGACAUGGAUAGGGAUACAAAUGAUGACAUCGAUGAUGACUAUGUCGAUGAAGCUGGAGCAGAUAUCAUGGAGUCUUUUUCUGAUGAAAAUUUCUUGAUGACCACCAUUGUAACUAGUAGUUUUCCCUCCAAGUUGUUAGCAACGAUCGAGUUUGUAAUCAUAGGUUAGACUGAACGUGUGACUUGUGUGCUUUUGAUUGAAGUGAGUGUUUGUCUCAUGAGCAUAUGGGUAGUGAAUCUCUCUGAGACCUCAAUUCUAUUCUAUUUUCUCACCCCUUCUAACCCAUCAGAUGCCUCCGAGACAUGACAAUGGAUUAGCCUUCCCACCGGAGCUCACUCAGUUGAUCCAGCAGCAGAAUGCCUUGAUGCAGAUACUAGUUUAGAACCAGAACCAAGGUAAUAACAACAACAACCCACCACCACCACCCCCUGUUGAUCACCUAGCACGCUUUCUAAGGUUGAAUUCACCGGUGUUCUCAAGUAGCACCGAGCCAAUUGUUGCAGAUGAUUGGCUCCGCAAGAUUGGAAGAGAGCUGACCACUGUAGGAUGCACAGAUGCGGAGAGAGUGCGCGUUGCCGCACAUCAGCUUGAUGGACCCGCAUCAACUUGGUGGGAGAAUUUCACAGCCACAUACCCCAUUGACACUGUUACAUAGGAUCAGUUUCAGCAGGCUUUCCGCACUGCCCAUGUUUCAGCAGGAGCAAUGAGCAUGAAGAAGCGCGAGUUUCACAACUUGCGCCAAGGAGGGCGUACAGUGGGCCAGUAUUUGGAUGAGUUUAGCAAGUUAGCACGCUAUGCCCCUGAUGACGUAGCUACAGAUGCUGCUAUGCAGGAGAAGUUUCUGGAAGGACUGAAUGAUGAGCUGAGCAUGCAGUUGAUGGUGGCAACAUUCAAUAACUACCAGGAGUUGGUAGAUAGGGUGCUCAUGAUUGAAGGCAAGCAGUAACAGAUUGAUAAUCGCAAAAGGAAGUAUGGAUAGGGGAGGAACACUUCAGGAGCUCAGCAGAAGCCCCGCUAUUCCCCGUACUCAGGAGGACAUAACCAUAACCAUGGAGGACAUACACACAAUGGAGCUAGUUCGCGCAACCAUAGUGGCCCCAAGAAUGGCAAUGGGAAUGGAGGAAGCAACAGCAGAACCGUUCCAACCCUUCAAUGCCAGCCAAGAGGGAUCUGAGCCACAUUACCUGUUGCAAGUGCUAGAAGACCGGACAUUAUGCUACUGAAUGUCCUGAAACCAAGAAUGGAAAUGGAAACGGAGGUUCUGCCAAGAAUCCCAACCCCUUCACCAAAGGUCAGGUGAACCACGUCAGCAUGGAGGAGAUUGAGGAUCAACCCGACGUAGUUGUCGGUAAGUUUUUGAUUAAUGCAUUUACCGCACUUGUUCUUUUCGAUACUGGUGCAUCGCAUUCAUACAUAUCAUGGGGAUUUGUGGAUAAGUAUAACCUACCAACCAUAGACCUUAAGUAACCUAUGUUAGUAAGUUCCCUAGGAGCAGAGUAUAUGGAUAGUAGGGGAUGCUAUCAGUUGCCACUAACCAUAGGUAGACAUGUUUUCCCUAUCGACCUGAUUGUUCUGGAGUCACAAGGAUUGGAUGUGAUACUAGGAAUGGAUUGGCUAUCCAAGUUUGAAGGAAAUAUCAUCUGCGCCAGUAAAUCAAUUCUUCUCACCACCCCAUAAGGAAAGAGGAUCAAGUAUGUAUCCUGGCAUGUGCCGACGUGGACUCAAGUGAAUUCCUUAUCAAGAGUUGUACAGGAGGAAGUACCAGUGGUGAAGGAUUACCCCGACGUAUUUCCGGAGGAGUUACCAGACAUGCCAUCAGAUCGAGACAUUGAGUUUUUGAUUGAGCUAUUUCCAGGCACCGGACCAAUAUCAAAGAGACCAUAUCGGAUGUCCACAAAGGAUUUGGAGGAAAUUAAGAUGCAGAUAAAGGAGUUACUGGAAAAAGGUUACAUCCGACCAAGUUCAUCACCUUGGGGAGCCCUAGUACUUCUAGUGGAGAAGAAGGAUGGAUCUUUGAGGAUGGUUGUUGAUUAUCGUGCACUGAAUGAGGUGACGAUUAAGAACAUAUACCCUCUGCCAAUGAUCAAUGAUUUUUUUGACCAGUUGCAAGGAGCUAAAGUUUUCUCCAAGAUCGAUUUUCAAUCAGGUUAUCACCAGUUGAAGAUUCGAGAGGAGGAUAUACCUAAGACAACUUUUACCAUAAGGUACGGGCUAUAUGAGUAUACCAUUAUGUCAUUUGGCUUGACUAACGCGCCUGCCUAUUUCAUGAAUAUGAUGAACAAAGUGUUUAUGGAGCUUAUGGAUAAGUUCGUCGUGGUGUUCAUAGAUGAUAUAUUGGUCUACUCAAAUAAUGAAGAGGAGCAUAAGGAGCAUUCGCGUUUGGUUCUUGAGAACCUUAGAGAACAUAAGUUGUAUGCCAAAUUCAGCAAAUGCGAGUUUUCGUUAAAGGAAGUUGGAUUAACUCGGACAUGUUAUAUCCGGAGAAGGAAUAGCAGUAGAUCCUACCAAGGUUACCUCUAUAACUAAAUGGGUGGCACCCACAUGAGUUGGAGAGAUCAGGAUUUUUUUGGGACUCGCAGGUUAUUAUCGGAGGUUUAUUGAUAAUUUCUCCAGAAUUGCAAAGCCCAUGACAGAGUUAUUGAAGAAGGACACCAAGUUUAAAUGGACUGAGGAGUGUGAAGCCAGUUUUCAGGAGUUGAAGAAACAUUUGGUUACAGCCCCAGUGCUAAUUCUCCCAGACCAACGUAAGGAUUACCAAGUGUAUUGCGACGCUUCACAUCGAGGACUUGGAGUUGUGCUUAUGCAGGUAGGAGAAGUUGUUUCAUAUGCCUCACGUCAGCUUAAACCUCAUGAGCAGAAUUAUGCUACACAUGGCUUGGAGUUAGGAGUCGUAGUGCAUGCGCUAAAGACAUGGAGAUAUUUUCUCAUCGGAAACCAUUGUGAGGUAUACACGGAUCAUAAGAGUUUGAAGUACAUCUUCACGCAGAAGGAGUUGAACCUCAUGCAAAGGAUAUGGUUGGAGCUCAUAAAGGAUUAUGAUAUGAAAUUGCACUAUCAUCCCAGAAAGGCCAAUGUAGUAGUUGAUGUGUUGAGCCGCAGGAGUUAUGUCAACACGCACAUAACUGGAGGAUUCCCUAAUGAUUUAGCUGAUGAUAUUCGAGAGCUUUGCCUGGAUAUAGUUCCGAGGGGUUAUGUUGCAACAUUGGAAAUUAAGUCCACUCUUUUGGGCAAGAUCAGGGAAGCCCAGAAUACUGACAAGGAGAUUGCCGAAAUAAAGGAAAGGAUGUAAAGGAAAGGAUUUCGUGAGGAUGAGCACGACACCUUAUGGUUUGAGGAUCGCAUAUAUGUGCCUAAUGACCCCGAGAUCAGGAAGUUGAUUCUGAAGGAGGCCCAUGAUUCACCAUACUCGAUUCACCCAGGAAAUACCAAGAUGUAUUUGGAUUUGAAGGAAAGUUUCUGGUGGAUAGGAAAGAAGAAGGAUAUAGCCGAGUAUGUAGCAGUAUGUGAUGUAUGUCAGAGAGUCAAGGCAGAGCAUCAGAAGCCACAUGGAUUGCUACAGCCAUUGCCGAUACCCGAAUGGAAGUGGGAUAAGCUUGGCAUGGAUUUUAUCACUAGAUUACCCAGGACUCGUUCAGGCUAUGACUCUAUCUGGGUUGUAGUCGACCGUUUUGGAGUGUGCCCACUUCGAGGAGUGAAACGUUUUGGAGUUAAGGGAAAGCUAGUACCACAUUUUGUGAUGAAUUUUUUGAUAUAUUAUACGGUUUUUUUCGACAUCGUAUGCAAAAGAUAUGACAGUUUUACUUUUUCAUAACACUUUUUUGCAAAACAUGUCCAAAUUUAAGUUUUUAAAUUUUCCUAACUAGUAGAUGUAGUAACAUAACUACAUCUCGAAGGAUUUUAAUUUUUGAAGUUUUUAUCAUUUUCUUUUGUUUUUUACAAAACUGAAAUGCGGAUACACGGGGGGAGGGGGGUGGUAGAGUUUGAAAAUUUUCCUUUAGUCCCGGUUUGUGUCUCCAACCGGGACUAAAGGUUAGACCCAUUUUGUCCCGGUUUGUGAGACAAACUGGCACUAUAGCUUAGACCUUUAGUCCCGGUUUGUGUCACAAACCGGGACUAAAGGGGCUCGUGGGGCCCCGGCCUGAUGCCAGCCUGCCACCACCCCUUUAGUACCGGUUCAUGCCCCGAACCGGCACUAAAGGUUCAACACGAACCGGGACUAAUGCAUAGCCGUUCGAACCGGCACUAAUGGUCACAUUAGUGCCGGUUAAUUUACAAACCGGGACUAAAGGGCUGAACAUUAGACCCUUUUUCUACUAGUGUGUUAAGCAUCACAACUCCUCGCCAAACUGAAUCUACUAAGUUCCAUACAAAUUUAGCUCGAUUUAUGUACAUAUAUACAAUGUGAAGACUAUAGUGAAGUUGCUUGUUCACUAAAUUCAACACACAAUGGACAGGAUACUGUAUGCCGCCUGGUUUAUAGAUAGCUAUUAAAGUUUUAUCAUUUGAGCAUCCUCAUUCAAAUUAAUAUGUGCUAACGAUACUAUUGAGGCUUCUAAGAUUUAAGUGCCCAAACUCGACUUUUGUAGAUAAACAUAGCAGUACAAUUUUUUGCAUAGGUACACAAAAUCUUUCAACAUAUGAUUUGAUUCCAUUGUGUAAUUUGGCUGAAAAAUUUGAAUAGCAAGUGGCAUAAGAGCUAAUGCAAGGAAGAAAAUCAUGUCCCGGGCAUUUGCAUAGGCCGGCUCAAACUUGCCAAAUGUAGCAAGUUUUUUAUGCAAAUUCCAAAUGAUAUUUAAUUUAUCAAAAAUAAUGAAAUCUAGUUCAACGUUUCAGGCCUGAAGCAAACCUGAAACAUGUAUAAUUCUUAUCCUCCUAAUCUUUGCAGAACCAGCAAACAUGGGCAAUAAGAACCGAAAAAAUGAAGCCCUCUAUUUAGUCUGCAACACAUAAAUCCUUUAUGCCCAAUGUACAAAAAACAAAAUUGCAUCGAGUAAAUGUAACAGAAGAGAAAAAUAAGAGAUAUGUGCAGAAACAGAAAUCGAACAUAUCCUGGCAAACACAACAUCUCGCCGCUUAGACAAAUUCUAGACGUACUUCUGAGGUGAAGAGAGAACGUGGAUUUAGAAGGAGGAGAGCAAAGACCCAGGGAUGGGGGCAAGAAACAGAGUUCUAAUGCCUAUGGAUCUACAUCCCCUCUAGAUAUGUGUCUUGGUGUCUGAUCUCGUGGCUGUGGGGCUCGUGGUGGCCAGAGAUGCCCUGCAGCCUGCUAUGGUGCUAUAACUAAAUCAAAUGCCAUUGACAGCAUGGAGCUAUGUCAGGAGUGUGGCGGCCCUCUUGGACAUCAGCGCGCGCCGUAGGAUGCUGGUGCAUAGCGGUGGGCGCCGCUGUCGAGAUGAAGGUUGGGGGAGGUGGGAUGGGUGCCCCUGGGCAUGCUAAAUAAAGGAGGCUGGGAGCUGGCCGGGCGCCUCCAUUGGUGUUAGGCUGCUGCCAAUGCAUGGGUGCUUAGAUGAGGUGCUAUGCACAUUAAAUAGCUUAGCAACUAUACUCCCCAAUGCACAGGUGCUUAGCUUAUGGUUGCUAAGCUUGCUUCAUUUAAUGAUUUAGCAACUAAAGCUCUUCAUGUAUUGGUGGGCUUCCUUCCUUUAAAUGUUUUGCCUAGGUUCACACGCUUAGCAUUGUUUCUUCCUGGGUCACCACACUCAUCUCUCCUCUUAAAUAACUUGCCACAUCAGAUUUUUUGCCUAUGUGGAAGGCUUAGCACCUGUACAAGGUGGAGCAUUAGGAGGGGCCUUAAUGGAUUUUUAGCAAUGAAAACAUUACUCCUCGCUUGAAUACCGGUGAACGAACUCCAAUCACCCACUAUGCCGCAUCGCUGCCCAUUAAUGUGUCGCUAUCUCUUCACAUCUCCUGCACACCGCCCUUCCCAAAGCAGACGCUCUUUCUUGCGAUUUCGUUGUGCUGAGCAGGCCGAUGUUAAAUCACAGAUGAUGGCAAGCAAAUAUGUUAUGGUGAUCUUAAAUGGACUUCUUGCGGGAGAAGGGUACGAUUAAGCAUAAACCACCGAUUUUGUUACAGAGUAACAGCCCAUGAGGCAUCUUGUCCACUUAGUGCUAUUUAAAAGUAUCUUACGGCCAAAACGACCACCACGAAAUGAUCCAAUGGUUAGGAACGGUGGUGGCCUGAGAGGGCAGGAAAUUUGCUCAGGUAUAAUGUAUCUCUAUGUCCUUCCCACGGUAUUGAGCACGGACAUUUGUUGUGCUUGGACUAGCGCCCUUAACGUGCACACUAUUCGGAUAGACUUUGCUGGUUGCCACCCCCAUAUCUCUGGGACAUAGAGUAGUUGUGACUUUCACGGUGCUCGGUGAUGUACCAGCUAUUUUCAUACCCAUGUAGCAACCGCACCAAAACAGGGCACUCACACCUACAUGAACUGUUGUUUACUGACUCUGGCUUCCCCUGCACACCAGAUAGCACAUGCCAUGGUCAGUGCAACUAAAUUAGUGAUGGGAGCCCCACAAAUAAAAGGACAAAACAGAAGAGAGUGGCGUUUUGGCACAUGGGAGCACGCGUUCCUGAUUUUUAAAAUUUAUUUUAAACAUACUUUCACUACAAGAAAUAUGUCAACUUAUGACCACCACUAUUGGUCACUGAAAGGUCACAAAUUUCCAUUUAUGACCUUUUUGUGACCAAAAACAGAAGGUCAAAAGCUGGCCGUCGUAAACUGACUAUAGCGACCUUUCUUCUGGAAUGGUCAAAGACGUUUACGACCAAAAUAUUCCUACUGUGGCGUUUUGGUCACUAGCAACCUCCCCAGGCCACGUAGGCAUCCAGCGUGGCAAGCUGAUGUGGCACAAGAUUCAGCUCGGUCCGAUUUGGUGUUCUACAUGGGCCGAGCCCAUUAAUUCGGCCUUUUUAAUAUUUAUUUUUUCUGUUAAUUUUUGCUAGCUACAUGGGCCUGGCCCAACAAUUCGAUUCUCUAGACUGAUGUCUUUUGUUGUACAUUUCUUUUUUGGGCCUUGACCAUAUUUUCUAGGCCCUGGCCUUUCAACGGUCCAUUUCUUUUCAAAUUUCAGCCUUUGUUCCAACCAAUAUAUUUUAGGCCUUUUUUCAAAGCCCGAAUAGAUUUGGUGCAAUAGGCAUUUCGGCCAAUUUUCUUUUGGGCUAUAUAUUUCUUUUUCUAGCCACUUUUAGUCAAGAAAUGAAUUUCAAGUGAAUAAAAAGUAAUAUUCUGAGUUCAGCGAGCAAGUAUACAUCAAGUUCAGCGAGCAAAUAUACAUCAAAUUCCCAGCAUGUUUAGCAGUACAUCAAAUUUCUCAAGAAUAUUAGCAUUACAAAUUCAGUAAUAUAUAAAGCAAGUUGUUGACUGGGCUUCGGGCUUCUUCAAAUGUCUUCAGCCCAGAACUCCUGUAAAUGAGAGGAAUAGUCACAUGUUUAUAGUCUUAAUAUAAGCAAUAUUUGCUAACAACAAAACAGAACAAUUAAUCUAAGAACCAUGCAAGAACCUAGGUGUCCAAAUCAGAUUAUGCAACAUCGAUUGACACUAAAGACAUAAAUAGUCACCAGAUGGGCAUCAAAUCAUCACAAUAGUUUCUCGACAGAUGAUAAAAAAAGAACAGAAUGUAGAUGGCAGUGAGUUAAGGAAGCACCACAAUAACAGAAACAUGUUGUCAGUGGAAUGGAUGGUAACACAAACAUCUACUCUGCCCUGCUGUAACAAACAUGUACUUGACUCCUUACAUACACCAGUGCAAGUGUUUUUCACAUGUUACUACUUGAUUCGACUUUAUACAUAUAAAUAUACAUGACAAUAAACUUGCAUAAAGAGGCAUCUAGUCUAGCAUUAGACUAACUUACUGGUAUAAAGAGACAUGGAUAUUCAUGGUAGUUGUACUAGAAAAAACUAACUGAACCAAUGUCUCCAUAGAUAUCAUAGAAUCAGAACAGAUGAAGCUGACAACAUAAUAUAACCAGAAGUCAAUUGUAGCUACUCAUAUUUUGUGUGUCCAAGUAGGUACCGAUGAAAGUCACAAUAUCCUGUAAUUGUUGAAUGACUCGUGGUACAGCUUGCAUUGUUAAAAUGCAAUGAACCAUGAUUUUAGUUACACAUAUGGUUAAAGAAACAAACUUAAGGAUUUAGUUAGAAUCUCAUAUCACCCAUGAUCCACUGAUUUCAACUGGUAUUGUAUCUUACAAAUCGAACUGAAGAAGUUCAUUUCUAGCCCAACUAUAAUCUCAGGCCAACUAUUGUAAGAUGCAGGGAGCAGAGAGCUCACCAUGGCUGUCAUGUAGCCGACGUGGAAGAGGCAGCAUGUCCGUCCAAGCAGGAUCAGCAGCACCAGCGGACGGGUCUGGGGUUGUCGCCGCUCCUCCUUGUGGAUGCCGAGGUCGGAGACGCCGGAUCCGUACGGGCAUCCACCUCCCAUCCUUGCAAUUAAAACUUUAUAUGUGAGAAUUCAAUUUUAUCAAUCUCUGAACUCUAGUCUAGUCUGAUUCCUGAUUGGGGAUAUGAAUCAGCAGAAGAAAAUCAAGGGGCCCUGCCCUCCCACUUUCCUAGAACAAAAUGAGUACAUGAGCAACAACUAUAUAGAACUGAUGAUGCAUGUACUACCUAGGAAAGAGCCACCAGCAGUAUGAUCACUUGAAGACCGAUCUUGAUGCAUUUCGCAACCUACAUAGCACAUUCAUACUGUUAUGUUAUUGUUAUCCCCACUGGUGUCAACUACAGCCAGACAAAAUUCAGAAGUGCAGAGAUUUUUCAUUUGUGUAUGCACAAGUAGAAGGCUUACACUUGGGAAUCCAAGAUCGUAGAGCCCGAAUCCGAGGGCGAGGAGGUUCAGGGUGUGUUGGUGCUAAUGCCGGAGCUUCCGCUGGGAACUCCAGCGGCACCACCAUUGGUGGCUGGUCUCCGGCGCUUCCUUUCUUCCCGGGCAAGAAGACAGACGAGACGAGGAGGAGCAGCGGUAGUUCGAUGUGUGUUGGGUGGCCUGGCUGUAGCAUGGCGGCGGACCUGGACAUGGACCAAUUAAGAAUGAACACUGGUAAUGAGAUACAGCAAAUACAAAUGGUUCAGAAUAACACCAAGACAUUCAGUACUGCAAGAAAUUUCUGAAACUUCAGUUGCAGUAGUUGUCAAACAAAAUAUCAGUCCAGUAACCUCCAAAUUAAAUUAAAUUAUGAUGGUUUACUGCAAGUAAGACUAGCAUAUAGUAGUUUGUCUUGUACAUAAUGCUUCUAAUCAAAGUAAGCAUUGUCAUGCAUGCAAAUAUUUUAUGGAGUAUGUGACCAUUAGAAUGCAUACGUGUGUAGGGGAGCUCCCUCGGCAUCGUAGCUAUCAUGUUUUACCAAUGAAACAAAAGGUUACAGGGAGCUUUUAAGUAAAAUCUGUUUGUGCACACAGCAAAUCUGAGAAUGUGAGAUCGGUAUGCUCUCUACUAGUCUCCAGUGAGCUGAUCCUGCUAAUCUAUCUACGCAACGGUGGUGAGAGAUGGAGAUGCCAGUAGAAGGAACUAGCAACCAUACCACAUGCAAGGCCAAGACGGAUAGCACUGACAACAGGUAUGCAUCAAUGGGCAUGCAGCACAAGAUGGAUAUCUGCAAGUCUUUCUUCAGAAGAGGCAUUGUAACUAGACUACUGCUUACUACUUAACCCAAAACUGAAUCAUGAAACAAAUCUUACCAUCAAUGCACUGUAGGCAGGAUCUUUCUCAGGCAGGUACGGUGGUCAUCUCUCUUUCAGCUGGAUUUUCUUAGCCCACAGUCUGGUCGCUGAACAACCACUUCUUUAGCGUUUUCUUGUCACUGCAGGUGUGGAGGAAGUUCAUCAACAGAAGAGUACCUAAGAAGAAGAAUCAUGCAUCGGGAAUCAAUCAAAUCAACACCAAAUCGAAUCAGGAAGAAGAAUCGAGUGCUCACAUAGGUAGUUGCAGUGCUCCUGCACCUCCUCAAUGUCGUACUGCGUCAGCAUCGCCCAGGUUCAUCUUGUUGGCGUGGAACUGGUCUGCUCACGCCCAGGUGAUGCUUGUACGCGGUUUGCACAGGAGGCAGGCCUAGAUGCCCUCGUUCCACCGUGGUGAGGACGUCGCCUUCCACCAUGGUGCCCAGGCCGUCGGUGCAGAUCUGGCACACGCCCCCGGCCCCAUGCCUCGGAGACGGCGGGGACCUUUACGAAGAACUCGGAGACGGCGGGGACCUUGACGACGAACCCCGCGGCAGGAUCCCAGACCUGGUGGGAGAGGACGGCCUUGGCGCUGGUGCCGGGCGGGAGCGGCGGGUGGAGCUGCGCCGGAGUUGGUGCGGGCGCGGGGUAGCAGGUCGCGGGUGCGGCCCCGCGGAGCGAGACCCUCCUGGCCGCGGCGGCGCGGCCCUCGACGCCGCGAAAGCGGACGCCAAGAAGGGCAACCCGCCGCUGGAUCCGGGCGGGUGAGGCAGAGGCCUUGAGCGCGAACAUCGACGGCGGAGGAAGGGGACGGUGGAUGGGGGGGCUUGGAUAGGAUCUGGAGAGAAUNNNNNNNNNNNNNNNNNNNNNNNNNNNNNNNNNNNNNNNNNNNNNNNNNNNNNNNNNNNNNNNNNNNNNNNNNNNNNNNNNNNNNNNNNNNNNNNNNNNNNNNNNNNNNNNNNNNNNNNNNNNNNNNNNNNNNNNNNNNNNNNNNNNNNNNNNNNNNNNNNNNNNNNNNNNNNNNNNNNNNNNNNNNNNNNNNNNNNNNNNNNNNNNNNNNNNNNNNNNNNNNNNNNNNNNNNNNNNNNNNNNNNNNNNNNNNNNNNNNNNNNNNNNNNNNNNNNNNNNNNNNNNNNNGACCACGGGACAGAGCUAGGGUUUCGGGGACACAUCCAUGUUUGGUGCGGGCCGUUGGAUCCAGGGGAUCCGACGGUGAUUUACCCAUGAUCCGCGUGAGAGGCCCUUGGACCAAUCAGAAUGCAGUAUACAGGUAUGAUAUUUUGACCAUUUAAAUUGGUCAUAAUCGACUAAAAUUAUGUGCUAAAUCGUGUUAGCUAUUUUAUUAUGACCUGAAAAUUAAAAAAAACGUUUUAUUGCAUCAGCAAAUUUGACUAUUGUUUUCAGGAAUAAUCAUAAAUUGAAAUAAGAUAAUUAAUUUUUUAAAGAGUUAUGAGAAAUGAGUUCUUUUAAAUUAUUUUUUCAUUUUUUGAGUGUUUGAAAUGAGCUUUUUUGUGAAGGACCUACCAAAUAUUUAUUGCAAAAUUGUACCAACUCAAUUUUCUAAAAUACUAGGACAUAUUUAAUGCACAAUUGACCAAAUGGUUGGGUGUGAGAAGCUUUGAUCCACCUCUGGUGAAAAAGACAAAUUUCCAUCGAUUCAGCAGGAAGCGGGUCAAAUUUGAACUGUAGCUGCCUUCUAGUUGGCUCUUUUUUUUCCAAAAAUCAUUUCUAGAUACAUAAGUACCUAUUUAAUCAGAGAAACACUAAUAAAAUUCCAAGAUUCAACCACUAGCUAGAAACGGUCAUUCCCGCCGUUUUGACCGCAUUUUGAAAACAGGCAUAAAAAAUUCAAAAAAAAUCAAAAAAUUGGGAAACCUUCGCAUUGUGUCAUUAUAUGUGGCCAAGUUCCGAGUAAAAAUAACAAACUUGUAAUACGGCGAAUAUUUAAAAAAAGUGUUCUCAGAAACGAGCUAUCAAGUGUGAAGAUGAAUGGCUUUCAACCCAAAUGCUCAAUCUUAUGGCCACAUACAUGGCAUAGUUUGUUCAAAUGAUCUCAUAUUGUGCACAAGGGUGCAUAUUGGAAUGACAAACAAUGUUUCUUAAGGAAGUUUUCAUUUUCUUUGGACGAAAAAUUCAUUUUCCAUUUUUCGAGUGCCCGAAAAGAGAUUUUUUUGUGAACGGCCUACCAUAUAUUAGUUGCAAAAUGGUACCAAGUCAAUUUUGUAAAAUACUAGGACAUAUUUAAUGCACAAUUGACCAAAUGGUUGGGUGUCAGAAGUUUUGAUCCACCUCUUGUGAAAAAGACAAAUUUCCGACGAUUCAGCUGGAUGCGGGUCAAAUUUGAACUGCAGCUGCCUCAUAGUUUGCUAUUUAUUUUUUCCAAAAAUCAUUUCUAGGUACAUAAGUAUCUAUUUAAUCAGAGAAACACCAACAAAAUUCCAAGAUUCAACCACUAGCUAGGAACGGUCAUUCCCGCCGUUUUGACCGCACUUUGAAACGGGCAUAAAAAAUUCAAAAAAAUCAAAAAUUUGGGAAACCUUCGCAUUGUUUCAUCAUAUGUGGCCAAGUUCCUAGGAAAAAUAACAAACUUGUAAUAUGGAAAUUAUUUUAAAAAAGUGUUCUCAGAAACAAGCUAUCAUGUGUGGAGAUCAAUGGCUUUCAAGCCAAAUGAUCAAUCUUAUGGCCACAUUCAUGGCAUACUUUGUUCAAAUGAUCUCAUAUUGUGCACAAGGGUGCAUAUUGGAAUGGCAAACAAUGUUGCCUAAGGAAGUUUUCAUUUUCGUUGGACGAAAAAACCAUUUUCCAUUUUUCGAGUGCCCGAAAGGAGGUUUUUUUUUGUGAAGGAACUACCAAAUAAUUGUUGCAAAAUUGGACCAAAUCAUUUUUAUAAAAUACUAGGCCAUAUUUAAUGCACAAUUGACAAAAUGGUUGGGUGUAAAAAAAAUUGAUCCACCUCUCGUGAAAAAGACAAAUUUCCGCCGAUUCAGCUGGAAGCGGGUCAAAUUUGAACUGCAGCUGCCUCAUAGUUUGCUAUUUAUUUUUUCCAAAAAUCAUUUCUAGUUACAUAAGUAUCUAUUUAAUUAGAGAAACACCAAAAGUUUUCCAAGAUUCAACCACUAGCUAGGAACGGUCAAGCCCGCCGUUUUGACCGCAUUUUGAAACGGGCAUAAAAAAUUCAAAAAAAAUCAAAAAAUUGGAAAACCUUCUCAUUGUGUCAUUAUAUGUGACCAAGUUUCCAUUAAAAAUAAUAAACUUGUAAUACGGUAAUUAUUUUAAAAAAGUAUUCUCAGAAAUGAGCUAUCAAGUGUGAAGAUUCAUGGCUUUCAAGCCAAAUGGUCAAUCUUAUGGCCAGAUUCAUGGCAUAGUUUAUUCAAAUGAUCUCAUAUUGUGCACAAGGGUGCAUAUUGGAAUAGCAAACAAUGUUGCCUAAGGAAGUUUUCAUUUUCGUUGGACGAAAAAACCAUUUUCCAUUUUUCGACUGCCCGAAAGGAGGUUUUUUUGUGAAGGAACUACCAAAUAAUUGUUGCAAAAUUGGACCAAAUCAUUUUUAUAAAAUACUAGGCCAUAUUUAAUGCACAAUUAACAAAAUGGUCUGGUGUAAAAAAUUUUGAUCCACCUCUCGUGAAAAAGACAAAUUUCUGCCGAUUCAGCUGGAAGCGGGUCAAAUUUGAACUGCAGCUGCCUCAUAGUUUGCUAUUUAUUUUUUCCAAAAAUCAUUUCUAGUUACAUAAGGACCUAUUUAAUCAUAAAUACAUGGUUUGGUGGCGAUAUGUCGAGGUUUGGGCGGUGGCCGAGGGCCCCAACUCUAGAGCGUGUAAACUUGCAUGCCCGCCGCGUGGUCACCGCGUGACCGUGGCGUUGCCAUGUGUUCUGGGCGGCCUAGGCAUGUCUAGUGGGUUGGGCACUCCCCAGGUUGGUGCUAGGAAGAAAAUUACAACAUAAGAUUCUCACGAGGAGACCAAUCGAUGCUCAAACAUGAAUUAGCAGCCAAGUGUUUGAUUAGCGGUACGGGAAAUGUACAUGGCUAAUGGGCGUGAGUUUUGGCUGAGGAUGAUCAGUUACUAAGAAGACCGUUUUCACAAAUUUUUAGCUCAAAAGGAGGAGCCUAGGUGGUACUUGCUUUGCAAACCACCACACUGGACAUAAAAUACGAAUGUUGAAGCUCGGCUCAAAAUAAUGAAUGGAUUGAGCUGGCAUUUGGUGGAGGAUGGUUAUUUGGGCAUAGGAAAGCACUGUAGAAAAUGGAUACUAUUUGGACAUGCCAAAGUGGUAAUUCCUUCACAAACUGUUGUUCUGAACAGAAUAGGAAAAUGAAUAUUUUUGAAUUAGUUUUGAACUAGGCAAGGAAGAUUUUUACAUAUUUGAUGAAGAUAUGACCCAAGGAAUUUAUGAGAUUUUUCUGGGAAUUUUGGGAAUGACAGAAAUAUAGGUUGCUUCACAACCUAGGGCAAAAACUGCCACAUGGACAUGACACAUAGGCAAAACUGAUGAGGUGGCGCCUAGUCAUAGCAACCCACCACAAUUUACAAGGCUAUGACCAUCUAUAUUGGUCGUUAACAACUAGAAAUAAGGCAGCGGACUAGCGUUGUUUGCUUUAUGACCAUUUCGUGUAAGGAAAUUACGACCUUUCUGACCAAAAUGGUCGCAAUGGUUUAGGGUUUGGAGCCCCCCAAACAGCUUUUGACCAAUUGGUCUAAAAUGGUCAUAAAUUUAUGACCAAUUCUUCGAGGGUCACUGACAGAAGGUCAUAAGUUGACAUAUUUCUUGUAGUGUUUGAAAUGUCAAACAAAAUCAAACAAAAACUUGGCGCGUACAUCUCGAUAUUAUACAUGCUCACAAAGUUGUUUCGCGAAAAACCGAUAGCUCACGUGUCGCGUGUGAAAAAGACAAAAACCGGUGUUAAAAAAUGCUUUUCACAAGACAUCCUUUUGUCUUUUUUUACGCAAGCCACAAAAAAUGUCGGUUUUCUCCGAAACUUGACAUGCACACAUAUAAUGUCGAGAUGUAUGCGCCAAAUUUUUGUUUGGAAUUUUUUCACACGUUGAAAUACUUGUUCGUGUGCAGGAGCGCGCGCUCCCGGGAGCACCAACGGAUAUCUGCAGAAUAGAUAAGCAGAAGGCACUACACGCCAAGAAGCCACAAAUGAUUUCCUGCAUCGAUUUGGUCAUCUUAGCGUUCAAUCUAGUCUUACAAUACCUAAUCCCAAACCCAAUCUCCCACGAAUACAAGUUGUAGAUGUCGUGCGCCUCACCUAGCGAGUAGCGAGUCGAACCCAGUCCCAGUUCUGGCUUGAUUACACUCUCCCUAGACUCCUCUGCACAUUUCCAAAUCGACUGCUCGAAUACCCUGAUCCUACAUGGACAAGGCCUUCUGUCCCAUGGUGAAUUCCUGAGGCGUAACCUGCUUUUUUGGCAACAUAGUCGAUUGGAUAGAUGCAGGCUUACCUCUUUUGUCCAUCCUGGUCCUCCGGAUUGACCCUAUCAGUGGACGCGGACCGCGUCGAAGACGCCUUUUGUCACCGGCUUCCUUCGCCACCUUGCUGCCCGCACCCAGACCCAACAUUGGAGUUCCCCGGCUCAGUCGGGUGGUGAAAGUGCAACUAUCCCUAGGUGGUUUUGGUAAUUGAUAACAACAUAUAGCUCAUUGAGCUCAUGCUAUUCCAAGACUAUUAUUUCAGGAAAGCUCAAUGAAUGGCAUGGCAUGGAUGAUGAAAGUGGAUCCCUCAAAAUACUAAGGACAAAGGUUUGGCUCAAGCUCAAAAGCUCAAGACUCUUCAUUUUAUAUUUUAGUGAUCCAAGAUCACAUUGAGUCUAUAGGAAAAGCCAAUACUAUCAAGGAGGGAUGAGGUGUUGCUUAAUGAGCCUCUUGCUUCAUGUGCUUUGUGAUAUGCUCCAAAACCCUCAGCUACUUUCCCACAUCCACAAAUGACCUAAACCCAAAGCCAAAAUCGGUCACACCGAUUAUUCCAAUCCGACGCCACCGAUUCCAAAAAUCAUAGCCACUGCCACAAACCCUAAGCAAAUUGGUCUUACCGAUAGGGAUCUCGGUCUCACCGAGAUGGGAUUGUAAUCUCUCUGUUUCCCUUCGUAACAUUUCGGUCUAACCGAAGUGAGCGAUCGGUCCCACCGAGAUUGCUAUGUAAACUCUCUGUUUCCCUUUUGUAACAUUUUGGUCUCACCGAAAAGAGCAAAUCGGUUCCACCGAGUUUACCUGACCAACUCUCUGGUUAGCUUAUUACAAAAAUCGGUUUCAUCGAGUUUGUGUAAUCGUUCUUAUCAAGAUUACUUUAUGCCCUAACCCUAACCGAAUCGGUCUCACCGAUAUGCAUGUCAGUCCCACCGAAAAUCACUAACGGUCACUAGGUUUACUAAAUCGGUCCGACCGAUUGUGUUGAAUCGGUCCCACCGAGUUUGGUAAAUUGUGUGUAACGGUUAGAUUUUGUGUGGAGGCUAUAUAUACCCCUCCACCUCCUCUUCAUUCGUGGAGAGAGCCAUCAGACUAAACCUACACUUCCAACUUACCAUUUCUGAGAGAGAACCACCUACUCAUGUGUUGAGGCCAAGAUAUUCCUUUCCUACCAUAUGAAUCUCGAUCUCUAGCCUUCCCCAAGUUGCUUUCCACUCAAACCCUCUUUCCACUAGAUCCAAAUCCUAUGAGAGAGAGUUGAGUGUUGGGGAGACUAUCAUUUGAAGCACAAGAGCAAGGAGUUCAUCAUCAACGCACCAUUUGUUACUUCUUGGAGAGUGGUGUCUCCUAGAUUGGCUAGGUGUCACUUGGGAGCCUCCAACAAGAUUGUGGAGUUGAACCAAGGAGUUUGUAAGGGCAAGGAGAUCGCCUACUUCGUGAAGAUCUACCGCUAGUGAGGCAAGUCCUUCGUGCGCGACGACCAUGGUGGGAUAGACAAGGUUGCUUCUUUGUGGACCCUUCGUGGGUGGAUCCCUCCGUGGACUCGCGCAGCCGUUACCCUUUGUGGGUUGAAGUCUCCAUUAACGUGGAUGUACGAUAGCACCACCUAUCGGAACCACACCAAAAACAUUCGUGUCUCCAAUUGCGUUUGAAUCCUCCAGACCCUUCCCUUUACUUUCUUGCAAGUUGCAUGCUUUAAUUUCUGCUGCCUAUAUACUCUUUGCAUACUUGCUUGAUUUGUGUGAUGAUUGCUUGACUUGUCCUAAGAUAGCUAAAAUCUGCCAAACUCUAAAAUUGGGAAAAAGUUAAGUUUUAAUUGGUCAAAUAGUCUAAUCACCCCCCCUCUAGACAUACUUCAAGGUCCUACAAGUGGUAUUAGAUCUUUGGUCUCCAUUUGCUUUGAUUUCCAUAGCUUUUGGUGGUCAUAGCCUUGGUUUCACAACCUAGGAGAGUAUGGCGUCUAGCGAGGGAAAUUAUCACCGUAGAGGUCCUUACUUUGAUGGUACUAAUUUUGCUAGUUGGAAGCAUAAGAUGAAAAUGCAUAUUCUCGGACAUAACCCCGCCGUUUGGGCAAUUAUUUGUAUUAGCUUGCAAGGUGAAUUCUUUGAUGGGAGAGAACCGAACUGUGAAGCGAAUGCAGAAGAAUUGAAGAUGCUGCAAUACAACGCUCAAGCUUGUGAUAUCAUCUUCAACGGAUUGUGCCCCGAAGAAUUCAACAAAAUCAGCCGUCUUGAGAAUGCAAAGGAAAUUUGGGAUACUUUGAUUGAUAUGCACGAAGGUACCGAAUCCGUCAUGGAAUCCAAGUUGGAUGUGCUCCAAAGUCAGCUUGACAAGUUCAAAAUGAAGGAUGGCGAAGGUGUCGCUGAAAUGUACUCUAGGCUUGCACUUAUCACAAAUGAGAUUGCCGGCUUAGGGAGUGAAGAGAUGACCGAUAAAUUCAUCAUCAAAAAGAUCCUAAGAGCAUUGGAUGGAAAGUAUGAUACCAUGUGCACUUUGAUUCAAAUGAUGCCAAACUACAAAGAUCUCAAGCCAACUGAAGUCAUUGGAAGAAUUGUUGCUCAUGAGAUGUCACUCAAGGAUAAGGAGGAACUUCACAACAAGUCAAGUGGUGCUUACAAAGCCUCAAGUGAAGCCCCCACAUAAUCAAGUGAGAAACAAACCUUCAAUGAAGAAUUGAGCUUAAUGGUGAAGAACUUCAACAAAUUCUACAAGAGUAGAAACAAAGAAAGAAGCUCCAAGUCAAGGUCUUAUCAUGAGAAAAGAUCUUCUAGUCAAGAGCGCAAUUGCUACAAUUGUGGGAGGCCUGGACACUACUCCAAUGAGUGUACGUCACCCUACAAUAGAAGAGAAGAUUCUCCAAAAAGAAGAAGCAAAAGAGAAGAAUCACCACCAAGGGAGAGGAGGAGUAGAGAUGAUCGUUAUGAACGAAGACCCUCACGGAGAAGCAAGGAUUCGUAAAGGAAGGACAAGUCAUCAAGGAGCUACACAAAACGAAGACAUCAAGCUCAUGUUGGUGAAUGGGUAUCCGACUCCGACUCCGACAAUCACUCCGAGAGAAGCUAUCACUCUGACUCCAAACAUACUCAAGAUGAAGGUGUUGCCGGUCUAGCACUUGUGUCAACCAACUCCUACGACAUAUUUGAUUCACCAAAUGAAGGAAUUGGAAGAUGCUUCAUGGCCAAAGGUCCAAAGGUAACACAUCCUGAGUAUGUUGAUUUCAAUAGUGAUGAAGAUGACUUGCUUGUGGAUGAUGAUUUACUUGUUGACAACUCUAGUGAUGAAUACUAUGAUGAAACGUCAAUUAAUCGCUAAUCAAGAUAAAACAAAUGACAAUGAUAAGGAGAAGAUUGAGCUUCUAACUAAAGAACUAAACACUCUUAAGUUGGCUCAUGAAACUAUCUUCGAAGAUCAUCGAGAACUUUUAAGGGCUCAUGAGAAGUUACGCUUUGAAAAUCUCAAUCUUGAGAAAGAGCAUGAGUUCUUAAAAGCAAUCAAUGAUGAUCUCCGUAAGAAAAGUUCUUCUUACAUUGCCAAGCGUUUACUCUUAUCUACUUACAUGCCUCAAGUCAAGUCUAGUAACAAGUACAAGAAAGAUACUUCCUCUAGUAGUAACAAUAAUAAUGUUAAAUCCAAUAUUUUUGUUUCUAGUAGUUCUCUUGAUUCCACUAAUGAUUCUCUUAGCCAAGUUACACUUGAGCAAGAAAAUAGUUUAUUGAAGGGAAUUAUAGAGAAAGGUGUUUACAAGAGCCUUGCCGGGAGCAAGCAAUUCAAGGAAAUUGUACGCAAGCAAGGAAGACACCGGAAGAAUCAAGGUGUUGGUUUUGAACAAAAGUUCAAUGCCAAUGGAGUUGAGUGGGAAGAAGAUCAAUACCCCAAGACGAAGUUUGUUCCUCAACAAGAGAAGUAUGAUCCUACUUCCUUCAAGGGAACACAAGCUCAAGAUGAUCUUCCACCACAAGACCACAAGAACAAAGGCAAGGACAAGCUUCAAGAAGAGAUUGAUGCAUUUGAAGAAGCACCUAAAGCCUCGGUCAAGUGGAUUCCCAAGACUACGUCAAGUUCUACUUCAUCAAGCACAACUACAACUCCAAGGAUUCCCAUCAAGAUGAUGUGGAUCCCGAAGAAGAAGAACUAGAGAGUUCUUGAGGGUGACUCCGCCAACAUUCUUCACUCAUAUCUUUAUGGCAAGGACAGGUGCAAUCAACUUCCACAUCUUGCACUAGUUCAAGGAGUCACAAACCCUCAUGUUGGUAAGGCAAGGGACAAGGUAACCUAAUGUUUUCAUGGACAUCAUCUUGUGUGUGCAUCACUCUAUGUCUAUGGAUAUUCUUGUUUGUUCCUUGUGGGACUAACCCAUGUAGGUAAGUUGAAAGUGCAACUCACUCCAAAGGAUUGCUCCAAAUGAUCUACAUCAACAUUGAGCAUCCACAUCUUCAACACGUACAUGAAGUCAUGAUCGGCAAAACCCAAGGUUAGUUCAUCCCUCUAAGGGGGGAUAUCACAUCUAGGGGGAGCUUAACUCUAAGAAUUGAGUCAAAGCAACUCUAAUGGUGUGAACACAUCAAUGCAUUAUGUAAAAGUGGUAACCCCACUUGAGCUUAAACGACGAGUAUGACCUAUGAUCAAAUGUUCUCAUUUGACUCCUAAGUCAAUAUACUCAUAUAUAGAUGACCUAGUCAUCGCCAAUUGUUUGGUAGAUGCUAGAAUUGUUUGUGCAUGCUUUGCCACAUAUUUCAUUUGCCAUUUUAUUGUGUGAGCAUGUUGGUGCAUAUUUUACUCAUUCAAGGACAUCCACUUGUUGUUUUGAUUGUUUGGUUCUUUCUUCUUUUGGCCAAGUGGAUGGACAAGAAUGCAUAAGAACCUUCUCUAGCUAUCUAUGCUUUUCUUGUCUCAAACUCUAUUCAUGCUACAUCACAAAAAUUGAUCAAGUCAGAUUCGAACCACUCUAUGUGAGGAGCACUCGGAGUCCCCGAUUCGUCAUAGACUUAAACUUCCAAAACCUCUUUGUGACUCUCGGUCUGACCGAUUCCUCCAUUUCGGUCCUACCGAGAUCAUUUAGUUGAUCUGAGUUUUCAAUCUCGGUGCAACCGAUUUGAACUUUUCGGUCACACCGAGUUGCUAUAACUGAACACAGUUAUGCAUCUCGGUGCCACCGAGUUGUUCUACUCGGUCACACUGACAGGGUCGGGCUAUAUAUAGUCACGGGCAAAAUUUUGGAAAUUUCUCCGAAUCCCUUCGCUCGUGCAAUAGCUCGCUCUGCCAUCGAAGGUCUCCUUGUUGCCAGCCGCCUCCUGUCGCUGGUCUCCGCCGCCGUCAACGGAAUUCAACCCCACCGUCGCCGCCGUAGCGAGUUCAUCGCCGCACUAGGGUAUGGACUCGAUCUUUGUGAUAUCCACAUCUGAUUCCUAGCAUAGUGUACUCUUAUUGAAUCUUGCCACGAUUGAAACAAUCCUAUCCAGCCAAAGUAGUCCGUAGAGUAGAUUAGAUUCAAAUUUUUAGGGUUAGGUUUCCGCCAAAACCAUCUCGUACCCACCGAGUUGAAAAACUCAGUCUCACCGAUUUGGCUUAUGCCAUUGCACUAGUGACUCUCGGUCUGAUCGAGAAUUACUAAUCGUGCGACCGAUUUUAGGAUUCUGUGAAACCCUAGCAGUCUCGGUGCCGCCGAACUGUGACUCGGUCCAACCGAGUUCAUCAGUUUAGGUUCCAAAAACUACUUCGGUAUCACUGAGUUUGAAAAUCGGUUGAUCCGAGAUGCUUUCUGUGGAAAACUAAAACUGAAUUUUUGAAUCAUUCUUUUGCAAAAAUCUAUGCAUUUGGUGAUACUCAUCCACUCUAUCUCAUCUAUAACUCUUCACAGGGUCAACAGUCAGUUUUUGCAACAUGUCAGACCAGAGUGACAGCCAGAACAGGUCAGCAGAGCAGAUUCAGAUGAGUGAGGGCACUAGUCCCUCCAGCACUUUAGAUGAAGGGAGCAGAAGCACUCCUAGCAACCUGCCUAAGGCUGCUACCAGGCAAAGGAGAAAGAGAACCUCAGACUCAGAAGAUGAGGACUACAAAGCUGAAGAAGAUGAGGCUACUUCCAAGAAAGUGGUGCUCAAGAAGGAAUAUGGCUCAACAAAGGAUACAAAGCCAGGCAUGAAGAUCAAAAGGCCUGCAGGAAGACAACCAAUGUCCAAGGCCAGAGCAUCAACUCAACUUCCUGAAAAGCCUGAUCCCAAAGAACCAGCUGCUGAAGGAAAGAAGAGGAAGGAAAAGGUCAAGAAGACCAUGGCCAGAGUUGUUGGUCAACCUUCCAUGAUGGAAGAGGAAGAGCUUGCUGCACCAGCACCAAAGGCACCAAAGCUUAUGGGUGAUGCUAUUAGAUGAGGGGCUGCAACAACUAAGCCCAAGGAAGCACCCAAAGUUGCCCCCAAGGCCAAGUCUGCACCAAAGAGGAAUACCAGGAGUAUUCCAGCUACUGAGAAGAACAAGGCCCUAGUGCCCGAGGUUGCUGAGGAGGAAGAUGAAGGACAGGUCCUAAGGAAGCUCAAGCCUAAGAUACCAGACCACAAUGAGGCCCAUCCUGUGGCUAAGGACAACAUCAGAAAAGACUCACGAUUGAGGCUAUGGAGGAUGGUAGAUCCAUAUGCCACAAGGAGAAGAACUGCUGUUGAUUACAGGUUCCAUUCAAAGGAACAGCAGGACUUCUAUGAGACAAUCUUAUUGGACAAGAAGCCCAUUGUGUGUGAUAUGAGGUGGGUCGACUGGACCUACAUGAAGGAGAAUGAAGAGCACUAUCCUGGAGUGCAAGACAACUUUGUUGCUUAUGGAGUUGCAGAUUUUGUUGGGCAAAAGCUCACAAACUAGAAUGAUGAACUUAUCAUGCAAUUCUACUCCACAGCACAUUUUUACCUAGAUGGAAGAAUUGUUUGGAUGUCUGAAGGUACAAGGUACCAAUCCACUGUUGAAGAAUGGGAAAAACUAAUAAAUGCCCCAAAGGAAAAUGAUGAUGAUCUGGAUAUAUAUGCCAUGAAGAAAAUGGGAAACAAUACCAUGGCACACAUGUACAAGGAGAUCCCAGACAAAGCCCUAGAGACUUUCUCUUUUGGAUCAGUCCAUUUUCUGUUGUCGGGGCUGCCUACUAUCAAUUGGAUUCUGAGGCACACUCUGUUGCCCAAGUCUGGUGACCACAACAUGAUCAGAGGGCAUGCAAUCAAUAUGUUGCAUUUAUUUGUGCCAUAGAAAUUCAAAGUCAUGAGCCUUAUAGUUGAAACCAUUAAGAGGACUGCAGCAGAUCAGAAGAGGAGCUGUGCAUAUGCGCCUCAGAUUCAGGAAUUGAUCAACUCAAAGAUGGGAACUGGCAAAUAUCUAUUGGAUAGGGAACAUUUUCCACUCUAUCCAGACUUUGAAGACAAUGAGGUUGUCAUGAAUGAGGAUGAUCCAUCAUCAGUUCAAGCUCAAGAGAAAAAGGAGAAGGAAAGGAAGGAGAAGGCUGCCAAGAUGCCAACUCAAGAGGAGGCAUCUGAGUAUUUCUUGAAGAACAAGCAGGAGCAGCUUGGUUACUUGAUAGCAUCAUCUCUGAGGAUUGAGAAGGGAUUGGCCACCCUCACUCAGAAUCAGGAGAGCUUGGAGAGAAUCAUGGAACUCAAAUUUCAUGAUCUUGAUGUCAAGGUAACUGAGAUUCAAACAGUUGUGGAGAAACUGCAGGAUGACAUGCAGGAGAGGAAUGGCAAGACUACCACUAAUGUCUUUGCCAGAGUGCCUAGAGCUCAGAGGCCAGCUGUUGUGCCAGUGCCAGAUACUAGAGCAACAUCUUCAGCACCAGCUACUGCCCCUUUAUCUCCAGUGCAACCAGCUUCAGCAUCAACUCCAGCACCCUCUACAUUAACUGAAGCCUUCGUCCAAGGAGCCAUCUCUACACCACCAACUGAAGAUCAAGCCUGAGAGUCGAUCUAGCACUAUGCAUUUUCUAUGAACUUUUUGGUAACUUGUUGCCAAAGGGGGAGAAAAAUGUAUAGAUCAUAGGCUUCGAGAGAGAGAGUGUGUUGCUUUUAUUCUCUCUUGCUUUGUUGGUUUAAACUUGUUUGUUUUUGAUUGUUUGAGAUACUAUGCUUGUGAGACAUUGAUGAUCAUGUGUUUGAUCAUAAGCUACACUUAUGCAUGUUGGAUGAUAUUAUCCUAUCUAUCUUAUGUGAUCAUUCACUUUGCUUGGUGAUGAGUGCAUGUAUUCAUUACUUAUCAUUUUGAGCGCUCCACCAAGAUGUAUGUGACAUGGAAGAGUAACCCAUGAGCCUAAUUCCUUGUGCAUUUGCAGUCCAAAGCAAAUUUUAAAUUAUGCACAAAUUUAGGGGGAGCUAUUUCUUAUCACAUACUUCUCAAAGCGACGAAGUUAUUCAAUCUUAUUAUCAUUUGUCGAAGCUUUGAUCUACAUGUUGUCAUCAAUUACCAAAAAUGGGGAGAUUGAAAGUGCAACUAUCCCUAGGUGGUUUUGGUAAUUCAUAACAACAUAUAGCUCAUUGAGCUAAUACUAUUCCAAGACUAUUAUUUCAGGAAAGCUCAAUGAAUGCCAUGGCAUGGAUGAUGAAAGUGGAUCCCUCAAAAUACUAAGGACAAAGGAUUGGCUCAAGCUCAAAAGCUCAAGACUCUCCAUUUUAUAUUUUAGUGAUCCAAGAUCACAUUGAAUCUAUAGGAAAAGCCAAUACUAUCAAGGAGGGAUGAGGUGUUGCUUAAUGAGCCUCUUGCGUCAUGUGCUUUGUGAUAUGCUCCAAAACCCUCAGCUACUUUCCCACAUCCACAAAUGACCUAAACCCAAAGCCGAAAUCGGUCACACCGAUUCUUCCAAUCCAGCGCCACCGAUUCCAAAAAUCAUAGCCACUGCCACAAACCCUAAGCAAAUCGGUCUUACCGAUAGGGAUCUCGGUCUCACCGAGAUGGGAUUGUAAUCUCUCUGUUUCCCUUUGUAACGUUUCGGUCUAACCGAAGUGAGUGAUCGGUCCCACCGAGAUUGCAAUGUAAACUCUCUGUUUCCCUUUUGUAACAUUUCGGUCUCACCGAAAAGAGCAAAUCGGUCCCACCAAGUUUACCUGACCGACUGUCUGGUUAGCUUAUUACCAAAAUCGGUUUGACCGAGUUUGUGUAAUCGGUCUUACCGAGAUUACGUUAUGCCCUAACCCUAACUGAAUUGGUCUCACCGAGAUGCAUGUCAGUCCCACCGAAAAUCACUAAUGGUCACUAGGUUUACUAAAUCGGUCCGGCCGAGUCUGUUGAAUCGGUCCCACCGAGUUUGGUAAAUUGUGUGUAACAGUUAGAUUUUGUGUGGAGGCUAUAUAUACCCCUCCACCUUCUCUUCAUUCGUGGAGAGAGCCAUCAGACUAAACCUACACUUCCAACUUACCAUUUCUGAGAGAGAACCACCUACUCAUGUGUUGAGGCCAAGAUAUUCCAUUCCUACCAUAUGAAUCUUGAUCUCUAGCCUUCCCCAAGUUUCUUUCCACUCAAACCCUCUUUCCACUAGAUCCAAAUCCUAUGAGAGAGAGUUGAGUUUGGGGAGACUAUCAUUUGAAGCACAAGAGCAAGGAGUUCAUCAUCAACGCACCAUUUGUUACUUCUUGGAGACUGGUGUCUCCUAGAUUGGCUAGGUGUCACUUGGGAGCCUCUGACAAGAUUGUGGAGUUGAACCAAGGAGUUUGUAAGGGCAAGGAGAUCGCCUACUUCGUGAAGAUCUACCGCUAGUGAGGCAAGUCCUUCGUGGGCGACGGCCAUGGUGGUAGACACGGUUGCUUCUUCGUGGACCCUUCGUGGGUGGAGCCCUCCGUGGACUCGCGCAGCCGUUCCCUUCGUGGGUUGAAGUCUCCAUCAACGUGGAUGUACGAUAGCACCACCUAUCGGAACCACGCCAAAAACAUCUGUGUCUCCAAUUGCGUUUGAAUCCUCCAGACCCUUCCCUUUACUUUCUUGCAAGUUGCAUGCUUUAAUUUCCGCUGCCUAUAUACUCUUUGCAUGCUUGCUUGAUUUGUGUGAUGAUUGCUUGACUUGUCCUAAGAUAGCUAAAAUCUGCCAAACUCUAAAACUGGGAAAAGGUUAAGUUUUAAUUGGUCAAGUAGUCUAAUCACCCCCCUCUAGACAUACUUCAAGGUCCUACAGGUGGGAAUCACUGCAUAACUGGAUCGGGAUGCUCAAACCUGUUCGUAAACUUCUCCGGCAGAGGAAACCUGCAAGACACACCAUGGCUACUGGUGGUGGAAGUGGGAUGAGGGGACAAGGGUUGUACGAAGCACCAAAUCUCAAAAAUUGACAUGGAUGAGGGGGCGGGUUGAUCUGACCGGCUAACAGCAUCCAACAGGAACUCAAGCCCCGCAUCCUCCAUCGCCGACACCGUCGGAACCAGCAGAAGCCGCCGCAAUUAUGGAUGGAGUGGGCUGAUGGGAGGGCGGGUUUGGCGGACCUCCUAUGGGCGGUCUCAAUCCUCGAUUGAUCUACCAAGAAAAGUCCACAAAUUCGUCCGUGUGACGGCUCAGGUUUUUCACGUAACCCUGGGCCACGGCUCAAACAGAAAUUCUCUGUCCUGGCCCACGGAGCAUGAAAUCCUGCGCGAGUCGAGGCUCCCAUCCCUACUUAAUUGGCCCCACACACGGUCGCAUUGUUUCAUGCCGUAUACAAGACGUAUCUUCAUUAUUUGCCGGUGCAUAUUUUCUUGGGAAAAACAUCCAAUAUAUUCAACUUCAAUCAUGGCGGUAAACACUAGAUAUAAUUAAAAUUAUAUACAGAUCCGUAGACCACCUAGCGACGACUACAAGAACUAAAGCGAGCCGAAGGCGCGCCGCUGUCAUUGCCCCUCCCUUGCCGGAGCUAGGCAAAACUUGUUGUAGUAGACAGCCAGGAAGUCAUCGUGCUAAGGUCCUAUAGGACUAGCACAUCAGAACAGCAACCGCCGCCGAUGAAGAGUAGCGUAAAUCGGAAGGAUCCAACCUGAAAACACACGAACAUAGACGAACGACGAACAUAUCCAAGCAUAUCCACCAAGGACAAAUCUACCGGAGACACACAUCCACACGCCCAUCGACAAUGCUAAAUGCACCAUCAGAACUGGGGCUAGGCGAGGAGAGCCUUAUUCCAUCUUAGGGAGCAGCCACUGUAUCGUCUUCCUGAGUUGGACACAAACCCUAACAAAUCACGAAGACACAUCAAAAAACCGAGCCCUCCUCCACCGCGCUCCCAUGACCCUAAGGAAAACCGCAGAUGAGGUGGACUGGCGACAACACCGGUGGGAGGCACGGGAAUCCUAGUUGGGGAGGAGGAGGCGGCCUGAGGAGUCAUGUAAUGUCCUUUCUAGGUUCACCGGUUGGCCCCUUCUAUUCUGUCGAUGCAUACCUGACACGUCAGAACGAAUUGUUGCAAUCCCCAGGCAACAGCGAAUGCUAGAGAUUUCCGGAGCAGCUAAGCUCGAGCACUGAAUCGCUGCGUCCGGGGAGCUAGUAGCCAGACGAGAAACCGAGCGUGUGUAAAGCGCUAAACUACACUGUCCCAACAGAGCGUGCGUGUGAGUGUUGAUGUGCCAACCAACGCCAUAAGCAUGGUAGAGGAGCGCUCCUGCAACUUGUUGCCUCAAAUAGGUGGGAAAACACAUAAGGACACGCACUGGUCGGCCCAUUCAUUUCAUACUGUACCAACUCGAUGGCGAAGAUUUUUUCGGUGUUGUACACUUUCAAGCGCUUUUUUCAAUUAGGGGUUUUCUUUGUCAUAUUUUCAAAAACAUUAGAAAAACGUAUUUAUUGAAAAACUAAGUAUUGAGUUUUUAUAAUAAUUAUACAAAAUGUGAACAUUUUUAAAACAUGAAUGUUUUUCAUAAUGCUAACCAUUUUUUCAUGUUUUGAACAUUUUUUCAAAAACACCAAUAUUUUUUGAAAACACUAAAAAAUUGUGAAAACAUUCAAAUGAAAUUAUACAUUUUGAAAAAAAUAUUCAUAUAUUUAAUAAACAAGAACAUUUUUGAACAUUUUGUGAAAAACCCGAAAAAGAACAAAAGAAAACAAAAAUAAAACCAGCAAAAGAAGAAAACCUAAAAAACCGGAUUCCUUAAUGCAUCAUAAUAAUGCACGACUAUUUUUUAUGAAUAUGUCUUCGAAUCAAAAAUGUCUUUCAUACAUGUGUUUGCCUAUACCUCACUUUUAGUCAGGCAAAAGAACACAAGGCCUCAGGCCCCUGUAUUGUAACCUAGGGAUCCUUCAUUAUGCAGGAAGCCGACUUGUCCAGGGCCUCGUAGGUCGGCUUGUCCAGGGCCUCGUAGGCCUCGUAGGUCGGCUUAUCCAGGGCCAUCAAUCCGGCUCAUGGACCCAAUUAGAGAAAGGCCCGGGGGACUUGGAGUGGGUGACAGGGCGACUAGCGUCCAGGAGAACUCCUCCAACGACCAACUACGAUCGUGUAAUCCUACACCCCGACACCCAUAUAUGUGGCGGCUGGAUUAGUCAAUAGACAGAGAACCUUAGAGCUAUUUCUCAAUCCAUCGAUUAUUGUAAGCCCUAUACACGAGCAAUAUACAGAGCAGGGGUUAGGAUUUUACCUCAUACAUGAGGGUCUGAACCUGGAUAAACCCCUUCUUAUUUCCCAUUUGGUUUAAUCGCAUGGCCAGAGUACCUUAUCAAGUGAUCUGCCGGAAAUAACUCCACCACGUCAUAAAUGGGCUAGGGCCAGAUUUUUUUUCUCCUUUUCUCUUAUUUUGUUUCUACUUUUGGUUCAAUUUUAAAAAUACUGUAAAUAUAUAUAUUUGGAAAUAUUCUUCAUUAAUUAUUAAUAACAUUCACCAUGCCUGAAAUAUUGGUCAUGAAAUGUAAUUAUUUGUUUGCACAAUUUCAGAAAUUGUUCAUAUCCUUCAAAAGAAUAUUCCUAUCAUUUUUAAAAUGUUUGCAUGUUUAAAAAAUGAGUGGUUUUUUAACAAUGUUUAUUAAAAUAUAUAAAAAUUGACACUGUAAUUUGUAAAAAAGUUCAUACCAUUCAAAAAAUGUUUAACAAUUUAAAAAUGUUCAAACAUUUUAAUUUUAAGUAUUUUUUAGUAAACAAUAUUGAAAUAGAAAAAAAAAUUGACGAAAACUUAAAAGUUUAUAACAUAUAAAAAUGUUUGUAAAAUUUUCAAAUAUGUUCAUAAACACUUACGAAAUGUUUGGCACUUUUACGGAUAUGUUGAUGUCUUAAUUUUUUUGAAAACUAUCAAUGAAAUUUACAAAAAUGUUCCUAACAGCCAGAUCUGGACUCAACAAGCCCCCGCGUCCCCUCCUCUGGCGACUCGGGGGCCACCCUACCCGCGCUGCCAGCAGACCUCCCCCACCCCAUCCCCUGCUUUGCCGCCGCCGGAGGGGACGCGGGCUAAGCCGCACAUACUCCAAGGAUGGUGGCGGCGGGGCUCUCAUGGCUGGCGUUCUCGCGAAUCCGGGGCCUCUGCUCAAGAGGACGAUGGGCGUCGGUGGCCGCGUCACGCGACGGAUGCCGCUCGGUGGUCGGCGCUAAGCGCGGAUCUGGGUCGCUCUGCGCGAAGUGAGGGCGGCCGGAGCUCUGGUCGGCGUCGGGGGCACGGUGCCGGCCUCCGUGCUCCGGUGGCCCGCCCUAGAUCAAGAUGCGGCAUCCUGCCCAUGGCCUCGCCUCCUGAUGGUUCUGGGCCAGCCGCGGUUCGCGUCGGGGUGGAUCUGGAGGCUUGUUGGUGAUGCGUUUCGCUGGACUGGCUGAAUCCAAUUAGAUCGGCCCAUGGUCGUCUGGCGUGGGGCAGAGGAGGGUGGUGGUGAGUGGUGCUGGUGGAGGUGGUGGGGGGUGGUGGCAGUGCUGCUGCUGCCGAUCUUGACCUCACUGCCUUCUGUUGGCAUGCGAGCGCAUCGGUUCUGGUCUCCAACGGUUGCGCAGUGGCACACAUGGGGUGUGCCGGUGCUCCUGAUGUAUGCCUGCAGCCCGGACUAUGGUGGUUCCUAGCCUCGGGCAGUGCUCCUCUGCUCCUUGCCAGCAUGGUGCUUGGCAGGGCACGGUGGCACACACUACGUCCGGUGGCCUGCGCUCGGUUGGCUGUUGAUGGAUCUUGUGCCUAGUGCUCAUGUUUGGUCGUUGGUGGUCUCCACAGGGUGUUGUUGGCUCCGGCAGCUUCUCGUGCUUCUUUGUCUUUCGAAGGGUUCGAUGGUGGUGGUGGUCGGUUGUCGUCAUGUUGUAGGGAUGUGCUCAAACUCCGGGUGAGAACCUUACAUCGACUAUGUUGAUGUCGGCAGCAACAACGUCUAUGGCCGUCGUUUUCCUUGCAGGAGGUGCCGUUGUGGAGCUCCAGCACCUACAAUACUUUGUUUUGUGGUCUCCGGGUGAAAACCUAAGAUUGGGCUUGCCAGAUCGGAUGACGGUGUUGUGCCCUCAACAACACUACCUCCUUGGAGGCAUCAUCUUGGAGACCCAAACGACGGCUUCAGUUUGCGGCAUGUGGUUGAGGGUGGUCCGUUUGGUGGUGGUGGUGUGGCCUACUCAGGACCGAUGGUGGUGUGCUCUUCUUCAUGUGUUUCCCUCACUACAAAAAAAAGACACAUCCGUGACAUUUUGAGCCGAAUGAAUUUUUUUUCUGUCAUAUUUAUGACACUUCUAUGACGAUAAUUGUGACAAAACCCGGUAUCAUCAUAGAUGUGGUGGGCUCCUACUUCUAUGACAAAAAAUCAUGACAGAAAAUGGGCUUUUUGUCUUGGGCGGGCCGGAGACGCAGCUGCAUGACAUUCUUUGGGCCAUCCAUGACGGAAAAAACCAUGGUAGAAGUGAGGACGAGGAAAAAUUCGUCGAGUUCCCGGUUACGGUGGGAGGUCGGGGGCCGAGCGAUGCACGUUUAUCUCAUACACGUACGCGCGUGUGUGCGAGGCGUUGGCUCUAACUGAACCCGAGUGAGGCGUUGGGCUCUAACUGAAACCGAGUGAUUGCACUACAGGCUACACAUUACUGAACCCGAGCGAUCGAGCGAUGGCUUUAACUGAAGCCGAUUGAGCGAUUCCUUCGCUACUGCUGCUAACUGAAGCCAAUCGAUGCUGCCUCUGGAUGAACAGNNNNNNNNNNNNNNNNNNNNNNNNNNNNNNNNNNNNNNNNNNNNNNNNNNNNNNNNNNNNNNNNNNNNNNNNNNNNNNNNNNNNNNNNNNNNNNNNNNNNNNNNNNNNNNNNNNNNNNNNNNNNNNNNNNNNNNNNNNNNNNNNNNNNNNNNNNNNNNNNNNNNNNNNNNNNNNNNNNNNNNNNNNNNNNNNNNNNNNNNNNNNNNNNNNNNNNNNNNNNNNNNNNNNNNNNNNNNNNNNNNNNNNNNNNNNNNNNNNNNNNNNNNNNNNNNNNNNNNNNNNNNNNNNNNNNNNNNNNNNNNNNNNNNCCUCGUGGAGGCUGGAUGAACAGGACGACCCCGUGGAGGGCUGGAUGAACAGUAGAAGGUGGAGGGGUGGAUGAACAGGAGCUCGUGGAGAGGGGUGGUUGAACAAUAGCCUUUGGAGUAGCGCGCGGUGGAGGCUGGAUGAACAGGAGCUCGUGGAGGCUGGAGGAGGUCGAUGGUGGAUGAACAGUAGCCCCGUGAGGCUGGAGGAGGUCGACGGUGGAGAUGAACAGUAUCCCGUGGAGUCGUUUUGUGGUAUGCCACACCCCUCCCAAUGAACAAGACCCCCGUUUCGACCGUAGCGCUCCAACACAAGUUCGUUUCAUCCGUUUUGCGGUACGCCACACCCCUCCUGAUCAACAGGACCCCCGUUUCGACCGUAGGAGGUCCGUUUCCUCCGUUUUGCAGUACGCGAGACCCCUCCCUAUGAACAGGAUCCUGUUUCGAACGUGGCUGGUAGAACACAAGGCCGUUUCCUCCGUUCUGCGGUACACCAGGCCUCAUUUCCAUCGCCUGUUCCAUCCAAGCCGGUUGGCUCCCACACGUUCCGUUGCCUCCCGAUGAACACGACGAAUUCCGUUUCCUCCCCAUGAACACGACGCAUCCCGUUGCGUCCCCAUGAACACGACGACGACGCAGUUUCUCUGUUCCGACCCGCCAUGUGCACGAGCCCUGGCCGUACAUAUGCGUGAGUAGGCGUUCAAGACCCCACCCAUAUGUACAUAAGUGGCCAUAUUUACUUUCUUGCACCCUGGCCGUUGUACGUACGUGUACAUGCUACGUGUGCGCCUCUACUAAAACACGUGCGCGCCUCUACAUCGACCAAUAUGUACGUACACGUUCGCGACCAGAAUGACAAUGCUACGUACACUUCGACCAGGUGGGUCCCGACUGUCAGGCAAUUCCUUGCGUGCGAAGAUGUAGCUGGUGGGUCCCAGCAGUCAGGGGGUGAAUCGUUUUUUUGCCCGGACGCACUUCCUUGCGUGCGAAGAUGUAGCUAGUGGGUCCCAGAAGUCAGUGGGCGAAUCAUUUUUUUGCCUGUAAUAUGGAUGCACUUCCUUGCAUGCGAAGAUGUAGCUGGUAGGUCCCAGCAGUCCAGGGGGAAAUUUUUUUUUCACGAAAUACGGUGGCCCAUCCGGUGGGUCCCCGCUGUCAGGUGGAGGAAUAAUUAUUUUUCGCAUAAUAAAGAGGCACUUCCUUGCGGCUGCCGUGGACCCAGCUGUCAGCCUCACCACGUACAGUACUCUUCCAAUGGAAUUCGGUAGUUGACCACAUUGACCACGCCGCGCCGAGAGCACCACGGCGGUGGAUGACGGCGAGACCUAGGAAGGGAACGAAGCGGAGAUGCUACCUCUUGAGCACUGCGUUGGAUUUCCCCGAAGAGGAGAGGAUGAUGCAGCAAAGUAGCGUAAGUAUUUCCCUCAGUUUUUGAGAACCAAGGUAUCAAUCCAGUAGGAGACUACGCACAAGUCCCUCGUACCUACACAAAACGAUAGCUCCUCACAACCAAUGCGAUUAGGGGUUGUCAAUCCCUUCACGGUCACUUACGAGAGUGAGAUCUGAUAGAGAUGAUAAAUAAUAUUUUUGGUAUUUUUGGUAUAUAGAUGCAAAGUGAAAAGUAAAAGGAAAAGUAAGAACCAAGCAAGUAAUAAAGUAAUGGAGAUUGAUAUGAUGAGAAUAGACCCCAGGGCCAUAGGUUUCACUAGUGGCUUCUCUCAAGAGCAUAGAUAUUCUACGGUGGGUGAACAAAUUACUGUUGAGAAAUUGACAGAAUUGAGCAUAAUUAUGAGUAUAUCUAGGUAUGAUCAUGUAUAUAGGCAUCACGUCCAAGACAAGUAGAUCGAAACGAUUCUGCCUCUACUACUAUUACUCCACUCAUCGACCGCUAUCCAGCAUGCAUCUAGAGUAUUAAGUUAAAAACAGAGUAAUGCCUUAAGCAAGAUGACAUGAUGUAGAGGGUUAAAUUCAUGCAAUAUGAUAAAAACCCCAUCUUGUUAUCCUCGAUGGCAACAAUACAAUACGUGCCUUGCUGCCCCUUCUGUCACUGGGAAAGGACACCGCAAGAUUAAACCCAAAGCUAAGAACUUCUCCUAUUACAAGAACUACCAAUCUAGUUGGCCAAACCAAACGGAUAAUUCGAAGAGACUUGCAGAGCUAACUCAAUCAUACAUAAAAGAAUUCAGAGAAGAUUCAAAUAUUAUUCAUAGAUAAGAUGGAUCAUAAACCCACAAUUCAUCGGUCUCAACAAACACACCGCAAAAAGAAGAUUACAUCGAAUAGAUCUCCACGAGAGAGGGGGAGAACAUUGUAUUGAGAUCCAAUAAGAGAGAAGAAGCCAUCUAGCUACUAGCUAUGGACCCGAAGGUCUGAAGUAAACUACUCACACUUCAUCGGAGGGGCUAUGGUGUUGAUGUAGAAGCCCUCCGUGGUGCAUGCCCCCUCCGGCGGAGCUCCGGAACAGGCCCCAAGAUGGGAUCUUGUGGAUACAGAAGGUUGCAGCGGUGGAAUUAGGUUUUUGGCUCCUCCCCUGAUCGUUUGGGGUACGUAGGUAUAUAUAGGAGGAAGGAGUAUGUCGGUGGAGCAACAGGGGGGCCACGAGGCAGGGGGCGCGCCCUAGGGGGGGGGCACCCCCGACCCUCGUGACCGACUCUUUUGUUCCUUGGAGUAGGGUCCAAGUCUCCUGGAUCAUGUUCGGUGAGAAAAUCACGUUCCCGAAGGUUUCAUUCCGUUUGGACUCUGUUUGAUAUUCCGUUUCUUCGAAACACUGAAAUAGGCAAAAAACGGCAAUUCUGGGCUGGGCCUCCGGUUAAUAGGUUAGUCCAAAAAUAAUAUAAAAGUGGAAAAUAAAACCCAAUAUAGUCCAAAACAGUAGAUAAAGUAGCAUGGAGCAAUCAAAAAUUAUAGAUACGUUGGAGACGUAUCGGGCAUCCCCAAGCUUAAUUCCUGCUCGUCCUCGAGUAGGUAAAUGAUCAAAAGAGAAUUAUUGAUGUGGAAUGCUACCUAGCAUAAUUCUCAAUGUAAUUUUCUUUAUUGUGGCAUAAAUGUUCAGAUCCAAAUGAUUCAAAAUAAAAGUUCAUAUUGAUAAAAGAAAUAUUAACACUUCAAGCAUACUAAUCAAAGUAAUCAUGUCUUCUCAAAAUAACAUGGCAAAAGAAAGUUCAUCCCUACAAAAUCAUAUAGUUAGGCUAUGCUUCAUUUUCGUCACACAAAGAUGUUCCCAACUUCUAUACCCCCGAUGACAAGCCAAGCAAUUGUUUCAUACUCAAAUAAUCUCAAACUUCUUCAACCUUCACGCAAUACAUGAGCUUGAGCCAUGGAUAUAGCACUAUGGGUGAAAUAGAAUAUGAUGAUGGGGAUUGUGUGGAGAAGACAAACAAGGAGAAAGUCUCACAUUCACGAGGAUAAUCAACAGGCUAUGGAGAUGCCCAUCAAUUGAUGUCAACAUGAGGAGUAGGGAUUGCCAUGCAACGGAUGCACUAGAGCUAUGAAUGCUCAACAAAAGUAAAACUAGUGGGUGUGCAUCCAACUCGCUUGCUCAUGAAGACCUAGGGCAUUUGAGGAAGCCCAUGGUAGGAAUAUACAAGCCAAGUUCUAUAAUGAAAAAUUCCCACUAGUAUAAAAAGACAACUUAUGAGACUCACUACAUGAAGAACAAGGUGCUACUUUGAAGCACAAUAUAUGAGACUCACUACAUGAAGAACAAGGUGCUACUUUGAAGCACAAGUGUGGAAAAGAGAUAGUAGCAUUGCCCUUUUUAUUUACUUUCUUUUUUUAUUUUUUUUAUUUUUUGGGCCUUUCUUCCUUUUUUUUCUUUUUUUUCUUUUUUGGCAAUGCUCUAAUAAUGAUGAUCAUCACACUUCUAUUGAUUACAACAUAAGGAUUACAACUCGAAACUUAGAACAAGAUAUGACUCUAUAUGAAUGCCUCCGGCGGUGUACAGGGAUGGUGCAAUGAAUCAAGAGUUACAUGUAUGAAAAAUAAUGCAUGGUGGCUUUGCCACAAAUACGAUGUCAACUACAUGAUCAUGCAAUGGCAAUAUGACAAAAGUAAUGUAUGUCAUGAUGAUGAUGAUGGAAGUUGCAUGGAAAUAUAUCUCGAAAUGGCUAUGGAAAUGCCAUGAUAGGUAGGUAUGGUGGCUUUUUUGAGGAAGAUAUAAGGAGGUUUAUGUGUGAUAGAUCGUAUCGUAUCACAGGGUUUGGAUGCACCGACGAAGUUUGCACCAACUCUCAAGGUGAGAAAGGGCAAUGCACGGUACCGAUGAGGCUAGCAAAGGCGGAAAGGUAAAAGUGCGUAUAAUCCAUGGACUCAACAUUAGUCAAAAGAACUCAUAUACUUAUUGCAAAAAUUUAGAAGUCAUCAAAAAUCAAGUACUACGCGCAUGCUCCUAGGGGGAUAGAUUGGUAGGAAAAGACCAUCGCUCGUCCCCGACCGCCACUCAUAAGGAUGCACAAGCCAGGUACACUUCAUGUUUCAAAUUUUUUACACAACUUUAACCAUACGUGCAUGCUACGGGACUUGCAAACUUCAACACAAGCAUCUCAAAUUCACAAUUACUCAACUAGCACGACUUUUAUAUUAUCACCUCCAUAUCUCAAAACAAUUAUCAAGCAUCAAACUUAUCUUAGUAUUCAACGCACUCAAAAGAAAGUUUCACAUAUCUUGAAUACCAAGUAUAUUAAUAUUAAGCAAAUUACCAUGCUAUUAACGACUCUCAAGAUAAUCUAAGUGAAGCAUGAGAGAUCAAUAGUUUCUUUAAAACAAAUCCACCACCAUGCUCUAAAAGAUCUAAGUGAAGCACUAGAGCAAAAAUUAUCACGCUCAAAAGAUAUAAGUGAAGCACUAUGAGCAAAACUAUCAAGCUCAAAAGAUAUAAGUGAAGCACAUAGAGUAUUCUAGCAAAUUCCAAUUCAUGUAUGGCUCUCUCAAAAGGUGUGUACAGCAAGGAUGAUUGUAGUAAACUAACAAGUAAAGACAAAAAUAAUACAAGACGCUCCAAGCAAAACACAUAUCAUGUGGUGAAUAAAAAUAUAGCUCCAAGUAAAUUACCGAUGGAAGUAGACGAAAGAGGGGAUGCCUUCCGGGGCAUCCCCAAGCUUUGAAUUUUUGGUUUCCUUGGAUUAUCUUUGGGGUGCCAUGGGCAUCCCCAAGCUUAGGAUCUUGCCACUCCUUGUUCCAUAAUCCAUCAAAAGAAUUCACCCAAAACUUGAAAACUUCACAACACAAAACUCAAUAGAAAUCUCGUGAGCUCCGUUAGAGAAAGAAAACAAAAAACUACUUAAAGGUACUGUAAUGAACUCAUUCUUUAUUUAUAUUGGUGUUAAACCUAAUGUAUUCCAACUUCUCUAUGGAUUAUAAACUAUUUUACUAGCCAUAGAUUCAUCAAAAUAAGCAAACAACACACGCAAAACAGAAUCUGUCAAAAACAGAACAGUCUGUAGCAAUCUAUAACUAACGCAAACUUCUGGAACUCUAAAACUCCUACCAAAAUAGGAAGUCCUGUACAAUUUUUUUAUUGAACAGAAUAAAAAAGAAUCAACGCAAAAUCACGUUUCUGUGAUUUAAAAAAAUUAUAUUCGUGCGUGCAAAGUUUCUGUUUUUCAGCAGAAUCAAAUCAACUAUCAUCGUAGGUUAUCCUAUAGGUUCUACUUGGCACAAACACUAAUUAAAAUAUAAAACCACAUCCAAACAGAGGCUAGAUGGAUUAUUUAUUCCUAAACAGAAGCAAAAACAAAAAAACAAAAAUAAAAUUGGGUUGCCUCCCAACAAGCUCUAUUGUUUAACGCCCCUAGCUAGGCAUAAAAGCAAGGAUAGAUCUAGGUAUUGCCAUCUUUGGUAGGCAAUCCAUAAGUGGAUCUCAUGAUAAAUUCAUAUGGUCAUUUUAUUUUCUUUCUAGGGAAGUUUUCCAUGCCCUUCUUUAAGGGAAAUUGUAAUCUAAUAUUCCCUUCCUUCAUAUCAAUAAUUGCACCAAUCGUUCUAAGGAAAGGUCUACCAAGAAUAAUAGGACAUGAAGGAUUGCAAUCUAUAUCAAGAAUGAUAAAAUGUACGGGCACAUAAUUCCUAUUUGCAACAAUAAGAACAUCAUUAGUUCUUCCCAUAGCCUUUUUAAUAGUGGAAUCCGCAAGUGCAAGUUUAGAGAGCAAUCAUCAAAGUCGCGGAAAUCUAGCAAAUCACACAAAGUUUUGGGAAUAGUAGAGACACUAGCACCCAAAUCACACAAAGCAUGAAACUCAUAAUCUUUAAUUUUAAUUUUAGUAGUAGGUUCCCACUCAUCAUAGAGUUUUCUAGGGAUGGAAGCUUUCAACUCAAGUUUUUCUUCAUAAGAUUACAUCAAGGCAUCAACAAUGUGUUCGGUAAAGGCCUUAUUUUGACUAUAAGCAUGAGGAGAAUCUAGCACGGAUUGCAACAAGGAAAUACAAUCAAUUAAAGAGCAAUUUUCAUAAUUAAAUUCCUUGAGAUCCAAAAUAGUGGGUUUAGCAACAUCUAGGUUUUUAUUUCUUUCAAUCGCACUUUUAUCAAUUUCGUCAUCAAGAUCUAGAAACUCCGAAUUCUUAGAACGCUGUCUAGGUAAAGGAAGAUCAUAUUCAGUUUCAUGAAGAUUCAUAUUGCAAAACAAGGAUUUAAUGGGGGACACAUCAAUAACUUUUAGAUCUUCAUCUUGAUUUUCAUAGGAAUUGGAAGAACAGGCUUUAAUAAAGGCAUCUUUGGAAGCACGCAUCCUAGCGGUUCUUUCUUUGCAGUCAUCAAUGGAAAUUCUCAUGGCUUUGAGAGACUCAUUGAUAUCAUGCUUAAGAGGAAUAGACCUAAGCUUUAAAGAAUCAAUUUCAAGAGAAAUUCUAUCAACAUUCCUAGACAAAUCAUCAACUUUAAUCAAUUUCUCUUCAAGCAAAGCAUUAAAAUUCUUUUGUGAAUUCAUAAACUCUUUAACACUACUCUCAAAUUCAGAGGGCAUCUUAUUAAAAUUUCCAUAAGAGUUGUUGUAGGAAUUUCCAUAAUUAUUAGAAGGAUUACUAGGAUAAGGCCUAGGAUUAAAAUUCCCUCUAUACGUGUUGUUUCCAAAACUAUUCCUACCAACAAAAUUCACAUCCAUAGAUUCAUUACUAUUCUCAAUGAAAGUAGACAAGGGCAUAUCAUUGGGAUCAAGAGAAGUAGUUUUAGUAGCAAACAUCUUCAUAAGUUCAUCCAUCUUUUCACUCAAAACAUUGAUUUCUUCUAUAGCAUGCACUUUUUUACUAGAAGAUCUUUCGGUGUGCCAUUGAGAAUAAUUAGCCAUAAUAUUAUCAAGCAAUUUUGUAGCAUCUCCUAACGUAAUUUCCACAAAUGUGCCUCCCGCGGCUGAAUCUAAAAGAUUUCUAGAAGCAAAAUUCAAUGCAGCAUCAAAUUUUUGUAUGAUCAUCCAUAAAUUCAAACCAUGAGUAGGGCAAUUGUGAAGCAUAAAUUUCAUUCUUUCCCAUGAUUGGGCAACAUGCUCAUGAUCAAGUUGUUUAAAAUUCAUAAUAUCGUUCCUAAGAGUGAUGAUCUUAGCAGGAGGAAAAUACUUAGAGAUAAAAGCAUCUUUGCACUUGUUCCAAGAAUCAAUACUAUUUUUAGGCAAAGAAGAAAACCAAACUUUAGCAUGAUCUCUAAGUGAAAACGGAAAUAACUUCAAUUUGACAAUAUUGUUAUCCGUAUCUUUCUUCUUUUGCAUAUCACACAAAUCAGCAAAAUUGUUUAGAUGAGUAGCGGCACCUUCACUAGGAAGGCCGGUGAAUUGAUCUUUCAUAACAAGAUUUAGCAAAGCGGCAUUGAUUUCACAAGACUCAUCAUUAUUAAGAGGCAAUAGAAGUACUAAGCAAAUCAUUAUUAUUGGUAUUUGAGAAGUCACACAAUUUGGUAUUAUCUUGCGUCAUGGCAACAAGUAAUCCAACACACAAGCAAACAGAAAGGCAAAGGGAAAAGGCAAACGGGAAAAAGAGGAGGAGAUUGGGAAAGAGAGGGCGAAUAAAACGGCAAGGGUGAAGUGGGGGAGAGGAAAACGAGAGGCAAAUGGCAAAUAAUGUAAUGCGAGAGAUAGGGAUUGUGAUGGGUACUUGGUAUGGUUGACUUGCUCUUGGUGAGCCUCCCCGGCAACGGCGCCAGAAAUUCUUCUUGCUACCUCUUGAGCACUGCGUUUGAUUUCUCCGAAGAGUCGAGGAUGAUGCAGCAAAGUAGCGUAAGUUUUUCCCUCGGUUUUUGAGAACCAGGGUAUCAAUCCAGUAGGAGACCACGCACAAGUCCCUCGUACCGUGUCAAUCCCUUCACAGUCACUUACGAGAGUGAGAUCUGAUAGAGAUGAUAAAUAAUAUUUUGGUAUUUUUGGUAUAUAGAUGCAAAGUGAAAAGUAAAAGGCAAAGUAAGAACAAAGCAAGUAAUAAAGUAAUGGAGAUUGAUAUGAUGAGAAUAGACCUGAGGGCCAUAGGUUUCACUAGUGGCUUCUCUCAAGAGCAUAGAUAUUCUAUGGUGGGAGAACAAAUUACUGUUGAGCAAUUGACAGAAUUGAGCAUAAUUAUGAGUAUAUCUAGGUAUGAUCAUGUAUAUAGGCAUCACGUCCAAGACAAGUAGAUCGAAACGAUUCUGCAUCUACUACUAUUACUCCACUCAUCGACCGCAAUCCAGCAUGCAUCUAGAGUAUUAAGUUAAAAAUAGAGUAAUGCCUUAAGAAAGAUGACAUGAUGUAGAGGGAUAAAUUCAUGCAAUAUGAUAAAAACCCCAUCUUGUUAUCCUCGAUGGAAACAAUACAAUACGUGCCUUGCUGCCCCUUCUGUCACUAGGAAAGGACACCGCCAGAUUGAACCCAAAGCUAAGCACUUCUCCCAUUGCAAGAACUACCAAUCUAGUUGGCCAAACCAAACGGAUAAUUCGAAGAGACUUGCAAAGAUAACUCAAUCAUACAUAAAAGAAUUCAGAGAAUAUUCAAAUAUUAUUCAUAGAUAAGAUGGAUCAUAAACCCACAAUUCAUUGGUCUCAACAAACACACCACAAAAAGAAUAUUACAUCGAAUAGAUCUCCACGAGAGAGGGGGAGAACAUUGUAUUGAGAUCCAAAAAGAGAGAAGAAGCCAUCUAGCUACUAGCUAUGGACCCAAAGGUCUGAAGUAAACUACUCACACUUCAUCGGAGGGGCUAUGGUGUUAAUGUAGAAGCCCUCCAUGGUGGAUGCCCCCUCCGGCGGAGCUCCAGAACAGGCCCCAAGAUGGGAUCUCGUGGAUACAUUAGGUUGUGGCGGUGGAAUUAGGUUUUUGGCUCCUCCCCUGAUCAUUUGGGGGUACGUAGGUAUAUAUAGGAGGAAGGAGUACAUUGGUGGAGCAACAGGGGGGCCACGAGGCAGGGGGGCGUGCCCUAGGGGGGGAGGCGCCCCCCACCCUCGUGACCGACUCUUUUGUUCCUUGGAGCAGGGUCCAAGUCUCCUAGAUCACGUUCGGUGAGAAAAUCACGUUCCCGAAUGUUUCAUUCCGUUUGGACUCCGCUUGAUAUUUCAUUUCUUCGAAACACUGAAAUAGGCAAAAAAUAGCAAUUCUGGGCUGGGCCUCCGGUUAAUAGGUUAGUCCCAAAAAUAAUAUAAAAGUGGAAAAUAAAGCCCAAUAUAGUCCAAAACAGUAGAUAAAGUAGCAUGGAGCAAUCAAAAAUUAUAGAUACGUUGGAGACGUAUCAGGAGCCGGGGAAGACGCGGCAGUGGAUGCUCACGCAGAGAGGAGUACGAGGGUUCACUGGUUCGGCUGCACUGCCGUCACCGCAGAAUAAUAGGGGGUGUGGGUGAGUGCAGUGGAGGGAUGACCUGGCUAGCGGUGGGAGUAGUAUGGGGUCGACGAGGCCUCCGCAGCAGCACAGCCAACCACGGUAGGCAGGAGCAGGCGGCACGACCGGCGAUGCUUUAGGCGGCUGGAGCAAGAAGACCAGAGGUUGAAGAAGCACUACGGCCGUUGGAUGGACAUCGUACGGUCAAUCGAGCUAGAAUCGUGCAUAUUGACUAAGUUGACAAAGCCCUCCGUCCCUGUCAACUUAGUAUGCCCACUAUACUGGGUUCCAGCAAGCAGGGGGAGUAUUCAUUUUUUUAUGUGCGUAAUAAGGAGGCACUUCCUUGCGUGCGAAGAUAUAGCUGGUGGGUCCGAGCUGUUAGCGGCGGUAAUGUUUUUUUCAUGAAAUACAUAGGCCCUUUCGGUGGGUCCCAGAUGUCAGAUGGAGGAAUCAUUAUUUUGCGCGUAAUAAGGAGGCAUUUCCUUGCAUGCAGCAAUGGACCCAGCUGUCAGCCUCUCCACGUACAGUCCACUUCGGAUGCAUGUCGGUCGUUAACCAUGUUGACCACGCCACGCCGAGAGCACUAGGGCGGUGGACGGCGGUGAGGCCUAGGAAGUGAACGACACGGAGCCAGGGAAGACUCGGCAGUUGUUUCCCACGCGGACGGGAGUACGAUUGUACGAGGGUUUACUGGUUCGUCUGCCGUCGCCAGAGAAUAACAACGGGUGUGGGUGAGUAGAGGGAUGGCUAGGCCAGUGAUGGGAGUACGAUGGGGCGGUGAGGCCUACGCGGCAGCACAGCUAGCCGCGGGGAGGAGGGAGCAGGCAGUCCCGCCGGUGCUUGUUUGAGCGGCUGGAGUAGCAAGAGUAGAGAUUGAAGAAGCACGACGGCUGUUGGAUGGAUAUCCAACAGUCACUGCUUGUGCGUCAACCCUUUUUUAGGAAUGCCUCAAAUCUGUGGAAAACUGAUUACAGGCCAUCUGCCAUUAUAUCUAAUAAUUUACAACCCAUUUGCUAAUUCUUACAGUUGUUUUUGGAGCCCAUAUUCUUUUUGAUAGCAUUACAGCCCAUAUUGUGGCCACGGUUAAAAAAUUAUAUGAAAUUUUGCAUAUGUCGGUGUGGUCUGAACUGUUUUUAAUCCCGAAAUUUCGAGUCACAUUCAGACUGAUUUUAAAAAUAAAUGUAUAUCAAUAUAAAAUCCAAUAAAUUGUCCAUGCAUAAAAAUCAAUGCAAUUUAAAAUCUCGAAAUGAAAAAAAGAUAUUUGAAACUAAUUGCUGGUUUGAUGUGUUUUAAAAAUGUACAACCCAUUUCUCAUUACUGAUAGGCCAUUUUCUCGUCCAGCCGAAUGAAGCUCUCCUUGUCUUGAAAGAUUUGCAGCCCAACAGGCCUGAUAAAGCGACUUACUUGACAAAUCACAAAAAAACUAGGCUAGCCAUUUUUAGAAAGAAAAAAAAACUACUGGGCUGGUCUGUGGUAAACAGAAAAGAAAAGGCUGUCUAGGCAGGCCAGAGUGUCCCGCACAGCCCAGUUGACACCCUGCUUCCGUCUCAAAAACAAAUUAGAUAAAUGCCACUCCAAUUAUGGCAAUUCAUAAAAAUGCCACUGCAAUUUCCAAACUUUGAAAAAUGCCACUGCAAUUUUUGCAAACUUUGAAAAACGCCACUGCAGUUUGCAAACUUUGAAAAACGCCACUCCAGACUUCGAAAAAUGCCACUAGAAAUGACAUGAAAUGGCAUUUUUCAUAGUUUGGGAAUUGCAGUGGCAUUUCUCGGAAACACCAGAUUUGGAGUGGCAUUUAUAAAAUUAAACCAAAACAAAAAUAAUUGGGCGAUAUGCUGGGUCCCUGGUGUCAGCCGCUCGUUGUGCAAUUCUCUCGUUUAUUGACUACGUUGACAAUGGCAUCGGACCCACAUGUCAGAAAUCCACUGGGAGGAGCCAUUUUUUUAUUGGCUUGAAAUAAGGAGGCACUUGCUUGCGUACUGCCAUGACCUUGGCGGGUCCCUGCUGUCAUCCUUUCCAUGCACAAUCAUCUCCUGAUUGUGUACGCGUCAAGUUGGUAGGCCCACAAGUCAGCCUCUAAACCCGUGGAGGACAAAUACAACCCAUUUAAAAAAAUAACAUCCCAUUCCAUAUGUUCGAAUGGAAAGUUCAACAUUCAAAGCAAAGUAACAGGUCUGAUCCACAUAUAGAGUACUGAACUUCCACAUUGACAACCAUCAUAGCCAAGUUAACUAUCUACUCCCACUAAUACUCUAGUAGCAUACAAGUACUAACUUACUCUUAGCUAACUAGACGAUGCCGACCGCCAUCUGUGGUAGACGCUAAACGCCAGCACCGGCGUCCUGCGCCUCGCCUCGGACUUGCAAGAGGUGCGAUAGGGCGCGUUGCUCGCGCGCGUUGGCCCUUUCCAUGCCGGCGUGGUCCACCGAAGCUUCGGCUUCCAAGCGGGAAAUCCACUUGACGAGCUGGUAGUAAAAAUUGGCGUCGCAAACGCGUGCGUGCCCGACAGCCUCCGGGGCUAUUUGCCGGGCGCCGGCCUCCACGUAGUCGGCCCAGUUGCGGGCACUCUGCUCGUGACUCAGAGCGUCGGUGCGCUGCUGCUCUAUGUCCCGCUGGCAGCGCAAAUUGGCAAUACGCUGCUCCUCCGCCAUGCGGUCGCGCUCCAACAAGUCUUGCUCCUCCGCCAGGCGGUCGCGCUCCAACCAAUCCUCGAUCUCCGCAUUGCCAUCUAAAGACAGAUAGAAUGCCUCCUCCCUCCGUCUGCCUUCCGGUGAAAAACCGAACACUAGUUCCGGCGGUGACCGCCUCCGGCGUCGCCUACGGCGGACGGGCGGGGCAUGGCGGACGUGGCGAGCAACGUCGGGCCGGUGGGGGCUUAUGAGGACAUGGCGAGUUGGGUCACGGUGCCACCGGAGAAGGCCGGGAAAUAGUACUUAUAGGCGGAAGGUAGCGCAACGGUCAUCGGAAUUCAAUGCAUAAGCAGGCAUGGCUUAGCGCGCCAGCUUGCCAUGGAAAACUAGAGAAACUGAAAUUAUGACUGUGUCGUCCCGUCCCGUCUGGGUCACACACCGGCAUGGCGGUCAAACGAGUGCACUCGAAUCAUCUCCCUCCUUGUCAAUAAUGAUUCCACGGAUUUAAAAAGCCCGCAACAAUUAAAGCGCAUCUUCUUUUGCAUCAGUUAGCUUACUUAAUUAUGGCCGGCUGCAUGAAGGCACUUAGAAUUGCUCGCAGCUAGUACGUGGAGCAGCAUGCAACAUGUCGCAGCCGAGAGCACACAUGCAGCCACUUAAAUCGCUGGAAUUAAUUAGGCUUAAACUUCUGCAUGCCAUUAAUUAUUGCCAUGCCUUGGUCUUGCUGCUUUGCUCACGGGACUAAUAAACCUGGAGGAGGGAGUACCCUGGUUGGUGAGAGGUUUGAAUUAAGCCCUGCAAACCGGAAAGGAGGUACUAGUACGUGCAUGAUCCGCUAUUUAUUUGUGUAGGAUCGAGUAGGUCGUUUCUUGAAUUGAGCCCUGCAAAUCGGAAAGGAGGCAGUACGUGCGUGAUCUGCUAUUUAUCCAUGUAGGAUCGAGUAGGUAGGAUAGUGUAGCUUGUCAGUUUCUUCAGAGGUAGGCAUUUUUAUUCAAAAAGCUGCCACUUCGGAUCUUGCCUCGCAAAUAAAACUGCCAGGAGCGCAUUAGUAGGCUAGCUAGUGAUCGAUCAGUAACUUGUAAACACUGAGCGAACAGAAAUAAGUAACUGUUAAUGCAUCUCAAUGAUUCACAGAUCAUAUACAAAUAUGUAGCUCCAAAAGCAAAGAUCAGCCACUUCGGAUCUUGCGUCGCAACUAAAACUAACUAGUACGAUUCCCAUACAUAAGAUCAACAUGUUAAUGCAUCUCAAUGAUUCAUAGAUCAUAUACAAAUAUGUAGCUCCAAAAGCAAAGAUCUGGAAAAAACAUUUGUUCUUCCUACUAACAUGGAUGCCUCUCUUUGCCAACAUUCAGUACAGACUGAAAGACAAAUUUGUUUGUGAAGUCUACAAUUCCUCUUGCAAACGUAAGUGGUUUCACUAACAGCUGGAACCAGGAUAAUGAACCACACAUGAUGGAGGAACAUCCACUGCAAUAUGAUUUGGUCUUCUCUUGAUCACACUGCGAGAUUAUUUUCGGAAUACAAACUUUAACUUAGGCAAAAUGAUGCCCAUUGUAUAAUCAGACCAAAGCAAUGAAGCACCUAGUGUUGGCCAAUAAAUAGUACAGUACUACUUUUCUGCAGUCCAUGAAGUGACUAUCCAAUCUUUCUGUGUCUAUUUUCAAAUGGCACUGCAUGCGGUAACUAUACUAUUCUCUUGCGCAGUUCAACCAAAAUUACGGACACUUUGCUUGUUUGCCAAAUAGCAAUGGGCAGACAUCUCUGUCUACACAAAUAUCAAGCAGCUAGUAAACAUAUACCACACCUUGUAUUUUCGGUUUAAACAUGUCUCUUCCGCUUAGCAUCUAUCAUGUUCUGCACUGGACAAUCUGAUACAGUUAUGUUUUGCCCUGGACAAUUUCAUACUGAAUUGAUUUGCUGGUUCAGAGCAGAAAUAUAGUGCCUAUUCUUCAUCAGACCAAGGAUAUCCAUAUUCCCAGUGACGGAAGAGGUGAAAUUGAUACAACCGAAAUUGAGCAUCCAAUCAUUGAAUCCUGUCCUGCACCUCCAAUGUAGGUCCACCUUGCCAAUAAAUUCACUUGCAAACCACUAGUAUUACUAUCUAAUGACAGUACAAAAAGAGCAGCAAAAUAGUAGCAAACCAUGUACCUUCGUAAUGAACAGCUCAUAGUGCCACCAAUUGGAUAUAAAGGUUUGGAAGAAAACAUGCUCCUAAUGUUGAACCAGUUGGACUUUUUGUGCAGUUCCACUAAAAUCGAGCAUCCCUGUUUGCAUAGAUAUUGAAAGUGUGAUUACUAUAAAAAUGGCACUAGUUGAAGCAUAUUCUCACAAAUAUAAGCAUUCCUUCUUAAUGGAAAAGGUAGCAAGACUAUUUCUAACCACCUGUUUGAAGGAAUAAAUAAGGCAACAAUGGCUGAUGUCAGAAAGGCAUAUAUAGUUCUUUUUGAAAGAAUGAUCGACUCCUGACCUUUUCUCUUCUUUUAUGCAUAUUUUGUGCAGUUCAACUAAAAUAAAAUGCCAUCGCCACCUUGAAAAUUCAGUGACACUGUACAAAAGGAAAUGACUUAACAUUACAUCAUGAUGUCAGGUAUGUAGUCCACAGGCAUUAGAGACAAACAUACAGACCUUCUCCGAUAACAUAAUGAACAUUAAUUUUAACAAAGGUGUGACUAGCUUUACCGGGAUAAUUUGAGUGAACUCUACACCCUCUGUUCCUUAAUAUAAGACAUUUUCACGGUUCAAUUUAAAGUACCCAAACGUCUAGUAUUUAGAAAAACAGGUAGUAGUUUUCUUGAGCACAUAUCUGGGAAAGUUUGCCACACUUUAUUUAUGUCCAUACGCUAAUGCAACACCAUUCGAAUACUACAAAUAUACACUAAUCCAGUGGCUAGUGCAACAGUAGAGUAGUUAGUUUAUUACAGAGUACAGUACAAUGGUUUUACUGAACAGAUUUCAAUAAACUCUAGCACUGGAAGAUUUCUAUAAGAAUUAACAAUACAAAAUGUACAGGUAACAAGUUUCAACAUUGGUAUACUAGCUAUGCAUGAGCAUUAAACCAAAUACAAAAGUCUGAAGGUAACUAGCAUUAUUAACUAAUGACAGUAUAAAAAAUUGCAAACCAUGUACCUCCACGGUAAAUAUCAUUUCGAACUCGGGGGGACCUUAAAACUUGCUAUCCCAAUCUUGAUAAUCGAUCAAACAUAAAAACUUGAUCGAACGAAUCAAGAGAACAACCAGAGGAGGAGGUGCCUACUCUUGACCUUUCCUCUUGUCUUCAUAAUUUUUUGUGCAGUUUAACCAAAAUAAAAUGACAUCAGUGCCUUGGCAUUUUGGUGACACUGUACAAAAAAAUUAACUUAUCUCAUGAAAGUGAGGUAUGUAAUCUAUAAGCAUUAACAGUGCAAAAAUCUGAAGGUAGUAACAAGUUUCAUCGUUGGUAUACUAGUUGUGCAACAACAUUAGAAUGCCUUAGCUGAAAAAUCUUUAAUAGAUCCACAAUCAACAACUAACCCUGAAAUAAUCCAGUGACAUUAAAUGGCAUUGCUUAAAUUUAUCGGUGGCAUUAGACUGAGAGCGACAUUAGUUAAAUGUGGCAUCACUUUGGUAGUAGCAUUCCUUGACUUGACUGCUAGCAUCAUACUAACAACAAAAAAGUGGCAAUAAGAUCAUGGGAGGCCCAUUCGGACAGUGGGUGCACCAGUACGAUGUUCCUCCACGGACGCAGAGUGGUGAGGGAGGUAUGGUUGCCCAGAGCAACAAAUAUGUAGACAUCAUAUGUGAAUUACGUCCCUUUUUUGUUCUAUUUAGCCACCUCUUUCCUAUGUGAGGAAAACAAACCGAUCGACCUGGUCAUUCUCUAUUGCGUUGUCAUGCCUUUCUACCCUUCUUCAACCAAGAGACAUGAGACUCGUUCCUUAGCUACUGAUUUUCCCCUUUUCAACCUAGAUGCGGGUUCGAUGCCUACUCUCUUGGACAGUACAGUCUCCCUUCCUUUCCUUAUUCAACCCAGACAUGGAUUAGUCUGCAUGAAGUAGGGUUUCCUUUAAUAGUGCAAAUUAUGGUUUUUGUCGGUGUGGCCAGCAGAGCAGAGGAUAGCAAAUUGGGAAGAUGGUGGAGUGGAAAAAGAUCCACAUGCAACGACAUGGCAGAUGGGGCAAUAGAACAAGGGUAUGGUUCGAAAGGAGGUAGCAUACCUGAGGGUCAGCGGGAAGUGGCUUCGCUCGUGGUCGUCGUCCUCCGCACACACUAAGGCAGUGAGCUUGGGGACGGAGGCCAUCCCACGCGGGCGCUAGGUUUGAGAGGACGGCCUUGUCGUCAGUGCGUGACCUCGCUCGUCGACGAUGAGUGCGUCAACGCAGCACGUCCUUUUCUUCCCCGGCGGAUCUGUGACCACCGGUGAGGAGGGAGAGAGAGGUCGUCUUUUUUACAUCUAGAGAGAGGGUGAUAGUGUGAGAAGCAAGUAGGCAGCCCUUAUCAGGAAAGCGCUGAAGCUCCAGCCUAUAUAUCUUUUUAUACUACUAGUACUGGAGGUGGAGUAGUGGUAGAGUACUUUAUAUUUUCUCUGCAUACAGUACCAGUUAGUCAUGCUUCAAAACUGAAUGGCAUGCCAUUAAAAGAAUAAAGGUCGAUAACUAAUGCGGCACCUUGGGCCAACACGGCCAGAUUGCAUUUUGCACGAGAAAUUACACACCAUGUUUCGUUGACAUGUGGCCCCGUUCCAACAUAUUACUGAGACGACGGCGAGUCCUUUUCUACUAGUAUUUCCAAACGGACGUGUAGGACGGGGCGCCUCUUCGUGAACCGUGGAAAACUAGCAACCGUCCACCGACUCUUCGCCUUCCCCUCUCGAUUUGGAACUGCUGUCGCACACUCUUCCUCUCCCUCCUCUAUUUUCCUUCAAUCCUCCACCCUUCCUUCUGCCAUUGUUCGAUCGUCUUCUCCAUGGAGGGAACAGGCCGGAAAUGACCCCGUUAUUCUUGCCCUGAUCUGAAAGAUGACAUGGUGGAGGAACUCAUUGAUGGGUGCGACGUCAUCACCUCGGCUAGCAUGGCAUGUUCGUUCAAGACCAUUCUCUACUCAACUAAUAACAUCAUUACAAGGAACCCAAGAGUCAAGGAGCGGUUUGAUAUCCCCAAUCUUCUUCGCUAUGACCCUGAUGACUGGUGCGGGGACGACGGAGGCCUCGCCUUGUGCAAGUUGAUGCCGCUUGAUAAUGAUACGUAUGAUGUUAAGAUGCCAUUGCUUGAGGGUAAGGCUUGGGCAGGCGCAAAUGGAGAUUGGGUUGUUUACAUUGGGUCCAACUGCGAGUGGGAACUUGUGAACGUGUACACUCGUGACCGGGUUCCACUUCCAAAAAUCUCAGCAGACUGCCCAGAGGUUGAGCACAUCGGUAUUGUACGCACGUUCAAAUACGAUCAUGGUGACUGUCUUAUACGGAAGAUAGCAAAUUGUCAAGUUCCCAACCGCUCUUGGAAUUACAAGAACUAUGUUGUUGUUGCUAUCUUCGACAAGCUUGUUGCCGUCCUUCAUGGUUCGACUGGAUGGAUAUUGCUCAAAAAUCAGUUUCUGUACACAGAUGAGUACUGUGAUGCAAUUCAAUACGAGGGCCUUGUGUUUGCUUCCACCACUCAUGGCACUGUUUUUGCAUGGGAUCCUCGUAGUUUUGGUACGUUUGUCUUCCACCGUAAUUAUAAUUGUUUCUUCCACAUGCAUGUGGGUUAGCAAGUUUCCCUUUACUAAUUAACCUUCUUCUUGUGUUUCCAAGGUCCUGUGAACAUUCCACCACCUAUACUUGAAAAUUUUUAUACCAAGGGGGAGAUGACGAUGGUGAUGAUCACGAGCAUGAGGACGAGAAGAACAUAUAUACUCAGUGGCGCCUGGCAUCUAAUUCCGAUGGAUCACCUCCUCUUGUUUGUAUACAGUGCACUGAGUUUGUUACUACUGAGGGAGCAUGUGUUGUCUCCCAUGGUCGCACUCUCCGGACCUAUUCCAACACCCGUUAUAUGGUAUUCAGGAUGGAUACUAUUGUGCUAGCGCCAACACCUUAUCCCUGGUAUAGAAUUGAUAGUCUUGGAGAAAACUCGCUCUUCCUUGGACAAAACUAUCCGAUGAUGGUGAAAGGUGAUCCAACUGUUGUUGACACAAUGUUACUAGUACCAUUUAUGAGAAGCAACUGUGUCUAUACCUUGGACAUUUGGGUGGUUCCCUACCCUGGUAUUGAUAUAGUAGGCCGCUUCAGCCUGGAUGAUCAGUCCUGCGUUGGUUUUGAGAUCGACAAUAGAUGGCCCGUCCCAGAGAAUCACUUGUGGUUCAAAGCAAGCGUUUCCAACGCCGAGGAUUGGUUGAGUUGAAGUUCAUUUCAUUGCUUGUUAUUUGUUGUGUGAUGAAAACUUUAGUAUUUAUAAUGUAUCCUCAUUGUCGAUGUGGGUUGAUGACCUAUUGUAUGUAAUAAAAUGAUAUGCCUGUGAUAAACUUACUAAAUUUAUGAAUGGCUUUCGAGUUGCUUCUCUGAGUGAGUGGUGCGACGAGGAAAAAAAAUAUUUUCCGAAUACAUAAUUGUACGUGCAUUGCAACAGGUUAUCGGAUGAGGCCAAUCAACAAUAGUAGUACACUAUUUGUACUAGCUUCACAUGCUUCGCGCGUCGGGCGGGUGUUUUUACUCUAGCCAUAUGUUAAUGUGUUCACUGUACAUAACCACCAUAUCGAAUCCUCGAUACUCGUACUAUAUAAGUAGUUGGAGUAGUAGGGUGGCAUGGGCCAGAACAAGCAUUCACGUCCAGGAGUACGGCACACGCAACCACCACGACAUCCAUCUGACACCAUAUUUCUUGGAGUCCAUGUAGAGCAAUCUCUUCAACCUCGUCGUUUCUCUAACUUCAACCAUCGCACGACAAUCGAGGUGGGGGUUUGCCGAUAGUCGCUUUCCUCAGCUGCGGUCCCACUUGUAAGGCCAACUCCAACGCAUGACCCCAAACGGACCUCCGUUUUGCACGAACUCCAACGAUAAUUUAGACUAGAAAAGCAAGACCAAAGAAAACAAGAACCACAAGAAUACAUUUUACUAGAAGAUAUCCAACUUCCAUAACUGCUCCUAUAAGUUGCAUUAGUGCCUUCUCGAUGCAUUCAUUGUUGAUCUGCGGAGGCUCGAUCUUGCGUGCUUCUUUCUUCUUCGAGUGUAAGGAAGUAGACGUUGCUUCCUCGCAUCUAGUCUCAUGGCUAGCCUCUAUUCUAGUAGGAGUAUCAACAAGUGCACUAGUCUCAUCUCUAGCCUCUAUGCUAGCUAAAAGUGCUAGAACAUCUACUAAAUUGCACUCUAUCAAUAUAUCCGAUGUCCUCUUCCUCCCAAUACCAAAACUUGCAUCCAUUCUACUCCCUCCAUUCCACAAUGCAUGCCUUCUAUUUGUCAAAAUAUAGAUGUAUCUAGACAUGUUUUCGUAUAUAGGUACAUCCAUUUUUGGACAAAUGGAAGUCAAGUAUUUUGGAACGGAGGGAGUACACAAUAAAAUUUUAAACUAGUCUAAUCCGAGAGCACAACCGAAGAUUUGGUCGGGUUCUUCCUCCUUUUGCCGACACAUGGAACAUUGAUAACCCACAAGUGUAGGGGAUCGCAACAGCUUUCGAGGGUAAAGUAUUCAACCCAAAUUUAUCGACACAAGGGGAGCCAAAGAAUAUUCUUGAGUAUUAGCAGUUGAGUUGUCAAUUCAACCAUACCUAGAUAACUUAGUAUCUGCAGCAAAGUAUUUAGUAGCAAAGUAGUAUGAUAAUAAAGGUAACGGUAGCAAAAGUAAUAUUUUUGGGUUUUGUAGUGAUUGUAACAAUAGCAGCGGAAAAGUAAAUAAGCGAAACACAAGAUGUGAAAAGCUCGUAGGCAAUGGAUCAGUGAUGGAUAAUUAUGUACGAUGCGAUUCCUCAUGUAAUAGCUAUAACAUAGGGUGACACAGAACUAGCUCCAGUUCAUCAAUGUAAUGUAGGCAUGUAUUCCGUAAACAGUCAUACGUGCUUAUGGAAAAGAACUUGCAUGGCAUCUUUUGUCCUACCCUCCCGUGGCAGCGGGGUCUUAGUGGAAACUAAGGGAUAUUAAGGGCUCCUUUUAAUAGAGAACCGGAACAAAGCAUUAGAACAUAGUGAAUACAUGAACUCCUCAAACUACGGUCAUCACCGAGAAGUAUCCCGAUUAUUGUCACUUCAGGGUUGUCGGAUCAUAACACAUAAUAGGUGACUAUAGACUUGCAAGAUAGGAUCAAGAACACACAUAUAUUCAUGAAAACAUAAUAGGUUCAGAUAUGAAAUCAUGGCACUCGGGCCCUAGUGACAAGCAUUAAGCAUAGCAAAGUCAUAGCAACAUCAAUCUCAGAACAUAGUGGAUACUAGGGCUCAAACCCUAACAAAACUAACUUGAUUACAUGAUAAAUCUCAUCCAACCCAUCACCGUGCAGCAAGCCUACGAUGGAAUUACUCAUGCACAACAGUGAGCAUCAUGAAAUUGGUGAUGGAGGAUGGUUGAUGAUGACGACAGUGACGAAUCCCCCUCUCCGGAGCCCCGAACGGACUCCAGAUCAGCCCUCCCGAGAGAGAUUAGGGCUUGGCGGCGGCUCCGUAUCGUAAAACGCGAUGAAACUUUCUCCUUGAUUUUUUUCUCUGCGAGACGGAAUAUAUGGAGUUGGAGUUAAGGUCCGCGGAGCCUCAGGGGGCCCACGAGACAGGGGGGCGCGCCCAGGGGGAGGGUGCGCCCCCACCCUCGUGGACAGGGUGUGGGCCCCCUGGUCUUGAUUCUUUUGCCAGUAUUUUUUAUAUUUUCCAAAAAGUGCCUCCGUAGAUUUUCAGGACAUUUCGAGAACUUUUGUUUUCUACACAUAAAACAACAUCAUGACAGUUCUGCUGAAAACAGCGUCAGUCUGGGUUAGUUUCAUUCAAAUCAUGCAAGUUAGAGUCCAAAACAAGGGCAAAAGUGUUUGGAAAAGUAGAUACAUUGGAGACGUAUCAGACAUCCAGCAUCUAGGUCGUGUCAUGUAAGAAAAUAGAGUGGUAGUUGAAGCCACGUGAUGUGCAUCUUGGGUUAAACUGUAAAUAGAAUCUUACUACUCUUGAGUAACUCCAAAAGCGGCCACCAAAGAUCUUUAUUGGAUUUGUUUUCAUCACCAGCACGUCGAGGUGAAAGAUGUGCAUGUUCAGUGGGUCCUCUUGCGUUUUCAUUGACAUGUGGGACCGCAUGUGAGCAAACAGACGAUGGGCUCCGUGCAUCGACUGGCUAGCUGAGAAGAGAGAUAGAGGAGGGCUGAGCACGGACUCCAGGAAAUUUGUUCUACAUACCUUGAUAUAGGCUCGAUAUACUGGGGUGGCAUGGGCCAUAACUAGUAUUCACGUCUAGCAGUACGGCACACGCCACCCACACGAGUCCCAUCCGACACCAAUUUUCUUGGAGUCCGUGCUACAGCCAUCUCUUCUCCCUCCUAUUUUCUCAGCCAUCGCGCGGUGGGCGGGGUGGGGGUUUGCCGAUAGUUAGUUUGAUCAACUGCGGUCCCACUUGUAACUGAAAAUGCAACACCGCACACAUUCCCCCUUGAGCAGCGUGCCGGACCAACCGUGUGGGGGUGCUAUGCGAACACGGGAGGCUUUUCCUUUCGAACUCAUAACUGGUAAAAUUUGGUUCUGCUCCAUGGCGCGACCGAUAGAUAGAAAAUAACGAUUUUACCUAGAGUAAUGAGAAGUUUCACUACUAGGGAAAAUCCUAUACACAGAAUCUUACUAGUAGCGAGGGUUAAAAACCCUCGCUACUGCUACUUACUAGUAGCGCAGGUUUUUAAACCUCGCUACUACUAAGUUGAUAGCAGUAGCGCGGGCUUUUAACCCUCGCUACUACUAAGCGGUCUCUACCAUGCCCCCCGGGACAUGCCAUAGUAGUAGCGCGGAUUUUUACCCCUCGCUACUACUAAGUUGAUAGUAGUAGCGCGGGUUUUUAACCCUCGUUACUACUAAGCGGUCUCUACCGUGCCUCCCUCAGACAUGCCAUAGUAGUAGCGAGGGGUAAAGAUACCCACGCUACUACUGAGCGUAUCCCUCCCUUGCCGCACCACUGCCACCCCGAUCCUAAAGAAAAAAAAAUUCCACUCCCACCCCACCAAACUCUCUCUCUCCAACCUCACCCCCACCCCUCAGUUGACUCAUCUACCCCACGACCACCUCGCCGCUGCCAGCACCCACGCCGGCCGGUUCCGGCGAGCUCCGGCCACGCGAAAUACGCCCCCAAGCACCCCAAGCUCCGCCCCUCCCUCCCCUCCUCCCAGAUCCGUGCCUCAAGGCCUGCACCCUUGCCUUGAGGCGGCGAGGGGGAAGGCGGCGGCGGAGAGGCAAACAGCGAGGAGGAGGAGCAGGCGACUCUUCCACCCAACGACCGCGGAGUUGUCGGUGUGGGCCGUCAGCCUCACCGAGAAGAGGAGCAGCAUGGCGACAAGGACGACGAGGGAGAGGAGGUCGUGGCUGAGGACGAGGCGCACGUACAGGUCCCUCCCGCAGGCGCUGUCGGGGCGGAAGGCAUUUCUGAUGACGAAGAAAGUGGUGAGAUUAAUCCUGAGCUGCUCCCUAGUAGCGGUGAGAAUCCUGAGCUGUUUAAGAAAUUUAGAUCUCCAAUCAUCUCACUAUCCCUCAGUUUAAUAUAUUCUAUUUCAAUCGAGGAUAUGCAAUUUUUCUUGAGUUGUUGAACACAUUGGGCCAUUGGGGUAUGCCUCCGGUUAAUUAACCUGAGCAUAAGGGAAAAUGUUUAGCCUGCGAACUUAACAUACAUGCAGUAUGCAUGUGCCCUCCAUGGCAGAAACUUCCAUUUUUUGUUAAACAAGAGUCCAUGUUGGCUGAGUUGUGGAUCAUUUAGAACCGUCUAAUUCAGUCCCUGCCUGUUUAUGAGCUUCACAUAGCCUCCCAUGAUAGUUUCUGAAGGCAGGACAGACCAUGUGGAAAUGAGAACAGAUGUACGGGCAUGGUUCUGUACAGGUGUUAGGUAAGUGUUUUUGCUGAUUGUGUGAAAUUUUGCAGGUAGUGGUAGCAUGCUAUAUUAAUGCUUUGGACGAAAUUACAUUAUUCUUCACCCCUGCUCAGCUCAGAGAGGCACCUCACCCCGUCGUCCCCUGAUCUCUGAAUCUCAAUGCUUGGACGAAAUUACAUUAUGAAACUUAUAUGCAGUAAGGCCUAGAUUGGCAGUGUAAUUUUUAAAAUACCGCAGUAUUCGAAAAAUUCGGCAUCAUGUUUAACUAGUGUGGAGCAUGCUAUGCAGAGGCCUAGUUUGCCAUGUUGAUAAUUGUGAGUUACAAACCAAGCUUUCAGUUUGAGAAAAAAGAGGUCUGGACCUCUUUUUCUAGAAGUUAGAAAAAACAUGGUAUCAGGAAUACAAGUGAAUAUGAAACUAUUGUUGUUGGUUUAGCCAAACACCUCACAGUUUUCAAAACUACAGUUUUAUAGAAAUCAUAGUAUUCUGAUUGAGCUAAGCUAGCAAUGUAUCUUCACCUGUGGGAAUCAAGGUGCAUAUGCUCCUUGUCUUUUUUCACAUUCUAGACUAGAUUGAAUAAUAGGAAUUGCCAAUCAACUGUAAAAAAAUAAAUUUAAUUACCAAUCUGCACGCACCAGACAUAUAUCUUUCUCAUCAUUUUAAACAGUAAACAUUGAUACUCCACGUAUACAUUUUCUAAGAAUUACUUCAUAUAUGUAGGCUGGCAGCGGUGUUCACAAAUCACCACGAAGAAAGUAAAGAUCUCGAGAGGAUUCCGUUUGUUUGCUCUAUGUAUUGUCUUUCGAAGCGCGCGCAGGAAAAAACACACACAAAAAUGCUAGUUCAUUUUACUGCCUUUUGUAGCAAAAGAAAAUGAAAAACACAAAAAAUGUUUGUUCCUCUGCCUUUUGUAGUAAUGGAGAAUGAAAGUCACAAAUUUUUUUUGGAGGAGUGGUCUCUAUGAUUUGGGGGUAGUGGCCCGGGUUUGGUCGGGCUCGAAUUCUCUGCUAUGGGUUUGGAGGAGUAAUGUUUCUGGUUCUGCAGAUAUUCAAGCUCUGGCGGACGGAGUGUCUGUGCGUGAGCAGCGAGACGGCGGCUAAGGCUAGCGUGGAAGAGGUUAGUUUUAGCAUCUAGUUCUGCAUCAUGGCUGUAAACUGAACUUGGUUCAUUUAAAAACUGCACUGUCCAAUUUGGACAGCAAGCUUAGAUCUGAAAAAUGAGUUAGCUAGGCUUAGAAUUUUGAGUGGCCCCUUUACAUAAGUUUUAGAUAAAGUUCCAAGGUUUCUUUAGAGUAUUUAUUUGUGUCGUUUGGAUGUAUGGUUUGAGAGCAGCCAUCAAUUUAGUUUGUUGUCCCGAAAUAUAUGUUCCUGGGUACAGUAUUUUGAUAUGGGAGAUUAGGCCCUGUUAGAGGUGGUAUUAAAAUAAAGUUACAACAUGAAAAUUUUAGAGGCUGUUCUGUAGAUACUUAAACACAUAUCACUUGUCAGGUUUCGUUCGUUAUAUUAAAUACUAUGAAGUUAUCAAAGUGGGCUUUACUAUGUUGGACAUAAUUUUAUGUUUGGACUUGGGUGAAUGUAACCAGACUUAUACUCUCAGAUUUUGUCAUAGUUGAUGGUGUGAGGACUUAUAAUGUGAUAAAGUAUAUACGUUGUUGCAACACCAAAAUCGGUGAAAUAUAUUUCCUUUUUUUUCUGCCGAUGACAUCUCCAUAAAGUAAGGAUUUAGAUAACAUCAUAUGUUCAGAGUUCAGUUCUUUUCUUAUCUAAAACUAACAUACAAUGGGCAUGAUGGAUGUUGCAGGUUCAUUGAUGACAACCAAGGGUUCAUGCUCGGAAACGACUACAUCUUGCUCCAUGUUGUCGGCUCAGCUAGAGUCCUUAAUCAUGCGGAGAUGGGACACGUCGAUUGUUAGAGUACACUUGACAGGUGCAUUUUGUGAAAUUCUAGCCACAAGAUUGAUAGCAUGCUUGCCUGCUUGUUCUUUUCAGUUCAAAUAAAUGUUCCUUUUCUUGUUGAAUCCAAAGUAGCUAGCGGAGAUAAGUGGAAAGGUUGUUGAUUAUCCCAAAGUUCUUGGACCAUUUAGUUUGAAUAGCCAGUGAGGAAAUAAGCAUAUAUUUUUGGCAUGAGCCCCUUUAAAUUGCUAGAUGAGAAAGAAUCUUAACUUAAUUAAUGGGUCUUGUGAAUUGGAAUAUACCAUUUAGUUGAACUGAUGCAAUUUGCGUACUAACAAGUUUUCACUUUCUCGACAUGGGCGCAGGGGUGAUCGACGCUGACUAGCGCAGCCGGUGGGCGCUGUGCUCUUGAACCACUCAGAGGCGGACUUCUCCGUGAAGCUGGUGGCCAUUUCGCUUAGAUGAUUGUCGAGGUGAUUUCGACGCCGGAGAUCGCCGAGGUGGAGGACCUCGACGCCACCGUCCGGGGGAGGGAGGAUUCGGGUACACCGGCGUCUAAGCUCCGAGCCUUGGUAGAUACAUCUACGGAAGUUGUCUGUUUAGGUUGGUGAUGGAACACCAGGGAAGGUACCCACCUUUCGAUGAUCAUUAUGUGUGUGUCUGAAGUUAAAUGGAAUCUUGAGAAUGUUAUGUGACGUUGGUUUGAUUUGCACUGGACGUAUUGCCAUCCAUGAAUACUACAUCUAACUUUUAUUUUUUUAAUUCCUAAAUUAUUAGUAGUAGCGUGGGAAACAAAUGAGCGCUACUAGCUAGUAAUUAGGUUAGUAGUAGCGUGGGAAAUAAGAAAUGAGCGCUACUAGUAGUUAGGUUAGUAGUAGCGUGGGAUAUAAGUGAGCGCUACUGGUAGUUAGGUUAGUAGUAGGCUAGUAGCGCGGGUGCACCCGCGCUGCUACUAACUUUUAGCUGUAGCGCGAUACUAGUAGCGCGAGUACCCGCGCUACUAGUAGCAUUUUACCCGCGCUGCUAGUAGCCUUUUUCCUAGUAGUGUGGUUCUGGCGCCGUUCAUGCAUGGAGUACGUACAAAAAUUAUGAAGUUGAUGCGAACGGUAAGAUAAUUACUAGUAGUACCAUAUACUACUACAUGGAUUUGACAAAAAGAUAAAAAUACAUACGGAUCCAUCAACGACAUCCUCAUGCCCUAGUGCGCCAGGUCACCAACCGACGUGUGAGGAGUAGCGGCGUUGGCAGCGAGCUCAACGUGCUUCUGAACAAUGCCGUCCAUGGUUGCCCUGCGGUCCAAGAAGGCCAGCAUCCUAUCGUCCUCCUCUUGCAUGUAGUAGUCCUUGUGGACGAUUUGCGCGUAGAAAUGGGUGAUUAUGUCGAUGGUGUCUUGCUGCGCCAGGCGAUGCGCGGCGAGCGCGACCUUGAGGUGGACAUUCUCCGGCGUGACGGCGGGCAGUCGCAGGGCCACCAGUGCGUCGAAUAGGUUUUCACCAUAGUGGCCGUUGAGGGUGGCGGGCAUCGCAGAGCCUGGACGCAUUGGCUGGAGGCGUACGUCAAAGUCGUCCGCGAGCUUCUUGACGACGGUGAACUUGUCGAGGAAACCGACGAGGACCUCAUCGAACAAGGAUACGAAGCUGUCGUCCAAGCGGCCCCUCGCCCUAGCGGCCUCAAGCAAUACCUGGAGACAUUCCUCGGUGUCGGGCCAUAGGCCGGCGUCAUGGACCAUCUGGCACAGCCGGCUGAUGCUCGCGCUCAUCACCUCCAUGGGUCUAGCUUAGCUUCUAGUCAACUGACCUUGCGAUUCGAGUGAUCACUCUUGCCACUGGUUAGCGUGCGUAGGUGCGUAGGAUUUCGUACAACUCCUCGGCCCUCUACUGCACCUGCCUUUGGCUAUAUGAUAGGUGGGCCAGCCACCCCUUGGGCCCACGUGUCAUUCACCCGAAUGCAGUUGCAGUAAGUCAAUGAAGCUACGUCCCCCUCCGUGCCGGUGCAGUAUAGUCAUCUCACCGGACCUCUAGUUGGGGCCAACCGAGAGAAGUUUGAUGUUUACUGGUUUAUUGGUCCCCUUUGCAUUUUGCGCCAAGUUUUGACCUUUGAUUUAACUAAUAAAAUGUUAAUGCAUGUAAACAAAAAUGUUGUGUAAGUCACCUUACGAAAACCAAAUAAUCCCAAAACACUUAGGCACGGUGCACUAACUCCCUCCUUGUUUCUUAUUUCAUGACAUAUCAACAAAUGAGAGAUGUGGGCCAUGCAUGCUUUCAAUGACUUGAGACUACCAAACAUGACAUGCAUUGUUUAGUUCAUUGCAUGUAAUCUAUUAGUUAGCAAAAAGACAUUAAGUUCUCUCGCCGAUAGGAAUAAAACAAUACACCAUGUAUUUAUUUACAGAGGGAGUAGUACAUUUUUUGUGACAUGCAUUACUAGAUAUUGCUAGUCAAAUACUAAAAUCUAGAUGGACGUGGUAGUACUCCUAAAUCCAGACGGUGGUGCUACUAGUACUAGUAGUAGUACUACCAAUGUAGUAGGAGUACUAGCACUGUACUACCCGUUGGUCAAAUUAUUACGUGCCACUCCUCACAGUGAAGUGACAAGACCCUGCGCCGGAGAUGACACCUGAGUGUAGGCGUCGUGUUGGUCAUACCAUAGUCAGCCUCACCGUCUGUAGUCACUAUCAUCAUGGCUAUAGAGCUAGCCUGCUUACAACUAGCCCUGUUCGACAUAAUUUCCCAUGCAUUGCACGAAACACCAAUAUUGGGGGUGGACAGCGCCGGCAGCGGCCAUCGCGCCACAUUUUUCCACGGCCUUCUAGAUGUGGUGGGGAGGAGAUAAGGCUGAUUGUGAGAGACAAGGAGUUGUUUGUAAAUAGGGAACAAGUGCGGGCAUCUUUUUGCAAAAAUGGAGAUGUUUGGUUUGUAUGCGUCAGAUCUAGAUCCGACGGCUAUUGGUGAAAGAUGGGAUGCACAACAUCAUCACCAACUCAGGACCUGUUUGAUUCACAGGAUUUUGAAAAUGCAUGAAUAGGACAUGACAAUAUUACAAGUUUCAAACCGAUAUUACAAAUGUUAGGAGUAAUGCUGCACCUACGAAGAGGGAAUUACUAGGAAGUUUACGUAAGAACUUUCGUUACUUUAGGUGGAUGCAGCAUUAUCAUACAAACUAAAAUCCACCACCCUGACAAGUCACUAAUGGGCAAAUAAGUUUUUGAAUCUCUGGCCACUUGAUGUUUCAAAAACAAAUUCAGCUUCUGUGAAGACUUUGUCAUUUAGGCUUAGACGCCUGCGGUGAUCAGCACGCCAUUCAUUGUUCCGCCAGAGAACGCCAAACCUCAUUACCUUGAGCACACUUUCCUCCAGAACAAAGAACCUGGCCAAUUUAAUCUCAGAUGUGCUACCUCGGUAGUCGAUCAAAUAAAUAUCUGUAAGAUGGAGAUCAAGGCAUAUUUGGAUACAAAGGAAUGGGAAGAUCUUCAGGAAUGAAACACCUUCUUUCAGGGCAUGGAGGAGGAAUUUUUUGCAGGACAUCUCUCUUUUAGCUCAUAGAAUCAAAUGUAAAUAUAGGAAUAGUUUAACCUCUUGGAUAGCUUCCUUACCCUAAUCACUUAUUUUGUAAGUAUUACUCUCUCCUCCUCUCUCUUAACUUUGUAACUUUGUACUACUUUGCUUUGAGUUUUAAUAAAAGACUGUGAGGCUGUUGCCUUGCAGUACAUAGUCAAAAAAAAGAUGGAGAUCAAGGCAUUUGAUGAGAUUUUUAUAGUGCAACACAUUUUUCACUUUUGGGUCUUUUUUUAUCUGCAAAAGAAGAGAACAUAUUAGAGCAGCUGGCUGUAUAAGAUUGUCGUGUCAUCAAGAGGUACCAAUAUCAUUCGCUCAUACGAUAGGGUUGGCUGGCUAGUGAUAUUUUUUCACUCUCUCUCUUUAUAUUUCCUCUCAUUUAACUAGGAGCACGUGAAGAGCUUGGGCAUUUGUUGCCUUCCACUAUGUGGCUGAUGCCAUAUUUCGCAAAAGUAUGCCACAUAAUACGCAUCAAUGUCAAAUCAAAAGAUUUUGGCACCGCUCUCGCGAUGUGAGAGAGUUGGCACCGCUGUGCACACAGACCUACAUGUAUAAACAAAUCAAUCAAACAACCUACACCAGCCUCUCACUCUCCCAAACAAGUGUUUUUUAUUGCCUCAGUCCUCUCUCUCACCCACGCAGUGUUUUUUCAUUGCGUGAGUUAAUUUGGCACCGGAGCAAAGUAGGUGAUCCAGAUUGGGGCACUAGGUGAGCAAUGGAGGGGCAUCGAUGCCAAAUGCAUCACAAGUAAAUUUGGCACGUGUUUUGGCCUACAUAGCCCACUUUUGUACUCCCUCCGUCCCAAAAUUCAUGUCUGAAAUUUGUCUAAAUAUGGAUGUAUCUAGUUACAUUUUAGUGUUAGAUACAUCCGUAUCUAAACAAAUGUAAGACAAGAAUUUUGGGACGGAGGGAAUACUACCUCGUAUUUAGUAUAAAAUUUUGACCAUAGAUUUACCUAAGAAAAUGCCAAUGCAUGUCACUAAAAAUUACACCAUUUGAAAUUAUGUUCAAAUAUGAAUCCAACGAUAUAGUUCUUAGUGACAUGCAUUAACAUUUUGUUAGUUAAAUCUAUGCUCUUAGUACAGCAUAAAAAUGAUGCAGGUGAUCACGUGAGAAAAAAUACUAAAAAUAUUUCUUUCGAUGCAGUGCGUAGAUGCAGUUUUGAACACUUCACUUGUCAUCAUAAUUUGGGAAAAUUACGAAAAAAUUGAGCUACGUUGUGAUUACUGUUUACUAAUAGGAAAGAAGUUUCACCUCGAUGAGUAGCUUCUCCGUGCAAGGAAAGCAUGCAAGGAAUCCAACAACUUGAUCCAGAUUGGGGCCGAUAGAUUUUAGUGCCAAGAUCUUUACUAUGCGCAUGGACUGGGUCAAGCUUGUGGGAAUCAUUUUCUGGAAGACGGUCGUAAAUACAUCAAGAAGAAAUUUAAAAAGUGAAUUUCAAGAAGACGGAGAAGAAGAUGAGUGUUGUACCUAAACGAUUACGGAUCCAAUAAAGAGUUCGGAGAAUUUGGCAAAUGAGUACACCAACACUGUCAAUUUCGGCGCGUCAAUGACCCUGAUUUUUGUUGGACCUUCUAGAUCCGAUACAAGCAAUCUCUCAAGGAAAGGCGCAUUCUCAAUAACCAUAACGUGGAACAGCUAGAGUGAUCUCUUCCCAAAUGAUGUCUUGUUGCGGGGCCAGCAAGACACAUAAAUCCAUCGGAGAUUCGUCGAGGCGAUGUGGAGGCUAAUGAACCCGUGGAUCUGCUCAAGACGAAGGUACUCGAGCGCAGUACAGCUACGGAGCAGGUGCUCCAUAACCUUCUUCGAGAUGACAACAUUGAAGAGGUCGAGCUGCUUGAGUUGAGGGAGAAGAAGGGCGGGCGCGACAUUAAUCUGGGGAAGAUAGCAGGAGCUGAAGCUGGUGCGACGCAACAUUGUCGUGAGGCGGAGCGCAGACGGCCGCAGAGAGCGACAUCGUCCAGCUUCAAAGCUGAGCUCCUUGAGCUGAUCUAGGGUGGGGGAUAAGAACCACUCGUCAAACUUGAGUUGGACCUUGUAGUUGGUACUGAACAUGCGGAUGUCAAGGCAUCUGGCUGGCCCAGGGUGCGAUGAAAGGAUCUUGGAGACUGCGGCCAUGCGUUUGCAAUCCCCGUCGCAGAGGCAGCUGUCAACGGCGAGGUUGAGGGGGACGCGGUGCCAAAGGGCGCGCGACCGACGGGAGAGCAGGGUGGUUCGCACAGCAAAUUUGGUGGGGAGGAGGCCGAUGAUGACGAGGAACAUGUUUUCAGGGAGGCUGCUGAUGAAGUCCAGGCUCACCUGAUGCGGUUUUGGCUCGAGUCACCUCUGCUUGUUGGCUGCCUCGCCGUCCAUCUCAAUUGGUGGCGACGCCGGUGUACACCGGUGCUGGUGUGUGUUGUGUGCUAGGUGUGCGUGAGUGCGUCCUUCUGUUCAUGACGCUGUGCAGUGGCGAAUUGUGCGCGAGUGCGUCCUUCACGCGCAAGAAGUGUGUCCUCAAUGUGCCCUCAAUUUACUAGCAUGCGGGGUGCUACCUCGAGUGGUUUCAACUUUGUUUACUUCACCGCAUGUCAGAUGGGCCUCUAGUUUACUUAUUUUCACCCACUGCCACAUGGGCCAGCACACGAAGAUACAGAACACGAGCUGACAAGGCAGCAUGUGGACUGGUUGACCGGUCAACUAAACAAUAUACGGAGCUAUAUGCUAACACAAUGAGCAUAUAAUCCGUCGGUAUAGAGAGUUUGAGUGUGAGGGGAGGCCCGUGAGAGAUAGCAGAGAGAGAGAGAGAAAGAGCUACUCCCACCGUUCGAUAAUGUAGUUCCAACAUUUUUUUUAAAGCCAAACUUUUCAAACUUUGACCAAGUUUAUAAAGAAAUUACUUAUAUCUACAAUACCAAAGAUAAAUGAUAGUAUGAAGUAAAUACAUGUUGUGAUGAAUCUAAUGAUCGUUCCAGAUGUAAAUGAUUUUCUCCACAUAUACCUGGUCAAACUUUUCUGAGGUUUGACUUUUCAAAACAUCCAUAUGCUUAUGGACAUGACACAGUCCCUAACUAGAGAGAGAGAGAGAGAGAGCAAGAGAGAGAGACAGAGAGAGAGAGAGAGAGAGAGAGAGAAAUAGAAAGAGUGAGUGAAAAAAGUGUGUGUGCGUGUGUGAAAGAGACAUGGACAACACAUGACAAAAGUAGAGAAAAAGCAUGCGUGUCUUAUGCAAACAUAUCACACAUGCAUCUUUGACAACGGAGGCAAGGUGAGGACAUAGUGUGUGGUUGUUUGGAACCGAGAGAGCAAGACCCCUAGCACGUGGCCAAGAGGGGUCUGACAAACAAGGGAGAGAGGUCGAGAGAGACGUACAGAGAAAAUGCAGACAUGGGGAGGAGAGAGUAUAUGUUUGUCAUACAGAGAUCCCAUGGAGAUCGCGAUGGGACUACAUGGGUGGGAGAUCGAGUGACAAGGUGUGUGCGCGAUAGAAGAUGCCCCGAGAGAUAUCGAGAUAGACGUGUGGAUGGAAGGAGACAAUACGUGUGUUCCUGAUGGCUAGUAAGAGAUAAUCAUACUUAGGAGGAGGGGGGAGUGCUUGCGCCUAUGAUGGAGUGAGGGAUUAUGGUACUUAUGGGGGUGCGUGUCACAUGGAGAGAGAACAAGGGCGGAGAGUGUUGGAUGAGUCUAUAUGUAUAGCACGAGCGAGACAUGUGUAUGUGUGAACCUGGGAGAUAUAAGGUCAGUUUGGCUUGUGUCCUGAGCAUCUUUUGCCUGGCCUGGGGUUGUGGCUUGAUUUCAUGCGCGCUUGUUUGGUUGCUACCCUGUGAAAAAGAAAGCCCGCCUGGCCUGGAUUCCCUUGCACUUUAAUUAGCCUGGCUAGACUCCAGACACUACAAGUAGCUUGGCCCAGGCGACCGAUUUCGAAUGCCUAGCCAUGCCUGGUCGUGCAGCCACGAGGAUAAAAGCAACCUAGAUGGAUAUUAGCAUUAAAUAAUUGCUGCAUGGAUUGAUUGAUGCGACGUUGAUGCUUUGCCUGGCCCAGGCACGAACCAAACGCUUCUGCACCACACAAGCCUGGCCAGGCAGAAAUAUUUUACAUCUCACGUCCACGCCAGGCAGUACUGGCCAUCAAGGCAUGAGGGUGAGGUCAGGAACCAAACUGACCAAUAAAGUUUGAAAGAGAUUGAGGAGCCCCGAUAAGGCUGAGUGGUGCGUUAGAUAGCUGAGAGGGGGAAAGAGAUAUUCCAUCCGCUCGAUAAUGUAGUGCAUGUAAAUUUUUUAGAAGUCAAACUUUGGAAACUUUGAUCAGGUUUACGCAAAUGUUAUUUAUAUCUACAAUACCAAAGAUACAUCAUACACAACUACAUAUCAUGGUGAAUCUAAUGGUAUAUGUUUGCCGUUCUAGAUGUAAUUUUUUUCUCCACGUACAUGGUCAAACUUUGUGAUGUUUGACUUUUCAAUAAAUCUAUAUGCUAUGGACCAAGGAGAGUGCCUAAGUCGAAACAGAUCAAGUGUGUGUGAAGGAGAAUGAGUAAGUGUGCAAAAAGAGUAUGUGUGUGAAAGAGAAAGUACAACAAAUGAUAAACUAGAGAGUGUGUGUGUUUUUUCGUUUCUUAUGCGAACAUAUCACGCAUGCAUCUCCGAGAUAGAAAAGCGAGGCGAGGAGAUACACAAAGAUAGCUAGUGUGUGAUUGUUUGCAACAGAGAGAGACACCCCUGUAGCACAUGUCCAAUAGAGGUCUGGCCAACAAGGAACAAAUGUCGUGAGGGACACAUGGAGGACAUGGACACAUGGGGAGGGAGAGAGGGUGUGUUUGUGAUAGAGAGAUCCCAUCGAGAUCGUGAGGGGACUAUAUGGGUGGGAGAUCGAGGGAGGUGCGUGCGUGAUAGAAAGAUGCCCCGAGAGAAAUCGAGAUAGACCAUGCACAUGUUUGUGAUGGAGACUAAGAUUAGCUAGUCAUAUACAUAUAGGGGGACUACGCGUGCCUACAAUUGAGUGAGAGACCAUCAUACUUGGCUAGCUAGGCAUGAGAUUGUGUGUGUGUGUGCGUGUGAGAUGGAGAGAGAAUGAGGUAGAGAGAUAUAGUUUUAGAUGGGCCUAUCGAGUGCGAGUGAGAUAUGCAUGUGUAUGUGUGACCCAGGUGGAUCGAGAGUUUGAGAGGGGGGAGAGCUCCGAGACGACAGAGUGGUGCGUGAGAGAGUUACGGGCAACGAGCAAAGGAAUUUGUGUGCGUACCAUGAGUGCGCCCAAGAUAUCUAGCUUGGAUUAGCUAGAGUAUCAUACAUAGUGUGCGAGAGAGACCUAUAUAUGGUGUAUAUAUAUGCAUGCGAACUAGAAUGAUCCCCCCACACACACACAAAGAGAGAGAGAGAGAGNNNNNNNNNNNNNNNNNNNNNNNNNNNNNNNNNNNNNNNNNNNNNNNNNNNNNNNNNNNNNNNNNNNNNNNNNNNNNNNNNNNNNNNNNNNNNNNNNNNNNNNNNNNNNNNNNNNNNNNNNNNNNNNNNNNNNNNNNNNNNNNNNNNNNNNNNNNNNNNNNNNNNNNNNNNNNNNNNNNNNNNNNNNNNNNNNNNNNNNNNNNNNNNNNNNNNNNNNNNNNNNNNNNNNNNNNNNNNNNNNNNNNNNNNNNNNNNNNNNNNNNNNNNNNNNNNNNNNNNNNNNNNNNNNNNNNNNNNNNNNNNNNNNGUGUCGGAUGCGUGCGACAGGAUUGAAGAUUGUCGGAGAGAGAGAGAGAGCGAGAGAGAGAGAGAGAGAGAGAAAGAGAGAGAGAGAGAGAGAGAGAGAGAGAGAGAGAGAGAACAUGAGUCUGGGAGAGGGGGAGGUCGCGUUUUAUGCAUCAAAGACUGAUAUAAACCAUGUCUCGAUAUAAACUUGCAUUCAAAUAUUUAAAUUGGAAAACAUGUUGUUUGCAAUCCACACAUGAACGGAUAUAUGCGUAUAUCAAACAAGUUCAUCAAUUUGACUUUCAACAUGUUCAUGGAGUACUAUAAUACUAUACAACACGCUACUUGAUUGAGGUGUUCAAUUUUGGAUUUAGUUCACUAUUUUGACCUAGUGAACGAGCUAUUUCAUUGAAUCGAGAUAUUUCAUUUUGGGUUUAAUUCGUGUUUUUGAGUGCGUCAACUAUUUGUCAUAUAGUAAAUCGCUAGCAAUGAGCAUGUAAAAACACAUUACUCCCAAGCAUCAUCUCUCCAUCUAAAAAAGAAGUGGCAAGCUAAUAUUUCAAAAUUUGAUUCGAAUCGACUUGGUAAGGUAGACGUGGAUGCUCGAUCUCCUAAAAUUUGAAUGAACCGUUAAACAUCAUCUACUCGGUGGAAUUCGCCCGAGCAAAUAAAUGGGAGAUGCGAAAUUACCGUCCUAUGUGGGACACACAUCUAUUGGCCCGUUGUACAUCGCGGGUAGGUUCAUAACUUCAUCCAAGCGCGCCUUCUCUUCGGCCAAAAUGACAUGUGCCGAAUAAUUCAUAAACCAUGGUCGGCAAAACACGCUCUCCUCGCCUAAAAUAGCUCGCGCCCACUAUUUCAAAACAUGCUCUCCUCGCACGAAAUUGUUCGCGCCCACUAUAGUUCAAAACACGCCCUCCUCGCCCGAAAUCGCUCCCGUCCACUAUUUGGGGAGAAGCAAAGUUACUCUACUAUCCCCGACCCUCAGUACACAGACCCAAGCCGAGAAGCCUAAAGGCAGGGGUAGAACUGUAACUCCCCCUCACAUUUCAGACAAAUGCGUCUGUAAGACAUGGUUCCACUCCCCUCACAAUUCCCCUCCCCCCCUCGCCCCCCAUUCAUACCUCGUGGGCGCAAAAUCACCUUCUCCCCAGGAAGCUCCCUUCUCCCGAGCCGCGAAACCUCAGCCCCUCCUCCAUGGCGCCCGCACCGCACCAAUUUCACAGCUGCCCUCCUCCCUAAUGCCGGAGAUGUUGUCCAUUUGCCGUCGUGCACUAGGCCGUGUGCCUCUUACUCCGUGCUGCUAGAGCUGCCUCGACGACGGCCGCGUGAACCGUACCGGAGCCGAUUCACCCCCGCCAUUGUUCAUGACGCUGGAGCGGCUCCAACUUCGGAUCCGUCCAGAGUCCAAGUGCUGCUUCCCCAUAGCCGUCGACCGUCGCGACAUUGUUGUUUCCCUGUCGCAGGUCGCCACCGCAACUGCGCCGGCAUCACUGACUCGGCAGCUGGACCUCCCUACUUCACCAUGCCACCAGAUAGGUCGCACCCUCAUCUCAAAUCACUUUAUUUAGGCGUCAGUUGUCUGAAUUUUUAUUCUGGGCCAAUCGAUUCCUAAUGGGAAGCAGCAUCCCUCGAGGCGGCGGAGCUCCCGGUUAGCUGGUGUCUAACGUAAGGGUGCGGGGCCGCAAGUUCGCCGCGGAAGCAGCACUUAGAUGGCUAAGUUUUAGAGUUGUGUGGGUUGAAGGUACUAGCGCCAUCGGAUCUGGAUGACGGGGCGUCUUUGUGGAUUGGCCCGGGGGCGGCGCAACCACGGCAGUGCGGUGGGGUGGGGAGCGGGGUUUUGGCCAGGGCCACGGACAUCGGAGGUAGGCUGCUCUGCCGUUGGUCGCUAGCUCUUCGGGGAAGAUUCCGAAUAGUGUCAGCCGGGAGGCACAAGACGACCAUCAAGCCAUCCAGCGUAGAUCGGACAAUACCAAAAUAAAAUAAAAUCAUGUGACCCCAAUUUAGUCUUCAGUCAACAGAUGUGUGACCACUCUCGUACCUUGCUGUUGAUCUCUUAGUGUAUUUCUUCAGAUCAAAGAGAUAUGUCAUUCUUAACAUUAUGCAUUAUCUGCAUCUUCAGACACACCGUCUUCCGACUCACCACAGCUGCUCCAACAAGGGAAGCAUACACCAGAAGGGAGCUAUAGUCCCCACUCAACAGUUCCCUGCAUUGAAUGCGCUUGCCCGACAUGGACAGCCACAACAACUGCAGGGCCAUCGACAAGUCAACACAUGAUGCUCACUCCUAUGGAUGGCAGCCAGAUAGGUUGUACCCUCAUCUUACUUGUGUGCAACAUUUAUGGCUUUGUUAUUCAUCUAAGCAUGGAAAAUAGAUCAUCACAUCUCACUUUAUAUUCAUGCUGAUCUCUUACGGGUCUUGUUCAGGAGUUAACGUUGUUCCAUAGUUCAGCUAAGAUACUUGUUCUUUAGGUAACGUUGUUCCAUAGUUAUCAUCUAUCAGCCAAUUCUAUCCCACAGGCUGGUGAUUAUAGUAUUAUAGCACUUCUAGUAUUACCUAUGUUGUUCUUUAAUACUUUUGUGUGCCAUCUAGUUAAUCUCGAGUACAAAUGAUACAUAUUCCAUAGCUUUCAUCUAUGUUCUCCCUUUAGUUUAUGAGACUUGUUGCUGCUAGUUAACCCUAGUCCUACUAUUUAUGUCGUCUCCUACAGGCACUCAUUACAUAAAUCUAACUACUAGUUGUCUUCCAUGCAUGUCACAUAUAAUUGCACACACUGAUAUAUCCACAAUAACCUCACGGAGCAAUGUAAAGGCCAAUAAACUUGAUGUCAAUGAUACCCAAUAUGAUGGAACUUGUAAAGGCAGUUCUUCAGAAGACUUGCAGAAAGAUAAUGAAUCCUCUUCACCCCACAAGGUCCUUACUCUAACAUGGCCUGUGAUAUGGGUACGGCAUGCAUAUAAUGUCCUGGAGUGUAUCUACUCUGUUGCAAUGCCAUGUCCUUAGCAUGCUGAUCAUGCAUGUAAAUAUGUCAUGCCUUCCUGUUUUUCAGUACCUAUUCCAUUCAUGGUAACAUGUUUUCAAAUUCAAGUACUGUCAUUCUACUCUAUCGCAAUGCCAUCGGCUUAAUUUGGACAUCAUGCUUCUGAAUAUCUUAUACAUUGUUAUUCAUCAGUAUGUACUUCAUCUGUCUACCAUACCAUGUUUUUUACAUUGAAGUGUUGUUCUAGUGCUCUGUUGCAAUGCCACCUUAGUUUCCCAAUCAUACACGUGUAUGUUGCCUUAGUUAUUUUUGUACGUAUUCCGCUAGCAUACAGUUUUACAUUCAACUAGUGUUUUUUCUUGCUAUGUUGUCCUGUCGUAUCCCUAGCUCUUACACCAUACUCCCACCGUCCGGAUUACAUGUUGACGAAAUGGAUAAAAAAGGAUGUAUCUAGAACUGAAAUACGCCUAGACCCAUCCAUUUUGUUCCGGAUGGAGGGAAUACAUGUCAAUAUGUCAUGCCUUUCUAUUCUUCAGUACCUAUUCCAUCUCUCUGCUGUAGCAUGUUUUAUAAUUAAAGCACCAUUCUUGUAGGCAUGCAAGGGGAAGACGACUAUGUUAGAAUCAGAAGGGUUACAAACAAGGCCUUUGCAAAAGAUCCAAACGCCAGGAGAUAAUAAACCAACUCCAGUUUUUAUAGAUACUGCUCCAGCACAGAGAAACCCAACUCCUACUGAUAAUAAGCAUAUUCCAGUGGCCAAAGAACUAGUCCGCUCCAGUCCAAAAAAAUAUGUCAACUACAUUCUAAGAAGCGUGUGCAUAUCCUUGCAUCAUGAAAUUUUAUAGGAUGCUGAUCAUAUUAUCUACAUGUUUCUUACCCAUCUCUCUUUUAGAAAAUAAGCUUAACAGAUAGUAGAAUUUCUGCACUGGUAUCGUAUGUGAGGAAAGAUUCUUGCAGGAAUUCUCUUUGCUCCAAUGCAGAUGUAAGUACCUGUUGUAUAUCACUAUAUUUUUACAUCAGCAUGUAUUUUGUUAAUCGGCGUGAAUCCAACCUGUAUCUGAUCUAAAUUUAGUUGUAGCAAAAUGUAUGAUUAAAGGCCACAAUGUUGAUUUUUGUAAGGAAAACUGCCUGGUAGUUUUGCAUCCUGAGCUGCAUGAGUUUACUAUCUCAUAUCAGUGGGUUCGAAUACUUUGGUUCUGCAGUGGGUUUUCAGUGUUUUGUUGUCCCAUCGUAUCCCUAUCUCUUACAUCAUACUCCCUCCGUCUGGAUUACAUGUCGCAGAAAUGGAUAAAACUGGAUGUAUCUAGAACUGAAAUACACCUAGACCCAUCCAUUUAUUUUCGGAUGGAGGGAAUACAUGUCAAUAUGUCAUGCCUUUCUAUUCUUCAGUACCUAUUCCAUCUCUGUUGUAGCAUGUUUUAUAACUGAAUCACCAUUCUUCUAUAUAAAGCAUGCAAGGGGAAGACGGCUAUGUUAGAAUCUGAAGGGUUACAAACCAGGUCUUUGCAAAAGAUCCAAACGCCAGGGAUAAUAAACCAACUCCAUUGUUCAUAUAUACUUCUCCAGCACAGAGAAACCCAACUCCCACUGAUAAUAAGCAAAUUCCAGUGGCCAAAGAACUAGUCUGCUCCAGUCCAGCAAAAGAAUGUCAACUCCAUUCUAAGAAGCGUGUGCGUAUCCUCGCAUCAUGAAAUUUUAUAGCAUUCUGAUCAUAUUUUCUACAUGUUUCUUACCCAUCUCUCUUUUAGAAAAUAAGGUUAAAUGAUAGAAGACUUCCUCCAUUUGGAUCGUAUUUGAGGAAAAUAUCUUGCGGGAAUUCUCUGUGUUCCAAUGCUGAUGUAAGUACCUGUUGUAUAUCACUAUAUUUUUACAUCAGCAUGUAUUUUGUUAAUCGGUGUGAAUCUAACCUUUAUCUGAUCUAAAAUUAGUUGUUGCAAAAUGUUAAAGGUGCCAAUGUUGAUUUUUGUAAGGAAAACUGCCUGGUAGCUUUGCAUAUUGAGCUGCAUGAGUGUACUAUCUCAUAUCACGCACAUUACUAAAUUGUAGUGCUUCUCUGGUUGCCCAUUCAUUCAUUGUGUCAAUGUUGCUUUCGUAUUACGUUACCUGGCUGAUGAUAGUUGUGCAAUAUUGUGUUAAUUUGGUGUAGGCUAGUUUCCCAAACGUUCGUUGUGUCAAUUUUUCUUUCCAAUUAUCUGACUUGGCCAAUGAUAUCAGUGCUAGUGUGUUAAUUUUGUGUAGGCUGCUGAAGAUAAGAAGACAAACUCUGAAAACAGCAAGGCAACCCCAUUGUUUCUUUCCAAUAAAUCUAGGCCAGGUAAUAUGGCAAUAACUCAUGAUUAAUCUGUUUGGUUCCCUUCCUAAUUUAUGUUAUGAUGCAGUGGUCGAGACACUCUCCACUAUCAAUAAUACAAGCCUGCCAAAAUCGCCAUCUGAAUCUGUUCAGUGUCCUCCAUCUCGAAUGCAACGGAAUAAAUGUAUGUUUGUGAACCAAUUAAUGGCUGAAGCAAUGAUGGAAAUGGUGGAUGAAUCAGAGGUGCAGAGUUGUGCGACACAACAACUGAUCAAUGUUUUCAAAGACAGUGUAGCAAAGCAGCAAGAACUUGCCCACAUGCUUAUGGGCGUCAUCUGUGCUGAGAUUGCAGAUUGUGACGUUGUAGAUGGUUAGGUUCUGCUCAUUUAUUUGCACUGGCAUCAAUCUUUGAUUGCCUAGUGGAUGUAAUUUCCUAUAAUAUAUGCUGGAUGUGCAACGUUAUUCCCCGUAUGCCGUACCUUUGCUUGAUCGGUUUUGGUCCUGUGCAUAAUUGCUCGUCAUAAUGGGCCCAAAUUAUCUAAUUUGGCCUAAAGAUAUGUACGAACUUUAGUGGGCCCAUUAAGUUAAUGGGCCGUUACUAGGCCGAAAGUUAAUUCUCGGCCCUCUUACCUCCCGGGUCGUUAACAGGCCGACAUCGAAGUGGGCAAAUGGUGGGCCCAAUUUAUUUCACGGGCAGUUAACAGGCCGUUACUAAGUUUGGGCUACAUAUGGCCCAACUAUACUGUACGCCAUUAGCAGGCCGAAAGAGACAGCGGGCUUGUACUGGACCAUGAAGAGCAUGGGCCGCUAAGAGGCCGAAUGUCAGGUCGUAUUGUAAAUGGCCCAACUAUGUUGUGGGCCUUUAGCAGGCCGAAAGAGAAAUCGGGAUGGUAUUGGACCAUGAAGGGCAUGGGCCGUUAAAAGGCCAAAAGUAAGGUCCGACUACAAAUGGCCCAACUCAUUUAUGGCCCGUUAACAGGCCUGUCGGUGUCAAAACCAGCAGAUCUCGAGUAGGGGGUCCCGAACUGUGCGUCUAGGCGGAUGGUAAUAGGAGACAAGGGACACGAUGUUUUUACCCAGGUUCGGGCCCUCUCGGUGGAGGUAAAACCCUACUCCUGCUUGAUUAAUAUUGAUGGUAUGGGUAUUACAAGAGUUGAUCUACCACGAGAUCAGAGAGGCUAAACCCUAGAAGCUAGCCUAUGGUAUGAUUGUUUUCUGUCCUACGGACUAAAACUCUCCGGUUUAUAUAGACACCGGAGAGGGCUAGGGUUACACAGAGUCGGUUACAAUGGGAGGAGAUCUUCAUAUCGUAUCGCCAAGCUUGCCUUCCAGGCCAAGGAAAGUCCCUAUCCGAACACGGGACGGAGUCUUCAAUCUUGUAUCUUCAUAGUCCGGGAGUCCUGCCAAAGGUGAUAGUCCGGUCAUACGGACACCCCGUAAUCUAGGACUCUCUCAGUAGCUCCCGAACCAGGCUUCAAUGAUGACGAGUCUGGCGCGCAAAUUGUCUUCGGCAUUGCAAGGUGGGUUCUUCUCCAACUUCAUAUACUUGUAGAAUAGUGUCCAGCUUCUGAUAAAUGUUGCGCUCCUUGGCUUCCACGCCCAAUAAAGGCCAUUUUUCACGUGUCGAACGAAUGCGAAAAGCUAAGGUAUUUUUGCAUUUUCCCCCCUAGCGACUCAAAUAAGCUGUCUAUAAAAAGAGACGGGGAUCUAGAUCCGAACCACGCCAUCUCCCCUUCACAAGCUUUCAUCGGAGCACGUCUGACCAAAAAAUCCAUCAUGGACAGCCGACGCGGCUCCUCCUCUCGCGCUCCCAGCCCCAAGCCUGGGGAUUGGGAGAGAUGCUCCAUCCCGGAUAGUGAACUCAUAGUCCUUCAAUCCAAGGGGCUCCUUUCCCCAGCAUAUAUGGUCCCAGUUCGAGCUGGGAUCGCCACUUAUAGCGGCGGAGAGCAAGCAGAGAGCAUCCCCCAUCCCUCUCGAGGAGAGCGGGUAUGCCUAGUCCCUUAUUUAAUAAGAGGACUCGGAUUUCCAAUUCAUCCGUUUCUUCGAGGGUUGCUGGAGUUCUACGGCCUCCAACUUCACGACCUCACGCCUGCCUCCAUUCUGCACAUUGCGGGCUUCGUGGCCCUCUGCGAACUAUUUUUGGGUGUUGAGGCCCAUUUCGCGCUGUGGAAGAGGUUGUUCUACCUCGUGCCCCGUUCUCAGGAGGGGUCUAUUUAUCAAGUGGGCGGAGCCGAACUAUGGCGCAUCACUGGGACCGGAUAUCUAUCCGGUACCCCUAAGAGGACGUCGGAGGACUGGCCCUCGAAGUGGUUCUAUAUAGAUGAUGUCCCUCUGCCGGACCCUGUACGGAUCGACCUCCCUGAGUUCAAUAAAGCUUCGUUGAAGAAGCGCCUGAGCUGGCGCCCGCGGAACCCUCAGAGGGAAACUGACAGGGACGUCCUUUACCGGAUGAGCCGGAUAAGGUUGUUGGCUCAUUCCGGACUGACCAUGAUCAAGGUCAUGGCCAUAUGCAUUAUGCGAGGGGUGCAGCCGCUUCAAUACAGAGCACACCCCAUGUGGGAUUUCAACGGGGAGGACGAUGCCACCCGGUGCGGUCGUAAGGGGCCAGAUUCGGCCGCCACCUUAACGAGAAUUUUAUCCGCUUUGUAUAAGGGAGAAGAAGAGGAAUUCCUCCGUGCCAACCCGGAGGGCGGAUUCUCCAUGUACAAUCCUCCAAGUUGGGUAAGUGAACAAUUUCACUUAUCUACCCGCCUUUCGAAAUUCCCAUGGUUGAGUAUUCAGUCUGGUGAUAUUAACGCAGGAGUUACGCCAGACGGUGAAGGAGACCAACAACUCUCCCCCACAGCCCGAGGACCCGGAACGGUCCCUCGACCCGGAUUCCCAAGAGGAUCCGGACUUAUGUGUGGAGUUAAUUGAUGGGGUGUUUCAUCAAUUGAGUAAGGAUAACACAUUAGUGGCCAUUACGGCCGACUAUCCUGGAUUACUUCCAGCCUCAAAGGUAGCCGAGACCGAAGUCCUGGUACUUUGAAGGAGAUCCAUCCAUGUCUUAUUUUGAAUGCUGUAGACCAAUAGUGUUUCGUUUUGCAGGGGAAAUCCUUGAGGUGGAGUGCCGGGCCCGCGAUGGGCAGCCAACAAGGGCCGCUAAAGCCAAGCGGGCAAAAAAGAAGUGCAGACCAGAUCGAGACUCUGGUGCAACGGUACGGCGUGCGAAUUUCACGCCUAGGGUCUAUGCCCUCAAGUCAUUCUAAUGCCCAUGUUCUCCUUAGGAAGAAGAGAGCCCGUCGGACUAUAUCCACCGGCCAGACUUCAAGGACGGAUCCGGAAGCAGAGGCGGACACGGGACGUGCGUCAGGUGUUCCCCCGACAGAGGAUGCAGACAGGCUAUUUGCCACCAAUUCAGAGGUGGAGAGUGCCAUGAACCACAGGCAUCGCCGGACUAUUCUUCAGGACGCAUGUUUUUCCCCGGAGGCACUAAACGCCUUUAAUAUAGGAGAUGCGUACCUCCGUGCCACUCAAAAUGGUCUAGCCAGGGCCACGGAGCAGUAUGUAAAAGACAUAUAGUGAGUAAAUCUGAUAGUUAUAUAUGUUAGUAGCCCCCGAGACUUGAAAAGUUAAGAUAACUGUUUUAAGGAUCAUAUGUUAUGCAGGGUCUUACAGAGAAGAACACACAACUGUCUUAGGAGUUGGCGGAGUGCAAGGCCCAACUCGAGGCCGCACUGCCGCUUUAGCUAUUGGCAAGGAGACCCCCUCAGGUAAUGUAUUCUCCCAAAAAAUAAUUAAAUUGCGAAGUGUGCAAUGCUAACGAUAACAAUGCAGAUGAAGCCGGAGUAAAUCCGGACAAGCAACAACUCCUACGCCAACUAAAGGCUGGCGAGAGCGUGCUGACAAGGGUGAGGCAAGAGAAGAACAAGCUUCAAGACGCCAAUACCCAGCUGGGCGAGGAACUAAAGGAUGUUCGUAUCCAGCUGUCUGUUUCCGUAAAGGAGAAUCAGCGACUCCGACGCGGCAUUUUUAGUAAGUGCUUGAGCGAAAUCUUGAAAAAAAAAAUCGGCGAAGAAGUCGAUUGACAGAGCUAUGUCUGUAGGUCUACUGUCGGGUCGUCCUGCAGAGGAAAUGCCCGGUUCAACGGGGGACCUUCUUCCCGAGUUGUUGCAACUGCACGAACAAGUUCGGCAGGCAAUGCGGGGCGUUAUCCAAGCUAUGUGGCCAUCCCUUUCCGCACCCGAAGGCUUUGGGGAGCUUGCAAAGAAGCUGGAGGGAGUGCGGCAGCGCUUCCGGUUGUGGAAGAUAUCGGCCUACCGCCAAGGUGCCAAUGAGGCCUGGGCCAUGGUGAAGACCCGGUACUCGAAGGCUGACCCAAACCACAUGGCCGAGGUCAGCCCUAUGGGUCCUGACGGAAGGGAGAUCCCUGUCAGCUUAGUAUAUGGCCAGGUAGAGCUGGCUGCAAAGUAUUCCCAACAGGACUGUAAAUUAGAUCGCCUGUUGGAUGGUAUUGAAGAAGAGUAUACCAAGUCGGAUUGACUCUGUAAUUAAAAAUGACAUAAAAAUGCCUUCUAGCCGGAUUGUAGAUCGUUUGUCAUUGCGGACAUUUUCGCUUCGACCUCCGGACCCUAUAGUCCCGAGUGUGUCCGAAUACCCUCUCGAUUAUGUAAGAAUCGGGGCAUGCAUGGAUACAAGGCGUAGGGGUCAUAAUUGCUUUAGCAGACAAGUGCCCAACUAGUUAUGUUAUAUUACAUGGUUAGUAAGAAACGUCUUCCAGGGAGAAUAGUUCCGUUAGGGGUUCCUUUCCCUGGGAGGCAUGCCCUAAAGUGCAUGUCCGGACUGCUAGAAAGAGCAGAAAAGCAUCUGGGGGAAGAUAAAUAAACAAGAAAAAUCAUCUUUUAAUUCACCAACCAAAUAUUCCCUUAAGAAUGCUAGCUUUCGGCUUCACCCAGUCUGAGGUACACAUCCGACUGACCCGGCAGUAACAAUCGCAGAGGUGCUCCCUUUACGACCUAGUCGAACGAACGGGAAUGUAGGGGUAAGCACAGGAGCCAGGCAACCCAGCUUGGCCAAAACUUAAGUCAUAUCGAUGCAUAUAAUGGUGUAUAAAAAGGUUCAUGCCGAAGUGUCACACAUGUUUUGGGCAUGAGGCCCACUUAGAUAAACUUCUGAUAAAGAAGCCCCCAGGUAGGAUGAGCGCGGGUGGCGCGUCAAGUAUGUGCGAGCAAUGCGCAAGCAAGCCCCUAAGGGCUUGGGAGAAAAAAAACAAAAAAGGGGGGAGAAGGAGAGAAAUGCCAGACAGCUAUAUGUGAAAACAUAAAAAAUGGGACAGAGGAGGGAGACGAACACGGAGUCCGGCGCUUAGGCGUAGAAUCUUCGUAGGCGUGCUGCAUUCCAUGGGUUCGGCUCGAGUCGGUUGUCCGAUGCGUUUCGCAGACGGUACGCUCUGCCAAUCAGUACUUGGUCGAUUAUGAAGGGACCCUCCCAUUUGGGCUUUAGUUUGUCUUUUUUCUUGUCCGGCAGGCCUAGAACUAGUUCGCCAACAUUGUAAGUUUUGGCCCGUACUUCUCUGCUUUGAUAUCUUCGGGCCUGUUGUUGAUAGAAUGCGGAACGGGCUUUUGCCACGUCGCGCUCCUCCUCCAACGCGUCCAAGCUGUCCUGCCGAUCGAGCUCGGCUUCUCUUUCUUCGUACAUGCGCACUCGAGGUGAGUCAUGUAUUAUGUCGCAGGGCAGAACUGCCUCUGCGCCGUAUACUAUAAAAAAUGGUGUGAAUCCGGUAGUGCAAUUCGGCGUGGUCCGCAGCCCCCAGAGUACGGAGUCAAGCUCCUCUACCCAUUGCGUGUUUGAUUCUUUGAGGGAUCGCACUAGUCUGGGUUUGAUGCCGCUCAUAAUAAGACCGUUGGCUCGUUCGACUUGACCGUUAGUUUGUGGGUGAUAGACUGAAGCAUAGUCGAGCUUGAUGCCCAUGUUUUUGCACCAGAGUUUAACUUCGUCGGCCGUAAAGUUUGUGCCGUUGUCAGUUAUGAUGCUGUGGGGGACGCCGUAACGGUGUACAACCCCGGAUAUGAAGUCUAUCACCGGUCUGGAUUCGGUCGUCUUUAUAGGCUUGGCCUCUAUCCAUUUGGUGAAUUUGUCCACCAUAACCAGUAGAUAUUUUUUCUUGUUGGUUCCUCCUUUAAGGGGUCCAACCAUGUCAAGCCCCCAGACCGCAAAAGGCCAGGCAAUGGGGAUGGUUUGUAGGGCGGUAGGCGGCAUGUGGCUUUGAUUAGCGAAUAAUUGGCAACCGACGCAUCGCUUCACUAAAUCCUGAGCGUCUGCCCGGGCCGUUGGCCAAUAAAAUCAGGUACAGAAGGCAUUGCUUAUGAGGGCCCGGGCUGCGGCGUGGUGACCGCCGAGUCCGGCAUGGAUUUCAGCCAGAAGGUUUUUCCCUUCCUCUUCGGAGAUACAUCUUUGAAGGACUCCGGUUGUGCUUUUCUUAUAAAGCUCCCCCUCGUGGACUUUGUAGGCUUUAGAUCACCGCACUAUGCGACGGGCUUCGUUUUGGUCUUCAAGAAGUUCCUGCCUAGUUAGGUAGGCUAGGAAUGGUUCUGUCCACGAGGUAAUGACUGCCAUUAUUGUGUGGGCUGACGGUGUUGUUUCGGUGGCGGAGCCACCAACUGUGUCAAAGUGUUCGGUGAGAGGCAGUGUGGUUGUGUCCGGGCUAUUGUUUCCAGACUCUCCCUCCCAUGAAACUGACGGCUUGAACAGCCUCUCAAGGAAGAUGUUGGGGGGGACGGCAUCGCGCUUCGCGCUGAUGCGUGCCAACACGUCUGCUGCCUGGUUGUUCUCCCGGGCUAUGUGAUGAAAUUCGAGCCCCUCAAACCGAGAUGACAUUUUUAAGACAGCAUUGUGAUAAGCUGCCAUUUUCGGAUCCUUGGCGUCAAAGUCUCCAUUUAUUUGGGAUACCGCGAGGUUUGAAUCCCCGCGGACCUCUAGGCGCUGAAUGCCCAUGGAGACUGCCAUCCAGAGACCAUGUAGAAGGGCCUCGUAUUCGGCUACGUUGUUGGAAUCCGUGUACAUUAUCUGAAGUAUGUAUUGUACUGUAUCUCUAGUUGGGGACGUCAGAAUGACGCCAGCCCCAGUCCAGCCAACAUUUUGGAGCCGUCGAAGUGCAUGAUCCAAUUGGAGUAUGUGUCGUACUCUUUAAGGAGCUCGGCUUCAGUCCAUUCGGCGAUGAAGUCGGCCAAAACCUGCGACUUAAUGGCUCGCCUUGGCUUCUAAGUUAUGUCUAACGGGAGGAGCUCGAUGGCCCAUUUGGCAAUCUGGCCCAUUGCGUCAUGGUUGUUUAUAAUAUCAUUAAGGGGUACUUCGGAUGCCACUGUUAUUGAACACUCUUGAAAAUAGUGUUGCAGCUUCCGGGAUGCCAUGAACACCGCGUAUGCUAUCUUUUGAUAAUGCGGGUACCGUGACUUGCAUGGAGUUAGGACAGUGGACACGUAGUAAACUAGUUUUUGGAGAGGGAACUUGUGUCCGUCCGUUUCUCGUUCGACGACGAGCACCGCGCUUACAACUUGGUGGGUUGCCGCGAUGUAUAAUAGCAUUGGUUCGCCUGUGUUGGGCGCGACCAGGACCGGAUUUGUUGCCAGUAUGGCUUUGAUUUCUUCGAGUCUGGCCGUGGCGGUAUCCGUCCACUCGAAAUGUUCGGUGCGCCGUAGGAGGCGAUAAAGGGGUAAUGCCUUUUCUCCUAAGUGGGAGAUAAAGCGUCUUAGAGCCGCCACACAUCCGGUCAAUUUUUGUAUUUGCUUGAGGUCUUUUGGGGUAUCCAAUUGUGACAGAGCUCAGAUCUUGGCUGGGUUUGCUUCAAUUCCUCUACCGGAUACGAUGAAGCCCAAGAGUUUUCCAGCUGGUACGCCGAAAACGCAUUUUUCCGGGUUGAGCUUGAUGUCAUAUGUUCGGAGAUCGUCGAACGUGAGCCUUAAGUCGUCUACUAGAGUAUCGACAUGUUUGGUUUUGACGACCACGUCAUCUACGUAUGCUUCAACUGUUUUGCCGAUCUGGUUGGGCAGACAUGUCUGAAUCAUGCGCUGAUAUGUUGCGCCGGCGUUUUUGAGCCCGAAGGGCAUCGUGUUGAAGCAGAAUGGGCCGUAUGGGCUGAUGAAUGCCGUUGCGGCUUGGUCUGACUCUGCCAUCUUGAUUUGGUGGUAGCCAUAGUAUGCAUCAAGGAAACACAAUGAGUCGUGCCCUGCGGUUGCGUCGAUGAUUUGAUCAAUUCGGGGGAGCAGGAAAGGAUCCUUUGGGCAGGCCUUAUUCAGGUCUUUGAAGUCGACACAUAGGCGCCAGGAUUUGUCCUUCUUUGGUACCAUCACCAGGUUUGCUAGCCAGUCCGGAUGUUUUAUAUCUCUGAUGAAUCCGGCUUCCAGUAGUUUUGCUAGCUCUUCUCCCAUGGCUUGUCUCCUAGGUUCGGAGAAACGCCGUAGAGUCUGCUUAAUGGGUUUAAACCCCUUUAGGAUGUUCAGGCUGUGCUCGGCCAGCCUGCGUGGGAUUCCUGGCAUGUCUGAAGGGUGCCAGGCAAAAAUGUCCCAAUUUUCUCGCCGGAAUUCUCUGAGUGCGGCAUCUACAUCGGGUUUUAGUUGUGCCCCGAUGGAUGCCGUUUUUGUGGGGUCCGUUGGAUGGACUUGGAAUUUGACUAUUUCGUCCACUGGUUUGAAAGAGGUGGACCUGGAUCUCUUAUCUAGUAUCACAUCGUCCCUGUCCACCAUGGAGCGCAGCGUAGUUAGUUCCUCAGCCGCUAGGGCUUCGGAUAAUGCCUCCAGGGCCAGUGCGGCUGUCUUGUGGCGCGGAGCGCUGUGUCCGGAUCACUUGCAAGAGUGAUGAUUCCGUUGGGUCUGGGCAUUUUGAGCUUCAUGUACCCAUAAUGAGGUAUGGCUUGAAAAAUUGUAAAUGCUUCUCGCCCUAGCAGAGCGUGGUAUCCGCUGCUGAACGGGGCCACUUGAAAUGUGACCUCCUCGGAUCUGUAAUUAUCCGGCGUGCCGAACACCACAUCCAGUGUGAUUUUUCCUGAACAGCACGCUUCCCGGCUUGGUAUUAUUCCUCUGAAGGUUGUGUUGCUUCGCUCAAUGCGACUCCAGUCUAUUUCCAUUUUUCGCAGGGUUUCCUCGUAGAUGAGGUUAAGUCUGCUACCAUCGUCCAUGAGUACCUUUGUAAGUCGUAAGCCGUCCACUAUCGGACUGAGGACCAAUGCGGCUGGUGCUCGGGCUGUCCGGAAUUUAGGUUCGUCACUGGCAUUAAAAGUAAUAGCCAUGUGUCGGUGUACUAGAGUAGGGGUACCCUAGUAUCCCGAACUUGUGCACGGGCAGUUGCAGCACCCCGCAGCAAGGCUUGCCGGGUGACCGCCAAGGUCCUCCGUGGUUCCUUUGGAGCCAUUCAAGAACAAAGUAUUCAAGACAAGGAGACAAGGCCCCGGCAAGAGGAGCUUGCCAGGAAGGCCAGCCAAGGCAUCUCAAGGAACUUGCCGCGACGCGCCACGCGUCCCGGCAAGGCCCGGUGAGCGACAAGCUUCCGGACGCGACAAGACAACGAUCGCGGCAAGGCGCUUGCCGCGGCAAACUACCACUCUGUACCCGCGCUCCAGCACAUCCACCAACGUGUCGCCCUGGGACCUUUCCAGGCGCGCGUGGCAAGAGGCUGUGCGGCCAGCGGUGCACGGUGGCAAGCGACGCUAACAAGAUUGCCAUCGUGGCAAGCAGUGGCGUCCCCGACGGUCCCUUUUUGCACUAUUUGGGCGACGUAGAUGGGCAUUUAAUGCCUUUGUCCCCUGCCGUCAGGGUUAGGUAUGAUACACUGUACAGGUAGUUGUACCAACCGCAAUUCCUUUUCCAUUUUUACCCUUGUCUACGUUGCCACCUGUCGGUGACCCCUUAAGCAUAUAAAAGGAGGCCCAUGCGCAACGUAGAGGGGGGAUCAAAAGCAGAAAAACACUCACGCUCGGUCUCGUUAGCAGCUAGUGUAUACUGUAGGACUCAGCGCUCCCGAGCAAGAACUCAAUACACUCAGACAUGCAGCAGUAGGAGUGUUAUCUCUCCGGAGAGCUCCGAAGCUGGGUAAACUGCUCGUGUGCUUCGCCUUGAUCCGCUCUUCAUGCGAUCUCCGCCCCCGCCGAACCGAAAGGGGCUCGGUCCGCCGGUCCCAUAGGUGUUCGUGGAUCAGUUUCCCCGACACCGUGUCACUCCAUGGGUUUAUUGUUGCUACUUGGUAGACUUCGGCGAGGUUGCGGAGGGUUCGUUUCCUUGCAUUGUUUGAUGCGAAGGUCUCGAAGACUGUCGACACCGUACUGGCGUUUCUGGGGUGGUGUUCUUUGGAUUCUGGAGUUAGAAGCUCCUCGCCACUUCUGGCCACCUGCCGGAGUAUCCAACAUGCUCUAAGGCUGUGAGUUGGUGUGACUUCCCCUGAACUAUGAAUUUUACAGGGUCCAUUGAGCCACCCCUCCAGUACGGUCCCAUACCCUAUAGAGGGUUUUUGUUUUUUGAUGUUUGGCUCAGGUGCCUGGCGAUAAUGCGCCCUUUUGUUUCGGACUCGUGUUGGGUUCAGGGCCGGAUUGUCCCAGAAUUUAUUUUCGGUUUUCCGAACGCUUUCUGUCGCACAGUACUUUCGUACUAUGGAUGUCAAGUAGGCGAAGGGUGUAAUUUCGCGGCGACUUAUGGCAUUGAGGAUUCCGAUGUCCGUGCAGUUGUUACAGAAGAAUGAAAUUGCUUCUUCCUCACGGCAGUCCCUUAUCCUGUUCAUAACCAGGAGGAAUCUGGCCCAAUAAUGGUGUACUGUUUCCCCGGGCGCUUGCUGUAUUUGGGAUAAAUCCCUUAUAGUUGGGUGGGCGGGUGGAUUUAAAUCCAGAACCCUGCCCGUUAGAAGAUUCAGGGGCCAAGAAGUUUCCGAAUUAGGGAGCUUGUUUUCUUGGAGAUUAUUCAAUGAAUCAGGCCUGCUACCUGACUUUAGGUUCAGGACUUGGGCAACAUCCUCCCCUCCGCGGGUAUCCGGCUUGGAGGGGUCGGGAAUCCGGACACAUCUGGUCCUUAGAGCAGGCGAAGAUGCGCUGCAUUGUUCUUCCACCACUUCAACGUGGUGGGUGACCUAGGGAGAGUUGAUCCCUCUCUAGUCGGGUUUAAGUCCGAUCUGGCCGUAAUCUGUAGCGACUCCCAGGGCGGCAAUGCGAUCGAGGAGCUCAUUCAAGGAAGAGAGCUCCGUCGGAUCUAACUGCUCGGCGAGUUCCGAGCUGAUGUGAAGAUUGCUUUCGAUGGCCUAAGAGGUCAUCGUCGACGCGCGGCUGAACAGGCGGUCAUCAAGAACCUUCCUAGCCAGAGAGUUUGACCGACAGCCAAAGCUCCUUUAGUGACAGCGCCGUCUUUAAAGACGGGGUGCGGCAUCCUUCCUGACGGUGACAGCAUAGAGGAACUCCCAAUGAAAGCACCAAUGUCGGAGUCAAAACCGGCGGAUCUCGGGUAGGGGGUCCCGUGUAGGGGAACGCAGCAGAAAACAAAAAAUUUCCAACCUACGCACCAGCCCAGGACCACUAUGGAGACUGCAUACAUGGUUUGAUCCUUUUUGUUUCCACUCGUAGCACAGCGGGAAGUAGAGUCGAUGACGAACGGCGGUGCAGAUCCCCGCAGCUAGGAUUUACAACCUCCCAACCGCAAGGAUGUAUACCCUCAUCUUCUCCUUAGACAGCCCUCCGGGAGGCGGUCGAACAGCCCCUCGGACGGUGUCGCGGACAGCCCUUCGGGAGGACCUUCGAAACUCGAACGGUCACUCGGACAGCCCUUCGGGAGGACCUUCAAAACUUGGACGGUCACACGGACAGCCCUUCGGGAGGCACUCACGAACUAAGACCGAAACUACGAUCUCUCUACAGAGUUGCACACAUACGGUGUCAUCUAUUCGGCAGGGCUUCGCCGUCCAGAACUAGUUCCUGCCGGAACCCAGACAGCCUUGCGGCUCUACGAAACUCUUUUCAUGGGAGGGAGAGAAGAAGCCAGAUCAUGCAUGGCACUUGUAUGUGAGAAGGGAUGAUCCUUUAGGCAGCCCCCUCCACCCCUAUUUAUAGGACAAGCCCAAGGGAGGCUUCUCCAAGAAGCCAAGGGGAUAAUACCAAAAGGCCCUCAAGGUGGCUUCUCCAAGAAGCCAAGCAAAAAGCACUUUCACUAUUCAUGACGACAUUUUUAGCGUCCGUUCGAACUGUAAAUAUUUAUGUGGGAUCAGAACAUUUCCAUUACCCACUAAAAAUAAUUUUCAACACGUUCCAAAACAAUUUCGGUUUAGUGAUUUUCAUCUGCGCAAAGCAAACAAGAAUGCGUUUUUACUAUUCAUGAAGACAAUUUUUCGCGUCCAUUAAAUCCGAAAAUAUUUCUGUGGGUCUUAGAAUAAUUCCAGUACCCAGUAAAAUGAUUUUGGAUUUGUUCUGAAACAAUUUCAGAUUAGUGAAUUUCAUUUGCGAAAAACAUCUGAAGUGGUUCCGGCAGCCCCGGAGCAUAUCCGGUUAUUAUCCCGGAAAAUUCCAGAAAGCUUCCAGAAUGAUUCUGUCACCCUCCAAGAAUUAUUAGGCAUGUGCCAAAACCAAUUUGACUUAACGGUAUCCCCUGAAACAACUUUUCAGUUUCACCGAAACUCAUCCGAUGACCUCUCUCUGCGGUACGAUUCCGCUGUCCGAAACCAUUCCGGUGUCCGAAACUUUUUUCGGUGAUUUUCUCUCAGACUCCCUGUCUAGUAUUCAGAAGAUAGAUGACCCUUAAGCAUGUGACCCUAUAGGUUCGGUGAAGUAUAGACAUGACCCGGAACCCCUUCCGAUCAAUGAUCAACAUCGGAGCCGUGGACACCCAUAUUGACCCCUAUACCCACACGAAUGAAUAUUCGAGUGAACCUCCAGUUGCUGUGUGCUAUUCCUGUUGCUUCGUGAUAUGUUACAAAUACCCGAGGUGAGACAUGUUGGCAUUCCCAUGGAUCAACAACUUGUCCACUAUGCCAGUUACCUCGUUAUCAGUAUUGUUCUCUUUACUCGUUACCGUGUUCCGGCAUCCCCGUGAUCAAAUCACAAAGUGUCUAGCCAGACGAUGAUAGAUACCGUAACACCGAGAGGGCCCAGAGAUAUCUCUCCAUCAUUGGAGGAGCAAAUCCCAAUCUUGAGCUAUUAAGUUACUUGACAGACUUUUCCAUGAACCCGUAAGCCGCUGUAAUAGCCACCCAUUUACGGAUGACGUUUAACAAACCCCAAAGUUCAUGAAGCAAGCAUGAAGAAACUCGAUACUCUCAUGGUCUAAGGAAUCAUGCAAACGUUAACCAUAUCUGUGUUAUUUACCAUUAACUUCUGACGAAUGUAUCUCAUAGCAUAACAUCAAUUCGGGUCGAUUCAACACAAAUGUUCUCUUAACAUUGUGCCCUCAAAGUUGCUGGCAUAGACAUGCCCAUGAUCAGGAAAACGGAACCAUCAUGCAACCCUUGAGCUAGUCUUCGAGGCCAAACUAGGAAAACUUCUUACCGUUUAUUAUUCCACACGUGCAUAUGAGUCUUCCUCCGAGCCUCGUGGAUAUUGUAGACUCGAGAAUCAUUGCAGUUAUAGCAUGGAACAUAAACAUAAUUAUGAACUCGGAGAUAAAUAAUAUCAUUUAUUAUUGCCUCUAGGGCAUAUCUCCUACAGACUCCCACUUGCACUAGAGUCAAUAAUCUAGUUUAAUGCUAAUGCACUUCACACCUAUGGCACAUCGGUGUAAAUAUGCUUCGCUUGUGGUAUAGCCUGAUGUCCAUCAGAUCUGACAACUUCAGCUCCGUGUCUAUCUCUGCAUAUCCUCGCGUUUUCACACUUUCACAAAAUUCAUAUUUUGUGCGGACUUGGCUUUGUAUAAAUGUGAAUCACAGGUUGAACCUGGAUUCCUCAGACUGAGUUAUGGAGAAACUACCUGCAGUAGUGUCCCAUUGACAAAGGCCAUCUUAGAACCAUACUAAGUUCAUGAAUGAACUAUAUGAUUCAACAUCUUGUUUGUCGCUUCUAAAGUGUCAACAUACUUAGUCAUUUGUUAUAGAAUUCUCCACAGUAUCCUGUUGGGAACAAUUUCCAACUACCGUGCCACCAUAUUGUGUAUUACACAAAACCCUUAACUUAAAUCAAAAAUUGCAUGGAGAAAAGAUGAAGAUUGUAUCGAUGUAACAUUUUACAACGAACUCUUCAUGAUCUCCGCUUGCGAGAAAACAUAUCAUCAGUACUUACUCUAGUACUCAAUGACAUCUUUCAUUGUUGUCCCAUGAUUAGUACUUUGAUCACUUUAGUAUCCAUACUAGCAACACCUUGGGAGUAUCGGACAUAUCUGGUUGUUUUACAUACCAUGGAAUACAUGAUUAAUCCAAACACAAAAGUGUGUGGAAUCUGCAUCAUUUAUUUUGCUCAUCAGUGUUUUGGGACACCGAGUCUUGCAAAAAACACUUCCAUGUGACUCCGGCAAGAAUCACUCCUUGGCAGUUUUAAAUGGUAAAAGGUUUUAGCACCUUGUCAAUAUGUAUUCAUUGCCUAGCCCUAUUAGGUAAAUCUAUCUCCAUAGAUCAUUAUGCCUAAUAUUGAGGCUAUUUAGCCUAAGCACUUCAUCAAAAAACUAUUUUCAAAUGAAGUCCUAAUUUGUGUCAAGAAAUUUAUUUCCAAUUAACAAUGUGUCAAGCACACAAGGUUUUUAGAAAUAUUAUUAAGCUCCCACUUAAUUUCUUGAAUUACAAGCAUCUUCAUUACCCAUUGAUGAAGUCAAACCCCUUUGACCAUUUCAUCAAAGCACGAAGAUUCCAACUCCAUUUUGUUGUCUUCUGUCCAUCGCUGGAACUCUGAAGUUUGCACCCUUACUAGCAUCCUCUGGAUAGACAAAAUGCCUUGGACUGUAACACAUGCAUGUCCUUGGUUUCGUUUCCAUCAGAUAGAAAUCCUAUUGUCAUCCAUGUUUCAUAUCUCAUGAUUGAAAUAUGUAUUAAUUGCUAGUUCAACCCGAACUGACUUUAAGCAUCGCUACAAUGAAAACAACCUCAUCGUAGUCAACUCUUGAACUUGUUAUUUCAACAAGUCGAGCUUUAUGGAUAAAACAUUUUUAUCCGUAUCAGUUUUAAGUUCCAUAAAUAUUUGAUAGACUCUAAGUCUUCCGAAAGGUGUAUCAAGGUUUUAAUCUUGAAUUACUUAUAUGGAAACUAACUCAGGUUGUAUUGGCAUUUAGCCAAUUCCGGAGUCAGGGCCCAUCAACGCUUCCUUGUGUAUCGUAGGUAUAAUGUUGUCUAACAACAAUAUCUCGUUUGCGCACCUGAGAGGUUUGCACGAGCCUUGCCUAUGUGGUUCAGCUGCAAGUUCGACCGAAGUUCAUACAUUUUAUUGUAGAGACUUCCGUAUCAGUCGUAGUAGGAAACUAUGGAAUUACUUCCAAGGUCUCUUUCCUUUGAUCUGAUGAUGAAGAUACUGUUUAUCUCAUCAAGUUGCACUAUUCUCCCACUCACCUUUUUGAAAGAACCAUUCUCUUUAAAAGCACACUGUUUCACGCCAAAACUAUUUGCCUCGGUAUGGUGAGGGAGGAAUACCCAACAUUUUGGUAUAACCUACAAAGUAGCACUUGUCUGAUUUGGGAUAGGUUUGUAACUUUUUACACAAGCCCCAUAUUCCAAAUGUUAAGAAAAGAUAUAACAUGGUUGGGCGUACCAUACCAUGGCUUCAUUUCAACAGACCCGAUGUAGCUCUUUUCAGUGUAAAAGCUGCAGUCUCUAAAGCAUCACUUUAAAAAGGGACAAUGGCAAAUUUAUUUAUGUCAUCUUUGAUCUUACCAUGUCAUAAAUGGUUAGAUUACAUCUUCACAGACAUUCCACUCAUAGUGGUGUUCCGGGAGGUGUAAGUUAUGAAACUCUUUUCACAACUCAUCGGACAUUCGCUAAACUUGUAACUCAAAUAUUCCUUUCUGCAAUCAAAUUGUAGAAACGUAAUUUCCUUGUUACAAUAACUUCUACUUCAUUUUUGAAAACCUUUCGAAUGAUUUCAAAAGACCCAGACUUACGUCUCAUCAAGUAAAUAUCCAUAUAUCUACUUGAGUCAUUUCUGAAGAUAAAUAAAUCCACCACUAACAACACUUAUCGGACUACACACAUCAAAUGUAUGAUCACUAAUAAGUUUGUUGUUCGUUCCUUAUGGCCUGUGAACGGUAUUUUAGUCACUUCACUUCUCGGAGGAAAGUUGCAAGUGUCAGAUGAUUCAAAAUCAAAAAGACUUCAAAAUCCAUCAUAAUGGAAUUUUCCAUGCGGGUUUCUCCAAUAUGACCAAAUGUAGUGCCACACUUGUGUGGUAUUCUUUUAGUCUUGCGACAUUUACCGUCAGUGUUAUGGAUGUAUCAUAUUACCAUCAAUAUUCAUAACAUACAUCCCAUCUUGGAUGGAAGCAUGGCCCUUCAUGUUAUUCAUAAUACUUAACAACAAUUGUUGUUUUUAUGAACAACUCUUUUGCAUCAAACAUUGUGCAAUGGGCUAGUGUGUAUGAAACUCUAAAAUGAAUUAUGAAAGUAAACCCAGAGGUAUUGUAUUAUUAUCAAUACUCAUAACAUACAUCUCAUUCAUAAUGAAAGUAUGGCCCUUGUGUUAUUCAUAACAUCGAACAUAAAAAGUUCUCUUAUGAACAACCUUCUUGCAAGAUACCUUAUGCAAUGGGCUAGAAUUUGUAAAACUCUAAAUGAAUUAUGAAAAUAAAUACAGACGGCCAUACACUAAUGGAAGGUAUAGUAACAUUUACUAUGUUCCCUGUGUAUACCUUAACCUCAUUUCUGGCUAGCCUUUUUGGCCAUAGUAGCUCUUAGAUUGAUUCGUAACAGAAUGCAAUCGAGCGGGUAUCUUUGAGAUUAACUCACAAUACCCAAGAAUUAGUGAUUAACAUGUUUAACCAUAAUUCCCAAGAACUAUAUCUUUGACCAGCCUACUAUACAUCAAAAACUUGUAUGACAUUCAUACAUGAGCUGGAUAUUCCAGUCAUCUUUCUUUCUGCCUUUAUACUUCUAAUAGUUUAACUUUUAGUAUUUCUCCUACUCGCAAAAGAAGCACCCAACAUAAGAGUGGCGUUAGCCCCGGACUUCCUAGGCGUGUAAGUCAUACUAACACCCUUUGGACACUUCCUUUCUCUUUAAGUUGUUGUUUUAUUCACCUUUCAUUAUAUGACAGGCGUUCUUCUGGAUCCCUUUCCCAACAGUCAAAUGCAUAGUAAACACUUUUACUAAUACUUGCAAACAAACAUUACUUUGUUUGUAUCUGAAAAUAAUUUUCAGUUCCAUGAAUAUCAUAUAACUAUCCCAACUUUCGAAGUUUGCGUUUCAUGGAAGCAAACAUAUUCCACUUGACCGUAAUAGAAUUCUAGCUUUUGGAUCGAAGGACGGGAGUCUCAUCAUAGAUAGCAAUUAGCGGGAGUAUACGGAAAGCAUGCAAUAGGACAAAGUCCUUCUCGGCACUUUUGAGGACAAUCCUCAUAUUACGUUACCAAUCGUAAAGUUUUAACCAGAUAUUUAACAGCUAUUCAAUUUUAACAGGGAAAGAGGAAACGCGAGCCAUUAUUCUACAACUAUGUUGCAAGAAACACUUAGACAGUGUUCAUAAUUAAUUGCACUAAGAAAUAAACAAGUUAAUUCUACAGUGCGCUCCCACUCAAAUCAAUAUCUCUCAUAAUUGAUUGUGAGUGAUACAAGAUCCACAUUUCAAUUCAACGCCAUUGGUGUGGACAUCACUGAUGACGAGAAUUUCAAUUGGUGGGCAAACAUGCCGAUCACAUCUCUAUGUGACUCCUGUUCAUCUUUCGAUGGGUGUGUUCCGAGCUCAGGACGAUCAAGCCAGAACGUCAAGACAACCAAGUGAUCUUGCUGCGAGGUCUGACCUCACCCGCCUCACACUUCUCUAAUCGUUCGUACCCAUGUGGACAUGGCGCACCCCGAAAAGUUAGGUGCCGUGACGGUGCUACACUUGGGAGAACACUAACUACUUCAUAUUUUUGUGAGAGAUCACCCUAAUAAAAAGCGACUACCGCGCAAUCAAGAAGGGUGAAUCAAAGGGAUAAACAUUUCAUGCAAUUCAUAAUAACAUGAUAUGGUAUAGCCCUUUCUGACGGAGAAGUCUUGUAUUUCUUCGUCUUCGGCAUUCGCAUCGGUGUUCACCUUAGCAAAGAUUGCCACCACCUUGUCGGUGCAGCAGAUAAUAUCGCUAUCUCCAUAGCGGAUAAAAUAAAUGCAUUACUUAAGGUUGACACGCAGGUCAUUAAAGUGCAAUCAUAUGGCUCCAGCCAUCAUGCCGAAUCAUGACACGCAGGUCAUGUUAAUUACAUUAUAUAGUCAUCUCAUACAUAAUCAAAUUAUUAUGAGCACUGCUAUACCACAUCACAUGCAAACCAUCCUGCAAAACCAAGUUAGACGCCUCUAAUCGGUUCAUACAAAAAAAGUUUUACGUGGCUUCUAAGGUUUCGACUUAAACUGCAGCUACCAACGUUUUAUCAUCAAGUAUGAUUAUUCAAGUUCCUAGAUUAACAUCUCGGGAUGUAUGAUGCACGAGAACAUAAAAUCUCGAACCCCAUACUAAACUUCGUCAUACGCAUGACCCCCGUGCAGAUCAUAUCUGCAAUGCCCUUUCAUCUGCGAAUUUCAUCUUUCUUUUGACUAUGGCAGAACCCAAAGAACUGAUAGCACUUCCGUGAUCAAUCAGGAUCACGGAUUGCCAGAACUUUGUCAAAUUCCACCAUGCUGUCUCGAGAUUGAGCAAACGCAAAUUCUAGGGAAGCAACAAGAACGUCGGGUAACAUAUUUCAUCUGUUACCCGCAUAAAUAAGUUUCAGCAAUAGAUCUCAUCUACUCCAAAAUUAUAUUAUGCAAUACCCAUACAUCUCCAUGUAUUCUAGAUCACAACCUGCAUCUAAGCAUAGCACGGCUCAUGAUGCCACUGUAUGGGAACACAGCAGAAAACAAAAAAUUUCCAACCUACGCACCAGCCCAGGACCACUAUGGAGACUGCAUACAUGGUUUGAUCCUUUUCGUUUCCGACUCGUAGCGCAGCGAGAAGUAGAGUCGAUGACGAACGGCGGUGCAGAUCCCCGCAGCUAGGAUUUACAACCUCCCAACCGCGAGGAUGUAUACCCUCAGCUGCUCUUCAGACAGCCCUCCGGGAGGCGGUCGAACAGCCCCCCGGACGGUGUCGCGGACAGCCCUUCGAGAGGACCUUUGAAACUCGAACGGUCACUCGGACAGCCCUUCGCACGGACAACCCUUUGGGAGGCACUCACGAACUAAGACCGAAACUACGGUAUCUCUACAGAGUUGCAUACAUACGGUGUCAUCUAUCCGGCAGGGCUUCGCCGUCCAGAACUAGUUCCUGCCGGAACCCAGACAGCAUUGCGGCUCUACGAAACUCUUUUCGUGGGAGGGAGAGAAGAAGCCAGAUCAUGCAUGUCACUUGUAUGUGAGAAGGGAUGAUCCUUUAGGCAGCCCCCUCCACCCCUAUUUAUAGGCCAAGCCCAAGGGUGGCUUCUCUAAGAAGCCAAGGGGAUAAUACCAAAAGGCCCUCAAGGUGGCUUCUCCAAGAAGCCAACAAAAAGCACUUUCACUAUUCAUGACGACAUUUUUCAGCGUCCGUUCGAACUGAAAAUAUUUAUGUGGGCUCAGAACAUUUCUAUUACCCACUAAAUAUAAUUUUCAACACAUUCCGAAACAAUUUCGGUUUAGUGAUUUUCAUCUGCGCAAAGCAAACAAGAAUGCGUUUUUACUAUUCAUGAAGACAAUUUUUCGCGUCCAUUAAAUCCGAAAAUAUUUCUGUGGGUCUUAGAAUAAUUCUAGUACCCAGUAAAAUGAUUUUGGAUUUGUUCUGAAACAAUUUCAUAUUAGUGAAUUUCAUCUGCGAAAAACAUCUGAAGUGGUUCCGGCAGCCCCGGAGCAUAUCCGGUUAUUAUCCCGGAAAAUUCCAGAAAGCUUCCAGAAUGAUUCUGGCACCCUCCAAGAAUUAUCAGGCAUGUGCCGAAACCAAUUUGACUUAACGGUAUCCCCUGAAAGAACUUUUUAGUUUCACCGAAACUCAUCCGAUGACCUCUCUCUGCGGUACGAUUCCGCUGUCCGAAACCAUUCCGGUGUCCGAAACUUUUUACGGUGAUUUUCUCUCAGACUCCCUGUCUAGUAUUCAGCAGAUAGAUGACCCUUAAGCGUGUGACCCUAUAGGUUCGGUGAAGUAUAGACAUGACCCGGAACCCCUUCCGAUCAAUGAUCAACAUCGAAGCCGUGGACACCCAUAUUGACCCCUAUACCCACACGAAUGAAUAUUCGAGUGAACCUCCAGUUGCUGUGUGCUAUUCCUGUUGCUUCGCGAUAUGUUACAAAUACCCGAGGUGAGACAUGUUGGCAUUCCCAUGGAUCAACAACUUGUCCACUAUGCCAGUUACCUCGUUACCAAUAUUCUUCUCUUUACUCGUUACCGUGUUCCGGCAUCCCCGUGAUCAAAUCACAAAGUGUCUGGCCAGGCGAUGAUAGAUACCGUAACACCGAGAGGGCCCAGAGAUAUCUCUCCAUCGUUGGAGGAGCAAAUCCCAAUCUUGAGCUAUUAAGUUGCUUGACAUACUUUUCCAUGAACCCGUAAGCCGCCGUAAUAGCCACCCAUUUACGGAUGACGUUUAACAAACCCCAAAGUUCAUGAAGCAAGCAUGAAGAAACUCGAUACUCUCAUGGUCUAAGGAAUCAUGCAAACGUUAACCAUCUUUGUGUUAUUUACCAUUAACUUCUGACGAAUGUAUCUCAUAGCAUAACAUCAAUUCGGGUGGAUUCAACACAAAUGUUCUCUUAACAUUGUGCCCUCAAAGUUGCUGGCAUAGACAUGCCCAUGAUCAGGAAAACGGAACCCUCAUGCAACACUUGAGCUAGUCUUCAAGGCCAAACUACGAAUACUUCUUACCGUUUAUUAUUCCACACGUGCAUAUGAGUCUUCCUCCGAGCCUUGUGGAUAUUGUAGACUCGAGAAUCAUUGCAGUUAUAGCAUGGAACAUAAACAUAAUUAUGAACUCGGAGAUAAAUAAUAUCAUUUAUUGUUGCCUCUAGGGUAUCGCCAAGCUUGCCUUCCACGCCAAGGAAAGUCCAUAUCUGGACACGGGACGGAGUCUUCAAUCUUGUAUCAUCAUAGUCCGGGAGUCCGGCCAAAGGUCAUAGUCCGGUCAUCCGGAAACCCCCUAAUCUAGGACUCCCUCAAGGCCGAAAGGCACAAAGGGGCGCAAAUUGGCCCAACACUUAAAUGGGUCGCUAAAAGGCCAAAACUCAGGUCCGACUACAAAUGGCGCAACUGAUUUAUGGGCCGUCAAUAGGCUGAAAGUGACACCGGGCCGGAAAUUGGCCCAACACUUAAAUGGGCCGCUAAAAUGCCGAAACUCAGGUCCGACUACAAAUGGCCCAUCAGAUUUAUGGGUCGUCAAUAGGCUGAAAGACACACCGGGCCGGAAAUUAGCCUAACAUUUAAAUGGGUCGCUAAAAGGCCAAAAGAUGUACAUCCUGAAAAUUGGCCCAUCCAUUGAAUGGCCCGUUAACAGGCCGAAAUCUCAUCGGGCCGAUAUUGAGCCCAAAUAUAUAGCGGGCUGUUAACGGGCUCGAACUGACGAUGGGCUGCAAUGGUGUCAAAUCUUUAACGGGCUGUUGACGGGCCGAAUUUGCACAUCUCGUAUGGGCCGUGGGCUUAAAUGGGCCGGCCUGCUAAUUUUUACUAGGCCGGCCAUUUUCACUGGAAUGGGCCACUGUUGGGCCGUGCCACGUGUUGACCUAUCAUAGGCACCUCCAGUCCAAUGAGUGGAUGACAUCUGUCCCAACGGUGAGGCAACACGUGUUUCCUGCGGCCAGUGAUUAUUUUACACGUGGAAAAUCCCCAUUAGUUCGGGCUGUUAACGGGUUAUCGGAUCCAAAACCGGAGCCGAUAGCUGUUGGGGAACGUAGUAAUUUCAAAAUUUUCCUACGCACACGCAAGGAUCAUGGUUAGAACAACGCGGUUGAUGUAGUCGUAUGUCUUCACGAUCCGACCGAUCCAGGUACCGAACAUACGGCACCUCCGAGUUCAGCACACGUUCAGCUCGAUGACGAUCCCCGGACUCCGAUCCAGCAGGGUGUCGGGGAUGAGUUCCGUCAGCACGACGACGUGGUGACGAUGAUGAUGUUCUACCAACGCAGGGCUUCGCCUAAGCACCGCAACAAUAUGACCGAGGUGGAAUAUGGUGGAGGGGGGCACCGCACACGGCUAACGAACGAUCACGAAGAUCAACUUGUGUGUCUAGAGGUGCCCCCUGCCCCCGUAUAUAAAGUAGCCAAGGGGGAGGGGCAACCGGCCAAGGAGGGCGCGCCAAGGGGGAGUCCUACUCCCACCGGGAGUAGGACUCCCUUCUUUCCUAGUUGGAGAAGGAGAAGGGGGGAAGGAGGAGGAAGAGGGGAAGGAAAGGGGGGGGAGGGCGCCGCCCCCUCUCCUUGUCCUAUUCAGACUAGGGAGGGGAGGGGGCGCAGCCCACCUCUUGCCUCCUCUCUUCCUCUCCACUAGGGCCCAUGUAGGCCCAUUAAGCCCCCGGGGGGUUCCGGUAACCUCCCGGUACUCCGCUAAAAUCCCGAUUUCACCCGGAACACUUCCGAUAUCCAAAUAUAGGCUUUGAAUAUAUCAAUCUUUAUUUCUCGACCAUUUCGAGACUCCUCGUCAUGUCCAUAAUCUCAUUCGGGACUCCGAACAAACUUCGGUACAGCAAAACAUAUAAAAUCAUAAUAUAACUGUCAUUGUAACGUUAAGCGUGCGGACCCUACGGGUUCGAGAACUAUGUAGACAUGACCUAGAACUGUUUCCGGUCAAUAACCAAUAGCGGAACCUGGAUGCUCAUAUUGGCUCCUACAUAUUCUACGAAGAUCUUUAUCGGUCAAACCGCAUAACAACAUACGUUGUUCCCUUUGUCAUCGGUAUGUUACUUGCCCGAGAUUCGAUCGUCGGUAUCUCAAUACCUAGUUCAAUCUCAUUACCAGCAAGUCUCUUUACUCGUUACGUAAUGCAUCAUUUCGUAACCAACUCAUUGGCCACAUUGCUUGCAAGGCUUAUAGUGAUGUGCAUUACCGAGAGGGCCCAGAGAUACCUCUCCGACAAUCGGAGUGAGAAAACCUAAUCUCGAAAUACGCCAACUCAAGAUGUACCUUUGGAGACACCUGUAGAGCUCCUUUAUAAUCAGCCAGUUAUGUUGUGACGUUUGGUAGCACACAAAGUGUUCCUCCGAUAAACGGGAGUUGCAUAAUCUCAUAGUUAUAGGAACUUUGUAUAAGUCAUGAAGAAAGCAAUAGCAACAUACUAAACGAUCAAGUGCUAAGCUAACGGAAUUGGUCAAGUCAAUCACAUCAUUCUCCUAAUGAUGUGAUCCUGUUAAUCAAAUGACAACACAUGUCUAUGGCUAGGAAACAUAACCAUCUUUGAUUAAUGAGCUAGUCAAGUAGAGGCAUACUAGUGACAUUAAGUUUGUCUAUGUAUUCACACAUGUAUCAUGUUUCCGGUUAAUACAAUUCUAGCAUGAAUAAUAAACAUUUAUCAUGAUAUGAGGAAAUAAAUAAUAACUUUAUUAUUGCCUCUAGGGCAUAUUUCCUUCAGUCUCCACUUGCACUAGAGUCAAUAAUCUAGAUUACACAGUAAUGAUUCUAACACCCAUGGAGUCUUGGUGCUGAUCAUGUUUUGCUCGUGGAAGAGGCUUAGUCAACGGGUCUGUAACAUUCAGAUCCGUAUGUAUCUUGCAAAUCUCUAUGUCUCCCACCUGGACUUGGUCCCAGAUGGAAUUGAAGCAUCUCUUGAUGUGCUUGGUCCUCUUGUGAAAUCUGGAUUCCUUUGCCAAGGCAAUUGCACCAGUAUUGUCACAGAAGAUCUUCAUUGGUCCCGAUGCACUAGGUAUCACACCUAGAUCGGAAAUGAACUCCUUCAUCCAGACUCCUUCAUUUGCUGCUUCUGAAGUAGCUAUGUACUCCGCUUCGCAUGUAGAUCCCGCCACGACGCUUUGUUUAGAACUGCACCAACUUACAGCUCCACCGUUUAAUAAAAACACGUAUCCGGUUUGCGAUUUAGAAUCGUCCGGAUCAGUGUCAAAGCUUGCAUCGACGUAACCAUUUAUGACUAGCUCUUUGUCACCUCCAUAAAUGAGAAACAUAUCCUUAGUCCUUUUCAGGUAUUUCAGGAUGUUCUUGAUUGCUGUCCAGUGAUCCACUCCUGGAUUACUUUGGUACCUACCUGCCAAGCUUAUUACUAAGCAUAAGUCAGGUCUGGUACACAGCAUUGCAUACAUGAUAGAGCCUAUGGCUGAAGCAUAGGGAACAUCUUUCAUUUUCUCUUUAUCUUCUGCUAUGGUCAGGCAUUGGGUCUGACUCAACUUCACACCUUGUAAUACAGGCAAGAACCCUUUCUUUGCCUGAUCCAUUUUGAACUUUUUCAAAAACUUUAUCAAGGUAUGUGCUUUAUGAAAGUCCAAUUAAGUGUCUUGAUCUAUCUCUAUAGAUCUUGAUGCCCAAUAUGUAAGCAGCUUCACCGAGGUCUUUCAUUGAAAAACUUUUAUUCAAGUAUCCCUUUAUGCUAUCCAGAAAUUCUAUAUCAUUUCCAAUUAACAAUAUGUCAUCUACAUAUAAUAUCAAAAAUGCUACAGAGCUCCCACUCACUUUCUUGUAAAUACAAGCUUCUCCAAAAGUCUGUAUAAAACCAUAUGCUUUGAUCACACUAUCAAAGCGUUUAUUCCAACUCCGAGAUGCUUGCACUAGUCCAUAAAUGGAUUGCUGAAGCUUGCACACUUUGUUAGCACCUUUUGGAUCGACAAACCCUUCUGGUUGCAUCAUAUACAACUCUUCUUCCAGAAAUCCAUUCAGGAAUGCAGUUUUGACAUCCAUUUGCCAAAUUUCAUAAUCAUAAAAUGCGGCAAUUGCUAACAUGAUUCAGACAGACUUAAGCAUCGCUACGGGUGAGAAAGUCUCAUCGUAGUCAACCCCUUGAACUUGUCGAAAACCUUUCACAACAAGUCGAGCAUUGUAGACAGUUACAUUACCAUCAGCGUCAGUCUUCUUCUUGACGAUCCAUUUAUUCUCGAUGGCUUGCCGAUCAUCGGGCAAGUCAACCAAAGUCCAUACUUUGUUCUCAUACAUGGAUCCCAUCUCAGAUUUCAUGGCUUCAAGGCAUUUUGCGGAAUCUGGGAUCAUCAUCGCUUCCUCAUAGUUCGUAGGUUCGCCAUGGUCAAGUAACAUGACUUCCAGAAUAGGAUUACCGUACCACUCUGGUGCGGAUCUUACUCUGGUAGACCUACGAGGUUCAGUAGUAACUUGAUCUGAAAUUUCAUGAUCAAUAUCAUUAGCUUCCUCACUGAUUGGUGCAGUUGUCACAGGAACCGGUUCUUGUGAUGAACUACUUUCCAAGAAGGGAGCAGGUACAGUUACCUCAUCAAGUUCUACUUUCCUCCCACUCACUUCUUUCGAGAGAAACUCCUGCUCUAGAAAGGAUCCGAAUUUAGCAACGGAAAUCUUGCCUUCAGAUCUGUGAUAGAAGGUGUACCCAAUAGUCUCUUUUGGGUAUCCUAUGAAGACACAUUUCUCCGAUUUGGGUUCGAGCUUAUCUGGUUAAAGUUUCUUCACAUAAGCAUCGCAGCCCCAAACUUUAAGAAACGAAAACUUUGGUUUCUUGCCAAACCACAGUUUAUAAGGCGUCGUCUCAACGGAUUUGAUGGUGCCCUAUUUAACGUGAAUGCGGCCGUCUCUAAAGCAUAACCCCAAAACAAUAGCGGUAAAUCAGUAAGAGACAUCAUAGAUCGCACCAUAUCUAGUAAAGUACGAUUACGACGUUCGGACACACCAUUUCAUUGUGGUGUUCUGGGUGGCGUGAGUUGCGAAACUAUUCCGCAUUAUUUCAAAUGUAGACCAAACUCGUAACUCCAAUAUUCUCCUCUUCGAUCAGAUCAUAGAAAUUUUAUUUUCUUGUUACGAUGAUUUUCCUCUUCACUCUGAAAUUCUUUGAACUUUUCAAAUGUUUCAGACUUGUGUUUCAUCAAGUAGAUAUACCCAUAUCUGCUCAACUCAUCUGUGAUGGUGAGAAAAUAACGAUACCCGCCGCGAGCUUCAACAUUCAUUGGACCACAUACAUCAGUAUGUAUGAUUUCCAAUAAAUCAGUUGCUCGCUCCAUAGUUCCGGAGAACGGUGUUUUAGUCAUCUAGCCCAUGAGGCGCGGUUCGCAAGUACCAAGUGAUUAAUAAUCAAGUGAUUCCAGAAGUCCAUCAGUAUGGAGUUUCUUCAUGCGCUUUACACCGAUAUGACCUAAACGGUAGUGCCACAAAUAAGUUGCACUAUCAUUAUCAACUCUGCAUCUUUUGGUUUCAACAUUAUGAAUAUGUAUAUCACUACUAUCGAGAUUCAAUAAAAAUAGACCACUCUUCAAGGGUGCAUGACCAUAAAAGAUAUUACUCAUAUAAAUAGAACAACCAUUAUUCUCUGAUUUAAAUGAAUAACCGUCUCGCAUCAAACAAGAUCCAGAUAUAAUGUUCAUGCUCAACGCUGGCACCAAAUAACAAUUAAUUAGGUCUAAAACUAAUCCCGAUGGUAGAUGUAGAGGUAGCGUGCCGACCGCGAUCACAUCGACUUUGGAACCAUUUCCCACGCGCAUCGUCACCUCGUCCUUAGCCAAUAUUUGCUUAAUCCAUAGUCCCUGUUUCGAGUUGCAAAUAUUAGCAACAGAACCAGUAUCAAAUACCCAGGUACUACUGCGAGCAUUAGUAAGGUACACAUCAAUAACAUGUAUAUCACAUAUACCUUUGUUCACUUUGCCAUCCUUCUUAUCCGCCAAAUACUUGGGGCAGUUCCGCUUCCAGUGUCCAGGCUGCCUACGGUAGAAGCACUUAGUCUCAGUCUUAGGUCCAGACUUGGGUUUCUUCUCUUGAGCAGCAACUUGUUUGCUAUUCUUCUUGAAGUUCCCCUUCUUCUUCCCUUUGCCCUUUUUCUAGAAACUGGUGGUCUUAUUGACCAUCAACACUUGAUGCUCCUUCUUAAUUUCUAGCUCCGCAGCCUUUAGCAUUGCGAAGAGCUUGGGAAUAGUCUUGUCCAUCCCUUGCAUAUUAUAGUUCAUCACGAAGCUCUUGUAGCUUGGUGGCAGUGAUUGAAGAAUUCUGUCAAUGACACUAUCAUCAGGAAGAUUAACUCCCAGUUGAAUCAAGUGAUUAUUAUACCCAGACAUUUUGAGUAUGUGUUCACUGACAGAACUAUUCUCCUCCAUAUUACAGUUAUAGAACUUAUUGGAGACUUCAUAUCUCUCAAUCCGGGCAUUGCUUGAAAUAUUAACUUCAACUUGAGGAACAUCUCAUAUGCUCCAUGACGUUCAAAACAUCAUUGAAGACCCGGUUCCAAGCCGUAAAGCAUGGCACACUGAACUAUCGAGUAGUCAUCAGCUUUGCUCUGUCAGACGUUGUCAGUUGCAUCUGCAGCAGGCCUGGCACCCAACGGUGCUUCCAGGACGUAAUUCUUCUGUGCAGCAAUGAUGAUAAUCCCCAGGUUACGGGCCCAGUCCGUGUAAUUGCUACCAUCAUCUUUCAACUUAGCUUUCCCAAGGAACACAUUAAAAUUCAACGGAACAACAGCACGAGCCAUCUAUCUACAACAAACAUAGACAAGCAGAAUACUAUCAGGUACUAAUUUCAUGAUAAACUUAAGUUCAAUUAAUCAUAUUACUUAAGAAAUCCCACUUAGACAGACAUCUCUCUAGUCAUCUAAGUGAUCACGUGAUCCAAAUCAACUAAACCAUGUCCAAUCAUCACGUGAGAUGGAGUACUUUCAAUGGUGAACAUCACUAUGUUGAUCAUAUCUACUAUAUGAUUCACGUUCGACCUUUCGGUCUCCGUGUUUCGAGGCCAUAUCUGUAUAUGCUAGGCUCGUCAAGUUUAACCUGAGUAUUCCGUGUGUGCAACUAUUUUGCACCCGUUGUAUUUGAACGUAGAGCCUAUCACACCCGAUCAUCACGUGGUGUCUCAGCACGAAGAACUUUCGCAACGGUGCAUAGUCAGGGAGAACACUUCUUGAUAAUUUAGUUAGAGAUCAUCUUAAAAUUCUACCAUCAAUCAAAGCAAGAUAAGAUGCAUAAAGGAUAAACAUCACAUGCAAUCAAUAUAAGUGAUAUGAUAUGGCCAUCAUCAUCUUGUGCUUGUGAUCUCCAUCUCUGAAGCACCAUCGAAUUCACCAUCGUCACGGGCGCGACACCUUGAUCUCAAUCGUAGCAUCGUUAUCGUUUAUGCCAUCAAUUGCUUCUACGACUAUCGCUAUCGCUUAGUGUUAAAGUAAAGCAAUUACAUGGCGUUUGCAUUUCAUACAAUAAAGCGACAACCAUAUGGCUCCUGCCAGUUGCCGAUAACUUCGGUUACAAAACAUGAUCAUCUAAUACAAUAAAACAUAGCAUCACGUCUUGACCAUAUCACAUCACAAUAUGCCCUGCAAAAAGAAGUUAGACGUCCUCUACUUUGUUGUUGCAAAUUUUACGUGGCUGCUACGGGCUGAGCAAGAACCGUUCUUACCUACGCAUCAAAACCACAAUGAUAGUUCGUCAAGUUAGUGCUGAUUUAACCUUCGCAAGGACCGGGCGUAGCCACACUCGGUUCAACUAAAGUGAGAGAGACAGACACCCGCCAGUCACCUUUAAGCACGAGUGCUCGUAACGGUGAAACCAGUCUCGUGUAAGCGUACGCGUAAUGUCGGUCCCGGCCGCUUCAUCUCACAAUACCGCUGAACCAAAGUAUGACAUGCUAGUAAGCAGUAUGACUUGUAUCGCCCACAACUCACUUGUGUUCUACUCGUGCAUAUGACAUCUACGCAUAAAACCUGGCUCGGAUGCCACUGUUGGGGAAUGUAGUAAUUUCAAAAUUUUCCUACGCACACGCAAGGAUCAUGGUGAUGCAUAGCAAUGAGAGGGGAGAGUGUUGUCCACGUACCCUCGUAGACCGAAAGCGGAAGCGUUAGAACAAUGCGGUUGAUGUAGUCGUACGUCUUCACGAUCCGACCGAUCCAAGUAGCGAACGUACGACACCUCCGAGUACAGCACACGUUCAGCUCGAUGACGAUCCCCGGACUCCGAUCCAGCAAGGUGUCAGGGAUGAGUUCCAUCAGCACGACGGUGCGGUGAUGAUGAUGAUGUUCUACCUACGCAGGGCUUCGCCUAAGCACCACAACGAUAUGACCGAGGUGGAAUAUGGUGGAGGGGGGCACCGCACACGGCUAAGGAACGAUCACGAAGAUCAACUUGUGUGUCUAGAGGUGCCCCCUGGCCCCGUAUAUAAAGGAGCCAAGGGGGAGGGGGCGGCCGACCAAGGAGGGCGCGCCAAGGGGGGGAGGAGGAGGAAGAGGGGAAGGAAAGGGGGGGUGCCGCCCUCCUCUCCUUCUCCUAUUCGGACUAGGGAGGGGAGGGGGCACAACCCACCUCUUGCCUCCUCUCUUCCUCCCCAGUAGGGCCCAUGUAGGCCCAUUAAGCCCCCGGGGGUUCCGGUAACCUCCCGGUACUCCGGUAAAAUCCCGAUUUCACCCGGAACACUUCCGAUAUCCAAAUAUAGGCUUCCAGUAUAUCAAUCUUUAUGUCUCGACCAUUUUGAGACUCCUCGUCAUGUUCGUAAUAUCAUUCGGGACUCCGAACAAACUUCGGUACAUCAAAAUAUAUAAACUCAUAAUAUAACUGUCAUCGUAACGUUAAGUGUGCGGACCCUACGGGUUUGAGAACUAUGUAGACAUGACCUAGAACUGUUUCUGGUCAAUAACCAAUAGUGGAACCUGGAUGCUCAUAUUGGCUCCUACAUAUUCUACGAAGAGAUUUAUCGGUCAAACCGCAUAACAAAUACGUUGUUCCCUUUGUCAUCGGUAUGUUACUUGCCCGAGAUUCGAUCGUCGAUAUCUCAAUACCUAGUUCAAUCUCGUUACCGGCAAGUCUCUUUACUCGUUACGUAAUGCAUCAUUUCGUAACCAACUCAUUGGCCACAUUGCUUGCAAGGCUUAUAGUGAUGUGCAUUACCGAGAGGGCCCAGAGAUACCUCUCCGACAAUCGGAGUGACAAAACCUAAUCUCGAAAUACGCCAACUCAACAUGUACCUUUGGAGACACCUGUAGAGCUCCUUUAUAAUCAGCCAGUUAUGUUGUGACGUUUGGUAGCACACAAAGUGUUCCUCCGGUAAACGGGAGUUGCAUAAUCUCAUAGUUAUAGGAACUUUGUAUAAGUCAUGAGGAAAGCAAUAGCAACAUACUAAACGAUCAAGUGCUAAGCUAAUGGAAUGGGUCAAGUCAAUCACAUCAUUCUCCUAAUGAUGUGAUCCCGUUAAUCAAAUGACAACACAUGUCUAUGGCUAGGAAACAUAACCAUCUUUGAUUAAUGAGCUAGUCAAGUAGGGGCAUACUAGUGACAUUAAGUUUGUCUAUGUAUUCACACAUGUAUCAUGUUUAUGGUUAAUACAAUUCUAGCAUGAAUAAUAAACAUUUAUCAUGAUAUGAGGAAAUAAAUAAUAACUUUAUUAUUGCCUCUAGGGCAUAUUUCCUUCAGAUUUUACACGUGGAAAAUCCCCAUUAGUCUGGGCUGUUAACGGGUUAUCGGAUCCAAAACCGGACCCGGUAGCUUAACGACGUUCCGUUACGGUGGAUGCCACGUGUCGGUCACCCUUGACGAAAGCACUUAUGUGACGCGCGAUUUAUCGUCAUGGAAGUGGACACUUCCAUGAUGAUAAUUUUGGUUAUGUCAAGGAACACUUCUAUGACAGCACAGGCAUGACUAUCUUGAUUCUGUCAUAAAAUCGUCAUGGAUGUACAUGCAUGACAAAAAACGCGACCUACUGUGACAAAAACGUAUCAUCACGGAAGUGUAUCUUUUUUGUAGUGUCUUCAGUUGUCUUUCAUGUGGUCUCUGUCCUGCUGCUAUGAAUGCUCAAGUCCCUCCCUUGUUGGAUGUUGUGAUGAGGCGACCUUCGGGCUCUUGGUGUCGUCUCAGCUCAUCUUUGCUCAAUGAUGACACAAUGACGCCUCCCCAACUUGCUAAUCAUCUUGAACUUUCAUGGUGGAGCUCUCAGUCAAGGUUCGUGUUAACUUUCGGCACUCGUUGAUUGUGGAUGCCCCUCUGUUGUGCUGUGGAGUAUGAAACGCACGCUAGUGCGGUGCCUUAGGCUGCUUGUAGAGUCUCGGUAUUGUGAUACCUCGACGUACCCCUCAUCUACUUGGUCCUGUUAGUCUGCUAGUUAGGUCAUGACUUUUGUUCGGCAUCCCUGUUCUUCUCUUCUUCUUGCCACACUUGUUGCUUCUAUGGUUUUCGGCCCAGUUUUCCUUAUAAAUGGGGUCUAUUUGAUAAGGUUUUCGAUCCGGUUUUCCUUAUAAACUGGAUCAGACUCCUGGCAUUAUGGCCACUUUGAGUAAUAUAUUCAGGUGGAGGAACUCCUCCCCCGAUGAUUCUCAAAAAAAAAAUGUUCCUAACAGAAAUGCUAUUACAAAAAUUUAUGAACAGAAAAUGUGUGUAAAAUUUACAAAAAUGUUCACAAUUUUUUGAAACUUUAAAGCUGGCUUCUGAUUUAUUUUUUCAAAAUUUUGAGCUCCAUGGAGCUCGGUAUCCAAACAUCCACUCUCUACCAACUAUGUGCAUAUAUCUUGUAGCAAGCCAUAAGCUGAGGGUUGCUACAUGAUCAAUUGCUGAGUGGGCAGUGUGUUUUCUUCAUUUUGGGCAGAUCACAAGUGUUUGACAUCUCUCUCUACAUUGGGUAUCCUUUUCUACUUGAAUUUUAAGAUGCGUAGAAUGUGCUUUCCUUGUUGUUGCCUCGUCAUUCCAGCAUGGAAUCAAAGCCAAACUGAUAUUACUGCCCUUAAAAAUUGUCUCGCUAUCUAUGUCCAUAACAUGCCCAUUGGACUGCAUGGCGGAAAUGAAGGUGUUCGUCUAGCUGGCCGAGCAGACGCACUUGUCUGUGACCUCUGAUCUAAGAAUGACAUGUACUUUGUUGUGAGCCCAUGGUGCAUGUGGGUUGAAACGCUGCUUAGCAAAUCUAGACUUAUCUUGCAGGCAAGCCAAGAUGAGAUCUGUAGGCCCAUGUGAAUUCCAUCAAAAUCACGGUCAGUUCAACUCUGGUUCGAAUCCUAAUAAAAAAUAGAUCAGUGGUCCUGGAUGGAUAUGUCCAUCGCUAAAAAGUGCAGUUGUUGAAAGAGUCGAUAUGACUUGUAGCUAGAGGACGCCGACACCCCUCACUUCUUCUACACACACUAAACACACCCUAUCUUAUCCAACUCAAUUUGCUUUAAGGUUUGUGAGUGAAAGAAGUAGUGUUAAAACCAAACACCACACUCUUCAACCUAAGAAAUCAAUAGUAAAUUUACCUAUGGAUAUUAAAUCUAUAUACAUCAUACUUGAUUUAUCAAAUUGAUAAUACUUACUAUACAUAUUUUAAAUUACAAUAUUUGGUGCUUCACAGCCUGUUAUGAAAUUAUUGUUCACCCAUCCAAUGUAAUAAAAAGUAUGUGAAUGAUGUUAACGCACGCGUGUGAGAGAGAGAGAGAGAGAGUGGAGUACAUUUUGUCCUGAUGUCCAUCAUAGUUCCACGAUCAGUACACCUAGGAGGAGAUAAUCAAAAUAGGGACAGAAAAUAAAUAUUUAAUAUAUAAAUGGUUGGUAACAAAUCCAACCACAAAAUUGUGCAAGCAACCCACAAGCUAGUUUUAUUGAAUAUUAAAAUAACAUAGUUGAUUUCUAAAACAUACAAAAUUUAUUAUCUCAUCAACACAUAAUUAUUUUGAUAACCAUAAGGUUGAGAUUUAUCCACCCAAAAUAGGGGAGAUAACAAAACUAUUGUGUUGUUGUUGCUGGUGUGCAAUUAAUCUUGCAGGGACAGUUGAUGAAGCAUUCUCCAAGGUCUGGCCAGCACAAGUUAUCUAUUUGACAACAGAAUUCCCGUCCUGGGAGCUGGUGCCCAUCUUUAUAACAAGGGGGUCUGGUUACAUGGCUUACUUUGCUCAUCAUGUUUCUCCCCUUGUUGUUUAUGAUUUCACCUAAUUAACAUAAAAUAAAGAAUAUACUUAUCAUUUCAUCAUAUAAACAAUAAAAGUCCACAAUAUCAAUCCCCCCAAAAAAUUGAGUUGUUAAUUACCAUAUGUGCCUCCAAGACAAGUUAAACACACCACAAGAAGAAAAGAAAGUAGCACAAGUCCUUGCACAUUGUUCCUCGUGAACUUUGUCAUCGUCACUAAGGAAAAGAGGCUAUUAAUAGGUGGUACUCUUGUAAGUGGAGUUGAUAAGUGUAUGACCGUGAAAUGCUUGCUCCAUGAAUGGUUCAUAUAUAUAUAGGAAAAGCUUCUCCGCGUUGAUGUGUGAAGUUAUAGAAAAUAUUAAUGCUACGAGUUAUGGCUUGUCUGAAUUUCCAAUUUUAGUUUAACUUCUAAAGAUUCAUGGUUCCUUCUAAAGUUUUUUUCCUCAAAUUGAUGCUUUGUCAUAGCAUGUAAGUUACUUUAAUGCCCCCUCUAGAAUUGACCGCUUAUUGUUUCCAAAGGGUAGAAUUGACCUCUUAGAAUGGGUAGCAAAAAACGGGUGCAUGGCAAUAUUGUGUUUAAGGCAUUGAUAAUAAUUGGUAUAAUAUUAAUAAUUCCUAUAUAUAUGAUGCCUUAUCAGUAAAUUAUUAAUUUCUCUCUUGGUAUAAGAGAACAAAAUUUAAAAUUCAACAAGACUCGUCCACUUAACAUUGGACUUGUUUUUUAAUGUAUAUAAGCAAUUGUUCUUAAGUAUAUCAGCAAGUUACGGAUACAUUUUUUUACUUUUAUUCCAUGAACAUAGAUUAAUUAUGGGAUGGCCAUUUUAUAAAUAUAAGAUGAUGAUUUAUUUUCAUAUACAUGAACAUUUUAUAUCAAGGUAGUUGAGCAUUUUUUACAUUUUUCUAUACACAAAAUUUUCUCCAAUAUUAAGUUGAUUUUGAUUUCUUUAAAUAGAUUAGUUUCCCCAAAACGUUCUUUAUUAGAAUAGUGAAAAUGUUGCACUUGCCCGACUAUGGCAAAUUUCGUUAAUUCUCGGGACUCCCUAUAUGUUCCUCCUUGCGGCUAACAACCUCCCCUUCGGAUAGUGCGCGCCUGGCUGGGCCGGCCCAUUGACGACACGAAUGGACACCACUGAGUGGGAGAGUAGGCGCUGAGCCAAUCCACUUCAGCGACAAUUUUUUAAAUUUUGGAAAAUUUCUUUGCAAAAUGAACAAGCAUUGAUAAAUGCGAAGUUUUUUUGAACAUAUUCUAAAAUUUGAAAUUUCUUAAAACCCCAAUUAUAUUUGGAAUUUCGUUCAUUUUUCUGAAAAUAUGAACGAUUUAGGAAAUACUGAAGAUUAUUUGAAAACUACGUCCUUUCCUUGGAAAACCAAAAAUUUAUUUAUAACAAAAUAUGAGAAUCGGAACAUUUCCUGAAAACUUGAAUAUUUUUUAAAUUUCAAAUUUACGCACAUUUUAAAAAAGGAGACUUUUUGAUAGAGAAAAUAAGAAAAAUAAAACAUGGAAAAACCAAAUAUGUAAAACUAAAAAAUAACCCAAAGAAAACGGUAACAGAAACAGAAGGAAAAAAAGAACAAAUGAAAAUACUAGUAAAAAUCAUAUCAGAACCUUUUAGAACGCUCCCAAAAUUGGUAAAAGCCCAGAAGGAAUAUUCCGGAAGUUCAUAAAACUAGAGAGGCGCGGCUAACAUGGGUCGGCCGUCCCAAGCUCUAGCAUCGAUUCUGUGUGCAAUCCCCGGCAAUUUGAUGUUUACUGCUCAAAUAGGGUUUUCGCCAAUUCUCUUGUUUCUUGUUGCCUCAUAUGAGUUUGUUGUUGUUUGGGACAUACCUUGGCGCCAUUUGUACGGGUUCGAUGACCGCCAUCAAGGGUCUCUUAGUGGAAUCACAAUAUCUUGCAUCGUGUGAGGGCGUGAGGAGAUUAUAGUGGCCCUAGUGGCAUUUUGGGGAGCAUUGUGCCUCCACAGUGCUCCAGACGGAGAUUAGCAUCUGCAAUGUCGUCUCCGCGUGCCUCAGUUAUUUCUUACCCGAGCCCUUUACUUUGUGAUAGCCAUAGUGUUUCAUGUUAUAUAUCUUGCUAUCACAUAGUUGUUUGUCGUGCUUAGCAUAAGUUGUUGGUGCACAUAGGUGAGCCUAGUGGUUUUAGCUUUUAUGCUUGACAAAUUAGACACUAGUUUUAUUCUACAUUUGUUCAAGCCUAAAUAGUAAUUAUUUUAAAGCAUCUAUUCACCCUCCCUCUAGGCAACAUCCACGAUUUUUCAAGUGGUAUCAGAGUGUCGCCUCUCUUUAUUAGGCUUAACCACUUAGAGAGUAAAGAUGUCGACUAGGGGAUUAGGAUUCUUUGACACUCUUUGUUUCAAUGGCACAAUUUUUGAUGUUGUUGUAAUUCGUAUGGUUAAUCUCUUUAGGGUCAUGGACCCAAAUUUAGAGCGAAUUUUAGAUAUUAGUUUUCAUCCUUCAAAGGAUCCUCAAAGAUUAUCUCUAGAGGAUGAGAAAAAACUCUUAUCUCACUGCUCAAGCUUCUAAUGUGCUUUUUGAUGCUUUGAACAAUGUAGUUAUAUUUGAACUUAUGCUAUUCUGGGAUGCUCAUGAUUUGUGGACAAAGCUUCAAGAUAAAUAUGGUGUGUCCAGGAUUUCUAGGAAUGAUUAUUCUCCCUCCAUCUCCAGUCUUAUGGUGUUCUCAACUUCUUCCACUUCACCUACAUGUGGAUUGCCACAAGGUAGUGAUAUGGUGAGUAGUGUUGGUCAUUGCAAUGAUUAUAGUGGGCUUAUUGUUGAUGAUCCUUCAUCGCUAUCUUAUUGAAUGCUCCGUCUUUGCACUUCAACACUUCGAGAUCUCUAGAUGGUUCACACGCUCGUGUUGAUAGUCCUUGCAUAUCACGUAGAAUUUGCUCAACUAAAUCUCAUGAUGAUAUGCUUGCUAUGUCUUGCUGCCAUGAUAAAAGUGCCUCUAUUUCCUCGAGUUGUUGUGCAAACAGUGUAAAGGAAACCCUACACUCCAUGGAACAAGAUGUGGUCCUGAAUGGUGCUUCAAGGGAUCCAACAUCAUCAUCUAUUGUUUCUCACUUUUGCCUUAUGGCUACGGUUUCAAAGGUAUCUCCCAGUUUGAAUCCCAAUAUAUAUUGUGAUGAUGAUGUUCAUGAUAAUCAGGGGAGGGGCCCCACCCAGUUGAAAUAAGGGGAGGGACCCUACCCAGUUGAAAUCAGGGGGUGGAGUGAUCAGUUAGGAAAGUUAAGUAAGAUUACGUAGGAUUUCUACGUAAUGCUACACCUACGUAGCUAUCAUACAAGAAUUUCUCCUCCCUCUCGUCCCAUUGCCCCUUCCAUGGCACUCUGCUCGAUAAGAAUAUUCUCCACUCCAGCAACACAUGUAUCUUCAGUAGUCCUAGUGCAAUUUUGCCUUCCCCAACUUUUCUACAUCAAAAUCCACAUCUGCACGAGAUGUACCAACAAUCAGUCGGGUUACGAAAGCUAUAUUUUCCACACAAGGGAAGGGCUAGAAAUCAAUACUGCAAAUUUGUCAUCUUAGGACUGGCAUUUACAUUUAUAAUUUAACAAGAACAGAUCACAUCAUAGUUCAAAUAAGAUAAGUAUGAAUGGACAUAAGUUUCCCAGUUAUAGGAUCAAACUAUAGGGGUGCUGCAAAAGCAACAACUUUGAACCAAGCUUCAUUGCCUCAGUAUACGAGUAGAAACCUGGGAGCCCUCCCUUGUUACCCUUCAUGGUGACAAACUAACAAUCUCGCAUGCAAGUUUCUUCCGGAGGUGCUCCAGCUGAGCCUGGGCGAGAAAAAAAAUACAGCUUUCAGUCCACCUCACAGUUUGUUCACUGUGGACACGCCCUGAACUACCAUGCUUUUACCUCACUAUGUUCAAACCCGAGGAUGUUGUGCAUGAUGUACACAUCGCUAUCCUCCUUAAGAUCACGGGAUCAGUAUUCGUCUUUGUUAGUGUGAAGUAUAACAAAAAAAAUUAUCCUUGUUCAAAGUCAGAUGUACUAACCUCGUGCACAGUUUGUUCCGCGCCACUAAAGGGUACACAAAAGUCCAUCCAGUCGUGUCAACCAACCCGGCACCAAAAAUGUCAUUGAACACUCACCCCUUCGACCAUUCGAACCUCUGCGAGCCAAUGCUGGCCUCGAGCUGCCGAGGUUUCUGCUGUUGCAGUACAUCUCAUUGGUAGGAUCCCAGCAGAUUUUGUGGCUGAAGCACACCCAUGGGUAGGACAAGCAUUAGUCAAGAGCAAACUUUAAAUCUUUUAGAACACCAACUACAAAUGUGAAACUAUUUGCUUGCCGUGCACCCACAUUCUAGUUCUAACUUUGCCAGUUCCGCAACAGCAAACAUUUCGUCCAAUCUUAUCUGUUCUUCUUUGUCAACCUCGCCAACAACAUCUUGGUUUGUUUGACUCCUGGCAUUCGCACUAUUCGCCCCAACUCCACUUCCGGCAACAUCUCUCAUUCUCAGCUUCAGCUGAAGCCUGCUCAAGCUCCACAGCCAUGGCCCCCUGCAUGCACAAUUGACUCCAAAUAAACAUUCUUGGACUACCAACCUGACCCAAGGCCACCUCGCAAUUCCGAUGAAAUACGUAGGUUGCUCUACCCAGCUGGUGCUCCAAUGGGUUACCUUACAUUGCAAAACAAUAUUGGUAUUUAUAUUUUUGUGGUCCAGCAUUGCUGCAUUUGUCGACAAAUAGUGCACUCGUCGAACAGCAAUCAAGCUUUUUUUAGAAGGAGGAUGUACCCCCGGCCUCUCCAUUCGGAUGAUGCAUUCAACCAUAUUAUUAAUUAUCCACAAAGAUCAUACAAGGUGAUACAUCAAUAAGCCUGAAGCCAUCAUCUUGGCAAUGUUGUUGCUACUUCUAUCCCCUUGAUGAAGGUGUGUCGGAUGUCCGAGCCUAAUACCAUGCAGACAUCGCACCAAAACCUAACAUAUAAAGCCGGGUGUCCCAUCCAAGCCACUACCUGGAAUGGGUCCCACAUCGGUCUGGCAGACUCCCAGUGAGCACCGCACGCUGCAAGGGUCGUCGCCUCCAUCUUCCAUCAGUCCAUCCUCAAAGCAGAACUGAUGCACUGACCGUGACAGGCCUCUCUGCCAUCAAUGCCACCAUGACGCUGGACAGCUUCCUCCUCCUGCGCGAGUCCAUCUCUGUGCAUCAGACGCCAAGUGUCCAUUGCGCCAUGCCGCCGAGACCCACCGUCAAUGAUACGGUUGAUGCCACACCGCUCCACCUACAUGCCAUCUCGCAUCGACUCCGAACUACCAGCAGCUCCACCACCUUGAGCAGUCCCUGUCCGACGCCUUCAGAAAGGAACACGACACCAAAGUACCAUUGUCGCCCAAACAGAGGAACAGAGACUUUUGCAUGCGCUCAUGGCAGAGGUGGGGGGCGUAUGAUCCACACCAAAGCCUCCAGGAAGGGAAUCGGCGCCGACGGCGUAGACUUUGGUGCGGCCGCCACGCCGGCCUGAAGUUUCCCCUCGAUUCAUGCCCACCCGCCAGACCCUAUCCAGGCAGUAUAAGUGUCGACCGUAUUCGCUACCGUUGCCAGCACGAACUGGAGAGUAGAUCUACUGUAGGUAGGGUAUAAUGUUUGGUACACGUGCAAUGUUCAGAUUCAUUUUUCAUUCGUCAACUCCCAUUCCCAGCCUGAAUUACUAGGGCCCCUUCAGGGAGAGAUACGGGGGAGUUACCCCCGUCAAUUCAUAUUACCUUCCCUCCACAACUCCUAUGUCCCCGAACCAUACAGGGGAUUUUUAGUGUCAUAGCCUCUUAAUUCCCAUUCCCCAGCUUUUCUUCCCCCCAACCAAACAGGCUGUAAGAGUGAUUCUUGCAUCGCGCUCCAGCAUCACAACUCCUUGCCGAACUGAAUCUACUAAGUUCCAUACAAAUUUAGCUUGAUUUAUGUACAUAUGUACAAUGUGACGACAGUAGUGGAGUUGCUUUUUCGCUAAAUUCAACACACAAUGGACAGGAUACUGUAUGCCACCUAGUUUAGAGAUAGCUAUUAAAGUUUUAUCAUUUGAGCAUCCUUAUUCAAAUUAAUAUGUGCUAACGAUACUAUUGAGGCUUCUAAGAUUUAAGUACCCAAACUCGACUUCUGUAGAUAAACAUAGAAGUACAAUCUUUGCAUAGGUAUACACUAUCUUCCAAUAUAUGAUUUCAUUCCAUUGUGUAAUUUGGUCGAAAAAUUACGGCGUGCUUUUGGUGACUAGACUAGAGUAGAAUUGGCAUAAGAGCUAAUGCAAGGAAGAAAAUCAUGCCCCAGACAUUUGCAUAGCCCGACUCAAACUUGCCAAAUGUAGCAAGUUUUUUUAUGCAAAUUCCAAAUGAUAUUUAAUUUAUCAAAAAUAAUGAAAUUUAGUUCAACGUUUCAGGCCUGAAGCAAACCUGAAUCAUCUAUACUUCUUAUCCUCCUAAUCUUUGCAGAACCAGCAAAAGUGGGCAAUAAGAACCGAACAAAUGAAGGCCUCUAUUUUGUCUGCAGCACAUAAACCCUUUAUCACUACUAGGACAAGGCCUACUAAUGGCGCACCAGUUUUGCCUACUAAUGGCGCACUACUGGUGCGUCAUUAGUAUCACGCCACUAAUAUUUUUUACUGAUGGCGCAUCAAUAGUGCGCCAUUAGUAUCUGGUAUACUAAUGGUGCACCACUGGUGCGCCAUUAGUAUAGGCCACGGUGCGCCAUUAAUAUUUUUGAAUUUUGAAGGUGGGAAAAUAGAAGUGGCGCACCGUCUAACCCCCAUGGUGCGCCAUUGCUAAUUUUGAAUUUUGAAUUUGGAUCUGGAUCGCGAUUUCUUUGCCCAUUUUUUGCUCUUUUUUUUUGCACGAUAUUAUUUCAAAUUUUGUUCCUGUUUUUGGAUCUUGUACGUUCUUUUGCCGUGUUCUUUUGCCGGAGAGGAGUUCGCCGGAGAGGAGUUUGCCGGAGAGGAGGAGGAGGUCACCGGAGAGGAGUUCACUGGAGCAUCGGAGAGGAGGAAGGAGAAACCAUGAUGGGAUGGGAGGAGAGGAGGGAGAAGGAGCUCACCGGAGAGGAGGGAGGAGGAGCUCACCGGAGAGGAGGGGGGAGGAGCUCACCGGAGAUGAGGGAGGAGGAGCUCACCGGAGAGGAGGGAGNNNNNNNNNNNNNNNNNNNNNNNNNNNNNNNNNNNNNNNNNNNNNNNNNNNNNNNNNNNNNNNNNNNNNNNNNNNNNNNNNNNNNNNNNNNNNNNNNNNNNNNNNNNNNNNNNNNNNNNNNNNNNNNNNNNNNNNNNNNNNNNNNNNNNNNNNNNNNNNNNNNNNNNNNNNNNNNNNNNNNNNNNNNNNNNNNNNNNNNNNNNNNNNNNNNNNNNNNNNNNNNNNNNNNNNNNNNNNNNNNNNNNNNNNNNNNNNNNNNNNNNNNNNNNNNNNNNNNNNNNNNNNNNNNNNNNNNNNNNNNNNNNNNNNNNNNNNNNNNNNNNNNNNNNNNNNNGUGAGGGGAGGGGAAGGGAGGAGAGGAGAGGAGAGGAGGGAGGAGGAGGUCGCCGGAGAGGAGGAGGAGGUCGCCGGAGAGGAGGAGGAGGAGGUCACUGGAGAGGAGGAGGGUAGUAUGGUGGAGGAGAAAAGGGAAGAUGGAGUGGAGGAGUGGAGGAGAGGUGGAGUGGAGGAGAAGAAUGAAGAGGUAAGGAGGAGAGGACAUGCCCAGCCAUAUAUACGGCAUAGUAAUGACGCAUCGUGGGCAGGUGCGCCAUUACUUUUUUUAAUUUUUUUAAUUUUAAAGGCGGGAAGAUAGUAAUGGCGCACCAUGGGCAGAUGCGCCAUUAGUAACUUUUUUUUAUUUUAAAUUUUGAAGGCGGGAAGAUAGUAAUGGCGCACCAUGGGCAGGUGCGCCAUUAGUAACUUUUUUUUAUUUUUUGAUUUAUUUUGAAUUUUGAAGGCGGGAAGAUAGUAAUGGCGCACCAUGGGCAAGUGCGCCAUUAGUAAGUUUGAUUUUUUUUGAAAUUUUUUGCCUCUCCAGAUCUUAAAAGCCCCGUAUCUUUUUUUCUGUUAGGUUUUUGAGGAUUUUAAAAAUGUUUAACGGGGUUCCCCUGUUAAAUUCGGAUGUAACUUUUCGAGUAGAUGAUUUUUCAUAUAAAAAAAAUUCAUCCGAGUUCGUAUGCAAAAGUUAUGCCCAUUUUUACAAAUUCUUGAAAGAUUUUGCAAAAAAGUCGAAAAUUCAUGUUUGUAAAUUUUGCUAACAACUAGAUCACAUAUCACAUGGGAAUCUUAUUUUCUUUUAUUUUUUUGACAUUUCUAUCAUUUUCUUUUUUUUUUAAACUGAAAAGGCGGUCCAGGGGGGUUGCAUUCGGGGGAAUGUUUGGGACAAAUUACUAAUGGCGCACCGUGGGAAGGUGCGCCAUUACUAGUUUCAACUAGUAAUGCCGCACCACUCUCACAGUGCGCCAUUAGUAGUUUCGGAAAAAUUAAAAAAAAAUUACUAAUGGCGCACCGUGGGAUGUGGUGCGCCAUUAGUAUUUGCACACUAAUGGCGCACCAACACAUGGUGCGCCAUUAGUAUUUAGUAAUGGCGUACCACAUGUACAGUGCGCCAUUAGUGUCCAUCCCAUCUAUAGCUCUUUUCCUAGUUGUGUAUGUUCAAUGUACAAAAAACAAAAUUGCAUCAAGUAAAUGUAACAGAAGAGGAAAAUAAGAGAUAUAUGUAGAAACAGAAAUCGAACAUAUCCGGGCAAACACAACAUCUCGCCGCGCAGAUAAAUUCUAGACGUACUUCCGAGGUGAAGAAAGAAGGUGGAUUUAGAAGCAGGAGAGCAAAGACCCGGGGAUGGGGGCGAGAAACAGAGUUCUAAUGCCUUUGGGUCUACAUCCCCUCUGGAUAUGUGUCUUGGAGUGUCUGAUCUCAUGGCCGUGGGGCUCAUGGUGGCCAGAGACGCCCUGCAGCCUACUAUGGUGCAAUAACUAACUCAAAUGCCAUUGACAGCAUGGAGCUAUGCCAGGAGUGUGGCGGCCCUCUUGGACAUCAGCGCACGCGUAGGAUGCUGGUACAUAGCGGUGGGCGCCGCCAUCGAGAUCAAGGUCGGGGGAGACGGGAGGGGUGCCCCUAGGCGUGCUAAAUAAAGGAGCCUGGGAGCUUGCCGGGCGCCUCCAUUGGUGUUAGGCUGCUGUUAAUGCAUGGGUGCUUAGAUGAGGUGCUAAGCACAUUAAAUAGUUUAACAACUAUACUCCCCAAUGCAUAGGUGCUUAGCUUAUGGUUGCUAAGCUUGCUUCAUUUAAUGAUUUAGCAACUAAAGCUCUUCAUGUAUUGGUGGGCUUUUUUUCUUUAAAUGUUUUGCCUAGGUUCACGAGCUUAGCAUUGUCUCUUCCUGGGUCACCACACUCAUCUCCCUCCUCUUAAAUAACUUGCCACAUCAGAUUUUUUGCCUAUGUGAAAAGCUUAGCACCUGUACAAGGUGGAGCAUUGGGAGGGGCCUUAAUGCACUUUUAGCAAUGGUAACAUUACUCCUCGCUUGAAUACCGGUGGACGAUCUCCAAUCACCCAUUGUUGGGGAACGUAGCAGAAAUUCAAAAUUUUCCUACGUGUCACCAAGAUCUAUCUAUGGAGAAACUAGCAACGAGGGGAAGGAGAGUGCAUCUACAUACCCUUGUAGAUCGCUAAGCGGAAGCGUUCAAGAGAACGGGGUUGAAGGAGUCGUACUCGUCGUGAUCCAAAUCAUCGGAGAUCCUAGUGCCGAACGGAUGGCACCUCCGCGUUCAACACACGUACAGCCCGGUGACGUCUCCCAUGCCUUGAUCCAGCAAGGAGAGAGGGAAAGGUUGAGGAAGACUCCAUCCAGCAGCAGCACAACGGCGUGGUGGUGAUGGAGGAGCGUGGCAAUCCUGCACGGCUUCGCCAAGCACCACGGGAGAGGAGGAGUACUUGGGAGAGGGGGAGGGCUGCGCCAGAACUUGGGUGUGGCUGCCCUCCCACCCCCACAUAUAUAUAGGGGCAAGGGAGAGGGGGGCCGGCCCCCUCAGAUCCAAUCUUAGGAGGGGGCGGCGGCUAGGGGGGUUGCCUUGCCCCCCAAGGCAAGGGGGGCGCCCCCUUUUAGGGUUUCCCCCAAGCCCUAGGCGCCUUGGGCCUUGGUGGACGGCGCACCAGCCCACCUGGGGCUGGUCCCCUCCCACACUUGGCCCAUGCAGCCCUCUGGGGCCGGUGGCCCCACUUGGUGGACCCCCGGGACCCUCCCGGUGGUCCCGGUACAUUAUCGAUAGCACCCGGAACUUUUCCGGUGACCAAAACAGGACUUCCCAUAUAUAAAUCUUUACCUCCGGACCAUUACGGAACUCCUCGUGACGUCCGGGAUCUCAUCCGGGACUCCGAACUACAUUCGGUAACCACAUACAAACUUCCUUUAUAACCCUAGCGUCAUCGAACCUUAAGUGUGUAGACCCUACGGGUUCGGGAACCAUGCAGACAUGACCGAGACCUUCUCCGGUCAAUAACCAGCAGCGGGAUCUGGAUACCCAUGUUGGCUCCCACAUGUUCCACGAUGAUCUCAUCGGAUGAACCACGAUGUCAAGGACUCAAUCGAUCCCGUAUACAAUCCCUUUGUCUAGCGGUAUAGUACUUGCCCGAGAUUCGAUCGUCGGUAUACCGAUACCUUGUUCAAUCUCGUUACCGGCAAGUCUCUUUACUCGUUCCAUAACACAUCAUCCCGCGAUCAAAUCUUUGAUCACGUUGUGCACAUUAUGAUGAUGUCUUACCGAGUGGGCCCAGAGAUACCUCUCCGUCACACGGAGUGACAAAUCCCAGUCUCGAUUCGUGCCAACCCAACAGACACUUUCGGAGAUACCUGUAGUGCACCUUUAUAGUCACCCAGUUACGUUGUGACGUUUGUUACACCCAAAGAAUUCCUACGGUAUCCGGGAGUUGCACAAUCCCAUGAUCUAAGGAAAAGAUACUUGACAUUAGAAAAGCUUUAGCAUACGAACUACACGAUCUCUGUGCUAGGCUUAGGAUUGGGUCUUGUCCAUCACAUCAUUCUCCUUAUGAUGUGAUCCCGUCAUCAAUGAUAUCCAAUGUCAAUGGUCAGGAAACCGUAACCAUUUAUUGAUCAACGAGCUAGUCAACUAGAGGCUUACUAGGGACAUGGUGUUGUCUAUGUAUCCACACAUGUAUCUGAGUUUCUUAUCAAUACAAUUAUAGCAUGGAUAAUAAACGAUUAUCAUGAACAAGAAAAUAUAAUAAUAACUAAUUUAUUAUUGCCUCUAGGGCAUAUUUCCAACACCCACUAUGCCGCAUCGCUGCCCAUUAAUGUGUCGCUAUCUCAUCACAUUUCCCGCACGCUGCCCUUCCGAAAGCAUACACUCUUUCUUGCGAUAUUCGUUGUGCUAACUGAGCCGAUAUUAAACAACAGAUGAUGGCAAGCGAAUAUGUUACGACGAGCUUAAAUGGGCUUCUUGUGGGAGAAGGGUAUGAUUAACCAUAAACCACCGAUUUUGUUACAGGAGUAGCAGCCAAUGAGGCAUACAGUCCACUUAGUGCUAUUUAAAAGUAUCUUACGGCCAAAAAACGACCAUCACAAAAUGAUCCAAUGGUUAGGAAUGGUGGUGGCCUGAGAGGGCAGGAAAGAUGCUCAGGUAUAAUGUGUCUACAUGUGCUUCCCACGGUAUUGAGCACGAACAUUUGUUGUGCUUGGACCAGCGUCCCUUAAGGUGCACACUAUCCGAAUAGACUUUGUUGGUUGCCACCCCCAUAUCUCUGGGACAUAGAGUGGAUGUGACUCUCACGGUGAUUGGUAAUGCACCAACUAUUGUCAUACCCAUGAAGCAACCGUACCAAAACAGGGCACUCACACCUACAUGAACUGCUGUUUGCUGACUCUGGCUUCCCCUGCACACCGGAUAGCACAUGUCAUGGUCAGCGCAACUAAAUUAGUGAUGGGAGCCCCACACAUAAAAGGACAGAAGAGAAGAGAGUGACGUUUUGGCACAUGGGAGCAUGCGUUCCUGAUUUUUAAAAUUUAUUUUAAACAUCCUUUGAAAUGUCAAAAAAUUUCAAACAAAAACUUGGCGCGUACAUUUCGAUAUUAUACAUGCUCACAAAAUUGUUUCUCAAAAAACCGACAACUCACGUGUUGCGUGUGAAAAAGAAAAAAUCCGGUGUUAAAAAAUGCUUUUCACUAAACAUCCUUUUGUCUUUUUUACACAAGCCAGAAAAAAUGAUUGGUUUUCUCCGAAACUUGACAUGCACACAUAUAAUGUCGAGAUGUAUGCGCCAAAUUUUUCUUUGGAAUUUUUUCACACUUUGAAAUAUUUUUUCGUGUGCAGGAGCGCGUGCUCCCGGGAGCACCAACAGAUAUCCAUAGAAUAGAUAAGCAGAAGGCACUACACGCCAAGUAGCCACAAAUGAUUUCCUGCAUCUAUUUGGUCCUCUCAGCGUUCAAUCUAGUCUUACAAUACCUGAUCCCAAACCCAAUCUCCCACGAAUACAAGUUGUAGAUGUCCUGCGCCUCACCUAGCGAGUAGCGAGUUGAAUUCAGUCCCAGUUCUGGCUUGAUUACACUCUCCCUAGCCUCCUCUGCACAUUUCCGAAUCGACUGCUCCAAUGCCAUCAUCCUACAUGGACAAGGCCUUUUGUCCGAUGGAGAACUCCUGAGGUGUAACCUGAUUUUUUUAGGAACACAGUCGAUCGGAUAGAUGCAGGCUUACCUCUUUUAUCCAUCCUGGUCCUCCGGAUUGACCCUAUCAACGAACACCAGAAAUAAUAAAAAUUAUAUCUAUAUCCGUAGACCACAUAGCAAAGAUUACAAGCACUAAAGCGAGCCGAAUGCGCGCCGCUAUCAUUACCCCUCCCUCAACGGAGCUGGGCAAAACUUGUUGUAGUAGACAAUCGGGAAGUCGUCGUGCUAAGGUCUGAUAUGUCUCCGUCGUAUCUACUUUUCCAAAAACUUUUUUCCCUGUUUUGGACUCUAACUUGCAUGAUUUGAAUGGAACUAACCCGGAGUGACGUUGUUUUCAGCAGAACUGCCAUGGUGUUAUUUCUGUGCAGAAAUAAAAGUUCUCGGAAUGACCUCAAAAUCCACGGAGCAAAUUUUCAGAAUUAAUAAAAAAUACUAGUGAAAGAAUCAGCGUUAGGGGGCCCACACCCUAUCCACGAGGGUGGGGGCGCCCCCCUCCCCUAGGGUGCGCCCCCUACCUCAUGGGCCCCCUGGACGUCCACCGACCUCAACUCCAACUCCAUAUAUUUGCUUUCAUGGAGAAAAAAAUCAGAGAGAAAGUUUCAUCGCGUUUUACGAUACGGAGCCGCCGCCAAGCCCUAAUCUCUCUCGGGAGGGCUGAUCUGGAGUCCGUUCGGGGCUCCGGAGAGGGGGAUUCGUCGUUGUCAUCAUCAUCAACCAUCCUCCAUCACCAAUUUCAUGAUGCUCACCGCCAUGCGUGAGUAAUUCCAUCGUAGGCUUGCUGAACGGUGAUGGGUUGGAUGAGAUUUACCAUGUAAUCAAGUUAGUUUUGUUAGGGUUUGAUCCCUAGUGAAGGAAAUAUGCCCUAGAGGCAAUAAUAAAGUUAUUAUUUAUUUCCUCAUAUCAUGCUAAAUGUUUAUUAUUCAUGCUAGAAUUGUAUUCACCGGAAACAUGAUACAUGUGUGAAUACAUAGACAAACAUAGUGUCACUAGUAUGCCUCUACUUGACUAGCUCAUUAAUCAAAGAUGGUUAUGUUUCCUAACCAUAGACAUGUGUUGUCAUUUGAUUAAUGGGAUCACAUCAUUAGGAGAAUGUUGUGAUUGACUUGACCCAUUCCGUUAGCUUAGCACUUGAUCGUCUAGUAUGUUGCUAUUGCUUUCUUCAUGACUUAUACAAAGUUCCUACAACUAUGAGAUUGUGCAACUCCCGUUUACUGGAGGAACACUUUGUGUGCUACCAAACGUCACAGUAUAACUGGGUGAUUAUAAAGGUGCUCUACAGGUGUUUCCAAAGGUACAUGUUGAGUUGGCAUAAUUCGAGAUUAGGUUUUGUCACUCCGAUUGUCGGAGAGGUAUCUCUGGGCCCUCUCGAUAAUACUCAUCACUUAAGCCUUGCAAGCAUUGUAACUAAUGAGUUAGUUAUGAAAUGAUGUAUUACGGAACGAGUAAAGAGACUUGCCGGUAACGACAUUGAACUAGGUAUUGGAUACCGACGAUCGAAUCUCGGGCAAGUUACAUACCGAUGACAAAGGGAACAACGUAUGUUGUUAUGCAGUUUGACCGAUAAUGAUCUUCGUAGAAUAUGUAGGAACCAAUAUGAACAUGCAGGUUCCACUAUUGGUUAUUGACCGAGAAUAGUUCUAGGUCAUGUCUACAUAGUUCUCGAACCCGUAGGGUCCGCACGCUUAACGUUACGAUGACAGUUUUAUUAUGAGUUUAUAAGUUUUGAUGUACCGAAGUUUGUUUGGAGUCCCGGAUGUGAUCACGGACAUGACGAGGAGUCUCGAAAUGGUCGAGACAUAAAGAUUGAUAUAUUGGACGACUAUAUUCAGACACCGGAAGUGUUCCGGGUGAUUUCGGAGAAAACCGGAGUGNNNNNNNNNNNNNNNNNNNNNNNNNNNNNNNNNNNNNNNNNNNNNNNNNNNNNNNNNNNNNNNNNNNNNNNNNNNNNNNNNNNNNNNNNNNNNNNNNNNNNNNNNNNNNNNNNNNNNNNNNNNNNNNNNNNNNNNNNNNNNNNNNNNNNNNNNNNNNNNNNNNNNNNNNNNNNNNNNNNNNNNNNNNNNNNNNNNNNNNNNNNNNNNNNNNNNNNNNNNNNNNNNNNNNNNNNNNNNNNNNNNNNNNNNNNNNNNNNCCUUGGUGGGAAGAGAGUGGGGCGGCCAGGGUGGGCCGCGCGCCUCCUCUCCCUCUCGUCCGAAUUGGACUAGGAGGGGGGGCGGCGCCCCCCUUUCCUUUCCCCCUCUCCCCCUUCCUUCCCACUCCUAGUAGGAGUAGGAAAGGAGGAAUCCUACUCCUUCUAGGAAGAGGAUUCCUCCUCCUUGGCACGUCCCAAGGGGCCGGCCGGCCUCCCCUCUUGCUCCUUUAUAUACGGGGGCAGGGGGGCACCCUGGGACACACAAGUUGAUCUACGAAUCGUUCCUUAGCCGUGUGCAGUGCCCCCCUCCACCAUAUUCCACCUCGGUCAUAUCGUCGCAGAGUUUAGGCGAAGCCCUGCGCCGGUAGAACAUCAUCAUGGUCACCACGCCGUCGUGCUGACGGUACUCAUCCCUGACGCUUUGCUGGAUUGGAGCCCGGGGAAUGUCAUCUAGCUGAACGUGUGCUGAACACGGAGGUGCCGUACGUUCGGUGCUUGGAUCGGUCGAGUCGUGAAGACGUACGACUACAUCAACCGCGUUGUGAUAACGCUUCCGCUUACGGUCUACGAGGGUACGUGGACAACACUCUCCCCUCUCGUUGCUAUGCCAUCACCAUGAUCUUGCGUGUGCGUAGGAAAAUUUUGAAAUUACUACGUUCCCCAACAGUGGCAUCCGAGCCUAGGUUUUAUGCGUUUAUGUUAUAUGCAUGAGUAGAACACAAGUGAGUUGUGGGCGACACAAGUCAUACUGCUUACCAGCAUGUCAUACUUUGGUUCAACGGUAUUGUUGGAUGAAGCGGCCCGGACCGACAUUACGCGUAUGCUUACGCGAGACUGGUUCUACCGACGGGCUUUGCACACAGGUGGCUGGCGGGUGUCAGUUUCUCCAACUUUAGUUGAACCGAGUGUGGCUACGCCCGGUCCUUGCGAAGGUUAAAACAGCACUAACUUGACGAACUAUCAUUGUGGUUUUGAUGCGUAGGUAAGAACGGUUCUUGCUAAGCCCGUAGCAGCCACGUAAAACUUGCAACGACAAAGUAGAGGACGUCUAACUUGUUUUUGCAGGGCAUGUUGUGAUGUGAUAUGGUCAAGACGUGAUGCUCUAUUUAUUGUAUGAGAUGAUCAUGUUUUGUAACCGAAGUUAUCGGCAACUGGCAGGAGCCAUAUGGUUGUCGCUUUAUUGUAUGAAAUGCAAACGCCCUGUAAUUGCUUUACUUUAUCACUAAGCGGUAGCGAUAGUCGUAGAAGCAAUAGAUGGCGUAAACGACAACGAUGCUACGAUGGAGAUCAAGGUGUCGCGCCGGUGACGAUGGUGAUCACGACGGUGCUUCGGAGAUGGAGAUCACAAGCACAAGAUGAUGAUGGCCAUAUCAUAUCACUUAUAUUGAUUGCAUGUGAUGUUUAUCCUUUAUGCAUCUUAUCUUGCUUUGGUUGACGGUAGCAUUUUAAGAGGUGUUCUCUCUGAAUAUGCACCGUUGCCAAAGUUCCUCGUGCCCAGACACCACGUGAUGAUCGGGUAUGAUAAGCUCUACGUCCAUCUACAACGGGUGCAAGCCAGUUUUGCACACGCAGAAUAUUCAGGUUAUACUUGACGAGCCUAGCAUAUGCAGAUAUGGCCUCGGAACACAAAGACCGAAAGGUCGAGCGUGAAUCAUAUAGUAGAUAUGAUCAACAUAGUGAUGUUCACCAUUGAAAACUACUCCAUCUCACGUGAUGAUCGGUUAUGGUUUAGUUGAUUUGGAUCACGUAAUCACUUAGAUGACUAGAGAGAUAUCUAUCUAAGUGGGAGUUCUUAAGUAAUAUGAUUAAUUGAACUUAAAUUUAUCAUGAACUUAGUACCUGAUAGUAUUUUUAUUGUCUAUGUUUGUUGUAGAUAGAUGGCUCGUGCUGUUGUUCCAUUGAAUUUUAAUGCGUUCCUUGAGAAAGCAAAGUUGAAAGAUGAUGGUAGCAAUUACACGGACUGGGUCCAUAACUUGAGGAUUAUCCUCAUUGCUGCACAGAAGAAUUACGUCCUGGAAGCACCGCUGGGUGCCAGGCCUGCUGCAGGAGCAACACCAGAUGUUGUGAACGUCUGGCAGAGCAAAGCUGAUGACUACUCUAUAGUUCAGUGUGCCAUGCUUUACGGCUUAGAACCGGGUCUUCAACGACGUUUUGACUGUCAUGGAGCAUAUGAGAUGUUCCAGGUGUUGAAGUUAAUAUUUCAAGUAAAUGCCCGGAUUGAGAGAUAUGAAGUCUCCAAUAAGUUCUACAGCUGCAAGAUGGAGGAGAAUAGUUCUGUUAGUGAGCAUAUAGUCAAAAUGUCUGGGUAUAAUAAUCACUCGAUUCAACUGGGAGUUAAUCUUCCGGAUGAUAGCAUCAUUGACAGAAUUCUCCAAUCACUGCCACCAAGCUACAAGAGCUUCGUGAUGAACUAUAAUAUGCAAGGGAUGAACAAGACAAUUCCCGAGCUCUUCGCAAUGCUAAAGGCUGCGGAGGUAGAAAUCAAGAAGGAGCAUCAAGUGUUGAUGGUCAACAAGACCACUAGUUUCAAGAAAAAGGGCAAAGGGAAGAAGAAGGGGAACUUCAAGAAGAACAGCAAGCAAGUUGCUGCUCAAGAGAAGAAACCCAAGUCUGGACCUAAGCCUAAAACUGAGUGCUUCUACUGCAAGCAAACUGGUCACUGGAAGCGGAACUGCCCCAAGUAUUUGGCGGAUAAGAAGGAUGGCAAAGUGAACAAAGGUAUAUGUGAUAUACAUGUUAUUGAUGUGUACCUAACUAGAGCUCGUAGUAGCACCUGGGUAUUUUAUACUGGUUCUAUUGCUAAUAUUUGCAACUCGAAACAGGGACUACGGAAUAAGCGAGCACUGGCCAAGGACGAGGUGACGAUGCGCAUGGGAAACGGUUCCAAAGUCGAUGUGAUCGCGGUCGGCACGCUACCUCUACAUCUACCUUCGGGAUUGUCUUAGACCUGAAUAAUUGUUAUUUGGUGCCAAUGUUGAGCAUGAACAUUAUACCUGGAUCUUGUUUGAUGUGAGACGAUUAUUCAUUUAAAUCAGAGAAUAAUGGUUGUUCUAUUUAUAUGAGUAAUAUCUUUUAUGGUCAUGCACCCUUGAAGAGUGGUCUAUUUUUAUUGAAUCUCGAUAGUAGUGAUACACAUAUUCAUAAUGUCCAAGCCAAAAGAUGCAGAGUUGAUAAUGAUAGUGCAACUUAUUUGUGGCACUGCCGUUUAGGUCAUAUCGGUGUAAAGCGCAUGAAGAAACUCCAUACUGAUGGACUUUUGGAAUCACUUGGUACUUGCGAAUCGUGCCUCAUGGGCAAGAUGACUAAAACACCGUUCUCCGGUACUAUGGAGAGAGCAACAGAUUUGUUUGAAAUCAUACAUACAGAUGUAUGUGGACCGAUGAAUAUUGAAGCUCGUGGCGGAUAUCGUUAUUUUCUCAGCUUCACAGAUGAUUUGAGCAGAUAUGGGUAUAUCUACUUAAUGAAACACAAGUCUGAAACAUUUGAAAAGUUCAAAGAAUUUCAGAGUGAAGUGGAAAAUCAUCGUAACAAGAAAAUUAAGUUUCUACGAUCUGAUAGUGGAGGAGAAUAUUUGAGUUACGAGUUUGGUUUACAUUUGAAACAAUGCGGAAUAGUUUCGCAACUCACGCCACCCGGAACACCACAACGUAAUGGUGUGUCCGAACGUCGUAGUCGUACUUUACUAGAUAUGGUGCGAUCUAUGAUGUCUCUUACUGAUUUACCGCUAUCGUUUUGGGGUUAUGCUUUAGAGCUGGCUGCAUUCACAUUGAAUAGGGCACCAUCAAAAUCCGUUGAGACGACGCCUUAUGAACUAUGGUUUGGCAAGAAACCAAAGUUGUUGUUUCUUAAAGUUUGGGGCUGCGAUGCUUAUGUGAAGAAACUUCAACCAGAUAAGCUCGAACCCAAAUCGGAGAAAUGUGUCUUCAUAGGAUACCCAAAAGAGAGACUGUUGGGUACACCUUCUAUCACAGAUCCGAAGGCAAGACAUUCGUUGCUAAGAAUGGAUCCUUUCUAGAAAAAGAGUUUCUCUCGAAAAAAGUGAGUGGGAGGAAAGUAGAACUUGAUGAGAUAACCAUGUCUGCUCCCUCAUUGGAAAGUAGUUCAUCACAGAAAUCAGUUCUUGUGACAUCUACACCAAUUAGUGAGGAAGAUAAUGAUAUUGAUCAUGAAACUUCAGAUCAAGUUUCUACUGAACCUCGUAGGUCUACCAGAAUAAAAUCUGCACCAGGGUGAUACGGUAAUCCUAUUCUGGAAGUCAUGUUACUUGACCAUGAUGAACCUACGAACUAUGAGGAAGCGAUGAUGAGCCCAGAUUCCGCAAAAUGGCUAGAAGCCAUGAAAUCUGAGAUGGGAUCCAUGUAUGAAAACAAAGUAUGGACUUUGGUUGACUUGCCCGAUGAUCGGCAAGCAAUUGAGAAUAAAUGGAUCUUUAAGAAGAAGACUGACGCUGACGGUAAUGUAACUGUCUAUAAAGCUUGACUUGUUGCGAAAGGUUUUCGACAAGUUCAAGGGGUUGACUACGAUGAGACUUUCUCACCCAUAGUGAUGCUUAAGUCUGUCUGAAUCAUGUUAGCGAUUGCCGCAUUUUAUGAUUAUGAAAUUUGGCAGAUGGAUGUCAAAACUGCAUUUCUGAAUGGAUUUCUGGAAGAAGAGUUGUAUAUGAUGCAACCGGAACAUUUUGUCGAUCCUAAGGGAGCUAACAAAGUGUGCAAGCUCCAGCGAUCAAUCUAUGGUCUGGUGCAAGCCUCUCGGAGUUGGAAUAAAUGCUUUGAUAGUGUGAUCAAAGCAUAUGGUUUUAUACAGACUUUUGGAGAAGCCUGUAUUUACAAGAAAGUGAGUGGGAGCUCUGUAGCAUUUCUAAUAUUAUAUGUGGAUGACAUAUUGUUGAUUGGAAAUGAUAUAGAAUUUCUGAAUGGCAUAAAAGGAUACUUGAAUAAAAGUUUUUCAAUGAAAGACCUCGGUGAAGCUGCUUACAUAUUGGGCAUUAAGAUCUAUAGAGAUAGAUCAAGACGCUUGAUUGGACUUUCACAAUGCACGUACCUUGAUAAAGUGUUGAAAAAGUUCAAUAUGGAUCAGGCGAAGAAAGGGUUCUUGCCUGUAUUACAAGGUAUAAAGUUGAGUCAGACUCAAUGCCCGACCACUGCAGAAGAUAGAGAGAAAAUGAAAGGAGUUCCCUAUGCUUCAGCCAUAGGAUCUACCAUGUAUGCAAUGCUGUGUACCAGACCUGAUGUGUGCCUUGCUAUUAGUUUGGCAGGGAGGUACCAAAGUAAUCUAGGAGUGGGUCACUGGACAGCGGUCAAGAACAUCCUGAAAUACCUGAAAAGGACUAAGGAUAUGCUUCUCGUAUAUGGAGGUGACAAAGAGCUAGUCGUAAAUGGUUACGUCGAUGCAAGCUUUGACACUGAUCCGGACGAUUCUAAAUCGCAAACCGGAUACGUAUUUUUGUUAAACGGUGGAGAUGUAAGUUGGUGCAGUUCUAAACAAAGCGUCGUGGCGGGAUCUACAUGUGAAGCAGAGUACAUAACUGCUUCGGAAGCAGCAAAUGAAGGAGUCUGGAUGAAGGAGUUCAUUUCUGAUCUAGGUGUUAUACCUAGUGCAUCGGGACCAAUGAAGAUCUUCUGUGACAAUACUGGUGCAAUUGCCUUGGCAAAGGAAUCCAGAUUUCACAAGAGGACGAAGCACAUCAAGAGAAGCUUCAAUUCCAUUCGGGACCAAGUCCAAGUGGGAGACAUAGAGAUUUGCAAAAUACAUACGGAUCUGAAUGUUCCAGACCCAUUGAGUAAGCCUCUCUCACGAGCAAAACAUGAUCAGCACCAAGACUCCAUGGGUGUUAGAAUCAUUACUAUGUAAUCUAGAUUAUUGACUCUAGUGCAAGUGGGAGACUGAGGGAAAUAUGCCCUAGAGGCAAUAAUAAAGUUAUUAUUUAUUUCCUCAUAUCAUGAUAAAUGUUUAUUAUUCAUGCUAGAAUUGUAUUAACCGGAAACAUGAUACAUGUGUGAAUACAUAGACAAACAUAGUGUCACUAGUAUGCCUCUACUUGACUAGCUCAUUAAUCAAAGAUGGUUAUGUUUCCUAACCAUAGACAUGUGUUGUCAUUUGAUUAAUGGGAUCACAUCAUUAGGAGAAUGUUGUGAUUGACUUGACCCAUUCCGUUAGCUUAGCACUUGAUCGUUUAGUAUGUUGCUAUUGCUUUCUUCAUGACUUAUACAAAGUUCCUACAACUAUGAGAUUGUGCAACUCCCGUUUACCGGAGGAACACUUUGUGUGCUACCAAACGUCACAACGUAACUGGGUGAUUAUAAAGGUGCUCUACAGGUGUCUCCAAAGGUACAUGUUGAGUUGGCAUAAUUUGAGAUUAGGUUUUGUCACUCCGAAUGUCGGAGAGGUAUCUCUGGGCCCUCUCGGUAAUACUCAUCACUUAAGCCUUGCAAGCAUUGUAACUUAUUAGUUAUUUAUGAAAUGAUGUAUUACGGAACGAGUAAAGAGACUUGCCGGUAACGAGACUGAACUAGGUAUUGGAUACCGAUGAUCGAAUCUCGGGCAAGUAACAUAGCGAUGACAAAGGGAACAACGUAUGUUGUUAUGCGGUUUGACCGAUAAAGAUCUUCGUAGAAUAUGUAGGAACCAAUAUGAACAUCCAGGUUCCACUAUUGGUUAUUGACCGAGAAUAGUUCUAGGUCACGUCUAUAUAGUUCUCGAACACGUAGGGUCCGCACGCUUAACGUUAUGAUGAUAGUUUUAUUAUGAGUUUAUAAGUUUUGAUGUACCGAAGUUUGUUCGGAGUCCCGGAUGUGAUCACGGACAUGACGAGGAGUCUCAAAAUGGUCAAGACAUAAAGAUUGAUAUAUUGGACGACUAUAUUCGAACACCGGAAGUGUUCCGGGUGAUUUCGGAGAAAACCAGAGUGUCGGAGGGUUACCGGAACCCUCCCGGGAGAGUUAAUGGGCCACAUGGGCCUUGGUGGGAAGAGAGAGGGCGGACAGGGUGGGCCAUGCGCCCCCUCUCCCUCUAGUCCGAAUUGGACUAGGAGGGGGGGCGGCGCCCCCCUUUCCUUUCCCCCUCUCCCCCUUCCUUCCCCCUCCUAGUAGGAGUAGAAAAGGAGGAAUCCUACUCCUACUAGGAGGAGGAUUCCUCCUCCUUGGAGCGCCCCAAGGGGCCGGCCGGCCUCCCCCCCUUGCUCCUUAGGACACACAAGUUGAUCUACGGAUCGUUCCUUAGCCAUGUGCGGUGCCCCCCUCCACCAUAUUCCACCUCGGACAUAUCGUCGCGGAGUUUAGGCGAAGCCCUGCGCCGGUAGAACAUCAUCAUCGUCACCACAUCGUCGUGCUGACGAAACUCAUCCCCGGCGCUUUGCUGGAUUGGAGCCUGGGGAACGUCAUCGAGCUGAACGUGUGCUGAACACGGAGGUGCCGUACGUUCGGUGCUUGGAUCGGUCGAGUCGUGAAGACGUACGACUACAUCAACCGCGUUGUGAUAACGCUUCCGCUUACGGUCUACGAGGGUACGUGGACAAUACUCUCCCCUCUCGUUGCUAUGCCAUCACCAUGAUCUUGUGUGUGCGUAGGAAAAUUUUGAAAUUACUACGUUCCCCAACACCUAGUAUCCACUAUGUUCUGAGUUUGAUGUUGCUAUGACUUUGCUAUGCUCAAUGCUUGUCACUAGGACCCAAGUGCCAUGAUUUUAUAUAUGAACCUAUUAUGUUUUCAUGAAUAUAUGUGAGUUCUUGAUCCUAUCAUGCAAGUCUAUAGUCACCUAUUAUGUGUUAUGAUUCCACAACCCCGAAGUGACAAUAAUUGGGAUACUUCUCGGUGAUGACCGUAGUUUGAGGAGUUCAUGUAUUCACUAUGUGUUAAUGCUUUGGUCCGGUACUCUAUUAAAAGGAGGCCUUAAUAUCCCUUAGUUUCCAUUAGGACCCCGCUGCCGCGGGAGGGUAGGACAAAAGAUGGCAUGCAAGUUCUUUUCCAUAAGCACAUAUGACUAUAUUCAGAAUACAUGCCUACAUUACAAUGAUGAACUGGAGCUAGUUCUGUGUCACCCUAUGUUAUAACUAUUACAUGAGGAAUCGCAUCCGACAUAAUUAUCCAUCACUGAUCCAAUGCCUAUGAGCUUUUCACAUAUUGUGCUUUGCUUAUUUACAUUACCGUUGCCACUGUUACAAUUACUACAAAACUGCUACCGUUACUUUUGCUACCGUUACCGUUACUUCCAUACUACUUUGCUACUAAAUACUUUGCUGCAGAUACUAAGUUAUCCAGGUGUGGUUGAAUUGACAACUCAACUGCUUAAUACUUAAGAAUAUUCUUUGGCUCCCCUUGUGUCGAAUCAAUAAAUUUGGGUUGAAUACUCUACCCUCGAAAACUGUUGCGAUCCCCUAUACUUGUGGGUUAUUAAGACUAUUUUCUGGCACCGUUGCCUAGGAGCAUAGAUCUAUUCUUUGAAUCACUUGAGAUUUCUAUCUGCUGGUCACUAUGAGGAACUUCAAAGACGAAAGAACUAAGAUUUAUCCCUCAACUACGAGGGGAGAUAAGGAACUACCAUCUAGAUCUGCACUAGAUUCUCCUUCUGUUAUGAGUAAGCUUGCGACACCUAAACCUGCUUCUGCUAUUAAUUCUGAUAUUUCGCAUGUUAUUGAUGAUGCCACUUCUACUAUGCAUGAUACUUAUGAUGAAACUACUUUUGUGCUUGAUACUACUGUGCCAUUAGGUGAAUAUCUUGAUGCACAACUUGCUAGGGUUAGAGAGAAAGAAAUUCUUGAAACUGAUAUUAUUGAAGAUAGUGAUGAUGAAGGUUCUCCCCCUAAAUAUGAAUUGCCUGUUGUUCCUGAGGGUUAUGUUAUGGAUGAAGAAACUGUUAGAGAUUUUCUUGCUUGCAAUGAUAGAUCUGAUCUUAAGAAGUUAUUAGCUAAACUGAAACAGAAAACUCUGAAUGCUAGAAUGAAAUAUGACCGUGCUUUUUCUACUUCACCUAUCUUUAUUACUGAUAAGGAUUAAGAUUUCUCUGUUGAUCCUGAGAUAAUUACUUUGGUUGAAUCUGAUCCUUUCUAUGGCUAUGAAUUUGAAACUGUUGGGGCACAUCUUACUAAGUUAAAAGAUAUAGCCACCCUGUUCACUAAUGAUGAGAAAUCUCGCUACUACUAUAUUCUUAAGAUAUUUGCGUUCUCAUUAAAGGGUGAUGCUAAAACUUGGUUUAAUUAUUUUGAUCCUGGUUGUGUGGGUAGUCCCCGGGAUAUGAUUUAUUACUUCUCUGCUAAAUAUUUCCUUGCUCAUAAGAAACAAGCUGCCUUGAGGGAAAUAUAUAAUUUUGUGCAAAUUGAAGAAGAGAGUCUCCCACAAGCUUGGGGGAGGCUUCUCCGGUUGCUUAAUGCUUUGCCUGAUCAUCCUCUUAAGAAAAACGAAAUACUUGAUAUCUUUUACUAACUGAUGCUUCCAAGGACAACUUGGAUAGUUGUGCUGGUUGUGUUUUCAGGGAAAGAACAGUCGAUCAAGCUAAAUUGCUAUUGAAUAAUAUGUUGACUAAUGAAAAUAAUUGGACUCUUCCUGAGCCAAUUCUUGAGCCAACUCCUAAACCUACUCCGAAGAAGAGGGGUGUUCUAUUUCUUAGUCCCGAAGAUAUGCAAGAGGGAAAGAAAUCUAUGAAAGAAAAAGGUAUUAAAGCUAAAGGUGUUAAGAAUUUACCUCCUGUUGAAGAAAUACAUGGUCUUAAUUUACCACCUAUUGAAGAAACACAUGGUCUUGAUAACCCGACACAGGUAGUAAAGGUAAAUUCUCUCUAUAGAUAUGAUAAGGUUGAAAUCCCGUCUACUAAGUUUGCUAGCCAAUGCUUGGAUGAAUUUGAUGACUUUAUGGCUAGACAAGAAAAUUUCAAUGCUUAUGUUGGUAGAGAAUUAAAGAGUAAUUCUUAUAUGAUUGGACGCUUGAGUGAUUAUAUGGCUAGAGUUAAAGGUGAACUUAAACUCAUUAGUAAAUAUGCUUCUAUGGUUACCACUCAAGCAGAAUAAGUACUUAAAGCUCAAAGUCAUUUGCUCGAUGAAUUAAAUAAUAAACAUGAUUUUGUAUUUAUAGUGGCUACUAGAACGGGUAGAAUGACUCAGGAACCUUUGUAUCCUGAAGGCCACCCUAAGAGAAUUGAGCAAGAUUCUCAGAGAAAUAAUGUAGAUGCACCUAGUCCUUCUAAAAAGAAGAAAAAGAAAAAUGAUAGGACUUUGCAUGCUUCUAGUGAACCCGUUGUAGACACACCUGAGAAUCCCAAUGAUACUUCUAUUUCUGAUGUUGAAACACAAUCUGGUGAUGAACAUGAACCUAGUGAUAAUGUUAAUGAUAAUGUUCAUGUUGAUGCUCAACCUAGAAAUAAUAAUGAUGUAGAGAUUGAACCUGCUGUUGAUCUUGAUAACCCACAAUCAAAGAAUCAACGUUAUGAUAAGAGUGAUUUUGUUGCUAGGAAGCACGGUAAAGAAAGAGAACCAUGGGUUCAGAAACCCAUGCCUUUUCCUCCUAAGCCAUCUAAGAAAAAGGAUGAUGAGGAUUUUGAGCACUUUGCUGAAAUGAUUAGACCUAACUUCUUACGUAUGCGCUUAACUGAUAUGCUUAAAGUGAAUCCUUAUGCUAAAUACAUGAAGGAUAUUAUUACAAAUAAAAGAAAGAUACCGGAAGCUGAAAUUUCCACCAUGCUUUCUAAUUAUACUUUUAAAGAUGGAAUACCUAAGGAACUAGGAGAUCCAGGAGUACCAACUAUACCAUGCUCCAUUAAAAGAAACUAUGUUAAAACUGCUUUAUGUGAUCUUGGAGCCGGUGUUAGUGUUAUGCCUCCCUCUUUAUAUCGUAGACUUGAAUUGAAUAAGUUGAGACCUACUGAAAUAUCUUCGCAAAUGGCCGAUAAAUCAACUGCUAUACCUGUCGGUAUUUGUGAGGAUGUGCCUGUUGUGGUUGCAAACAUCACUAUCUUAACGAACUUUGUGAUUCCUGAUAUUCCUGAGGACAAUAGCAUGUAUAUUAUCCUUGGUAGACCCUUUUUGAAUACUGUAGGGGUUGUUAUUGAUUGCAACAAAGGCAAUGUCACUUUUCAUAUUAAUGGUAAUGAGCAUACGGUACACUUUCCGAGGAAACAACCUCAAGUUCAUAGCAUCAAUUCUAUUAGAAAAAUUCCAACUAUUAUUAUUGGAGGUUUUGAAUUUCCUCUUCCUACUGUCAAGAAGAAAUAUGAUAUUCUUAUUUUUGGGGAUGUGCAUAUCCCCAUUAAGGUAACCUGGUGUCAUUCGAAAUUUCUCCGGUUCCAUGUUAUUCGGAAUGAGUUUGUUAACAAGACUUGAUCAACCUUGUUAGUGGAUUCCUUUUGAUGAGCAUGAGAUGGAUGAAGUUAGAAAGCACAACCUCCUGUACCCUCCUUUUACUUUCUGUUAUUUAGAUUAAAUAAAGUAAAAAUAGUAUUUUCUGUCUGUUUUCUGGAUUAUCCAUGCAAUAAACAAUACCCCGAAAAUAAAAUUUCUCCAAAUGCCCUACAAAUUUAGUAUGAUUUUUCUGGAAAAUUUGAGAAUAUUUGGCACUGAGAACACAACAGGGGGAGCUGGCACCUGGCCACGAGGGUCCAGGGCGCGCCCACCCCUAUAGGGCACACCCCCUGCCUCGUGGGCCCAUGGUGGCCCCCUCCACUUAUUCCCGCACCCACACACUUCUUCUUCCUCCCAAAAAAAUCACCAUCUAGCUCAAGCACGAGUUCUAGCUCAUUUUGCUGCAGUUUUUGAUCUCCUUGCUCAAAGUUCCAUUCACAAAACUGCUUUGGGAGAUUGUUCCUUGGUAUGUGACUCCUCCAAUGGUCCAAUUAGUUUUUGUUCUAGUGCUUUAUUCAUUGUGGCACCCCGGCUCAGAGAAACCGGAACGCCCCGUAUUCCAGCCCAAAGAUCAAGGAGAAGUCUUCUAGAAUACGGCACUGCUUAGCAUAGAACAAACCAGCUUUCUACUAUUACACAAAUAUGAAUACAAGGUCUCCGAUAUUACAAUGAAUAACAUCGAUACGGCGACACUAUGCCAUCCUCGGUUACUCUAUGCAAGCAGCAGAACAACUCGAAGUAGCGGAAGAACUCUAGCAGCGGACCAAUGACGAUGGUGGUGAACUCCACUCCGCAGGGACUCUGGCUAGAACGCUUAUCCUAACUCCGUCGUGGCCCGUCCCACUCUAGGACAAGGAUCCGAAAACUAACUCAACAAUGGGCACACAAGGCUUAUGUCCGCCUACCUAAUCGGGGUAGCGCGCGCCCAUAACCUUCCCUCGUUGGAGGCACCGGCGAGAGGCACAACAAUAGACCCAGUUAGGACCGACCCAUACCGGUAAGCGUGGUUGCACUGGUCAGCAUCGAUUCAGCGGCACCAUGACUCAGCCAACAGUUGUUCAAGUUCAAUUUAAUCCGGUUAACUUGAAUGCAAAUAUGCUGAGUCAUGAUAAAAUGCAUGAACAUGAUAUCAACAUCAUCAUGAGUGUAUCACAUAACUUUCCACCAUAUCAACAAUAAAUCAUAUCCACUGAGCAUGGCAUACUGACUAGCACGACCAUCACCAACAUCAACAUGUACUACUAGCAAUCAUAAAUAUAUGAAAGUUAAUACUAGCAGGUAGAACAUGAUAACAGAGUACAAGACAUCAUAGCACAAAGGUUAACAUGCAACUCUAAACAUCACCGGAACAACGAUAACCAUCUUGUCAACAAGCAAAUAUUUAAUAAAGAUUCAAGUUGAAAACCAUGGCUACUGCACGACUAUCAUGCAAGUGGGUAUUGUGGCUUGCCUGGGGAUGAAGAAGGCACCGGGGAGAAGUGCGGUGAAGCCGCGAAACGAAUUGCUGGAAAAUGUUGUCUCUCGGAGGGGGCUGACUAAGGGCAAGGGCAAAAUGUUCAUUUUCAGUAUGCCAAAACAUAAUGAAAGUUAGACCAACAGAAAGGGCUCGACGAAACAAAGAAGUGAGCAUUGGAUUCACCUCGUUUGGAGUUACGGAUAAAAAGAUAUAAGGGUUUUACUGUGAGGGACCUAUCUGUAAACAUUUAUUUUACAGAUUGGGCCAAAACAAAAAAACGGAAAGCGCAUGCCAAGAUUUACGUUUCCACUUAUCCAGCGUGACAGUGGCGGGGCCGGCUCCUGUGUGGCCGACAGGCGGGUCCCACCUUAUCCACUCCCUCUCUCUCCCCCCUUCUCUUCUUCCUCUCUCCUUCUCCCGACGCCGCACGCAGAGCAGAGGAGAGGCCGCCGGCGCCGACGCUCGCUCCGGCCACUCGGGCCACCUCCGACGGAGCUUGGACCGCCGGAGUGCUCAGGACGGCGAGGCGCACCCGUCCCACCACCACACGAACAUCGGGGAGACUCGGGCAGGGCGGGACCAUGGCCACGGCGAACGGGGCUUCGGCCGAUGAUAGAGGACAAGGCCAUGGCAAUUCCGGCGACUAACGGAGGGCUGCAGAGAGGCUAUGAUGGCUGGCUGACCUACUAGAGGUGGAAGAUACAGGAGAGGGGCUUCGGUUCGGCGGAAUCGGACUGGACAGGGGCGGCGGCCAUGGCGGCAAGGGCGGGCUCAGGAGCUCUUGGAGUUCGAACGAGUGGACGGGGAGGUUGCUGGGAGUGAGGCGAGUCUCGGGGUGAGCUCAGACAAGGCCGGGGAUGGCUUAAAUAGCCGCGGGGCAAGGUGGCCGACCUGGCACCACCGCGGACGCGUGGCCGGCGCCACGGACGCGUGCCCGCGCGCAUGAACUCAGGGGAAAACGACGGAGGAGGAGGAGUGGGGGCUCUCAUGGGGCAGAGGAUGCCAAUGGGGCGCAGGGAGGAAGACUACGGUCACGGGAAGAUCCAAAACCCCACUGUGCUCUCGUGUUCACGCGGCGGCGAGCGUCGAUGAGCAAGCAGACGGAGGGGGAGAGGGGUCCAGGGGAACGACGAUGAGGAGAGGAAGACAAUGGACAGGCUCACGAGCGCGAAAACGGCAAGAGGGGGAGGGGCGCGAGCAAGAAGACGCUCUGGGCGUGGCCAUUGCACGCCAAAACGGUGGUCACCAUGUGAACCGGUGCACACAGUGCCACAAGUGAUGCCAAACCAUGUCUGGGGGUUAGUCCCUCAUGGGUAAGUUGUAACUACGGGGGUAACUAAGUGAAAACGUCUCUGGUUAAAUACUUAGUGAGCUCUGAAGUUUACUGCAGUAAACUUUACCAGCUCAAUAUGAUCAACAGGGAGUUACCUGAAGCCACGGAAUUUGUCUGGGGUGUAUAGCUAUGGAGGGACUAUGAUCCUGGAGGUUUUGAGGGGAAAUGGAACAAGAUAAAUCGUAUUUGCUUUGCAACUGCCAAAAUGGUCCAGAAAUGAAGAUUAGGAUGGUGCACUCACAUGGAGUGUCCACUUGAGCUCAAAUUGGGCAAGGCUUAGUCAUUUGGUCAUAUGAAGAUGCUCACAAAGUAUCAUACCAUUUGGCAAAGCCAAAAUGGUACUUGCUUCACAAACAUCUCUACUGACCAGAAACUUGAAAUAAUUAUGGUGAUCAAAUGGAUCAAUGAAAUGAUGCCAAAUUGGGUGGAGAGAUGUUUUAUGGGUAUAAGAAGGAUCUGGUAAUUUAUCAGGAUUUUUGAAGCAAUAUAAAAUACACUUCCUUCACAACCUGGAAAUAUUGCUAGAAACAAAGAUUUGCUCCUAUGCUCACAUAGAUAAUUGGAUGGGGCUGCAUAUGGGUGGAAGGGGUUAGUAUGAGCACUUUAAGGAGUGUGCAAAAUUUUAACUCAUUUUGAGACUCCUUGCUAGUACUUCCUGCAUAAAGCCUUCCGUUUGACAGAAACUUUGAAAAAUCACUGAGGAAGAUUGGCUAGGCAAAUAAAUUUAAACUUGUGCAUGGGGCAAUUAUUUGGACAUGUAAACAUGCCCAAAAAGGUUGGGAUUCAAUAGGAGAAAUAUAAAUGACACUUCCUUCACAAAGUGCCAUGCAGGGCAAAAUAGAAAAAGGAAUUUUUGGGGAAUUAUUUAAUGGAAAUAAAAAGUUUUGCCAUAUUUGAGCAAGAUAUGACCCAAACAAUUUAUGAGAAUUAUUUGGGAAUUUUUGGAGUAAUGGAAACAGAGGUUGCUUCACAACCUAGGGCAAUUUGAGUUAUUCUUUAAUUGAAAAGGAAUAUUCCCAAUAAAAAGAAUAUUAAGAUUUGGGCUAGGAUGGAAAUGACAGGGUCUAGCGAAAGAUUUGGGGAUGACAAGCCACUCUGCAAGCAAAGAAGAGGUCAUCUCGUUCAGUUUCCAGACCACAAAGCCACGGAAAAAGAAAACUCAGGCAAAAACCUCAGAAAAACAAAAGAAAAAGAAAGGGCCAAAAAUCAGGCUGUCACAAACCUUACCCCCUUAAAGAAAUCUCGUCCUCGAGAUUUGGUUGCUCAGGGAACAAGUAUGAAUAUUCUGACUUGAGGAAACCGUUUCCAACUCGGGUAUCCUUUUUUCCUUUAUUGGUGUUCCCAUUAAAUUUUUAUCUGACUGGCCCUGGGGUGGUUUGAUUUGCUUUAUCCACAUUCUGACAGAUCUUACCUUGCUUGCUCAUGCUUAUAUAGGCUCCAAUUUCUUUUUAGAUCUGCUGACUAGCUGAGUGUGAUUUAAUUAUCACGACUGAAAUAUAUGUCCGUCUCACAAAUCCAAAAGUGAUUUCCGCUGGGUGUGCCACCUGGCACUGACAACCUUUCAUGUAAUGAUGAUUUCUGAUGAAAACUCAAGCUCUGACUCAUUGCAUUGGGUUUCUCCACUAAAUGCAGGUCCUUUGGGUUCCAAACAGUGAGUUAAAACAUAACCAUUUCCUGACAGAUUCUGACGCAUCGCAGGAGUUUCUGAAUCAUCUUACCGGUUCCACUGUCGUGAGUAUCGGAUCCGUACCAAAUAUUUGAUUGUCUCCUGUCGCGGCCAGCAUAAAGGGUUUGGCCUGUAUUAUAAUAUCUGCAGAGUUGACUGAUGGUGGUUCUGACGGAAAACUUUUGUUCAUGACAGGCUGUCCAUGAUGAUUCAUAUUAGUGAGGACUCAGGCUUCCAGACUGUUAUCCUCAUGCUGAUUAUUCAUGCUGUAGGCAUAUCCAUGUGGAUCAAUUACUGACUUAGACUGUCCGGGGAAUCUGCACCAUGGGGGUCAUGUACGAUUUUCAUACCUGCCUCACUGGUCUUGCUCCUUCAUUAUUGUUUUCUUGGUCUGGAUCUUUGGCUAAAAGAGCUGGGCCAUAUUGUUUCUUUGUAUGACCAUAGAUACUGUUGGUGCAAUUUUCUCAGCAAUCGUAGCUUAUUCUCAUUUUUCUAACAGGGUAACCCAUUAAAUGGCAGGUUCAACACCUCUCAAGUUCUGAUUGUUGGGAAAUGAUCAUCCAAAAUCCUUGCAAGAACUCUGCAAAUAAAUCAGUAGCCACCAGAAUGGUCUUUAUAACUCAGAUCUGGGACAUUACUGAAAUAACUCAACCACGGCUCAAGACGGCCGAAAAACAGCUCAGGGCAUGAGACCGGGUCGAUAAGAAGAAGGUGGCAGCUCCCUAAAAUAGCCAAAAGCAGCUAUAGGGCUACUGUCACAAAAAGAAACUCAACAGCUGUACGAGACAGCCGAAAAGUAGCUCAGACUCGUGAUAGUUGUUGAAGAGAGAAACAAAAAUCGGCAUCCACCCCGGAUAGCUAGAAACAUCUUAGGUCACAGGCGUGGUGCCGUCAUUGGAGAAAAGGGGACAAGGGCCCAUCAGGAUCAUUUUCCAGGUUCACGGGUACUUGUAUUGAGCUCAUUGAUGUCGUCAAUCCUCAUAAUCCUUUGUCACACUGUGGUGUAUACUGGCUUUCUUCUAUUAACCAUUCUCACGUGGUUGUUGGAUCCUCAUCCGAGUGACUUGUAAAAUCUUGAUGGUAUUCUCAUUGCAUAUAUAUGAGAAUCUGAUUCCCGAGAUAGAUGUGUAUUCUGACUGAUUCUUGAGAUUCACUGCCAUAUGUUGGCAAUUCACAGUGUACUACCUUGUACCAAUGUCUUACUGAGGGAUAUUAGCUGGCUUGUGCUCGAAGCUUUCAUCGGAUAGCUUGCUGAAGAAGACUGGGUAUCGUGCUUCAGAAACUUACCCCCUUGAAGACUUUGCUGGGGAAAGACUCUGUACCUUAUGCUGGAAGCUUUUGAAGUUGCUUACUGAAGAAGACAGGGUACCUUGCACGGGAAGUCGUCCAUGUAUCGUACUGAGGAAGAUAGAUGAAUCUUGCCUUGGAAGCUUCUCUGGUAUUUUGCGAUUGAAGAUUGGGCUGCUUACACUAGAAGCUUCUUAUUGUGAUAUGCAGACCAAUUUCCACAUAUAUAACAAUCUGAAUAUUUUUUCUAUUGAUUUCUUGCAUGAAAUGGGGUUUUGCAGGACUAUCCUCCUUUCUGAGUAUAUGCCAUAUUUUUGCCUGCUUCCACAUACAUCGAGUUCCAAAAUCAUCCUCAACGAAAAAUUAAACUUGUAUCUGAGCCAUACCCUUGAUAAUAUUCUGUCAAGCUUGCACACAAUUUAUCUUCUUGCUAAUUUAAUCAUUUUGUUGUGAUGAGUGCACGUAAUGCAAACUUGAUACUGAUGGUCCAUCCAGGAUUUCUUUUGCAUCCAGACAAGAUAUUCCCAAUUUCACUGCGGUCAGCUGAUAAUUCCAUUCUGUUUAGCUGAAUUUCCAAAUAUAUGCAUUUCUUGCUGACUCUUCUUGUCUGGUGUCGGCUGACGAGCAACUUUAAUAGGGGGAAAUUUGUAACACCGAAGGCCCAAAGAAAGGAACAACAGAAACGACUAAAACAAAAGCACACAAGCAUACUACUAAUAUAAUUAAUCAAGAAAUCAUCACAUAUUACUGCUACUCACACAAUAAUAUGCAUGCACACCUAAUCACACAAAUCUCACGGAAACUCCGGUAUUAAGGUCUAGCAUGUUGUGAUGAUGUGCAUGAGGACGAAUAAAUGUGUGGAAGAAUUGGUGUAAACACACUACACCACGCACUAGACUUCCCUAUCGGUGUGUGUUGGGAAAACUCAUUUAUACUGACACACAGUCGGUCGGAAAAACUUGUAUCAGUCAGUAGGUCGGGAAUACACACUUGUAGCGUCUAGCAGUCUGUCGGGAAUGCUGGUAUAUUUCACGUCUGAUGGUCGGUCGGGAAUAGAAAGACUUCCAUCGAACUAGCAGUCGGCAAUUUUUCCCGACCAACUGUUGGUGGCUAAUUGGGCCGAUCAGUCGCGCACGCGGGAACGUGAAACAGUUGGCGCCGAAAUGAGCGCUCCCCAUGAAAAACCCUAUCUCCCCUUUUCCCCUUCACCCCCCAAAUCCCUCAGAUCUGGCACACAGUUUCUGCAUCCGCCGCCGCCCCCGCUCGAGUUCUCCCUCCGCCGCACAUGCUGCUCCCCACGCCGGCCAUGUGCUCUCCAGCCGGCAGGGCCGUCGCAUCCUCUCUCCCUCCCGUCCGCCGCUGACCCCACUCCACACUGCCGCUGGUGGUACCCCGUACACCAUACUGCCGCCGCCUCCACCGGUAGGUGCUUUCUCUGUCCUCCCCCCCUCCUCCGUCUACAGGUGCUCUCUCCUCCUGUCCGUGCGCCCUUCCCUUCACCGUCGCUCACUGUGCUGCCCUACACGCACAGGUGGUCUUGCUGUCGCCGUCCAAACCCUGCCGGGAGCUUCCCUUUUCGUCCGCGCCCAAGCUCACCAUCUCCUGGAGGUGCUGCCGGCCAAGAAGGUAUGCUCCAAGAUGCCUCUUCCAGAUCCAACUACGACAGUGGGUUGGUUUUAGUCCUUCUAAUGCAAGGUCUUUAUCCACCUCGUGUGUUAUCUAUUUCCCAGCAAUACAACGAUUUCUCUUCGGAAGAAUUGUUUUUCCCCUCCACAUGUUCCUGCUUAUGUUAUGUGUGGAUUUUGAAAUCUAAUUUACACGUACUAUGUGCUUUGAGAAGAAAACAAUGUAGUUUUUUUGCAUGAGCACACCUUCUGCAUAGUGGUCAAUUUGGUUGACCUUCGUUAUCAAAAGAAAUUUGCUUAGUGUAUUGUCAUCAUAAGUAACUAGCAUACUGCUUAAAUUUGGAACAUAGAACUUAGCUAUAAAUCUUAACUAUGAUGAUACUUUGUGGAGAAUGGCACAUUUAGAUUGAUUUUAAUGAUAUAUUUAUUGCUCUGAACCUUGGGUUAUCACCAUAGUUUAGACUCUUGAGUGUUGUUCUGGCUUUGAAAAGUGGGAUCCGAGAGAAUAUAUGAAAAUGCUAAUGAUGUCCUGUGACAAGUUGAGAUCAUGCACAAGAACAAUAAUUAUCUGUGUAGCAGUAAUACAUUAUAAGGCAAACCAAAACUUGAGAUUCUGGUUCAGUUUCAGCUCUUGCCUCCGCCCAUAAAUUAAGAUACCAAUUUAGCGUGGCACCUUUAGUUCCUAGUUGUCAUGAUAACAAUACUGUACCUGACUUGCAUAAUCUCUUGCUAUUCCUUGAUGAGCAGCAACUUAUUUUGAACUUGUAUAUUUUAGAAUUUGCCUUUUCCUGUUAUUUUGUGUGUGGACAAUGUAUGACACCACAUGUAUAACAUUGUUGGUGAACAUUUAAAGCAGUGCCUGGCAAAAGAAGGGGGCCAAACCUACUAACCUGCGGGAUCCGAACGACAUGUGGAUUUCCAAAAGGUUUUUUCUUAUACUGUUAGACACUAUUUGAUAAUGAUAUAAUGAAUUCUUGCUAGACUUAAUUGUUUCCUAUGAAGUUCAAUUCCUGGAACACCUAUUUUGUUUCCUAUGAUCCACAUGCGAGGCAUAGAAAGGGUUUGAUUUUGAUUUUAGUUUCAGUUUCAGAGUUCUAUUCACAUUUUGAAUUUUCUAGUUUUUUUUGUGUGUGGACAGUGUGUGAGGCAUUUAAAUUCACUAUUAAUCAUGUGUGCAGGUGCAACUAGCAUGGACAAAUAUUGGAUGGAUACACCUAGGUACAACACCCCAUAUGUUAAACAUCUUAGAUUAGAUGUUAGUACUUGCUGAAAUCUGAUGCAACGCGCUGCAUAUGUACACUUGCAUGUAGGCAUACGGAGAAGUACUACAAGGGCUUGCCAGAUUCUUACAAUGCAUUUAGUAAAUGUUCAGUUGAGAAUCAGGGAUUCAAUAUUCUAUAUUAUUCUUCUAAGGGUUUUUAGCAUACAAAAGUAUGCAUGGUUGUGCAGACUUUUAGCUUUAUUUUUAACAAGCUAUAGUUAAGUAAAGCAUCUGCUGUUAACGACCUGAUAUUUUUUAGUUGUACAAGUUGUUGCCAUCAAGUUGAAUGACAAAGUGAAACAUAACCUUUAACUUUGUCGUUUGUUUUGAUGUCCUAGUGCAGUGAUACAGCAAACAAUGUAGAAUGCCCUCACUUACUACUGACUAGCAUAUGGAACUAUGUGCUAGUCCAAUAAACACAUCUCCAGUUUCCUAUUAUUUCUUUGUUACAUAGGAAAUACAUGCAGCACUUCGUAAAUGGUUCCUUGUCCCUGUUUUUUUAUUGUGCACAGAGCUUGUAACUUUUCGGUGGGCCACUAUUAGAGGCCUGACCUAUAGAAAUUCACCGUGGUAAAUACCGCCAACCUCGCAGCCUGCUCCUCAUGUAGAUGUAAUUGUGUUGUCUUCAUACUUCACAGGUUUUAUGCUAGCCGUGGAAUAUUUUUCGCCACGUACGUUAUUCACCUAGGUAACUCCGCUGCUCUGUUACCACGAGCAGCUCCAUGCCUCAGUGAGGCCGGUCCCUAUUUUUUAGGACUAGGUGUGCUACUAUUCCUAUUUCCUACUGAUUUGUCCACUUUCUCUCUGUCCUACUACUCUCUUUUCAUUAAUCCCCCGAAUCUCUAAUCUUUGUUUGUGCAGAUUCUCUCUUACCUAUGAAUACAAGGUCGAUGAAAAUCCAAGCAAGUUGCAAGGAAGAUUGAUCUAUGUAAUAAUGCAAUAUGCAAGUUCUGUUGUCUCUGCUUAAUAACUUCUUUUUGUGAAAUUUAGUUGCAUUGAAUGAUUAAUUCCUCUCAUGCCAAUGUGGCAAUGUCUCUCGUCUGAAUUCUCAAUUGUCUUUGCCAGUUACAUAGUGGCUUACAUGCCACCUGGAUACUGGAGUAGCAUAGUAUCUGGGAAUAUGAUUUUAUUCUUUAGUCAUUUGUAUGCCACAUCUGGUAUCGUUGGUCCUUUCUGAAGGCCAAUAUGAAAGGGCAACUUAUAUAUGUCAAAUCGCAUGGGUAUUUUAGUUGGUACUUUCAGGUUUUGAUAUUACUCUAUCACUAGAAUUUCCUUUCGAACAUUGCAAUUAGCUUUUAUCAAAGCAUGGUAAGUAUUGAGAAAUUUGUUCAUCAUACCUCCCAGGUAAACUGGAAGUAUUGUAGUAGUAGUCAAGCAGGAACCAAUUCCAAUUGUAUCCUGGGGAUUUUCUACCUUAUUCUAGCUCCAGUGAAUAAUGUUUGCUGUGGCAGAUAAAGAAUAAUGUUUGCACUUACCUCACCCUGUCCUAAAUUGGUUUGCUUACAAAUGUUGCACAUGUCUUAUGUUUCCAUAGUUAGUUUAUUAUUGGAAAUUGGUGAUGAUCAGGUAAGGAAAGAAAUCUUCAAGUCUCAGGUUUUUCUAUAACCAUUCCCCCAUGGUGGUAAGCUCUCCCAGCAAAUCAUGAUGUGACUCGGAUCAGGUGUGCAUUUUUUCCUUUUUGUACUGUAAAAAAACUUUCCACUAAGCACACUAAAGUGUAGCACUCAAUAAACAAACUUCAUGAUAUUCUAUUCGAAUAAAGUAAUCUAUGAUGUUCUUGAAGUUUUGUCACGAGUGCCUUAUAUAAGUGCACCAUGGCCAUAAGUACGAGUAGCAUGCAUAUGUGCAUUGAGUAAUCCAACGUGAGGAAUAAGAGAGAUAAAAGCGGGUCCACAAUGAAAAGCGGUGUGGCAAGGCUUGCAUCUACUUCUAGUGGUUACCUAUACUUGAAUGGAGUGCCUUCUUGAGUAGGUGUUUUGGUACUAGCUUGCCUUGUGAAGUAAUAGCUGUUGUCAAUGCUAUGCUUUAUCCCAGUUUUUAUGGUACAUUGUAUUUAUGAAUGUAAGAAUGUAAUGGCAACUUCUUUACAUUUUGCAGGGAAGAAAUGCAAGCGGAGGAGGAACCAUGAAGCCGGCGGUUCAGGAUAUUUUGUGUAGUGGUGAUUGAAUCAUUGGUGAUGAAUUUUAUCUAUCAUUUUGUAAACCCACAUUAUGUUUGAGGCAAUGAACCUUAAUGUUUCCUCUAGUUAAUUAGCUAUAUUAGCUUAUGGGAAAUUUUGGAAGUCAUUAUGUUGAUAACAGAUGAAGUAUUUACAUGUGAAAUUAAUUAAUAUGUGUUUCUAUUGUCUGGUUAUGGUUUAUUAUUGCUGGAGGACAUGCACAUUAUUGUUAUGAAAUGUCUUGAUUGAUAUUUUCUUGGUAGUGCAAAUGUAAGCUAUGGUAGGGCUACUGGAUGUUGGUUGGAAAAAAACCAUGUCUGAAAGUCGUUUGGGGAAGCUAAUGCCAGGGCCAACGAAAAGUUGGACAGGAAAACAAACCCCAUCAGAUAGUCGGUCGGGAAAAGCACAUGGCAUGCCCUAUAGACUGUUGGUCGGGAAUACAACCCCAUCAGAUAGUCGGUCGGAAAGGCCCAUGGUAGGCCCAACAGACCGUCGGUCGGGAAAGGCCCAUGGUAGGCCCAACAGACUGUCGGUCGGGAAAGUUACGCCAUAGGUGACAAACAGUCGGUCGGGAAAGAUAUGUCGGUCGGGAAAGGCUUUUCCCGUCUAGACUUUCCCCAACAGACACAGUCGGUCGGCAAUAGUCUUUCCCGACCGACUAUCUAUUGGUGGAAGCUGUUUUCCCGUCCGACCUAGCUGUCAGGGAUGUAGUGUUGUGGUGUAGUGACAGCGCUACACCAAGUGCUACCUUAGCCAGAUAGCAACCUGGACUAGCUUGGAGGUGAGGACGUACUCGGUAAUCAUGUAGUAGGACAUGAAGGUCGCAGCCACAUUAUUAUCAAGCAGACGGAAAAAGAUCCGUACUCGUCCAAGAAAUAGGAUAGCGGGAAAAACUGAGACUGCUGACAUUGCCCUUUCUUGAUAACUAAGAUCAUUAAGGGUUGCCAACACGACGAAAUAAAAGAACGAUCCGGGAUAGACGCAUGUCCAUCACCGAAACGACAAACGAGACUGAAAGAAAGACAUCGGUGUGAUACCUGAGCACCAUUUUUGCAAACAGUGUCGGGAUCACUUGGCAUCACUCUGCUGGGACAGAAUUGACACCAAACACCGAAAGAAAAGGAACUGGAGAAAUGCAAAGGUUGAGCUGUAGUGGAUCCGAACCGAUGUCAGCUACACUCACUAGAUAAAUCGUUAGUAACAAAUAAUAAUCUAUAUGCAUGCUAUGCGACAAACAAAUGCAGCAAUCAAGUGCAACAAACCAAUUGGGGUCUAUACUACCGCUUUCUAACGUUCGCGCGGUCUAGGGCGUUCUGCAGCCAGACCAGCUCUGAUACCAAGCACUAUGGCACCCCGGCUUAGAGAUACCGGAACGCCCCGUAUUCUAGCCCAAAGAUCGAGGAGAAGUCUUCUGGAAUACGACACUACUUAGCAUAGAACAAACCAGCUUUCUAUUAUUACACGGAUAUGAAUACGAGGUCUCCGAUAUUACAAUGAAUAACGUCGAUACGGCGACACUACGCCAUCCUCAGUUGCUCUAUGCAAGUAGCAGAACAACUCGAAGCAACGGAAGAACUCUAGCAGCUAGCGGAACAACGACGACGGUGGUGAACUCCACGCCAUAGCGACUCUGGCUGGAAUGAUUAUCCUAGCUCGCACGCACGGAAACCACGACAGAAAGCAAUCAAAUUCGGCAUGACCUGCAAGCUGGCAUGACACGCGAGGUCAGUACAUUGAAUGUACUUGCAAGCUCACAAUAAUCUAGAAGCAUUCAAGACAGACAACAACAUGGCAAUUACAGGUUAAAUAGGAAUUAUCAUGAGAUCAUCAGAAUAGCAUGUCAUCAUCAACAUAAACAUGAUACAGCUAUCACAACAUGAACAUAUUAAUCUGACAAUACUAACAUGCAACAUGAUGACACUAUAUGCACCAAUUAUUCUGUUCGGCUACCUCGUAACCAACUCAUGCAUCACUUACCAACCUCGGACAUCACACGAUCAAGUCAAGAUCAAAUCAAGCUUGGUAUAAACAAUACUGUAGUAAUCAGUAAAUGACCACAAGGAGCUUGACCUUUACCCACGAUUCUCGUACAACAUCACGAAUAUACAACAACUCGGUAUCCUCGAUACCAUUUUUAUCCUUACGGCGAUCACAACCCGACCAACACUUGGUCCCAUACCAUGGUCCUUCAGGCGAUCACAACCCGACCUCUAAAUGGCCCGUGAUCCUUACGAUGAUCACAACCAACUUAUCUCACUAUUAUUAAGCACAUUAUUCUUAUUACUGUUGACUCAUGGUGUGACCUAUUUUCAACCUGGGCCCUUAUCCGCGGGCACGGCUAUCGAUAGAUUUAAUAUACACUCUGCAGAGGUUAGUACACUAUACCCACACUACGGAACCCAUGGCCUCGCAAUCCCAUUCGGGUGGACCAACGGCAUUCCCACAAAACCGUCCCCAUCGGGCUAGUCCUGGGUAGCCCCGUGUCUACCUCCAGACACAAUGACCACCGUCGUGGCCCAUCCCACUCUAGGACAAGGAUCCAAAAACUAACUCAACAACGGGCACACAAGGCUUAUGUCCGCCUACCUUAUCGGGGUAGUGUGCACCCAUAACGUUCCCUCGUUGGAGGCACCGGAGAGAGGCACAACAAUAGACCCAGUUAGAACCGUCCCAUACCGGUAAGCGUGGUUGCACUGGUCAGCAUCGAUUCAGCGGCACCAUGACUCAGCCAACAGUUGUUCAAGUUCAAUUUAAUCCGGUUAACUUGAAUGAAAAUAUGCUGAGUCAUGAUAAAAUGCAUGAACAUGAUAUCAACAUCAUCAUGAGUGUAUCACAUAACUUUCCACCAUAUCAACAAUAAAUCAUAUCCACUGAGCAUGGCAUACUGACUAGCAUGACCAUCACCAACAUCAACAUGUACUACUAGCAAUCAUAAACAUAUGAAAGGUAAUACUAGCAGGUAGAAUAUGUUAAUAGAGUACAAGACGGCAUAGCACAAAGGUGAACAUGCAACUCUAAACAUCACUGAAACAACGAUAACCAUCUAGUCAACAAGCAAAUAUUUAACAAAGAUUCAAGUUGAAAACCAUGUCUACUGCAUGACUAUCAUGCAAGUGGAUAUUGUGGCUUGCCUGGGGAUGAAGAAGGCACCGGGGAGAAGUGCGGUGAAGCCGCGGAACAAAUUGCCAGAAAACAUUCUCUCUCGGAGGGGGCUGAUUAAGGACAGGGGGAAAAUGGUCAUUUUUAGUAUGCCAAAACAUAAUGAAAGUGACACCAAUAGAAAGGGCUCGACGAAAUGAAGAAGUGAGCGUUGGAUUCACCUCGUUUGGAGUUACGGAUAAAAAGAUAUAAGGGUUUUACCAUCAGGGACCUAUCUGUAAACAUUUAUUUUACAGACUCGGCCAAAACAGAAAAACGGAAAGCGCAUUCCAGGAUUUACGCUUCCACUUAUCCGCGUCGCAGUGGCGGGGCCGGCUCCUGUGUGGCUGACAGGUGGGUCCCACCUUAUCCACUCCCUCUCUCUCCUCCCUUCUCUUCUUCCUCUCUCCUUCUCCCGACGCCGCAUGCUCCGGCCACUCGGGCCACCUUCGGCGGAGCUUGGAUCGCCGGAGUGCUCAGGACGGUGAGGCGCACCCGUCCCACCACCACACGAACAUCAAGGAGACUCGGGCAGGGCGGGACCGUGGCCACGGCGGACGGGGCUUCAGCCGACGAUAGAGGACGAGGCCAUGGCGAUUCCGGUGACUAACAGAAGGCUGCGGGAGAGGCUAUGGUGGCUGGGUGACCUACUAGAUGUGGAAGACAGAGGAGAGGGGCUUCGGUUCACCGGAAUCAGAGUGGACAGGGGCGGCGGCCAUGGCGGCAAGGGCGGGCUCGGGAGCUCUUGGAGCUCGAACGAGUGGACGGGGAGGUUGCUGGGAGUGAGGCGAGUCUCGGGGUGAGCUCGGACGAGGCCGGGGAUGGCUUAAAUAGCCGUGGGGCAAGGUGGCCGAGCUGGCACCGCCGCGGAUGCGUGGCUGGCGCCACGGACGUAUGCCCGCACGCAUGAACUCGGGGGCAAACGAUGGAGGAGGAGAAGUGGUGGCUCUCACGGGGCAGAGGAGGCCAAGGGGGCGCAGGGAGGAAGACAAUGGUGACGGGAAGAUCCAAAACCCCACUGUGCUCUCGUGUUCACACGGCGGCGAGCAUCGGUGAGCAAGCGGACGGAGGGGGAGUGGGGUCCAGGGGAACGGCGACGAGGAGAGGAAGACAAUGGACAAGCUCACGAGCGCGAAAACAGUGAGAGGGGGAGGGGCCCAAGCAAGAAGACGCUAAGGGCGCGGCCAUUGCACGCCAAAACGGUGGUCACCGCGUGCACUGGUGCACACCGUGCCACAAGUGAUGCCAAACCAUGUCUGGGGGUUAGUCCCUCAUGGGUAAGUUGUAACUACGGUGGUAACUAAGUGAAAACGUCUCUGGUUAAAUAGUUAGUGAGCUCUGAAGUUUACUGCAGUAAAAUUUACCAGCUCAAUGUGAUCAAUAGGGAGUUACUUGAAGCCAAAGAAGUUGUCUGGGGUGUAUAGCUAUGGAGGUACUAUGAUACUGGUGAUUUUGAGGGGAAAUGGAACAAGAUAAAUGAUAGUUGCUUUGCAACUGCCAAAAUGGUCCAGAAAUGAAGAUUAGGAUGGUGCACUCACAUGGAGUGUCCACAUGAGCUCACAUUGGGCAAGGCUUAGUCAUUUGGUCAUAUGAAGAUGCUCACAAAGUAUCAUACCAUUUGGCAAAGCCAAAAUGGUACUUGGUUCACAAACAUCUCUGCUGACCAGAAACUUGAAAUAAUUAUAGUGAUCAAAUGGAUCAAUGAAAUGAUGCCAAAUUGGGUGGAUAGAUGUUUUAUGGGUAUAAGAAUGAUCUGGUAAUUUAUCAGGAUUUUUGAAGCAAUAUAAAAUACACUUGCUUCACAACCUGAAAAUAUUGCCAGAAACAAAGAUUUGCUCCUGUUCUCACAUAGAUAAUUGUAUGGGGCUGCAAAUGGGUGGAAGGGUCUAAUAUGAGCACUCUAAAGAGUCUGCAAAAUUUUAACUCAUUUGGGGACUCCUUGCUAGUACUUCCUUCACAAAGCCUUCUGUUUGACAGAAACUUUGAAAAAUCACUGAGGAAGAUUGUCUAGGCAAAUAAAUUUGAACUUGUGCAUGGGGAAAUUAUUUGUACAUAUAAACAUGCCCAAAAAGGUUGGGAUUCAAUAGGAGAAAUAUAAAUCUCACUUCCUUCACAAACUGCCAUCCAGGACAUAAUAGAAAAAGGAAUAUUGGGGAAAUAUUUUUGAACAUGGCAAUGAAAAGUUUUGCCAUAUUUGAGCAAGAAAUGACCCAAACAAUUUAUGAGAAUUAUUUGGGAGUUUUUGGAGUGAUGGAAAUAUAGGUUGCUUCACAACCUAGGGCAAUUUGAGUUAUUCCUUUAAUUGAAAAGGAAUAUUCCCAAUAAAAAGAAUAUUAGGAUUUGGGCUAGGAUGGAAAUGACAGGUUCUAGGGAAAUAUUUGGGAAUGACAAGCCACUCUGCAAGCAAAGAAGAGGUCAUGUUCUUCAGUUUCCAGACCACAAAGCCACGGAAAAAGAAAACUCACGCAAAAACCUCGAAAAAACAAAAGAAAUUUGGAGUUACUAAAAUUUUAUUUGGAGUUACUAAAAUUUUAGAAAUUUUCAGAAAAAGAUGAAGAGAUUGUUCUUGAGGGGCUCUUCUAGCCAAGGCUCUAAGGAUAAACAAGCUAAGGAGAAAGAAAAGGCCAAGUAUAAUCUUCCUCGUGUGGCAGAAGUACGGCCGUGUGAAUGGCCUUGUGAUGAUUUCUUGAGAGCAGUGGGGAUUUAUGAUGACUUUUAUUCCUUGGCUGAUAAUGCUAGCCUCACCGACUUCCUCCAUGACCAAAUCGAACAGUAACUCUUACUCACUAAUACUUUCGUGCAAAACUUCUACUAUUAUCCUAAGAAAUCACCUCCUUCGGUAGAGUUUCAUUUAUAUGGUGUGGCUAGGGAGAUGACACUAUAUGAAUUUUGCACGGUUUGCAAGAUACCCCUCGGGGGCAGCUUAGAGGAACCACAUCGUAAAGAUGUGGAUGGAUUUAUCGAUACUAUUAUCUUAGUGGAAACGAGGAAGGUUUCCGAUGCCAGAAUUACUAGCAUACAUUGCAAUAUUUGCUAGUCGAUGCUUAAUUGGUCGCGGAAACUGUGGAAACCUUAGUGUUCCUGAUCUUAGUGUUCUCAAGAGUGCUGUAUUAGGUGAUAAACAAUACAACUUGGGGGCAAUUGUUGCACGUAGGUUGGUUUAGUUGGACACUUGUUUGGAGGGAUUUAUGCAACCCGUGUGGCUAAUUAUCUUGGUAUACCUGCACAUGAAAAUGAUAGGGAGUUGGCUCCCUCUUAUUUAGAUUAUAAUGCCAUGGUUAAUCGUCAUUUUCUUGAGAGGAAUGAACAAUUCCUCCAGUAUCGACUAAUCUUUGACAGAUGUCGCGCUGUCCAUAUUAGUCUCCCUGCUCUUGCCCUUUUUGAUUAUCAGGCAAAAGGAAGAUAUGUUAUCACCAAGGAGGAGGCAAACGAGUACGAGAGGAGGACAGAGGUAGCUCGCCGCCAUGCUGCAGCUCAGGAGGCAAUCGCUGCUGCAUCUCAGUACGACCCUAGUUACAACUUCGGAUAUCAGCCAGGCUACCCAUGGCCAUAGACCAACUUAGGCCAAAAGCCUAAGCUUGGGGAGUACGUAUGUCGGUGCUCAUACUUUUUCAUGAUACUAUCCUUGCUAGUUUAAUUUCUCUUCUAGCUUUCUUCUUGUGUGUUUGAUAAACUUUAAGAAAAACCAAAAAAAUAGCUAGUUUAAUUUCCAUGCUAGUAGUAGUAAUUAAAAGAAAACCGAAAAAUAUUUCUCGUUCUUCUUUUGCUUGUUGGGAGCUUUCCCGUGUAAAUAGUUUUAUUUCUUUUUCUUUCCUUUUGGGGUCGAGAGGAGAAGACCAUGAUGAAAAUGCUUAGUGGCUCUAAUAUGCAUGAUUGUUGAUUUAACCAAGAGCCCAUAUUACCUUGUCUUCUCCCUUGAAUUGAAUGCUUGCAGAUUCCAGCUUAGUCCACUACACGUGCACUAUUAUUAUUAUUAUUCACAUCGUUCGGUCGUGCAAGUGAAAGGCAAUAAUGACGAUAUAUGAUGGAUUGAUUGAGAUGAGAGAAGCUGGUAUGACCUCGGCCUAUCUUGUUUUUGUAAAUACGAUUAGUUCAUCAUUCCUGAUUCAGCCUAUUAUGAAUAAACAUGUUUGCAAUGACAAUUAGAGAUUAUAGUUUCUUAUGUCAUGCUUAAUUAGCUAGGAGUUUAUAAUGGUUUAUCUUGCGUGCCAACAUGCUAUUAAAAUGGUUGUGAUGUGGUAUGAUAGGGUGGUAUCCUCCUUUGAAUGAUUCGAGUGACUUGACUUGGCACAUGUUCACGCAUGUGGUUGAAACAGAAUCAACAUAUCCUUCAUGAUAUUUGUGUUCAUGGUGGAUUAUAUCCUACUCAUGCUUGCACUCGGUGUUGAUUAAUUUUAAUGCAUGUUCAUGACUGUUGUCGCUCUCUCAGUUGUUCGCUUCCCAGUCUCUUGCUAGCCUUCACCUGUACUAAGCGGGAAUACUGUUUGUGCAUCCAAACUCCAUAAACCCCAAAGUUAUUCCAUAUGAGUCCACCAUACCUUCCUAUAUGCGGUAUCUACCUGCCGUUCCAAGUAAAUUUGUAUGUGCCAAACUCCAAACCUUCAAAUGAAAUUAUGUUUUGUAUGCUCGAAUAGCUCAUGUAUCAACUAGGGUUGUAUGUAUCUUCCAUGUUAGGCGGCUUAUUCUCAAGAGGAGUGGAAUCCUCUCCUCAUUCACGAGAAAAUGGCUGGUCACCGGGAUACCUAGUCCCAUGCUCAAAUCAAAUCAAAAUAAUUAAACAAAACUCCCCCACGAUUGUUGCUAGUUGGAGGCACACGUUCUUUCGGGCAAGCCAUGGAUUGAUGCUUGUUGGUGGUGGGGGAGUAUAAAAUUUACCAUUCUGUUUGGGAACCGCCUAUAAUGUGUGUAGCACGGAAGAUAUCGAGAUCUCAUAGUUGUUACAUUGACAGUGAAAGUAUACCGCUCAAAAUGCUAUUCAUCUCUAUUUCAAAAUCGAGCUCUGGCACCUCUACAAAUCCCUGCUUCCCUCUACGAAGGGCCUAUCUAUUUACUUUUAUGUUGAGUCAUCACCCUCUUAUUAAAAAGCACCUGCUGGAGAGCACCGCUGUCAUUUGCAUGCAUUACUAUUUGUUUAUAUUGGGUAUGACUAUGACUGGGUCUCUUUUACCAUGAAUUGGAAUGUUUAGUCAGUCCUUAAUCUUUAAAGGUGAUCUGCAUUUAUGUUUUGCGGUCUCAGAAAGGGCUAGCGAGAUACCAUCUUGUUAUAUCAUAUUAUGAUUGUUUUGAGAAAGUGUUGUCAUCCGAGAUUUAUUAUUAUUGCUCGCUAGUUGAUUAUGCCAUUGAUAUGAGUAAACAUGAGACCUAAGUGUUAUAGUGAAUAUGGUUAGCUCAUAAUCUUUGCUGAAAACUUGAAUGCAGACUUUACAUAUUUACAACAACAAGAGCAAACAGAGUUUGUAAAAGUUUUUCUUUAUCACUUUCAAUUUAUCAACUGAAUUUCUUGAGGACAAGCAAAGGUUUAAGCUUGGGGGAGUUGAUAUGUCUCCAUCGUAUCUACUUUUCCAAACACUUUUGCCCUUGUUUUGGACUCUGACUUGCAUGAUUUGAAUGGAACUAACCCGGACUGACGCUGUUUUCAGCAGAACUGCCAUGGUGUUAUUUUUGUGCAGAAAUAAAAGUUCUCGGAAUGACAUGAAAAUCCACGGAGCAACUUUUCAGAAUUAAUAAAAAAUACUGGCGAAAGAAACAGCAUCAGGAGGCCCACACGCUGUCCAUGAGGGUGGGGACGCGCCCCCUCCCCUAGGGUGCGGCCCCUGCCUCAUGGGCCCCCUAGACGUCCACCGACCUCGACUCCAACUCCAUAUAUUUGCUUUCGCGGAGAAAAAAAUCAGAGAGAAAGUUCCAUCGCGUUUUACGAUAUGGAGCCGCCGCCAAGCCCUCAUCUCUCUCGGGAGGGCUGAUCUGGAGUCCGUUCAGGGCUCCGAAGAGGGGGAUUCAUCGCCGUCGUCAUCAUCAACCAUCCUCCAUUACCAAUUUCAUGAUGCUCACCGUCGUGCAUGAGUAAUUCCAUCGUAGGCUUGUUGGACGGUGAUGGGUUGGAUGAGAUUUACCAUGUAAUCAAGUUAGUUUUGUUUGGGUUUGAUCCCUAGUAUCCAUUAUGUUCUGAGAUUGAUGUUGCUAUGACUGUGCUAUGCUUAAUGCUUGUCACUAGGUCCCGAGUGCCAUGGUUUCAGAUCUGAACCUAUUAUGUUUUCAUGAAUAGAUGUGAGUUCUUGAUCCUAUCUUGCAAUUCUAUUGUCACCUAUUAUGUGUUAUGAUCCGACAACCCCGAAGUGACAAUAAUCGGGAUACUUCUUGGUGAUGACCAUAGUUUGAGGAGUUCAUGUAUUCACUAUGUGUUAAUGCUUUGGUCCAGUACUGUAUUAAAAGGAGGCCUUAAUAUCCCUUAGUUUCCAUUAGGACCCCGCUACCACGGGAGGGUAGGACAAAAGAUGCCAGUUCUUUUCCAUAAGCACGUUUGACUAUAUUCGGAAUACAUGCCUACAUUACAUUGAUGAACUGGAGCUAGUUCUGUGUCACCCUAUGUUAUAACUAUUACAUGAGGAAUCGCAUCCGACAUAAUUAUCCAUCACUGAUUCAAUGCCUACGAGCUUUUCACACAUUGUGCUUUCUUACUUACUUUACCGUUGCCACUAUUACAAUUACUACAAAACUGCUACCGUUACUUUUGCUACCGUUACCGUUACUUCCAUACUACUUUACUACUAAAUACUUUGCUCCAGAUACUAAGUUAUCCAGGUGUGGUUGAAUUGAAAACUCAACUGCUAAUACUUCAGAAUAUUCUUUGGCUCCCCUUGUGUCGAAUCAAUAAAUUUGGGUCCAAAUACUCUACCCACGAAAACUGUUGUGAUCCCCUAUACUUCUGGGUUAUCAAGGUCCCAUAGGACCAGCGCACCAGAACAGCAACCGCCGCCGAUGAAGAGUAGCGUAAAUCGAAAGGAUCCAACCUGAAAACACACGAACGUAGACGAAUGACGAACAUAUCCAAGCAAAUCCACCAAGGACAGAUUUACCGGAGACACACAUCCACACGCCCACCGACAAUGCUAAAUGCACCAGCAGAACUAGGGCUAGGCGAGGAGAACCUUAUUCCAUCUUCAGGGAGCAACCACUGUCUCGUCUUCCUGAGUUGGACACAAACCCUAGCACAUCUCGAAGACACAUCUAAAAACCGAGCCUUCCCACAGGCAAAGGCCAGGAUCCGCCGCGCUCCCAUGACCCUAAGGCAACUGGAGAUGAGGCGGACCGGCGACGGCACCGGUAGGAGGCACAAGAAUCCUAGUUGGGGAGGAGGCCGCGGCCUGAGGAGUCAUGUAAUGUCCUUUAUAGGUUCACCGGUUGGCCCCUUCUAUUCUGCCGCUGCAGAUCUGACACGUCAGAACGAAUUGUUGCAAUCACCAGGCAGCAGCGAAUGCUAGCGAUUUCGGGAGCAGCUGAGCUCGAGCACAGAAUUGCAGCGUCCGGCGAGCGUAGUAGCCAGAGGAGAAACCGAGCGUGUGUAAAGCGCUAAACUACACUGCCCUAACAGAGCGUGCGUGUGAGCGCUCAUGCGCCAACCAACGCCAUAAGCAUGGUAGAGGAGCGCUCCUGCAAUUUGUUGCCUCAAAUUGGUGGGAAAACACAUAAGGACAGGCACUAGUCGGCCCAUUCAUUUCAUACUGUACAAACCCGGUAGCCAAGAUUUUUUCGGUGUUGUACACUUUUAAGCGCUUCUUUCAAUUAGGCGUUUUCUUUCUCGUAUUUUGAAAAACAUUAGAAAAACUUAUUUAUUGAAAAACUAAGUAUUGAGUUUUUACAAUAAUUUUACAAAAUGUGUACAUUUUUAAAACAUGAAUGUUUUUCAUAAUGCAGACCAUUUUUUCAAGUUUUGAACGUUUUUUCAAAAACACGAAUAUUUUUUGAAAACACUAAAAAAUUGUGAAAACAUUCAAAUGAAAUUAUCCAUUUUGAAUACUAUUCAUAUAUUUAAUAAACAUGAACAUUUUUGAACAUUUUGUGAAAAAACUGAAAAAGAACGAAGAAAACAAAAAAUAAAACCAGCAAAAGAAGAAAACCUCAAAAACCGGAAUCCUUAUUGCGUCAUAAUAAUGCAUGACUAUUUUUUAUGAAUAUGUCUUCGAAUCAAAAAUGUCUGUUAUAUAUGCAUUUGCCUAUACCUCACUUGUAGUGAGACAAAAGAACACAAAUCCUCAGGCCCCCUGUAUUGUGGCCUAGGGAUCCAUCAUUAUCCAGGAAGCCGGCUUGGUAGGCCGGCCUAGGGCCUUAUAGGCUGGUUUGUCUAGGGCCAUCAAUUUGGCCCAUGGAUCCAAUUAGAGAAAGGCCCGAGGGACUUGGAGCGGGUGACAGGGCGACUAGCGUCCAGGAGAACUCCUCCAACGACCAACUACGAUCGUGUAAUCCUAGACCCCAACACCCAUAUAUGUCGUGGCCAGAUUAGUCAAUAGACACAGAACCUUAGAACUAUUGCUCAAUCCAUCGAUUAUUGUAACCCCUAUACACAAGCAAUAUACACGAGCAGGGGUUAGGAUUUUACCUCAUCCAUGAGGGUCUGAACCUGGAUAAACCCCUUCUUAUUUCCCAUUUUGCUUAAUCGCAUGGCCAGAGUACCUUAUCAAGUGAUCUGCCGGAAAUAACUCCACCACGUCAUAAAUGGGCUAGGGCCAGAUAAUUUUUUUCUCCUUUUCUCUUAUUUUGUUUCUACUUUUGGUUCAAUUUAAAACAUCUUGUAAAUAUAUAUAUUUGGAAAGAUUCUUAAUCAAUUAUUAAUAACAUUCACUGUGCCUGAAAUAAUGGUCAUGAAAUGUAAUUAUUUUUUUGCACAAUUUGAUAAAUUGUUCAUAUCCUUCAAAAGAAUAUUCGUAUCAUUUUUAAAUGUUCGGAUGUUUAAAAAAUGAAUGAUUUUUUAACAAUGUUUAUUAAUAUAUAUAUAUAAAUUAACAGUGUAAUUUGUAAAAAAUAUUCAUACCAUUCAAAAAAUGUUUAACACUUUAAAAAUGUUCAAACAUUUUAAUUUUAAAUAUUUUUUAGUAAAUACUAUUGAAAUAGAAAAAAAUUAAAAGUUUAUAACAUAUAAAAAUGUUUGUAAAAUUUUCAAAUAUGUUCAUAAACACUUACAAAAUGUUUGGCACUUUUACGGAUAUGUUGAUGUCUUAAUUUUUUGAAAACUAUCAAUGAAAUUUACAAAAAUGUUCCUAACAGAAAUGCUAUUACAAAAAUUUAUGAAUAGAAAAUGUGUGUAAAAUUUACAGAAAUGUUCACAAUUUUUUGAAGGAGCUCGGGAUCCAAACAUCCACUCUCUACCAACUAUAUGCAUGUAUGUUGUAGCAAGCCAUGAGCCAAGGGUUGCUACAUGAUCAAUUGCUGAUAGUGCAGUGUGUUUUCUUCAUUUUGGGCAGAUCACAAGUGUUUGACAUCUCUCUCUGCAUUGGGUAUCCUUUUCCACUUGAAUUUUAAGAUACGCGGAAUGUGCUUUCCUUGUUGUUGCCUCGUCAUUCCAGCAUGGAAUCAAAGCAAAACUGAUAUUACUUCCCUUAAAAAUUGUCUCGCUAUCUAUCUCCAUAACAUGCCCAUUGGACUGCAUGGCGGAAGUGAAGGUGUGCGCCUAGCCGGCGGAGAAGACGAACUCAUCUGUGACCUCUGAUGAGCCCAUGGUGCAUGUGGGUUGGAACACUGCUUAGGAAAUCUAGACUUAUUUUGCAGGCAAGCCAAGAUGAGAUCUGUAGGCCCAUGUGAAUUCCAUCAAAAUCACGGUCAGUUCAACUCUGGUUCGAAUCCUAAUAAAAAUAGAUCAACGGUCCUAGAUGGUUAUGUCCAUUGCUAAAAAAUGCAAUUGUUGAAAGAGUCGAUAUGACUAGUAGCUAGAGGACGCUGACACCCCUCACUUCUUCUACACGUACUAAACAAACCCUAGCUUAUCCAACUCAAUUUGCUUUAAGGUUUGUGUGUGAAAGAAGUAGUCUUAAAACCAAACACCACACUCUUCAACUUGAGAAAUCAAUAGUCCAUUUACCUAUGGAUAUCAACUCUAUAUACAUCAUACUUGAUGUGUCAAGUUGAUAAUACUUACUAAACAUAUUUUAAAUUACAAUAUCUGGUGCUUCACAGUCGGUUAUGAAAUUAAUGUUCACCCAUCCAAUGCAAUAAAAAGUAUGUGAAUGAUGUUAACACACGCGCGCGCGUGUGUGUGUGAGAGAGAGAGAGAGAUUAGAGUACAUUUUGUCCUGAGAGAGAUUAGAGUACAUUUUGUCCUGAUGUCCACCAUAGUUCCACGAUCAAUACAUCUAGGAGGAGACAAUCAAAAUACCGACAGAAAAUAAAUAUUUAAUAUGUAAAUGGUAGGUGACAAAUCCAACCACAAAAUUGUGCAAACAACCCACUAGCUAGUUUUAUUGAAUAUUAAAAUGACAUAGUUGAUUUCUAAAACAUACAAAAUUUAUUAUCUCAUCAACACAUAAUUAUUUUGAGAACAAUAAGGUUGAGAUUUAUCCACCCAAAAUAGGGGAGAUAACAAAACUAUUGUGUUGUUGUUGCUGGUGUGCAAUUAAUCUUGCAGGGACAGUUGAUGAAGCAUUCUCCAAGAUCUGGCCAGCACAAGUUAUCUAUUUGACAGCAGAAUUCCCGUCCUGGGAGCUGGUGCCCAUCUUUAUAACAAGGGGGUCUGGUUACAUGGCUUACUUUGCUCAUCAUGUUUCCCCCCUUGUUGUUUAUGAUUUCACCUAAUUAACAUAAAAUAAAGAAUAUACUUGUCAUCUCAUCAUAUAAACAAUAAAAGUCCACAAUAUCAAUCCCCCCAAAAAAUUGAGUUGUUAAUUACCAUAUGUGCCUCCAAGACAAGUCAAACACACCACAAGAAGAAAAGAAAGUAGCACAAGUCCUUCCACAUUGUUCCUCAUGAACUUGGUCAUCGUCACUAAGGAAUAGAGGCUAUUAAUGGGUGGUACUCUUGUAAGCGGAGUUGAUGACUGUAUGACCGUGAAAUGCUUGCUCCAUGAAUGGUUCAUAUNNNNNNNNNNNNNNNNNNNNNNNNNNNNNNNNNNNNNNNNNNNNNNNNNNNNNNNNNNNNNNNNNNNNNNNNNNNNNNNNNNNNNNNNNNNNNNNNNNNNNNNNNNNNNNNNNNNNNNNNNNNNNNNNNNNNNNNNNNNNNNNNNNNNNNNNNNNNNNNNNNNNNNNNNNNNNNNNNNNNNNNNNNNNNNNNNNNNNNNNNNNNNNNNNNNNNNNNNNNNNNNNNNNNNNNNNNNNNNNNNNNNNNNNNNNNNNNNNNNNNNNNNNNNNNNNNNNNNNNNNNNNNNNNNNNNNNNNNNNNNNNNNNNNNNNNNNNNNNNNNNNNNNNNNNNNNNNNNNNNNNNNNNNNNNNNNNNNNNNNNNNNNNNNNNNNNNNNNNNNGAAGUUAUAGAAAAUAUUAAUGCUUGGAGUUAUGACUUGUCUGAAUUUCCAAUUUUAGUUUCACUUCUAAAGAUUCAUGGUUCCUUCUAAAGUUUUUUUUCUCAAAUUUAUGCUUUGUUAUAGCAUGUAAGUUAAUUUAAUGCCCCCUCUAGAAUUGACCACUUUUUGUUUCCAAGGGGUAGAAUUGACCUCUUAGAAUGGGUAGCAAAAAACGGGUGCAUGGUAAUAUUAUGUUUAAGGCAUUGAUAAUAAUUGGUAUAAUAUUAAUAAUUCCUAUAUAUAUGAUGCCUUAUCAAUAAAAUAUUAAUUUCUCUCUUGGUAUAAGAGAAAAAAAUUUAAAAUUCAACAAGACUCGUCACUUAACAUUGGACUUGUUUUUUAAUGUAUAUAAGAAAUUGUUCUUAACUAUAUCAACAAGUUACAGAUACAUUUUUUUUACUUUUAUUCCAUGAACAUAGAUUAAUUAUGGGAUGGCCAUUUUAUAAAUAUAAGAUGAUGAUUUAUUUUCAUAUACAUGAAAAUUUUAUAUCAAGGUACUUGAGCAUUUUUUACAUUUUUCUAUACACAAAAUCUUCUCCAAUAUUAAUUCGAUUUUGAUUUCUUUAAAUAGAUUAGUUUCCCCCAAACGUUCUUUAUUAGAAUAGUGAAAAUGUCGCACUUCACUACUGGAAUCUAGCACUUUGCCAUCUGCCAUGGCAAAUGGCAAAGGCAUGGUCGGUGGAUGGCAAAGGCUUUGCCAUCUGCCAGCAGAUGGCAAACAGUUUGUCUGAAACCCUGCCGGUAAAGGCUUCUUUGCCGUCUACUGGCUGAUGGCAAAGAGUCUGUGCCUUUGCCAUCAUCUGGCAGAUGGCAAAGCCUCUUAACGGGGUUAGCCCCGUUAGAAGGCUAACGACAUACUUUGUUGUCUGCCAGCAGAUGGCAAAGGUUGCAGGCUCUUUGCCGUCUGCCAGCAGAUGGCAAAGAGCUUUGCCAUCUGCUGGCAGAUGGCAAAGAGCCCAAAUUGGCCAGCCCAAAUUUUACAUGUAGAUGACACGUGGCCUCUUUGCCAUCUGACAGCUGAUGGCAAAGCUCUUUGCCAUCUGCCAGCAGAUGGCAAAGUGACUAUAUUGCCCCAUUUUAUUUUGUUUUUUCUUAUAUCAGUUCAUUUUCAUAGAAAAUCAAACACAAAUGUAUUUAUAUGACCAAUAUAGCAUAUUUAACACAUAUUACCAAUAGUCAUGAACACAUAUAUAUCCAACACAUGUUACCAAUAGUAGCAAGUUUCAUCCGUACAUAUACAUAGUUUCAUCAAUAUUACACAGUUUCAUCCACAGGUAGCAAGUUUCACAAGGUCAAAACAAACACUAAAUACAAGCACUCCAUCAACCCAAGCUUCCGUGAACUUAAGCAAAUCUGUAAAAUGGGAAAGAAGAAAGUUAGAAGAAGAAGACUAGAAGAAGAAGAUUAUUAUGAUGCGGAAAUAUGCAUGGAUUGUCAAAACUUGCAUUAUCCUACUAUCACUAGUACAACAAAGCUGCAGGUUUGCAUUAUCCUACUAUCAGAAAUCUGGAACUAAACUAACCUAAUUAAUCAUAACAAGGUGGCAUGCAUAGAAAUUUGGAACUAACUAAGAACUUCGAAUUAAAAGAGGAGAAGCAAAGGUUCAGGAAUUAGUUGCUCCCCUGCCGAUGCAUUGGUUGUCGAGGUUGAGGAGGUUGUGUGCAUGGCCACACCAUCGACCUGAGCUACAACCCAGCAUCCACCGCAGACCCGUCUUUGCGCUCGAAAGAGAUGACCACUUCAGACCCCUCCUAGCUCCCCUCCGAUGGUGGUCUCCUCCUUGUUCAUCCGCCUUGCUAUGGCUUCAGGGUGGUAGGCCAGGCCGUCCCUUGUCACUGGGCGUCGUCCUCCAUGGCCAGAUCUAGCCACUCCAUGGCGUCCGGGCAGGGGAGGAAGUGGCCAUCCUGUCCAUGGCGUCCCGGUGCUCGAGCGACGACGGAUCAGAGAGUUAGAGGGGACGUGGUAAAGAAGAUAAGGAAGGAGGGAUGUGGCAAGGGAAGAGAGGGGAUCUGACUCACCGGAGCAACGCUGGAGCCACACCAGCUACGCGGUAGCCCAAACCCUAGUGAAUCGGUGUUUUUCGAAUGUAACUCAUCCCUUGGCAGAAUAUUGCUGUCAUAUUCACAACGGAAGAGUUCAUGUCCAGCUGACAAUGCAGAUGAUGGAGAUGCUGAUAAGCAGAUCAAUAGUAUUUUGCAUUUUUUUACCUGGCUCGUAUCAAUUCAUGUUAAUUGCAUUCAGCUAGAAAGUAGAGUACAAUCCUGAUAAUUACAUUCAGCUACUGAAAUAAGGUAAGACAAUAUUCUGCCAAUCAUCACCCACUGGUAAACGAUGAUCUCAACAAGGUAAGACUGCAGACAAUGACCUCAAAGAGAUGUAUGUAACUAGCAACUGUGCACUCACCUGCCAUUCCAUGAAUAACCUGCAACUACUCUCACCCACAGAAUAGUUGAAAAUAUCUAAUGUUUACCAUUUAAACAAAAGACUUGGUUGGAGUGUCUUAAGAGAGCUCUUACGUAUAGGUAACAGUAUCUGUUGUGCAACUAGAUGAAUUUAACACGAAGAGUAAGUUAGAAUUUUCCAUAGAUACUAAAACAUGCUGAAAAUAGAAUGCUAGCAUUGCCAAGCUACUGAAUAGUCCAACUCUCCUAUGGCUGACAAAAACGGUAACAGACAUUUCAGAAACCAGAUGGAAUCCAACAAACAGAGGGAAAGCGGAGCAAGCUAUACUUGCGGCAUGGUAGAGAUGAAGAUCAGAGCAAGGGAAAAGAGCAGCUACUAGCAUCAGCCUGAAUUGUACGUGUACAACACAACAUCUUGUUACAAUACAGAGAUAGAUUAAGCGUAAUUUUCUUUCAACAACACACAAUCUGCGUGUCUUUAUAUUUUUUUGAAAGAUAGGGGAAAACAAAUGCAUACAGUAGAAAUUAAAAUCUCAUCUAAUAGCGUGUACUUCUGAACGAAAGAGAAGUUAGCUGGCCUCUUAAUGCUCUUCGUUGGCAGGAGGAUGACCACCUACGAUCAAGUGCGCUAUUGUGGCAUAUAUCUUCCUUCUUGCCAAAGAAGCAUGGUAGAAUUAUAAAGAGAGUAUGUUUCCAUAGACAUUUAAAAAAAGAGAUUUGUGUAUACUCAUUAUAGUGUAAGUACCAUAGAUUAUUCAGAUUAGAAGUUCUUGUCUCUACCAACAAUUUAUAUUUUCUAUACAUACUAAUAUCUAUAUCGCAUUGACAAUCAUGUAUUUAUAUGAGCUCUUUGUGGUGCGUGAUACAGCCAGAUUCCUUUUGUUAUUGCAGCAAUUUGUAAGUAUUUAAAUAUAUUUUAAUAGCUAGUUUCUUCUGUGUUAUAAAGACAAAAUAAGACAUGCAUAGACUUGCAAAUAUGUAUUAGAAAUCUGCUACUCCAAAGUAUCAUAUGAAUCAAUGUAAGUCACGAAUCGUGUGCAUAUCACGCAAAGCAGUUUUUUUGUAAGAACAAUACAUAAUACUAAUCGACGGUACAGAUGAUUCAACACAUAUGCAUCAAGACACCACUACCUUGCACAUGGUGAUAUAGGAUGGAGUUGAAUCUGAUCACCUCCUUUUUACAACUUAUAGUGUAAUGUGUACUGCUCAUAAAUAGGCAUAUAUAUAGUAAUUUUUCUUUUGAUCAAACGCUUGGUAUAUUAAUGAUCACAUUAUACAUUUAUGUAACAUUUCUUACUUGCGAAAUCUUUUACAAAUUGGAAUAUAGGAAUAUUAUUAAUACCCAGAAGAAAUACUACUAUUCGGAAAAUAUACUAACUGGUACUAUACUUAUUUUUUUCUAAUAUUGGUACUAUACUUAAUUGGACCAAAAGGUACACAUAUUUUGAUUAGUUCAAUUUUUUUUCUACAGAUUUAUCGGCGCCAUUAUUUCUCUAUGGUUGAAAUGUAUAUAAACUACUGUCUGUAUAUAUUGAUCUGCAUUUAGACAAAUAUCAUGGACAAACACACAUACUGUUUAGCACGUGUAGUUGUAAAGGUAGAACACUGAUUUCUAGUAUUAAGAAAAUAUAUUUAUAACAUCUCAUUACGAUGUAUAUGGAGUUAGCAUGAGAGAAAUAACCAAGUGUUGUGCAAGGAUCAUUCUGACUAUCCAGUGGCAGAAUAGAAAUAGGAUGCUAAGCCCAGGGAGAAUACUUAUGUCCUAUAAACCUGCAAAUACGAAGCAUGCAUUCACCAUAUAUUAGAAUUCCAAAUUUUAUAGUUUGUUUGCAUGUUGGUAAUAAGCUUUGCCCCUUGUGAUAUGGAUUAUCACAUAGAAUGGAAAGAGGAGAAAAAAUUAUGGCUUAGCAGAAUCAAGGAGGAAAAGCACUACAUGUGAAGUAUCAAAACGUUGUGAUAGCACGAACCCCACCAGAUUUGAACUCGUGCUCUUAGUAUGACAUGGAAAGAGGGGCUACUCUCCAAUUGAAGUGAAAAUAGUAGAACUUUGAGCAUAAAAAUUCUAAAAGCACAUUGCAACACGGUAUUAAGUCAAGAUUUUGCAACCGAGAGGGAAAGUCAAAUAAAUAAAUAAAUAAAUAAAUAAAUAAGGAUUCUAAUCAAACCUGUGAAUCCAAGCUAGUAUCUAACUAUUGUAUUGCCCAUAGUUUUGCAUACGCCAUGGAAAGUAUGAUACAUAGCAUGUUGAAAAAUUGUAACCAAUUAAAUAGAAGACAUUUAAUUUAAAGGCACAAUGCUAGGAGAUCAUCUCUCAGAGCAAUCAUCGCUGACAUAGACCUUCUGUUAAAUCACAUGUCUAAGCAGAACCCAGAGGUCUUUUACUUUUCCUUUAUAUGGAACCUUCAUUUUGACCUUUGGGGACUAUAGCCGCCUCAAUUAUGCAACUUUUUUUUCUAAAAUUUUAGUAUAGUGUAGUAGGAGCCUUUCCUGGUGUUCCAUANNNNNNNNNNNNNNNNNNNNNNNNNNNNNNNNNNNNNNNNNNNNNNNNNNNNNNNNNNNNNNNNNNNNNNNNNNNNNNNNNNNNNNNNNNNNNNNNNNNNNNNNNNNNNNNNNNNNNNNNNNNNNNNNNNNNNNNNNNNNNNNNNNNNNNNNNNNNNNNNNNNNNNNNNNNNNNNNNNNNNNNNNNNNNNNNNNNNNNNNNNNNNNNNNNNNNNNNNNNNNNNNNNNNNNNNNNNNNNNNNNNNNNNNNNNNNNNNNNNNNNNNNNNNNNNNNNNNNNNNNNNNNNNNNNNNNNNNNNNNNNNNNNNNNNNNNNNNNNNNNNNNNNNNNNNNNNNNNNNNNNNNNNNNNNNNNNNNNNNNNNNNNNNNNNNNNNNNNNNNNNNNNNNNNNNNNNNNNNNNNNNNNNNNNNNNNNAAACACAUACUAUAUUUAAAAGCAAAGAUGCACCUUAUGUGAGAAUCACGCAUGUGUUAUUUCUAAUCAAUGAGCCAAUAAAAUAAUAGCAUUGUAUCAUUAAAUAAAUUAUUUUUCAACUGAAUCAGACACGUGGGGUUUGACAAAAUUAAAAGUAUAUGCGAAGAUGUUAAGAAGAAAAUGUCAAUAUACAAAAUUUGUUUCUACAGGCAGAUGUGAUUUCCGUACAAAAAUAGUCUGUUUGCUUUACAAUAGAUCCACCUAAACCAAACUCCUGAGUUACUACAUGUAGAGCUCAAAAAUAUCAGAUAUAGAGUAUAAAAUGAGAAUGGAAUACUAAGUGCGUCUUACAGAAAUUAUAAGAUCUUUUAAUAGCUUUCUACAAUAUUACAUAGCAUACACGACAAUGAGGCAUGAAAUGAAUCAGUAUUGUAAAUAUGUAAAGAAGAAUAAGAAACACAAAGUAGCUGCUGCUCGAGCAACUACUACAUGCAAAUACAAUGCUUGAAAAUUUUCAAGCGUUCUCUAUGCUUUUUACCCAGAUUCAGCAUGGAUUAAAAAACCACAAUACUUAAUUCCAUGUAUCCUAAAUUCAAGCGUCAUGUUCGACUUGCCUGUGGACUUGUAGAACCAACAGCGCACUCGACAACAUCGGACAGAUAGAUCAAUCUGCAUACCGUUCGCUGUAGGUUCUUCAAUGGGAAGCAGCACGAUCCACUUUAGACCACCAUCAGUAGACCUCAUCCUACGCUCCAUCGCAUCGUUAUAUUGCAGUCAGCUCGGAACUUAUGCCAAGGAGAAUAGUUAGACCAUAGAUUUGAUAUUUGACCUCGCAUGAUAUUUGAUUUAAAGUUCAGUGAAAUAUCACGAGAAUGAAUUGCAUAUCCCAACUUUAAACUUAGAAACAUACAUGGAACUGUAAUAUUCAACAAACUUAGAAACAAAUUAAGUCGAGAAUAUAGUUUUUAUUUUGUAUUGCGGGUUACAACUACUAGAAAAGGCAGACUAUUAAUUGUUCUAAUAGUAAUAUCGUAAGCAUAUUCCAUAAUAUCUUUCUAUAUUUCUCAUUCUAUAUAUUAUUCUUUUAGAAAAUGCUAGCCCGUGCAGAUGCACGGGUUGAUGACUAGUCAAAGCUAAUUGAGGCAGAAAUGAUGUGUAAAAUUAUAUGUGUUGAUGUACUGGAUACCAAAGUGCAAAAAAAGCUAACCCUAAAUCAGAAAUCGGGUUGCUCUUGCUCACUUGCCCGCUUGCUGCCGUCGGGGACUGGUACUGGUGACUGAGAGGAAGGGCAGCGACUGCCGCCGGCUUUGCAGGGAGGCAGGGCAGGGGUGCCAGGAGGUCGGGGAAGGUGCGCAGCCAAGCCCGCGCAGAGCAGGGGCGCACGCAGGGAGCGCGUCCGCGCGGCUGGUUCCAGGAGUGCGGGAAGGAGGGGCGGGGCNNNNNNNNNNNNNNNNNNNNNNNNNNNNNNNNNNNNNNNNNNNNNNNNNNNNNNNNNNNNNNNNNNNNNNNNNNNNNNNNNNNNNNNNNNNNNNNNNNNNNNNNNNNNNNNNNNNNNNNNNNNNNNNNNNNNNNNNNNNNNNNNNNNNNNNNNNNNNNNNNNNNNNNNNNNNNNNNNNNNNNNNNNNNNNNNNNNNNNNNNNNNNNNNNNNNNNNNNNNNNNNNNNNNNNNNNNNNNNNNNNNNNNNNNNNNNNNNNNNNNNNNNNNNNNNNNNNNNNNNNNNNNNNNNNNNNNNNNNNNNNNNNNNNNNNNNNNNNNNNNNNNNNNNNNNNNNNNNNNNNNNNNNNNNNNNNNNNNNNNNNNNNNNNNNNNNNNNNNNNNNNNNNNNNGAGAGAGGGAGGGGAUAGAGGCCACAGUUUUUUUUACCUGGAAAAAAUAACCCCAUCUCUUUGCCAUCUGCCAGCAGAUGGCAAAGAAUCUUUGCCAUCUGCUGGCAGAUGGCAAAAAGGUGGGGUUGGUACGCCGUUACAUCCCUGGCAGACAUAGGAUUUGCCAACCUCUUUGCCAUCUGCUGGCCGAUGGCAAAGAAUUGGCUGAUGGCAACCAUGUUCUUUGCCGUCUGUCACUUCUUUGCCAUCUGUUUUUUAUAAGCAGAUGGCAAAGACGUUCUUUGCCAUCCGCUGGCAGAUGGCAAAAAGCUUGCCCGACUAGGGCAAAUUUCGUUAGGCGGAGCUUCCUAAUUCUCGGUACUCCCUAUACGUUCCUCCUUGCGGCUAACAACCUCCCCUUCGGACAGUCCGCGCCUGGCUGGGCUGGUCCAUUGACGACACGAAUGGACACCACUAAGUGGGAGAGUAGGAACAUAAGAAAAAUAGCCCAAGGAAAAAACAAAUAUGUAAAACUAAAAAAUAACCCAAAGAAAACGGUAACAGAAACAGAAGGAAAAAAAAGAACAAACGGAAAUACCAGUAAAAAUCAUAUCAGAACCUUUUGGAAGGCUCCCAAAAUCGGUAAAAGCCCGGUAGGAAUAUUUCGAAAGUUCGUAAAACUAGAGUGGCGCGGCGAACAUGGGUCGGCCGUCCCCAAGCUCUAGCAUCAGUUUUGUCUGCAAUCCCCGGCAAAUUGAUGUUGGCUGCUCAAAUAGGGUUUUCGCCAUUUCUCUUGUUUCUUGUUGCCUCAUAUGAGUUUCUUGUUCUUUGGGACAUACGUUGGCGCCAUUUGUACGGGUUCGAUGACCGCCAUCAAGGGUCUCUUAGUGGAAUCACAACAUCUUGCAUCGUGCGAGGGCGUGAGGAGAUUAUGGUGGCCCUGGUGGUAUUUUGGGGAGCAUUGUACCUCCACAGCGCUCCAAACGGAGAUUAGCAUCUGCAAUGUCGUCUCCGCGUGCCUCGGUUAUUUCUUAUCCGAGCCCUGUACUUUGUGAUAGCCAUAGUGUUUCAUGUUAUAUAUCUUGCUAUCACAUAGUUGUUUGUCGUGCUUAGCAUAAGUUGUUGGUGCACAUAGGUGAGCCUAGUUGUUUUAGGUUUUAUGCUUGACAAUUAGAUGCUAGUUUUAUUCCAUAUUUGUUCAAGCCUAAAUAGUAAUUAUUUUAAAGCGUCUAUUCACUCUCCCUCUAAGCAACAUCCACGAGUUUUCAAUUGGUAUCAGAGUGUUGCCUCUCUUUAUUAGACUUAACCACUUAGAGAGUAAAGAUGUCGACUAGGGGAUUAGGAUUCUUUGACACUCUUUGUUUUGAUGGCACAAUUUUUGAUGUUUGGGUAAUUCGUAUGGUUAAAUCUCUUUAGGGUCACGGACCCAAAUUUAGAGCGAAUUGUAGAUAUUAGUUUUUAUCCUUCAAAGGAGCCUCAAAGAUUAUCUCUAAAGGAUGAGAAAAACUCUUAUCUCACUGCUCAAGCUUCUAAUGUGCUUUUUGAUGCUAUGAACAAUGUAGUUAUAUUUGAACUUAUGCUGUUCUGGGAUGCUCAUGAGUUGUGGAAAAAGCUUCAAGAUAAAUAUGGUGUGUCCAGGAUUUGUGGGAAUGAUUAUUCUCCCUCCACCUCCAGUCUUAUGGUGUUCUCAACUUCUUCUACUUAACUUAUAUGUGGAUUGCCACGAGGUAGUGAUAUGGUGAGUAGUGUUGGUCAUUGCAAUGAUUAUAGUGGGCUUAUUGUUGAUGAUCCUUCAUCACUAUCUUAUUGAAUGCUCCUUCUUUGCACUUCAACACUUCGAGCUCUCUAGAUGGUUCACACGCUCGUGUUGAUAGUCCUUGCAUAUCAUGUAGAAAUUGAUCGACUAAAUCUCAUGAUGAUAUGCUUGCUAUGUCUUGCUGCCAUGAUAAAAGUGCCUCUAUUUCCUCGAGUUGUUGUGCAAACAGUGUAAAGGAAACCCUACACUCCAUGGAACAAGAUGUGGUCCUGAAUGGUGCUUCAAGGGAUCAAACAUCAUCAUCUAUUGUUUCUCACUUUUGCCUUAUGGCUACGGCUUCAAAGGUAUCUCCCAUUUUAAAUCCCAAUAUAUAUUGUGAUGAUGAUGUUCAUGAUAAUCAGGGGAGGGGCCCCACCCAGUUGAAAUCAGGGGAGGGCCGCUACCCAGUUGAAUCAGGGGGUGGAGUGAUCAGUUAGGAAAGUUAAGUAAGAUUAUGUAGGAUUUCUACGUAAUUGUACACCUACGUAGCUAUCAUACAAGAAUUUCUCCUCCCUCUCGUCCCAUACUGCAAAUUUGUCAUCUUAGGACUGACAUUUACAUUUACAAUUUAACAAGAACAGAUCACAUCAUAGUUCAAAUAAGCUAAGUAUGAAUGGACAAAAGUUUCCCAGCUAUAGGAUCAAAUUAUAGGGGUGCUGCAAAAGCAACAACUUUGAACCAAGCUUCAUUGCCUCAGUAUAUGAGAAGAAACCUGGGAGCCCUCCUUUGUUACCUUUCAUGGUGAUAAACUAAAAAUCUCGCACACAAGUUUCUUUCGGAGGUGCUGAGCCUGGGCGAGACAAAAAAAUACAGCUUUCAGUCCACCUCACGGUUUGUUCACUAUGGACACGCCCUGAACUACCAUGCUUUUACCUGACCAUGUGCAGACCGAAGGUAAAGCCCAUUGAACUCGAGGAUGUUGUGCAUGAUGUACACAUCGCUAUCCUCCUUAAGAUAACGGGAUCAGUAAUCGUCUUUGUUAGUGUGAAGCAUGACAAAAAAAUUAUCCUUGCUCAAAGUCAGAUGUACUAACCUCGUGCACAGUUUGUUCUGCGCCACUAAAGGGUACACAAAAGUCCAUCCAGUCGUGUCAACCAACCCGGCACCAAAAAUGUCAUUGAACACUCACCCCUUCGACCAUUCGAACCUCUGCGAGCCAAUGCUGGCCUCGAGCUGCCGAGGUUUCUGCUGUUGCAGUACAUCUCAUUGGUAGGAUCCCAGCAGAUUUUGUGUAUGAAGCACACCCGUGGGUAGGACAAGCAUUAGUAAAGAGCAAACUUUAAAUCUUUUGGAACACCAACUAAAAAUGUGUAACUAUUUGCUUGCGGUGCACCCACAUUCUAGUUCUAACUUUGCCAGUUCCGCAGCAGCAAACAUUUUGUCCAGUCUUAUCUGUUCUUCCUUGUCAACCUCGCCAACAACAUCUUGGUUUGUUUGACUCCAGGCAUUCGCACUAUUCACCCCAACUCCACUUCUGGCAACAUCUCACAGUCUCAGCUUCAGCUGAAGCCUGCCUCAAGCUGCGCAGCCAUGGCCCCCUGCAUGCACAAUUGACCCCGAAUAAACAUUUUUGGACUACCAACCUGACCCGAGGCCACCUCGCAGUUUUGAUGAAAUACGUAGGUUGCUCUGCCCAGCUGGUGCUCCAAUUGGUUACCUUACAUUGCAAAACAAUAUUGGUAUUUAUAUUCUUGUGGUCCAGCAUUGCUGCAUUUCUUGACAAAUAGUGCACUGGUCGAACAACAAUCAAGAUUUUUUUUGAAAAGGAGGAUGUACCCCCGUCCUCUCCAUCUGGAUGAUGCAUUCAACCAUAUUAUUAAUUAUUCACAAAGAUCAUACAAGAUGAUACAUCAAUAAGCCUGAAGCCACCAUCUUGGCAACGUUGUUGCUACUUCUAUCCCCUUGAUGAAGGUGUCCCGAAUGUCUGAGCCUAAUACCGAACAGACAUCGCACCAAAACCUAACAUCUAAAGCCGGGUGUCCCGUCCAAGCCACUACCUGGAAUGGGUCCCACACCGGUCUGGCAGACUCCGAGUGAGCACCACACGCUGCAAGGGUCGUCACCUCCAUCUUCCAUCGGUCCAUCCUUAGAGCAGAACUGAUGCACUGACCUUGCAAGGCCUCUCUGCCAUCAACGCCACCAUGAUGCCGGAUAGCUUCCUCCUCCUGCGCGAGUCCAUCUCUGCGCAUCAGACGCCAAGUAUCCACUGCGCCAUGCCGCAGAGACCCACCGUCAACGAUAUGGUUGAUGCCACACCGCUCCACCUACAUGCCAUCUCGCAUCGACUCCGAACUACCAGCAACUCCACCACCUUGAGCAGUCCCCAUCUGACGGCUUCAGGAAGGAACACGGCACCAAAGUGCCAUCAUCGCCCAAACAGAGGAACAGAGGCUUUUGCAUGCGCUCAUGGCAGAGGUGGGGGCGUAUGAUCCACACCGGAGCCUCCAGGAAGGGAAUCGGCGCCGAGGGCGUCGACUUUGGUGCGGCCGCCACGCCGGCGUGAAGUUUCCCCUGGAUCCAUGCCCACCCACCAGAUCCGUCCAGGUAGUAUUAGUGUCGACCGUAGUCGCUAUCGUAGCCAGCACAAACUGGAGUAGAUCUACUGUAGCCAGGGUAUAACGUUUGGUACAUGUGCAACGGCCAGAUACUUUUUUCGUUCGUCAACUCCCAUUCCUAACCUGAAUUACCAGGCCCCCUCCAGGGAGAGAUACGAGGGAGUUACCCCCGUCAAUUCCUCUUCCCUUCCCUCCACAACUCCUAUAUCCCCCAACCAUACAGGGGAUUUUUAGUGUCAUAGCCUCUUAAUUCCCAUUCCCAGCUUUUCUUCCCCCCAACCAAACAGGCUGUAAGAGUGAUUCUUGCAUUGCACUCCAGCAUCACAACUCCUUGCCGAACUGAAUCUACUAAGUUCCAUACAAAUUUAGGUUGAUUUAUGUACAUAUAUACAACAUGACGACAGUAGUGGUGUUGCUUUUUCGCUAAAUUCAACACACAAUGGACAGGAUAUUGUAUGCCACCUGGUUUAGAGAUAGCUAUUAAAGUUUUAUCGUUUGAGCAUCCUUAUUCAAAUUAAUAUGUCCUAACGAUACUAUUGAGGCUUCUAAGAUUUAAGUGCCCAAACUCGACUUCUGUAGAUAAACAUAGCAGUACAAUUUUUGCAUAGGUAUACACUAUCUUUCAACAUACUAUUUGAUUCCAUUGUGUAAUUUGGCUGAAAAAUUACGACGUGCUUUUGGUGACCAGACUAGAGUAGAAGUGGCAUAAGAGCUAAUGCAAGGAAGAAAAUCAUGUCCCAGACAUUUGCAUAGCCCGACUCAAAUUUGCCAAAUGUAGCAAGUUUUUUAUGCAAAUUCUAAAUGGUAUUUAAUUUAUCAAAAAUAAUGAAAUUUAGUUCAACGUUUCAGUCCUGAAGCAAACCUAAAACACGUACACUUCUUAUCCUCCUAAUCUUUGCAGAACCAGCAAACGUGGGCAAUAAGAACCGAACAAAUGAAGGCCUCUAUUUAGUCUGCAGCACAUAAACCCUUUAUGCCCAAUGUACAAAAAACAAAAUUGCAUCAAGUAAAUGUAACAGAACAGAAAAAUAAGAGAUAUAUGUAGAAACAGAAACCGAACAUAUCCGGGCAAACACAACAUCUCGCCGCGCAGAUAAAUUCUAGACGUACUUCUGAGGUGAAGAGAGAAGGUGGAUUUAGAAGCAGGAGAGCAAAGGCCCGGGGAUGGGGGCGAGAAACAGAGUUCUAAUGCCUUUGGGUCUACAUCCCCUCUAGAUAUGUAUCUUGGGGUGUCUGAUCUUGUGGCCGUGGGGCUCGUGGUGGCCAGAGAUGCCCUGCAGCCUACUAGGGUGCUAUAACAAAAUCAAAUGCCAUUGACAGCAUGGAGCUAUGUGAUACCCCACAAGUGUAGGGGAUAAUUGUAGCCUCUUUCGAUAAGUAAGAGUGUCGAACCCAACGAGAAGGUAAAGGUAGAACAAAUAUUCUCUCAAGCCCUAUCUGCCACUGAUACGACUCUACGCACGCUUGGUGUUCGCUUUACCUAGAAUAAGUAUGAAACUAGAAGUACUUUGUAGGUGUUGUUGGAUAGGUUUGCAAGAUAAUAAAGAACAUGUAAAUAAAAAGUAGAGGCUGUUUAGAUAAAGAAGCAAUAAAGUAAAGAUAGCGAGUGUGAAAAAGUGGUGGUAGGAGUAGUGAAAUUGUCCCUAAGCAAUUGACUACGUUACUUGAUCAGUAAUCAGUAUUGCAAUUUUAUUUGAGGGAGAGGCAUAAGCUAACAUCCUUUCUCUUCUUGAAUCAUAUGCACUUAUGAUUGGAACUCUAGAAAGCAUCCGCAACUACUAAAGAUCAUUAAGGUAAAACCCAACCAUAGCAGUAAAGUAUCAAGUCCCCUUUAUCCCAUACGCAAACAACCUACUUACUCGGGUUUGUGCUUCUGUCACUCACGCCAUCCACCAUAAGCAAAUCAUGAACAUAUUGCAAAUCCUACAGCGGGAAUCCCUCACGCUUGCGCGACACAGAGAGCACCAUAGGACAACACCAAUAAUAAAACAUGCAACUCAAACCAAUCAUAGCAAUUCAUCAAUCACCGAUAGGACAACGGAAAUCUACUCAGACAUCAUAGGAUGGCAACACAUCAUUGGAUAAUAAUAUGAAGCAUAAAGCACCAUGUUCAAGUAGAGGGUACAGCGGGUUGCGGGAGAGGGGACCGCUGAAUAUAGAUGGGGAAGGUGAUGGAGAUGUUGGUGAAGAUGGCGGAGGUGUUGGUGAAGAUCGCGGUGAUGAUGAUGGCCCCUGGCAGCGCUCCGGCGCCACCGUAAGAAAGGGCGAGAGAGGCCCCCUUCUUCUUCUUCUUCUUCUUCUUCUUCUUCUUCUUCUUCUUCUUCUUCUUCUUCUUCUUCUUCCUUGACCUCCUACCUGGAUGGGAGAAGGGUUUCCCCUCUGGUCCUUGGCUCCCAUGGCGUGGGAGGGGCGAGAGCCCCUCCGAGAUUGGAUCUAUCUCUUUGUCUCUCUCUGUUUCUGCGUUCUCAGAUUCUUCCCCUUCACCGUUUCUUUUAUAUACGGAUAUUCGUAACUCCGAUUGGGGUGAAUCUUUCGCCCAGAUUUUUCUCAUAAAAUUAGCUUUCUUGCGGCAAAAGAAGAGCGUCAACCACCUUACAGGGUGCCAGAGAUAGUCCAGGGUGCACCUUCCUCCCUAGGGCACCCCCCUUGUCUCGUGGCCCCCUCGGGUACCGUCUCGUGUUGAUUCUUCCUCCCAAAAAUCACAAAUAUCCCAAAAUAAUUCUCCGUCCAUUUUUAUCCCGUUUGGACUCCGUUUGAUAUUGGUUUCCUAUGAAACAUAAAACAUGCAACAAACAGGAACUGGCACUGGGCACUGGAUCAAUAUGUUAGUCCCAGAAAUAGUAUAAGAAUUUGCCAAAAGUAUAUGAAAGUUGAAUAAUAUUGGCAUGGAACAAUCAAAAAUUAUAGAUACGACGGAGGCAUAUCAGCAUGCCCAAGCUUAAUUCCUGCUCGUCCUCGAGUAGGCACAUGAUAAAAAAGAUAAUUUUUUAUGUGGAAUGCUACCUAGCAUAAUCUUGAUCACGUAUCUAAUCAUGGCAUGAAUAUUAAGACACGAGUGAUUCAAAGCAAUAGUCUAUCAUUUGACAUAAAAAUGAUAAUACUUCGAGCGUACUAAUAAAGCAAUCAUGUCCUUUCAAAACAACAAGGCCAAAGCAAGCUUAUCCCUACAAAAUCAUAUAGUUUGGUCAUGCUUCAUUUUCGUCACACAAAAUGCUCCAUCAUGCACAAUCCCGAUGACAAGCCUAGCAAUUGGUUCAUACUUUUUAACGCGCUUCAGCUUUUUCAACUCUCACGCAAUACAUGAGCGCAAGCCAUGGAUAUAGCACUAUAGGUGGAAUAGAAUAUGAUGGUGGGGGUUUAUGUGGAGAAGACAAAAAGGGAGAAAGUCUCACAUCGAUGCGGCUAAUCAACGGGCUAUGGAGAUGCCCAUUAAUUGAUGUCAAUGCGAUGAGUAGGGAUUGCCAUGCAACGGAUGCACUAACAGCUAUAAGUGUAUGAAAGCUCAAACUGAAACUAGUGGGUGUGCAUCCAACUUGCUUGCUAAUGAAGACCUAGGGCAUUUGAGGAAGCCCAUCGUUGUAAUAUACAAGCCAAGUUCUAUAAUGAAAAUUCCCACUAGGAUAUGAAAGUGACAAUAUAGGAGACUCUCUGUAUGAAGAACAUGGUGCUACUCUGAAGCACAAGUGUGGUAAAAGGAUAGUAACAUUGCCCCCCUUUUUUUCACUCUUUUUUGGUGGGCUUCUUUGGCCCCCCUUUUUUAUUUAGGCUUAUUUGGCCUCUUUUUUUAUGGGGCAAUGCUCUAUAAUGAUGAUCAUCACACUUUAUUUACCUACAACUCAAUAUUACAACACGAUAUUGGAACAAAGAUAUGACUCUAUAUGAAUGCUUUCGGCGGUGUACCGGGAUGUGCAAUGAUCUAGCAUAGCAAUUACAUGAAAAAAAUGGACAAGCCAUGAAAACAUCAUGCUAGCUAUCUUACGAUCAUGAAAAGCAAUAUGACAAUGAAUGCUCAAGUCAUGUAUAAGAUGAUGAUGGAAGUUGCAUGGCAAUAUAUCUCGGAAUGGCUAUGGAAAUGCCAUAAUAGGUAGGUACGGUGGCUGUUUUGAGCAAGAUAUAAGGAGGCUUAUGUGUGACAGAGCGUAUAAUAUCACGGGGUUUGGAUGUACCGGCGAAGUUUGCACCAACUCUCAAGGUAAGAAAGGACAAUGCGCGGUACCGAAGAGGCUAGCAAUGAUGGAAAGGUAAAAGUGCGUAUAAUCCAUGAACUCACAUUAGUCAUAAAGAACUCAUGUAUUUAUUGCAAAAGUUUAUUAGCCCAUGAAGCAAAGUAUUACUACGCAUGCCCCUAGGGGGAUAGAUUGGUAGGAAAAGACCAUCGCUCGUCCCUGACCGCCACUCAUAAGGAAGACAAUCAAAGAAACACCCCAUGCUUCAACUUUGUCACACAAGGUUACCAUAUGCGCAUGCUACGGGACUUGCAAACCUCAACACAAGUGUCUCUACAAUCCACAACCACCCACUAGCAUGACUCUAAUAUCACCACCUUUAUAUUGCAAAACUAUUGCAAGGAAUCAAACAUACCAUAUUCAGCGAUCUACAAGUUUAUGUAGGAUUUUAUGACUAACCAUGUGAAUGACCAAUUCCUGUCAUCUCUCUAAAUAGAUCUAAGUGAAGCAAGAGAGUUUAAUUCUUUCUACAAAAGAUAUGCCCACGCUUUAACAAAUAUAAGUGAAGCAAAAGAGUAUUCUACAAAUGGUGGUUUUCUAUGUGAAGAGAAAUAGGUAAUCCAAACUUCAAAUGAUAUAAGUGAAGCACAUGAAGCAUUCUUUAAAGCCAUACUCAAAAGAUAUAAUUGAAGUGCAAUUAGCAUUCUAUGAAUCAACCAAGAACUAUGUCAUACCAGCAUGGUGCAUAAAAUGAAACUGAAAACUAAAUGCAAAAGACGCUCCAAGACUUGCACAUGUCGCAUGAACGAAACGAAUACGAAAACAUACUGAUACUUGUUGAAGACAGAGGGGGUGCCUUCCGGGGCAUCCCCAAGCUUAGACGCUUGAGUCUCCUUGAAUAUUUACUUGGGGUGCCUUGGUAAUCCCCAAGAUUUAGCUCUUGCCUCUCUUCCUUUUCCUCAUAUCAAGACCUCCUCGAUUACACACUUGAUCCACACAAAACUUCAACAGAAAACUCGGUAAGAUCCGUUAGUAUAAUAAAGCAAAUCACUACUCUACGUACUGUUGCAAACCAAUUCAUAUUUUGUUUUUGCAUUAUGUCUACUGUAAUAUAGCUUUUCCAUGGCUUAAUCCACUGAUAUAAAUUGAUAGAUUCAUCAAAACAAGCAAACUAUGCAUCCAAAACAGAAUCUGUCAAAAACAGAACAGUCUGUAGAAAUCUGAACAUUUACCAUACUUCUCGUACCCCAAAACUUCUACCAAAAUUAGGAAAAAUAAGCAAUUUGUACAGAAAGACAGUGCAAAAAGAAUCAGAACCAUUUGACGUUCCAGCAAAAAAUGUAAAAUCGUGCACUACAGACAAAGUUUCUGUCCUGCACUGUACAAACCAACAAGCAUUGUAAACAUCCUAAAGGCAAACCUUGGCACAUUAUUUUUAUAAUACAUUGGAAUUGUACAAGGGGAUAAUUACUUUUGAUGAAAAGUUUCUGUAAUCAAGAUUCACAAAGUUUCCGUGAGCAUGAACAAAGUUAAAGGAGCUCUCCCACUUCAACAAUGCUUGUCUCUCUCACUUUCACUUUCCUUUUGAAAAGUUUUGGGUUCCCCUAUUUAUUUAUUUAUUUAUUUGUUUUUAAACUAUAUAAAAGCACUCAACAGAAAAAAAUGACUCUCUAAAACUUCAGGGUUGUCUCCCUGGCAGCGAUUUGUUUAAAGCCAUUAAGCUAGGCAUAUAGUGCUCAAGUAAUGGAUCCACCCGGAUCCCAAGGUAUAUCAAAGCCAAUUUUAAUUAACAAUGAUUUGUGAUUUAGUAGUGAGCACAAAGUAACAUAUAUCAAGCAAUGAUGAAGUCUAACUCUCUUCCUAUGCAUCGGCAUGUCAUAAAAGAACAAUUCAUGCACACAUAGUAAAGGCCAAUGCAUAGUAUAAGUAGUUUCUUGCAGUUUUAUCAUAUUGGAAACAUAGAGAGGUGGAGAUAUAGUUCCUCUCUCGUAAUAAUUGCAAGUAUGAGCAGCAAUCACAUGCAUAUUAUAUCCAUCAAAAUUAUCAUGUGCAACGGUAAAAGGCAUCCCAUCAAUAUAAUCCUUAAUAAGCACAAACUUCUCCGAUAUAGUGUAGUUGAGAGAAUUCAAAAAGAUAGUAGGACUAUCAUGCGUGGGUGCAAUAGCAACAAUUUCAUGUGUAACAUAAGGAACUAUAGCAAGUUCAUCUCCAUAAGCAUAACUCAUAUUGGCAUCUUGGCCACAAGCAUAGGAAAAGCAUCAUCAAAAAGGGGUAUUUGAAGAGAAUCAACGGGAUCAUAGCAAUCAUCACAGCAAUCAUCCUUCGGUAAGCACGAAGGGGAAUUAAACAAUGUAUGAGUUGAAGAGUUACUCUCAUUAGAAGGUGGGCACGGGUAGCUAAUCCGCUCUUUCUCCUUCUGUUCUUCGCUCUCCUCAUCAUCUUUUUCAUCCAAUGAGCUCACAGUUUCAUCAAUUUCUUCUUCCAUAGCUUCCUGCAAAAUAUUAGUCUCUUCUUGGACAGCGAAGUAGUCCUCAAUAUAUAGUUUAGCAUCGGCAUUAGAAGCAUAAUUAUCAUAGCAAUAUUCAAGUAUGGCAAAAUUUUCAGAUUUGUAGAGAGUAGCAUCAUACUUUUCAAUCAAAGAAGCAAUUUCAGAAGCACCCUUAAAAGCAACAAAUUCUUCAAUUUGUUGAACAUCAUAGUAAUUAUAAACACCCUUAGCAUAUGAAGAUACGAUUCCAUUAUCACUAAACAAGCAUUGGUAGGGAAGGUCUUUCUUAGGGUUAUCAGAACAACAAGUAACACCAUAUAUUUCAUAUAAAGUCCCAGCAUAGCAUGGAAAACGAUGAAUUUGAUCCAGUAAAAGUUUCCCCUUUUCAGAUAUACGGUGUCGCACAUAACAAGCAUGCUCAUCUAAAGAUUUGCCCUCAACUAAGCAAGUGGGGGUUUAGGCACGAGCACAAAGGGAUCGAAGAUGAUCCAAGUAAAAACCUUCAGGAGUGAUACAUUUUGAGUGGUUCUUCAACCAUUGGUUCAGUAGGUACAACUAAUUUUUUUGGUAUUUUGCAUUUCCUACCCAAAACUAAAGAUAGAAAACAACUAAGAAUAGCAAAUAAAAAUUACUUAGUGAUAAAGCAAACAAGCACACAUGAGAAUAUUCACCCCAUGCUAUGACUCCCAGGCAACGGCGCUAAAAAAAGGUCUUGAUAACCCACAAGUGUAGGGAAUAAUUGUAGCCUCUUUCGAUAAGUAAGAGUGUCGAACCCAACGAGGAGCUAAAGGUAGAACAAAUAUACGACUCUACGCACACUUAGUGUUCGCUUUACCUAGAACAAGUAUGAAACUAGAAGUACUUUGUAGGUGUUGUUGGAUAGGUUUGCAAGAUAAUAAAGAACACGUAAAUAAAAACUAGGGGCUGUUUAGAUAAAGAAGCAAUAAAGUAAAUAUAGCGAGUGUGGAAAAGUGGUGGUAGGAGUUGUGAAAUUGUCCCUAAGCAAUUGACUACGUUACUAGAUCGGUAAUCACUAUUGCAAUUUAUUUGAGGGAGAGGCAUAAGCUAACAUACUUUCUCUUCUUGGAUCAUAUGCACUUAUGAAUGGAACUCUAGCAAGCAUCCGCAACUACUAAAGAUCAUUAAGGUAAAACCCAACCAUAGCACUAAAGUAUCAAGUCCCCUUUAUCCCAUAUGCAAACAACCUACUUACUCGGGUCUGUGCUUCUGUCACUCACGCCACCCACCAUAAGCAAAUCAUGAACAUAUUGCAAACCCUACAGCGGGAAUCCCUCACGCUUGCACGACAUGGAGAGCACCAUAGGACAGCACCAAUAAUAAAACAUGCAACUCAAACCAAUCAUAGCAAUUCAUCAAUCACCGAUAAGACAACAGAAAUCUACUCAGACAUCAUAGGAUGGCAACACAUUAUUGGAUAAUAAUAUGAAGCAUAAAGAACCAUGUUCAAGUAGAGGGUACAGUUGGUUGUGGGAGAGUGGACCCCUGAAUAUAGAUGGGGGAAGGUGAUGGAGAUGUUGGUGAAGAUGGCGGAGGUGUUGGUGAAGAUCGCGGUGAUGAUGAUGGCCCCUGGCAGUGCUCCGGCGCCACCAGAAGCAAGGGGGAGAGAAGCCCCCUUCUUCUUCUUCUUCUUCUUUUUCCUUGACAUCCUCCCUAGAUGGGAGAAGGGUUUCCCCUCUGGUCCUUGGCUCCCAUGGCAUGGGAGGGGCGAGAGCCCCUCCGAGAUUGGAUCUAUCUCUCUGUCUCUCUCUGUUUCUGCGUUCUCAUAUUCUUCCCCUUCACCGUUUCUUUUAUAUCCGGAGAUCCGUAACUCCGAUUGGGGUGAAUCUUUCGCCCAGAUUUUCUAAUAAAAUUAGCUUUCUUGCGGCAAAAGAAGAGCGUCAGCCGCCUUACGGGGUGCCCAGGAGAGUCUAGGGCGUGCCGGCCUCCCUGGGGCGCGCCUCCCUGUCUCGUGGCCGCCUCGGGCACCGUCUCGCGUUGAUUCUUCCUCCCAAAAAUCACAAAUAUUCCAAAAUAAUUCUCCGUGCGUUUUUAUUCCGUUUGGACUCUGUUUGAUAUUGGUUUCCUCCGAAACAUGAAACAUGCAACAAACAGGAACUGGCACUGGGCACGGGAUCAAUAUGUUAGUCCCAAAAAUAGUAUAAAAAGUUGCCAAAAGUAUAUGAAAGUUGAAUAAUAUUGGCAUGGAACAAUAAAAAAUUAUAGAUACGACGGAGACGUAUCACUAUGUCAGGAGUGUGGCGGCCCUCUUGGACAUCAGAGCGCGCGUAGGAUGCUGGUACGUAGUGGUGGGCGCUGCCGUUGAGAUCAAGGUUGGGGGAGAUGGGAGGGGUGCCCCUGGGCGUGCUAAAUAAAGGAGCCUGGGAGCUGGCCGGGCACCUCCAUUGGUGUUAGGUUGCUGCCAAUGCAUGGGUGCUUAGAUGAGGUGCUAAGCACAUUAAAUAGCUUAGCAACUAUACUCCCCAAUGCAUAGGUGCUUAGCUUAUGGUUGCUAAGCUUGCUUCAUUUAAUGAUUUAGCAACUAAAGUUCUUCAUGUAUUGGUGGACUUCUUUCCUUUAAUUGUUUUGCCUAGGUUUACGAGCUUAGCAUUGUCUCUUCCUGGGUCACCACACUCGUCUCUCUCCUCUUAAAUAACUUGCCACAUCAAAUUUUUUGCCUAUGUGGAAGGCUUAGCACCUGUACAAGGUGGAGCAUUGGGAGAGGCCUUAAUGGAUUUUUAGCAACGGUAACAUUACUCCUCGCUUGAAUACCGGUGGACGAUCUCCAAUCACCCACUAUGCUGCAUCGCUGCCCAUUAAUGCGUCGCUAUCUCUACGCAUUUCCCGCACACUGCCCUUCCCAAAGCAGACACUCUUUCUUGCGAUAUUCCUUGUGCUAACCGGGCCGAUGUUAAACAACAGAUGAUGGCAAGCGAAUAUGUUACAGUGAGCUUAAAUGGGAUUCUUGAGGGAGAAGGGUAUGAUUAACCAUAAACCACCGAUUUUGUGACAGGAGUAGCAGCCAAUGAGGCAUCCAGUCCACUUAGUGCUAUUUAAAAGUAUCUUACGGCCAAAAAGCGACCAUCACAAAAUGAUCCAAUGGUUAGGAACGGUGCUGGACUGAGAGGGCAGGAAAGAUGCUCAGGUAUAAUGUAUCCAUAUGUCCUUCCCACGAUAUUGAGCAUGAACAUUUGUUGUGCUUGGACCAGCGUCCCUUAAGGUGCACACUAUCCGGAUAGACUUUGCUGGUUGCCACCCCCAUAUCUUUGGGACAUAGAGUGGAUGUGACUUUCACGGUGAUUGGUGAUGUACCAACUAUUGUCAUACCCAUGCAGCAACCGUACCAAAACAGGGCACUCACACCUACAUGAACUGUUGUUUACUGACUCUGGCUUCCCCUGCACACCAGCUAGCACAUGUCAUGGUCAGCGCAACUAAAUUAGUGAUGGGAGCCCCACAAAUAAAAGGACAGAAGAGAAGAGAGUGGCGUUUUGGCACAUGGAAGCACGUGUUCCUAUUUUUAAAAUUUAUUUUAAACAUACUUUGAAAUAUCAAAAAAAUUCAAACAAAAACUUGGCGCGUACAUCUCGAUAUUAUACAUUCUCACAAAGUUGUUUCGCGAAAAACUGACAACUCACGCGUCGCGUGUGAAAAAGACAAAAUCCGGUCUUAAAAAAUACUUUUCACAAAACAUCCUUUUGUCUUUUUUACACAAGCCACAAAAAAUGGUGGGUUUUCUUCGAAACUUGACAUGCACACAUAUAAUGUCAAAAUGUAUGCGCCAAAUUUUUGUUUGGAAUUUUUUCACACAUUGAAAUAUUUUUUUUGUGUCCAGGAGCGCGCGCUCCAGGGAGCAGCAACAUAUAUCCACAUAAUAGAUAAGCAGAAGGCACUACAUGCCAAGCAGCCACAAAUGAUUUCCUGCAUCUAUUUGGUCCUCUCAGCAUUAAAUCUAGUCUUACAAUACCUGAUCCCAAACCCAAUCUCCCAUGAAUACAAGUUGUAGAUGUCGUGCGCCUCACCUAGCGAGUAGUGAGUUGAAUUCAGUCCCAGUUCUGGCUUGAUUACACUCUCCCUAGCCUCCUCUGCACAUUUCCGAAUCGACUGCUCCAAUGCCCUCAUCCUACAUGGACAAGGCCUUUUGUCCGAUGGAGAACUCUUGAGGCGUAACCUGAUUUUUUAGCAACACAGUCAAUCGGAUAGAUGCAGGCUUACCUCUUAUGUCCAUCCUGGUCCUCCGGAUUGACCCUAUCAGUAGACCCGGACCAUGUCGGAGACGCCUUUUUUCACCGGCUUCCUUCGCCACCUUGCUGCCCGCACCCAGACCCAACAUUGGAGUUCCCCGGCUCAGUCGGGUGGGCAUCACCGCGUAACUGGAUCGGGAUGCUCCAACAUGUUCGCAAACUUCUCCGGCAAAGGAAACCUGCAAGACACACCAUGGCCACUGGCGGUGGAAGUGGGAUGAGGGGACAACGGUUGUACGAAGCACCAACUCUCAAAAAUCGACGUGGAUGAGGGGGCGGGUUGAACUCACCGGUUGAAGGCAUCGAACAGGAACUCAAGCCCCGCAUCCUCCAUCGCCAACACCGCCAGAACUAGCAAAAGCCGCCUCAAUUACGGAUGGAGUGGGCUGAUGUGAGGGCGGGUUUGGCGGACCUCCUACUGGCGGUCUCAAUCCCUGGUUGACCUACCGAGAAAGGUCCACAAAUUCGUCUGUGUGACGGCUCAAGUUUUUCGCGUAACCCUAGGCCACGGCUCAAACAGAAAUUCUCUGUCCUGGUCCACGGAGCAUUAAAUCCCGCCCGAGUCAAGGCGCCCAUCCCUACUUAAUUGGCCGCACACACGGUCGCACUGUUUCAUGCUGUAUACAAGCCGUAUCCUCAUUAUUUGCCGGUGCAGAUUUUUUUCGGAAAAACAUCCAAUAUAUUCAUCUUCAAUCAUGGCGGUACAACAAACACCAGAAAUAAUAAAAUUUAUAUCUAGAUCCGUAGACCGCCUAGCGACGACUACAAGCACUAAAGCGAGCCGAAUGCGCGCCGCUGUCAUUGCCCCUCCCUCACUGGAGCUGGGCAGAACUUGUUGUAGUAGACAGCAGGGAAGUCGUCGUCCUAAGGUCCCAUAGGACCAUCUCACCAGAAUAGCAACCACCGCCGAUGAAGUGUAGCACAAAUCGAAAGGAUCCAACCUGAAAACACACGAACGUAGACGAACGACGAACAUAUCCAAGCAAAUCCACCAAUGACAGAUCUACCGGAGACACACAUCCACACGCCCACCGACAAUGCUAAAUGCACCACCAGAACUGGGGCUAGGCGAGGAGAACCUUAUUCCAUCUUCAGGGAGCAGCCAUUGUCUCAUCUUUCUGAGUUGGACACAAACCCUAACAAAUCUCGAAGACACAUCUAAAAACCGAUCCCUUCCCUGGCAAGGGCCAGGAUCCGCUGCGCUCCCAUGACCCUAAGGCAACCGGAGAUGAGGCGGACCAGCGCCGGCGCCGGUGGGAGGCACAUGAAUCCUAGUUGGGGAGGAGGAGGCGGCCUGAGGAUUCAUGUAACGUCCUUUCUAGGUUCACCGGUUGUCCCCUUCUAUUCUGCCGAUGCAGAUCUGACACGUCAAAACGAAUUGUUGCAAUCCCCAGGCAGCAGCGAAUGCUAGCGAUAUUGGGAGCAGCUGAGCUCGAGCACCGAAUCGCUGCGUCCCGCGAGCAUAGUAGCCAGAAGAGAAACCGAGCGUGUAUAAAGCGCUAAACUACACUGCCCUAACAGAGCGUGCGUGUGAGCGCUGAUGCGCCAACCAACGCCAUAAGCAUGGUAGAGGAGUGCUCCUGCAAUUUGUUGCCUCAAAUAGGUGGGGAAACACAUAAGGACAGGCACUGGUCGGCCCAUUCAUUUCAUACUGUACAAACCCGGUAGCCAAGAUUUUUUCGGUGUUGUACACUUUCAAGCGCUUUUUCAAUUAGGCGUUUUCUUUUUCAUAUUUUGAAAAACAUUAGAAAAACUUAUUUAUUGAAAAACUAAGUAUUGAGUUUUUAAAAUAAUUUUACAAAAUGUGAACAUUUUUAAAAACAUGAAUGUUUUCAUAAUGCAGACCAUUUUUUCAAGUUUUGAACAUUUUUUCAAAAACACGAAUAUUUUUGGAAAACACUAAAAAAUUGUGAAAACAUUCAAAUGAAAUUAUCCAUUUUGAAAAACUAUUCAUAUAUUUAAUAAACAUGAACAUUUUUGAAGAUUUUGUGAAAAAAUCUGAAAAAGAACAAAAGAAAACAAAAUAUAAACCAGCAAAAGAAGAAAACCUAAAAAACCGGAAUCCUUAAUGCGUCAUAAUAAUGCACGUCUAUUUUUUAUGAAUAUGUCUUCGAAUCAAAAAUUUCUUUCAUAUAUGGGUUUGCCUAUACCUCACUUGUAGUGAGGCAAAAGAACACAACGCCUCAGGCCCCCUGUAUUGUGGCCUAGGGAUUCUUCAUUAUGCAGGAAGCCGGCUUGGUAGGCCGGCCCAGGGCCUCAUAGGUCGGCUUGUCCAGGGCCAUCAAUCUGGCCCAUGGAUCCAAUUAGAGAAAGGCUCGGGGAACUUGGAGCGGGUGACAGGGUGACUAGCGUCCAGGAGAACUCCUCCAAUGACCAACUACGAUCGUGUAAUCUUAGACCCCGACACCCAUAUAUGUGGUGGCUAGAUUAGUCAAUAGACACAGAACCUUAGAACUAUUGCUCAAUCCAUCGAUUAUUGUAACCCCUAUACACAAGCAAUAUACACGAGCAGGGGUUAGGAUUUUAGCUCAUCCAUGAGGGUCUGAACCUGGAUAAACCCCUUCUUAUUUCCCAUUUGGUUUAAUCGCAUGGCCAGAGAACCUUAUCAAGUGAUCUGUCGGAAAUAACUCCACCAGUCAUAAAUGGGCUAGGGCCAGAUAAUUUUUUUCUCCUUUUCUCUUAUUUUGUUUCUACUUUUGGUUCAAUUUAAAACAUAUUGUAAAUAUAUAUAUUUGGAAAUAUUCUUCAUCAAUUAUUAAUAACAUUCACCAUGCCUGAAAUAAUGGUCAUGAAAUGAAAUUAUUUUUUUGCACAAUUUGAGAAAUUGUUCAUAUCCUUCAAACGAAUAUUCGUAUCAUUUUUAAAAUGUUCGCGUGUUUAAAAAUGAAUGAAUUUUUAACAAUGUUUAUUAAAAUAUAUAAAAAUUAACAGUGUAAUUUGUAAAAAAUGUUCAUACCAUUCAAAUAAUGUUUAACACUUUAAAAAUGUUCAAACAUUUUAAUUUUAAGUAUUUUUUAGUAAAUACUAUUGAUAUAGAAAAAAAUUGACAAAAAAUUAAAAGUUUGUAACAUAUAAAAAUGUUUGUAAAAUUUUCAAAAUAUGUUCAUAAACACUUACGAAAUGUUUGGCACAUUUACGGAUAUGUUGAUGUCUUAAUUUUUUGAAAACUAUCAAUGAAAUUUACAAAAAUGUUCCUAGCAGAAAUGCUAUUACAAAAAUUUAUGAAUAGAAAAUGUGUAUAAAAUUUACAGAAAAGUUCACAAUUUUUUGAAACUUUAAAGCUGGCUUCUGAUUUUUUUUCAAAAUUUUGAGGUCCAUGGAGCUCGGGAUCCAAACAUCCACUCUCUACCAACUAUAUGCAUGUAUCUUGUAGCAAGCCAUGAGCCAAGGGUUGCUACAUGAUCAAUUGCUGACUGGGCAGUGUGUUUUCUUCAUUUAGGGCAGAUCACAAGUGUUUGACAUCUCUCUCUACAUUGGGUAUCCUUUUCCACUUGAAUUUUAAGAUGCGCAGAAUGUGCUUUCCUUGUUGUUGCCUCGUCAUUCCAGCAUGGAAUCAAAGCAAAAAUGAUAUUACUUCCCUUAAAAAUUGUCUCGCUAUCUAUGUCCAUAACAUGCCCAUUGGACUGCAUGGCAGAAGUGAAGGUGUGUGCCUAGCUGGCGGAGCAGACACACUCAUCUGUGACCUCUGAUCUAAGAAUGACAUGUACUUUGUUGUGAGCCCAUGGUGCAUGUGGGUUGGAACGCUCCUUAGGAAAUCUAGACUUAUUUUGCAGGCAAGCCAAGAUGAGAUCUGUAGGCCCAUGUGAAUUCCAUCAAAAUCACGCUCAGUUCAACUCUGGUUCGAAUCCUAAUAAAAAAUAGCUCAGCGGUCCUAGAUGGAUAUGUCCAUUGCUAAAAAAUGCAGUUUUUGAAAGAGUCAAUUUGACUUGUAGCUAGAGGACGCCGACACCUGUCACUUCUUCUACACGCACUAAACAAACCCUAGCUUAUCCAACUCAAUUUGCUUUAAGGUUUGUGUGUGAAAGAAGUAGUGUUAAAACCAAACACCACACUCUUCGACCUGAGAAAUCAAUAGUAAAUUUACCUAUGGAUAUUAAAUCUAUAUACAUCAUACUUGAUUUGUCAAGUUGAUAAUACUUACUAAACAUAUUUCAAAUUACAAUAUUUGGUGCUUCACAGCCUGUUAUGAAAUUAUUGUUCACCCAUCCAAUACAAUAAAAAGUAUUUGAAUGAUGUUAACGCACGCGUGAGAGAGAGAGAGAGAGAGAAAGACUAGAGUACAUUUUGUCGUGAUGUCCAUCAUAGUUCCACGAUUAGUACACCUAGGAGGAGACAAUCAAAAUAUGGACAGAAAAUAAAUAUUUAAUAUGUAAAUGGUAGGUAACAAAUCCAACCACAAAAUUGUGCAAGCAACCCACUAGCUAGUUUUAUUGAAUAUUAAAAUAACAUAGUUGAUUUCUAAAACAUAUAAGAUUUAUUAUCUCAUCAACACAUAAUUAUUUUGAGAACCAUAAGGUUGAGAUUUAUCCACCCAAAAUAGGGGAGAUAACAAAACUAUUGUGUUGUUGUUGCUGGUGUGCAAUUAAUCUUGCAGGGACAAUUGAUGAAGCAUUCUCCAAGAUCUGGCCAGCACAAGUUAUCUAUUUGACAGCAGAAUUCCCGUCCUGGGAGCUGGUGCCCAUCUUUAUAACAAGGGGGUCUGGUUACAUGGCUUACUUUGCUCAUCAUGUUUCUCCCCUUGUUGUUUAUGAGUUCACCUAAUUAACAUAAAAUAAAGAAUAUACUUAUCAUCUCAUCAUAUAAACAAUAAAAGUCCACAAUAUCAAUCCCCCC